ACGAUGUAAACAUAAAAAAAUGCGGCAUCAAUCUUAUAUUUGCGGGAGAUCAACAAAAUCAUAUGCCCAUGUUGGAGCAUCCUCAACUCUGGUGACUAUAGAUCAUCAUUACAAGAUACCAAUGGUAAUGUUCAUGGGGCUAAUCAAGAUGAUGAACACUACCAUAUUCCCGCGUUGUUAGAUCUUCUCGGGAAUUUUGGUGACAAUGGAUCAGUAGUACUUGAAGACACUAAUGGAAACCGUAAGAGAAGACGUGAUGAUUCCCUACCUGAUGUAGUGGAAGAGCCACAUUGUAAAAGAUUGGGAGCAUCCAACCAGGUGCAUUAUCAAACCUUUUUCAUAUAUUCCAACUUCUCUCCUUUUGAAAUUAUUUUUAAAGUCAAUAAACUAUUUUUAUGUGUUUCUUCAAACUCAUUUUAUUUAUUUUCCUUAAUUAUAUGAAAAUUAAAUAAUUUAAAAAUACAUAAAAUUUUAAUUAAUUUUAAUUAUAUUUUAUUUUCUUUCAUAUUUUCUAUAGGAAAAUCAAGUAUAAAAAAAUAAUUUUUCUUAGAGUUUUUUUAUUUCCUAAGUGCUCUUUAUGAUUCAAACAUAGUUUAUAGUGAUUGAUAUCAUGACUAUGCAUGUACUACAUUUCAUAGAAUUUCUUCAAUUUCAAAAAAUAUGAAAAAAUAACUUUAGCUAACUUUGAAAGUCAUCAUUAGUUUAAAAACAUGUAUAGUUUUUUUUUUUCUUUUUUAAUAUAGCAUAGAUAAGGUAGAGUGAAUUGCCUUUUUUUUUUUUUCAUUAUUUAUUUAUUUAAUUAGUUAAAUAAAAAUAAUUAAUUAAAUAAUUUUUUCUACUUGCUUUUAAGAUAAAAUUUGAAUAAGUUAUCAAAUUUAAUUAGAGAAGAUCAUGUACACAAAUUAGAAGUUAAAUUUAAAUGUAUUAUGAGGUAGAUAUAUGUAGAAACUUACUCGAUGGAAGCAAAUAAUAAAACUCCCAUAUAUUGAUUUUAAUAGUUUUAAGAGUCAAAUUGUUUAUAGUUUUUGUAUUUAAGAAUUAAAUUUCUUUGUGUAUGCAAUAAGGAUAAAUAUGUCAAUUUAACAAUUUAGAAUAAAUCUUAAAUUAACUUUACUAAAUAAUCUUAAUACUUAAAGUAAAAAAUAAUUAAUAAGUUUUAAGUUUAUAGCUUAAGAACCAUUUAACUUAAAAGCCAACUUAAAUCAUUAAGUAAUCAGUGAUAAGUUUGGCCAAAUUAUGAAAACACAAAAUUGGUGUUUCCAGAUUUUCUAUUUUCAAAACUCUAUUUUCUGAAAUAUUGAUUUAUGUUUUCUUUACAAAUGAAAACAAUUUAAACAAAUAAGUGCUAAACCCAUUGUUAAUGUUUGCAUCUCAUUACACCUUUUUCUAAUCUCCAUCCCACUCUUUGAUGGGCUAAACUCAGAAAUGGAAAGUUAUAUCUUAGCACAUGCUUUAAUUUACAUUUGUUAAAUUGGUUUUGACAUACAUUUUUCCUAAUAAAUGCAAAACAAUAGCCUGAGUUACAAACAUUAGAAUCCUAGUAGGCUUUGGAUUUCUUAAAGAAGUCUAUAAAUAAAGUUGAUUGAUAUAAACCGAAGUCAUGCACUGAAAAUUAAAAAUAUCACUUUUUCUUGUAUACUUUGUAAUUUUCAAUGGUAAGACUCUUAAUUUUCUUAUAACGGAGACUCUUAGAAGGCCUUAGUGAGACUAUAAGGUUUUUAUUUUUUCUUCUUUAUAUCUUCUUUCAUAAUGUUUUCUAUUUUAUUUUUCUUUACCAUAAACUUUAUCCCUUGUUCCUCUCCUUAAAUCCUAAACAAUAGAAACCCAAACCACUUAUUUGAUUGUAGGCAACCAUCCUAGGUUGUUGUCCUGCAUCAAUAUGCCCAACAGUUUAAUAAUUCAUUUUAAUCCAAUUUGAAAAUGCUGCCUAUUCUCAACAAAAUUAUACUAAAUCAUAUUUAGAUCACUUUUCCAAAGGAAUCAAAUUAAUCAAUCCUCUAUGUGAACUAACUAUCCCCAAAAAUAACUUUUGUGAGUGCUUUAUAGGCCGUCAAAGCUGUUUUGAAAAUAUAGGGUUUGAAAAACUACAUGCAAUAACAAUUGACAUCUCCAACAACAUUUUAUUUAUUUAUCUAUUUUUUUGUCAAAGAAAAAACUAUUCAUUGAUAUUACAAGCCAAUGAUGAGAAAUCCUUCCAAAAAUAUAAAAGAUGAUGAAAAAAAAAUUAAGAAAAAUCUAACAAGAAUAGCAAGAUAGAUAUGGUAAUCAAGGAUGAAACAAAAACUUGUACAAAACAUAGCCACAAUGUACAUGCUCUAAUCAUUAUACAACAAUUGUAUUUUUAGCAAUAAAUGAAGGAUAUUCUUAGUGACAAUUGGAUGUGUUGGAAUUUAUAUAUAGGUGAAAGGAAAUAAGAACACUCCUUUUCUCUUGGAACACAUGUUUCUUAAUAGAUACACCUUGUUUUAAAGGAUGCGUCUAGUAUUUUAAAGGCACAAUCUCUUCCAAAGGAUGUGUUUGGUAUUUUAAGACACAACUCUUCAAAGGAUGUGUCUAGUAUUUUAAAGACACAAGUGUCUUAAGACACAAGUGUCUUAAGACACAACCCUUUAAUGGAUAUGUCUAGUGUCUUAAAGAUACAUAUCUUUUGAUAGUCACCAACAAAAUCUAUAAAUAAGGUCCCCCACUUGUCUUUCUAGAUUUCACUCACUCAUUCAUCCAUUCUCUCUACUCCUUUUCCUUUCUAGUCUCUUAAACUUUCAAGUCCAUCUUAGCUUCAAAAGUCCUUUUUAGCUUCAAAUUUAGUCUUUCAUUUUCUACUAAGUUUUUUUUUUUUUUUUUUGGUAUUUAAGAAAAUACAAGUCACCAAGUUGUUUCUUAUGAUUUUCAAGAAACUGAUUGUUAUAUCCUAGGAGACAAUUACUUGUACCGAGACAAUUACUUUUAUCGUAAGCACUUGAGUAGGGAAAAAUAUGUCUUAAGGACAUAGAGUCAAACUCUAGCCUUGAUCAACCCCAUAAGUCCAUUUACUCAGUAGUUGGGAUAACAAAAUGUCCCUUAAUAAUAAUCCCAACCCACAACAGACUUACAUUUCCCAAAAAGCAACCUUUAAAACUAAUUUCAACCUUCACUGGAAGUUUUUCUCGUAGGAAGGAUAAUGUCUUGACACAAACUUAUCUUUCAACUUAUCCCCUUCAUGGUCCAUUAGACAGGUGGUUAGACAGGAAACCCUUUCUAUAAAAUUUUAAGUGACCACUGGUUGUGUGACUGACACAUCGUUUGCCUUCUCUAUCAAAUUUUAGACUAACAAUGGGGUGGUAAUAUACUCAUUUCCUAUUAUUUCUCUCCAAUAUUUCAUUUGAGUCAUUCUCCCUAUGCCAGUGUUGGAAAUUAGCAAUAUACUAUCUCAAUGGAAUUUCUAGGAACAACAUUUUUUGUAAAAUUUGAAUACAUCUAAAGCAUCGCCUUUCUGAAUUCUAAUUGUAGUCCAAUCAAUUUAAGAUGCAAAGACAUGUUAUAAUAGGUCUUGUUAGGUGGUUGAUUUUCCAAAAAACUUUUCUAUUGUGCAUCAACUUCUAACAAUUCAAGAAAACAAAUAAAAAAAUGGGGAAAACAAGAUUGCAAAUAAUUUUCAUUUUUAGAUUUCAAAGAAAAUACCACGACGUCGUCUUUGGUAUGUGGGGAUAGGGAAUGAAAAUGAAUAUUUUGAUCUCAUUCCUAUUUCUCCUUGAAUAAGAGUGAAUUUGAUAUUUUUAAUUAUUGUAUUUGGAUGCACCUAGCAAUGUAAGGGUGGAAUGAUUAUUUGCUUCCAUUUCAAUAUGUGGUAGCAAUGAGAAUAUGAAUAGGGGACCAUUGGCUACAGUUAUCACACUCGAAUUCUAGAUGACUUAGAAGUGAAGUCGUGAUCUCAAGUUAAAGAUUUGACCUUAAAGAUUGCUUCUAUCCAAGUUAGUAGUCAACUUGUAUACCUUGAAUUUCUUUUCUUCUUUUUCCUAGAAUAAAUUGCAAUCUAAUUUUUUAAAUAAAAUUAUUAAACUAUGAUUAACUAAAUGAAUUCCCCAUAAUUAGGCAUUACUUGCUCAAGAGUGCAAUGAAUUUUGUAAUCUUCUAUCCAGUUGAGAUAAUCAUGCAAAUUUUGUAUGGUAAUCUCUAUGUCAAAAUAUUUCUAAAGAUGAUUUACAAAAUAACAAAACAUAGUUUAAAUUAUAAUUAUCCAUAUAACUCAAAUUAAUACAUGCUAGAAAAAGUAAUAUAAAUUAAAAACAAUUAUUAUUAUUAUUCCUUCACUUUUUUGGACUUACGGGAACUCUCCCUAAUAUUCCAAUAGUUCCUCAUGAACUAUAUUGCAUCUUAAAAUUUUAGGAAAAAAUGGGUGAGAAUCAUGUUGUUCAUUAGGGGUGUUCCACUUAGAGGGAGAGUGCAAUAACUUACACUCAUAAUAAAAUAUACUCAUAAUAUAUGAAAUUUAUACUCAUAAUAAUGCUUGUGUAUACAUAAUCAUACAAUGUAAUCUUAUUUUCAAGCUUUUACCAAAGAAUAUGUGUCCACACCUUGAUACACUCCUCAUUCAAAGUCUUCCCAAGGUUAUCUUUGGGGCCUUUUCAUUUAUCAUUUUUUUUUCUUUUCUUUCGAUUUUUUUUUCAUUUUUGCUUUAUGCAACUAUUACACUUCCAUACAAUGACAAAUGCAAAUGAGUACAAUAAUGUAACAUUCUAAAAUACAAUUCAUAUUAUUUUUUCAAUUUAAUCCACAAUAUAUAUUCAAUUUUUAUACAUUUAUAAUGAUUAUCCCAAAUCAACCGACAAUUAUACCAUUAUAUAUAAUAAGCUUCACAACUAGGUCCCACACUAAGAUAACCAAUAUUAGUAUUAUUAUUCUUAUUACCAAUUAAUUUCUAAUAAGUCAACCAACAAAAAUCAACCAUUAUUUCAAAAAAUUAUUUCACCAAUGAAAACAAUCCAAUAAAUCAAAUCACAACCAAAAACAAAUAAAAACCAACAAUUCCAAUAUUUUGACUUCACAAUAAACCUUCAUCCACUUCCCAUUUAACAUUUUCAAAAAAAAAAAAAAAUUCAUUUUACAUGUUUAAGGUAAAUGAAAACCCAGUGAAGAUUUAUAAUAACUUAACAAUUCACUAGCUUGGAUAAAGGUUUUUAAGGGUAAAUGAAAAUGAAAUGAAAAGUUCCAAGGAGAGUAGAGAGAAAAUUUGGAAAAAAAACACAUCCCUACUUGUCUAGUAGAAUCCAAUUGUCAAAUAAAAAAUCUAACUCUAUGGGAGUGUUCACCAUGUUAAAGUAUUAACGUCUAAAAUUUCAUCAUGAUCAAAGGUUGUUCUACCAUUUCUUGUUUGUUUUUGUUCUAUCUCUUUUUUUCUUCUUUGUAUCCUCCUCUACCAUGUGUCUACUCGCUUGUUGCCCUUUCUUCCCUUUUAUAUUCUUUUUAUUAUUAUAACAACUCCAAAAUGUCAUACAUGUCCUUAAAUAAAUUAAAAUCAUGGCGUCUUCUACAAUUAUAAUUUGUGUCAAGCUCAUGAUUUUCUAUUGUAUGAAAAAUGCCAUUGUGUUCAUGGUUAAAUCUAUUACUAGUUUGUUUCUAUAGAAAAUACAAUUGACAUUAAUAACUUGGUGCAUUUUUUAUUCUAAAAUUCACUCAAGACCCAAUUUCAUAAGCUAUAAAAAAAUCAAUUCUUAUUUAUUUUCUUGCAAUGUCAUAUCUAAAAGAAAAUAUUUGAAGUACAGAAUAAUCCUCUAACAUCUUAGAAGUUAAAAUUCAUAGCAACCUUUAAUCCACUCAUUUUACCAAUAUUUAUUUAUCAACUAAAAAUUAAAAGAUAUUCUAAAACUUAAUUUCAUCCAUUUAGCAUGCCCAAAAAUAUUGAAUCCACUAAAUUUCUUCCUAUAAUUUUUUUAAUUUAACUAAUUCAAAAUUUUCAACUACAAUUCUUGUUCUAAUUCUGCUAAAGGCCGACAUGACAAGAAUUCAAACCGUAAAUUUUGACCUAAUUUCAACCUUUUAACGUCCAAUAAAUUUUCAACACUUGUCUUUGACUGCCUACUUUUGACUAGUUUGAUUUUUUUUUUUUUUUUUUUUUUUUUUUUUUUUUUUUUUUAAUACUGUAAGCUGACCUUUACCCCAAAUUUUUGGGUAUUACAUCUUUCCCUCCUUACAACAAUUUCAUUUAUGGAAUUCAACCUUCCAUACCUUACUACUUUUGCUAAUAAGUCAAUUAAUAUCUAUAUUGUCGUUCUAUCUUUAGUGUCAUCAUAAUCUUCUAAUUGAUAUAAAUGUUGAAUACAAUUAUAUUUCAUAUGUUACUUUGAUUUUUUUGUCACAAUAUUCAUGAUAUUGUACAUCUAUGUAAUUCGUACUCCAAAAUCAAAUUUCACUUUUAUUCAAUAGUUUUGGAUGCAUUGCUUGAUCAUGACAAUAAAGUAAGCAUUCGCAUUAUUCUUAAACUAUUUAUUCACAAUAUAAUUUUUGUUUCUAGAAAAGGAGUCUGAAGUUAAAGUAAUUGUGUAAAUAGCCAUUAUGAAUAGAAGAUCUAUUAUAUUCAUUAGACACUUUUAUUCUGCCUAAAAGUCACUUUUGAGUUGAUCAUUUGAUGUUUCACUCUCAUUCUAUACUAUUUUAAAUCCACUAAUGCAUAUUAAUUUGAUUUUUCCUUCUUUAUAUGUAUUAUCUCUUCUUUGUCUUUUUCCCAAUUUCAUAUCCAUUCUAAUGAAAAAAUCCUUUCAAAUUCCUUCAAACCAUCCUAAUGUGCUCAUCAAUCUUUAAACCUUCUUCCUUGUUCAUUUCUUCUUUUAAAUUCUUUUUUUUUUUUUUGGUCCAUCAACAUGCUUACUUAUCAAGUUGAUGACCUCAUUAAUCCUUGCAAUCUUUAGCUCAACUUCACUUCACUUUCAUGUACUUAUCAAGACUUGUCAUGCAUUAUUGUUGUAAAAAUUAAGGUGCUCCUUAUCUUUUCUUUCAUUACUUCUAUUCUCGAUAUUCCAUUGUUUGAGACUAGUUUACUUUUAUUAACCUCUUCUUAAACAUUCUUGUUGAUACAUCUACUAUGUCUCUCUUAAAUAACCUCAUUGCCGUUCUCAUCCCUCAAAUUUUAAUUUUAAACAACACAUGUACAUUCUAGCUCAUGUAUUUAUUGAGUUAGAAAUAUCUUAUUAUCUCAAUAAUAUUAUUGCUCAACAUUUAUUUGUUCAAUUGUAAAGUUCCUAGUGUUUUCAGUUCCUAAGAUGAUGAGUCUCAAUUUUCUUAGUAAAAAUUAUCUUGUCCCAAAAUGGCCUUAAUCCCCACUUUAAUUGUCCUUUCAUUAUUACAUACCUUGUCAUACUUUAUUGAUUUAACUAAUGAGAUACUCCAAGUCAUAGUCAAUUACUUCAUCAAUAUAGAACUCCCUCAACACUAUCCACUGCUACUUUAAUCCUUCCUAACAAAUUGAAAAUGAAGCAAGCAAUGAUAGACACAAACCAAAACUUGUGAAUCAAAAAAGAUAAAAUAAAUGAGAUAAAAGGAAAGACAAAAUCUCACAACACCUAGAUGGUAGACCAAUUGGUUGGGAAGUCGACCACUAAAGGUUUGUAAUAACCUUACCCAAUAACUCAUAUCUCAAAUCUAAUUACAUCUCUCUUAAUCUCAAAUGACUAGCACAUAAAUACCACAUGCACAGUGAUGAUUUCUUUUUAACAAAGCAUUAAAUAUAUUUUCAUAACAAUAUACUAGCAUAUGAAGCAUAUCACCCUCUAUAUAUCUUUUUAAUUGGUUGGAGCUCUUAUAAAAGGUGAAAGACAAGUGUCACUAAUUUAAGUAUUUUCGAAGCUCUCGUUUAGUACUUAGACAAUUCAAGUCUCUUGAAAUUACUAAGUCCUUUAGGUUGUGAUAAAGGUCUCUAUCACAUUUCACACAUAUUAUAACCAUCACAUUUUAACUCAAGUGUUUAGUUUAAAAUACUUUUGCAUUAAACUCCUUUCCAAAAACAUUAAAUUAAUACCAUUCUCUAAUCUUCCUUGUCUUGGUUUGUCAACCUCAGUUUAUUACCCUCUAGAGCUAACUUUCAACUUAAUCAAUCCAAUGUAAUCGUUAUUGAUUCAUGGUCAAUUAACAAGUUCUCUAAUGUUAUAAUUGAUUUUUGAAAAAAAUUGAGGAAAAGAAAAUAAAGAGAAAAAAAAAGAAAAAAAAAGGAAAUGUGAAGGAAUAUAAAAAAUUAUAUUUAAAGUUAAUAAAUUAUUUUAAACCCAUUUAACAUACAUAUAAUUUUAAGAAAUUUUUAUUUUCUAUUUUCCAUGGAGAUGCCAAACAUAAAAAAUAAAAAUAAAAAUAAAAAAAUAUUUUCCCUAAUAUUGUUUGGGAAUUAAACAUAACCUAAUUACUUAUCGUUGUGUAAAUAGCUUAAGAUACCAAUAAUAUUAUUGUUGUCACGUAAAUAGUUUAAGAUACUAAUAAUACUUCUUGAUAAAAUCAUAUCUAUUAAUGUGACCCGUGUACGUGUGUGGAAUUUUCAUGGUUCAAUACUGUCACUACCUUACAAUUGUGGACUCCGAUUGAAUAUUAUGAAUUAAUGAUAUGAUAUUUCUUGAAAAAAAUGUUUUCAAUUAAGUUAAAAUGGUUGAAUUAUUUCAAUUGGUGAAACCUCAAUAUUCCAAAUAUUUCUACUUAGAUUAAUUAAGGUCAUCAUGAGUUGACUUUAAUUCUUUGCUUCUAAAUUUCAUUUAUUAAGGUAUUUUAGAUGCUUCCCUGUUUUACUUAGUCUUGUAAUUGAUUAUGAGAUUUUGUAGACCAAAUGAUAUGCAAAUUAUUUCUUUUAUAGGUGUUUUUUCCCUUUCUUUAGAGCUAAGAUUUUAUAAACUAGUUUUUGUCUUUUCUUAACUUCUAUUUUCUUAUUCUAGAACACCCCACUUAUAUCUUGUCUUUAACUUUCAAGGAAUAAAGUCAUUUUGGUUUUGAUUGUGUCAUUUUCUUUAAAAAGGAAACUAAAAAGGGAAAGAUCCUAGUAUGUAGUCGAAAUAAAGAAGGAUUUUAGUCUAAAAUUAAAAUAAAAAAUUUGUUUUGACAAUGUGAUUUUAAAUAUCUUUUAGUUGGUGUUUAGUAAACCAACUUAAUAAUUUAAUAUAACUUAAUAGCUUAAUUUGUUAUUAAGUAGAUUAACCAUGUUUAGUAAAAUAACUUAAUAUUAUAACAUAAAGUUCGUAUUAAGACAAAAUAAUUAACUAGAGGAUGUUUGAUAAAUCAAUUUAAUCACUUAAUAUAACUUAAUAACUUAAUUUAAGUCAUUAAAAAGAUUAAGCAUGGUUGGUAAAAUAACUUAAUAUUGAAAUUUGAAGUAAUAAGUCAAAAGGGUUAAUUUUAUUGAGGUCUCCUAAGGUUUGGUGUAAAUACACUCGACCAUCGUUGGUUUCAAAUUUCAUCAAUUAGCACUCCUAUUAAUUUAUUUCAUUUAUUUUUUGAGAAAUAUAAGCUAAAAAUAUUUUAGAUAUGAAUUUUUAACAAUUCAUUAAAACCUAAAUUUUAUUCUUUAAAAAAUAAAAUUUAUAUGUACAAAAUAUUUAUAGGGAUGUUAACUAACCAAAUUUAAAACCUACAACAGCUUAGUGUAGUUACACUAAACCUGAAGGAGCUUCAAUAAAAUUAACUUAAAUCAAAAUAAUUAACUUAUUCUUAAUCUCAAACCCUUUUUACCUUAUUUAAAUAUUUUAUGAUUGUAUUAUGUAUCCACAAUACUUUAAAUAUGAAUAUUUAAUAAAUAAAUUUAUUGUUUAAGAUCAGUGAAAAUAUAAUUAUUAGUUAAAAUUAAUAAGGGUUAAUAAGUCAAUUUGACAACUUAAAAUAAAUCUUAAAUUAACUUUAUCAAAUAAUCUUAAUACUUAAAGUAAAAUAUAAGGAAUAAGUUUUAAGUUAACAACUUAAGAACCAUUUAACUUAAAGUCAACUUAAGUUAUUAAGUAAUAAGUAUUAAGUUUUAUCUAACAUCCACUUAAACAUAUAAUAAUAAAGCUUUUAAAGGAAUUAUUUAAUCAAAAGACAAAUAUUAAAAUAUAAAAAAUGAAAAGGAAAAAAAUAUAAAAAAGGAACAUGCACAAUGCAAAUAAAACAAUAGUGCAAAAACAUCUCUUUUAAUUUGUUUUUUUUAUUUGUCUUUCUUUUUUUUUCUUUUUUCUUUUUCACCAACAAAAAAUAUUUAAGAAAAAAAAUAUUGAUGGUACAACAAACUUAAUAGAAUUUAUAACAACAAUAAUAUAAUAGGAAAUUAAUAUAUAGAGUUCUUUGCUUUGUCCUUUUACCUUUUCUACCUUACACAACUUUUGGUGCCAUAAAUAUAACUAAAAUAUUAUUUUAAUAUUAAGAUAACAGAAACUAAUAUUUUAAAAAUUAUAGAUUUUCAUAUUUCCUAAUAAAAAUCUGAAAACAAGAAAUUGAUGUUUCCAAAUUUUCUAUUUCUAAAACUCUAUUUUCUGAUAAUUUGAUUUAUGUUUUCCUUAUAAAUGAAAACAAUUUAAACAAAUAAGUGCUUUAUAGUUUUCAUUUUUAAAAAUGAUUUUCACUUCUUUUGAUUUAAGGCAUUUUCAAGAUAAGAAAAAAGAAGGAAUAAAAGCUAUUUUUAGAAAAUAAAAAUAAAUGGAAAAUGAAAAACUUUUUCCAACCGAAACCCAUUGCUAAUGUUUUAAUCUCAGUGUGUGCCUUUUUCUAAUCUCCAUCCCACUCUUUGAGGGGCUAAACAUUUUCCAAACAUGGCAUCCUAAAAGACAUUACCACUUGUCUCAUUAUUUAUAAUAUUUUUUAGGUCUCUAAUCACAUCAAGUAUUGAUUCCCAUAUUAUAGAUGCUCUAAUUUCGCUGCAUAAGGCAUUCUUACUCUUAAUUCCACCAACAUCCAUUUGCAUUUUCUCACCUACCAAAACCUUAUUGUACAAAUUUCCAUUCAACCUUCAUAUCCAACCCAUGCUCCAUUGUCAACCCUAGGCUCAUCUUUAUACCGUUCUCAACCCAAGCCACACUAUUACCCUAGGGCAAGUUGCUAAUACCAAAUAUUUAAGAUAAGUAUAUAUACAAUUGAAAUCAGUUCAAUACACUAGGCCAUAUUUGGUUGAUCAGAUAUAACAUAGGAUAAAAUAAGAGAGGGGAUUUAAUGGUAAUGUUCUUCGUGUUGAUGAAGAUAAUGAUUGCUACCAUUUGGAGUAUGAGUGACAAUGGAUUAGCAGUCCUUGAAGACAUUAAUGGAGAUCGUAAGAGAAGCCAUGUUGAGAGCACUCAACACCAAUCUCUUGCUUUGAACUCCAUCACUAGGUGCAUUAUCAACCCUUUGCUUGUAUUCCAACUUCUUUCUUUUUAAAUUAUUGAUUCAAAUUGUAAUAGCUAUCUCAACUUCUUUUCUCUUUUUAGUUCACUAAAGCUAUGUUUGGUUCUUGGAAAAUUUGAGGAGAAAUGUGAAGAAAAAAAAACUAAAGAGAAAUUAGAAGAAAAGAAAAAGUACAAAAAACAAAGAAUAUAUUUUAAAUCAAUAAAUUAUUUUUAUAUUAUUCUUCAAAUUCAUUUAAUUUAUUUUCCUUCAUUAUAUAAAGAUUAAAUAGUGUGAUAAUUUAUAAAAUUUUCACUAAUUUUAGUUAUAUUUUAUUUUCUUUCUUAUUUUCAAUAAGGAAAUCAAGAAUGAGAAAACUAUUUUUCUUAGCAUUUUUUUCUUUCCUUGGUACGUUUUUAGAACAAGACAUAGUUUAAAGGUUAUAGUGAUCAAUAUCAUGAUUAUGCAUGUGCAUAGAACUUCUUCCUUUUUAAUAAAAAUAUGAAAAAUAAAUUUUGGUAAACUUUAAAAGUCAUCACAAUUUUAAGAUCAUGUAUAGUUUCUUUUCUAUAUAUGGUAUAGAUAAGGCAGAGUGAACUGCCUUUUUUUUCAUUAUUUAUUUAGUUUAAAAGCUCUAGGCUUGGCAGAAGCAAGCAUUAUUUAGGAUUGGCAUGGGUGGACCUCCUGUUUCUAAUUCCUUGUCAACAGAUGCCUGAGAUUUUAUUCGCAAAUGCUUGCAAGUCAACCCUAGUGAUCGGCCUACUGCUGGUCAGUUACCGGGCCAUCCAUUUGUGAAGGGGCCACUGCAAACUUUCUCUGACCCUGCAUCUCCUCGUACUAAUGGACAUGACCUUAAAAGGCUUUUGAUCCAGCUGUGGAACAUCGAAUACAUCAAGGUAAAAUAAAACACUAAUUUGAAGUAAUUUCUAUUCUUUAGCACCAUUGAUCCUUCACACACUGGAGUUUGUCCAAUCCAGCUGGAGGAAAUACAUCCCUAAAAAGAAUGCCUUUCUGGAUACAAUACUUAGCAAUAACAUGUUCUGUAUCCACCCCUAUGAAGUAUGAACAUGUAACUGUAUUAAUGGCAGAGUUGGUGGGUUCCACCUUAUGCUAAUGCUAUUGAUUUAUUGACUCUCAGUGACAGCUUCUUUAUGUUCCCUAUCACAAUGCUUGGGAUCAUCAGGUGGAAGAUCAUAUACAGAAGGGAAAUGAGGAAAAAACAGAAACAAGAGGAAACUAAAAGAAAAGUGUAAGAAAUGGAAGGAGCAGAGUAUUUGUUCCAAGCAGAGAGAGGGUCACCAAGAAAAUGAAAAGCAGAAUCAGCAGUGAAUAUGAGUGAAGCUGAGAAAGAAGUAGGGAGUGAAGAGAUGGAGAAAGCUCAACGAAUGCAUGCAAAACUAAGAAGAGAGUGGAGGAAAUGGAGGGAGCAGAGUUUCUGUUCCUAAUAGAGAGAUGGAGAAGGAAUCAGAGGUGAAGAUGAGGGAAGUUAGGAAUGGAUGAUAAAAUGGGAAAGGGGAAGAGACUCAAGAGAUGGGAAAAGCCAAAAGGAGUGCAUGUAAUUUGAUUAAGUAACACCAAACUAUGAAGAGAGUGGUACGGGAUUUAGGCAUGGAAAGGAGCAGAGUAAUUUUAACUUGGAUGUUAUACUUGAGAAAGCACAGCAUCCUGUUAUGUUUGCAUUUUCAACAAAAACAAACACAAAUGUCUUCACCCUUGGAUUAUUCUUCGCAUGGAUUAUUUUUAUUAUAAUUGUUGUUGUGGAUAGUGGAAAACAGCUGGCGUUAAUGGCUUAUAAUAUGAGGCUGGGGCUACCCUCUCCCUUUCCUAUCAUGUGGCUGAUGAGAGUUGCAUAUGCCUUCUUGGCUUAGUUGGCUAAGACUCCAGUAGUUUUGUUCAGUGGGGGAGACAAAGGUGAACCUGUGGACGGCAUAACGCUAAGAACUAUAAAUUAGGUGUCAUAAAUUGGUUGUAGGGAUGGUAACUACUUGUCACAAUAAAAAAAGUUUAAAUGGGACGGUUUGAGGCUGGUAUGAGAAUUUCAUGACCAUCUCUUCUGCCAAAUUUAAUUUUUUAAAAUUUGUAAUUUUUUAAAUUUUAUUUAAAAUAAAUAUAUUUUACAAAUAACUUAAAUAAUAUAAUUCUUUUUUAUAAGUUAUUUAGUUGAAAAUUAACUUUAUUAUUAUUAUUUUUAUAUGUAUUAAAAUAGAAAAAUAUAAAAAUUAAAUUAAUUUAAAAAAAAAUAAUUACAUGUAUAAUAAAGAUUAGAUGGGAUAGAACAAGCCAAUUGAAUCCACCUUGAACCCAUCUAGGAUUUACAAAAAUAUCUUAAACUCGCCUCUAAUCUAUUUAUUUUAACUUCAAACUUGUCUCGUUAAGGGUGGAAUGGGCUAAAUAUGCGAAAAAAAUUUGUUCCGUCAUUAUCCUUAAUUAGGCAUAUCUGACUCUAUUAGUCACCUAAUGUUAACUUUUCGGUACCAUCAAUUAUGGGUGUUAUGUAUGAAUUUGUUCUCACCCAAUCUCAUUAUUUUUAAUUUGAGAUGGUAUUGCAUUUUAUCUUAUAUAUACCUUAAUUUUAUUAUUUUGUAUAUUAAUUUCAUUGUUUUGUAUUAUAAUUUUAUUCCUUUAUACCUAGGUUCCAUUUGUUUGUAGUAUCGUUUAAUAGUAGAAAUUUGAUGAUAUUAAUAAAAAUGUGUAUAAGUCAUCCAAAGGGGAAAAAAAAUUUGCAAAGGUCUGCUUUUUGUUACGUAUAAAUUUGUUAAUUAUGUGGGAAGGAUGAAUAAGGAGGUUUGUUGGAAAAGUAUGCUUCUUUGGAAUAAACUGAUUUAAGGAAGUAUAUUUAAAUUUAAUAUGUUAUUAUUUUAAUAUUAAAUAUACUUUUAAAUUCUAUAUAUUAUUGUCCAAUAUAAAUUAUAUAUAUACUUAUUUUAUUAUUUAUUAGAAUCUUUUAAUGUUUAUAUGAAGUUUGAUUAAUUUUAUCUAAUCAAUAUUUAUUGAUGUUUCUCUAAAUCUAACUAUCCAAGUUUUUAUCUUUGGAUAUUAAUUUGCAAUAAGACAUUCGGAAGAAGAUAUCCUUAGAUAUAAUUUCUUUUGAUUGUAUAACAAAUAAAAAAUAUAAUUAUAUUUUAAUGUUUGAUAUUUGUUACAAUAAAAAUUAUAUUAUAUUAUACGCAUAAAUUUCACAAAGUCCUGCAAAACAAGCAAAAUUAUAGAAAAAUAAUGCGAAUAAAAAUCUUAUUGAAAUAAUUUUCCCUCUAAUUCUUUCGCGUUGAUAAUAAUUUGAAAGAUGAAAACGAAAAUAUUUUAUUGAUUUUGAAUAUCAAUCAAGGAUCACAAGUGGUUGGUUUUCAAAUGAACUAAUUGAAUGGUGAAGAACACGUGUGUAAAAGAUAAAGAUGUUGUCUUUGUUUUGAAAGUCAAUCAAAGGCUUAGAGUGAUUUAUUUUUCCAAAUAUAACUGUGUCGAAAAGUGAAUAAUAUGUGUGUAGUUCUACGAUUUCUCGAACUUCUAGGGAGAUUUUUGAAGUUUUUUCUUCUUUAUGAAGCCUUUUAUUUAUUUAUUUAUUUUCAUGUGGAGUCGUUUUUGUCGAUCCCAAGUCCCAAUCUCAUUUUUCCGGUCUAGAUUUUCUUAUCUUGUUUUUCUCCCAUUUCUUGAAAGAAGUCACCUCUAUUUAUAGGUGAAAAUAGGAAAUUGAAUUUUGAAUUCUCCAUAUUUAGCUUGCUUAAUUCAAGGGAUUUAGUUUUUUGAUUUUAGUAACUUUUCUCCUUCCUAAGGUUUUACCAACAAGAUAAUAAUAUUUUUUUUUUAUUAUCUUUUCUUUUAGUUGGAGAUUAAUUUCCUUUAUUUUUAGAAAACUUAUCAAUAAGAGAAUAACUAUUUUUUAAUUCUCUUUUGAUUUGAAGACCUAAUUUCAUAGUCCUUCAAAUUGUGUCACAUGUCCAAUGGGCCAAAUUUUAUUGAAUCAUGAAAUUACAAUUUUUGAAGACCAAAUUUAGUGGUAAUUUAAUUCUUUAUAUAUAUAUAUAUAUAUAUAUAUAUAUAUAAAUAAAUAAGUAUGUGUGUGUGUGUUUACAAAUGCCCCCACUUCAAGGCCCAAUACAUACAUUCAUUGUCAUGUGUAUGGGUUAGGUAUUGAAGUUAGCUUUCGAUUUUUUUUUUCCAAUGAAAUAUUUUAAUAGGAAAUCUCCUAUUUUAAAAUAUCUCUUUCCCACUCUUUCUAAACACUAUUUUGUUUUCCUUUUUCCUUUUUCCUUUUUCCUUUACACUUUGUAUCAUUUUCCAAUUUGUCCUCCCUUAUAUAUAUAUAUAUAUAUAUAUAUAUAUAUAGAGAUAUAUAAGGACAAUGGUUUGAGAAAUCUAAUUUGAACUCUCUCAAAGAACUUUUUCAAUCUUUAGAUGAUCUUCAACCUAGUUACUUGAAUUCUUUUAAAGAAGUUUUUUAAUCUUUGGACGAUCUUCAACCCAAUUAGAAAAACCUGACUUGAAUUCUCUCAGAGAACUCUUUCAAACUUUAGAUGAUUUUUUUUUGGAAGAUGACAUCAUGGAGAUGUAUGACAUGGAAUGCACUGCAAUGUUAAGUUGUGUGCAGUGUGUUGUGGGGUGCAUGCUCUCCAUGAGAAUUUUACUAAACAAAAGUGAGUGUAACAUAUGGUUUUUGGAUUCUUGACUUUAUGCAUACACACACAUUGCUUUUUUUUCCCCUACUCUUUUAAGUCCCCCAACAUUUUUUUUUUUUUUUUAAAAGAAGAAGAAGGCUCAUCAUUCUCGAACACAUGCCACUCUCCAUCAUUCAUAAAGACAAACUUAGGUUCAGGUAUUUUUUUUCUUUUUAAAUAAGAUUACCUUAACACUUGAGGAGGAAUUUUUUAAUAAACUUAAAUACACAUAAAAAAAUAUGAAUAUUUAAAAUUUGACCCUCAUGUAUUCAAGUUGUAGUUCUGAUGCGAAAUACUAUCAUAUUUUUGACACUUAUGUGCUAAAGUCUUUACCCAUGCGAAUCGGCUUGACUUGAAUGUAUAGUGGUGUUCAAGUUUUAAUAUUUAAUUAAAGCUGAAAUUAUAUUUAAUACCUAUGCAAACAAGUCAUGGUUUUAAUGCUACGCAGUGUUGUACUUUUGACUCUUAAUGCGACUUAAGUGUUAAGAUCCUCACUCAUGCAAAUUUAUUUGACUUGAAUGCAUAGUGGUGUUCACGUUUUAACAUUUAAUUAAAAUCAAAAUCAUAUUUAAAACCUAUGCAAAUAAGUCAUGGCUUUGAUGCUAUGCAAUGUUGUAUUUCGACACUUAAUGACUAAAGUGCUAAGGUCUUCACUCAUACUAAUUUGCCUAACUUGGAUACAUAGUGGUAUCCAACUUCUUAAUUAAAAUUGGACCUACAUUUUUUUUUUCUCCCAUUCACCUUUUUUUUUUUUUGUAGGAUGGUGUUCUUUAAGUGUUUCAAGGAGAUGACUAUGACUAUUCUUGAGGAGGAUAAUAAAGACUUUAAGGAGUGAACUACCCUACCAAUACAAAAGAUGCUUAUCGACCUUCAAAACCUAUUGGUGCUAGUGACAAAGGAUUUGUUACACAUUUUUUCUUGGUCCCAAGUAACAUCUUGCAAGCUAAUGAAUAUCAGUAAUUCAAAAUUCAACCAAAUGAAACUUGUUUAUGAUGUUUUGUUGUUAAAUUCUUCUCACCCAACUACCAUUGAAGCUCAUAAUGAAUUCAAAUUGUUGAGUUCACAGGUACAUGAUGAAGAGGGUGAAUGGAGAGGUUCCCUUAAGGUACUUGGGGAAUUUUUCUUUAUUAAAGGAUAUUAGGAAUGGGUCGAGGAUGUGUUGGGUUGACAUAGAAGGUUUCUUAAGAGAUGCAAGCUUUGCGAAGCUAUUUUUACAUCUAUGUUUAGCUAUGAUCAUCGUGCUUUUAUUAUUAGAGCCUUUUGUGAACGUUGGUGUUCUACCACUAACACUUUACAUACUUCCAUUGGAGAGGUUUCCAUCUCCCUUUGGGAUUUAUAUCGCAUAGUUGGGCUACCCAUUAUUGAGUCUUUUUAUUAUGAAAUGGUACCGAGUAUAGAAGAACUAUCUAAUAAUACAAUGAAGUCCUUAGUCCCACCAAGUUAUCGAAAUUUGUUCCUUACAUAUUAUCAUAUUUGCUCUGAGACAAAGGGGAAGUUUUCAAUCAAAACGGCCUCUUGGGUUUCAUUUUGGUACAAAGGCCCCAUAAAGUAUGUAAAAACCCUCAAAAAGAGUUCAAGGAAUAAGAUGCAGAGGCCUAAGGAGACUUACAAUCAUUCUAACGAUAUUGUUGAAUCUCGUACUCAAUUAGAAAUAGAGGUGUUUGAUAACCUUAGUAUAGCUAAGGAAGAUGCUAGGGAAACUUAUUUGGAUUGCAUGAUGGUUAUGCAAGUUCAUUUUUCUUAGGAAUGGUGUCACUUUGAUUUGCCCUGGAGUCUUUAAGGUAGCUAGUAGAAUGACUCAAGGUUAUAUGCUUAACCUUGUUGGUCUGGUAUUAGCAAACAUUUACAAUGGCUUACAUGAAAUCGUUUGUUCUUCAAAGCCUAAGAUUAAUGUUUCUAUCUUCCCCAUUCACUAUUUAUAUGAAUAGUUAGGUGAAUAUUUUGAUACUCACUUCAUUUCUCUUUCUUAGGAUCAUUCCCCACAAAUGAGUCAUUACACUAGCAAGUUUUCUACUAAAUGUUUUAAAGACUCACAAGCACAAGAUUUGAUAAUAUCUUACAAUGGCAUAAAGUUGGACCAUCUGACACCACGACAAAAUGAGCAUGUGGACUUCACUAAUGAUGAAUCUAUUAUUGAUAUUAAAGUUUCUUAUCUUAUAAGUUUUUGCUCUAGCUAUUUAUCUUUGCGACAAGUCAAUUAUAGGGAGAUCCAACUAUAUUAUUCUCAUCGAUUUUGUAAGCAGUUUGGGUAACCUCAAGAUGUUUCGAGAAGAUUUGCCAAAGGUUUUUCACUUUGGAACUUUGAAGGAGGUUUAUCGACAUUGGCAGUCAUGCGCCAGGCUUCGUACCCACUCCAAAGUCACUAUACUAGAUUGUCACAACCUUAAAGAGUUCUCAGUCACCAAGGCUUAUGCAAACUAGUGGUUUAGACUGUGCAAUUCUAAGAAGGAAACUCUCAUUGCUUGUAUAGAGCAUCCUCUUGAUUCUUCUUGGAAAAUACACUCAAAGUCUCUAGAGAGUAGAACAUGCAAGGUUGACUCAAAAGCCUCUACUAAGAAGAAUGUUAGAAACAAUGUUGAGGGGAACUUUGAUGACAUGUCUGAUGACUCAAGAACUUUUUAUAAGCACUCAGUGGUGGCCAUCUAGCUAAUUCCUCCACACACUUAGAGCAUGAGGAAAAUGUUGGUCAUGGUCACUGCCACCAAGCUUUUAAAUAGGAUGACAAUGUAUUAGAUGAAAACUUUGAAGAUACAAAUGAAUUUCACUUCAAACAUCAAAAUACUAGACCUAACCUUGUGUACUAUGAUGAGGCUAACUCUCAUCCGCUUGAUGCAGAUGACUUCUUUGUUGACAUUCCAAUCUCAACUUGGUGGUGAAGAGGUAACUAUUUUUUUUUUUUUUUGCAUUGACAUUAACAAAAAUUAAUAUCUUGCCUUAGGUGAAGGGUGAUAAUUGGUUUGUCAAUUAGGGUGAUAAUACUUCUCUUAAGGACCAAUUUGAAAAUGUUGUUGGUACUAGAGGGUCAACAUCCUUUGACUCAACUAUCUGGCAAGAAAAUUACUUUGUUAUUCCACUAACUUUGCCUCAUUCUCAUUUGGGUGAUGAAGAUAUUACUAACAUCUCAAGUGUUGUUUUAACUGAAUCUCAAGGUUAAGAGACCAUAAUUGAAAAUAUAACAUAUAAUAAAUUGAUUCUUUAGCCAAUAACAGGUUUAAUCAUUAGUUAACAGUCUCCAUAUCCUGCUACCUUUCUUAUGGCUCCUUCUAAUUCCACUAACACAUUUAAUGUGGAACAAAUCAUUCUUAAUGUGUAGCGUCAACCAACAUUUAUAGUGUAGCAUCAAACAACACGUAUGAUAAGAGAAAACAUUAAAGAAAUUGUUCUCAAAACUUCUAGUGAGUGUUUCCCAUUAUUGAAAAGAAAAAUUGAUGAGCUUUUCAAUGCUAUUAUGAAUAUUGGAGUGGACCCUUCACUAAAGUCUCAAAUUGAAAAGUACAUAGCAGGCGUAAAUUGCCUUAAUAUAGUGUAAUGUGCUUACUCUAUAAAGAUAUCCCUAAUAGUACAAAGCAAGCAUUUAGCUGGUAUUGCAUCCUAGAUAGCUAAUGCUUUAAACUCUAAGAGUAUAGAGGCAAACCAUCACAAUCAUUAAAAGUUGACUUAGUUACUCUUGACACUAAAUAAGACACACUUAAGAGGGAGUUGGAGCAAUUAGGUAUACAAAGAGAGCAACUCCAUAACUCACUCUUAGAAAUUGAUGAGAAUUUAGCCACUAUGCAAAACAACAUUUCUCAUCAAAGGGAAAAAUAAGUCACCAUCGCCAAGACCCUUAUGCUCACUAAUGCCAAUACCAAGACCUUAGAAACACUUCAAGAAGCCUUAGGGACUCAACGUGAUGAGCUUGCACAGUUUAUGUGGAGAUGAUUGUUGUAUCAUCUUAUUUAGUUUUAGCACUCAUUUUCUAUUAAGAUGUAAUAAGUCUAGCCUUAACCAAAAUUAUUAAUAAAAAUGAGACUUUUUUUUUUUUUUUUUUUUUUUUUUGUGAUAGUGACUUAACUCAGGUAGUUUCCCCAAGUUGCCUAUGUACCUUUCAUGAUAAAAUGAUCAAAUUAAAUGUAAUGCAUUUUUUUUAUGCUUUAACUUUUUUCCAAGACCAACAAAUUUAAUCUUACAAGUAUAUAUUCUAACUUUUGUCUAAGUCACAAUUUCAAGUUUUCAACUUAGUAGACCUUUUUUUUUUUUUUUUUUUUUUUUUUUUUUUUUUUAAUAUUGUGCACAAUGUAAGCUCAUACGAGCCAGGAGUGUGGUGUGACUUAAGUAUAAUAACACUUUAAGAAUUUUUCAUUAAUAAGGCCAACUCUUAAUCCAUCUUUGACGACAAUCUUAUAGGCACCAUUGGUAUAAACCUCUUACACCACAUAAGGUUCAUCCCAUUUUAAUGUAAAUUUAUUUCUAGUCUUAUUUGUGGUUAUGAUGGAUCUACGAAUGGAAAGAACUAGAUCAUCAACUUGAAAGGAUUGAAGGUGAACCAUUUUGUUAAAUGCUCUUGAAAGGUGGGCCUGAUAACACUCUGAGCGUUGUUGGGCUUUAAGUUGUUUUUUCAUAUAGUGUUUCUAACUCUUGAAGACAUAACUUGGCAUUAUCUUCAUCAGUUGGUCUUUCAUGUAUAGAAAUCUUUAAUAAAGGGAUUUAAGGUUCAAGGGGCAGUACAACUUCUACACCAUAAAUGAAGGAGUAAGGGGUUGUCUAUGUGGGCAUUCAAUAUGUUGUUUGGUAUGCUCAAAGUGCUUCUCUUACUUGUUCAUGUCAAUUCCUCUUUUACUUAUCAACAAUUUUCUUCAAUAAGUUGCAAAGGGUCUUGUUAAAUGCUUUUGCAAGACCAUUGGUUGGUGCAUUGUACAUCGAUAGAUGAUAUUGCUACAAAUGAAGUUCACCACAAUUUUUUCUUCACUUCUUUAAGUGGCACAACUUCCACCUACUUAGAAAAAUUAUCCGUCGUCAAUAGUAUUUAAGCAUGUCCAAUAGAGGACUUAAGAGUGAUGGGUCCAACCACAUCAAGACCACAUGCAUCAAAUGACCAUGAUGUAAUUGUAGGAUAGAGCAACUCAAGGGGUUGAUGUAUAAAGUUUGCAUGAAAAUUGACAUGCUUGAUACUUCUUAGCAUAUUCCAUGUAAUAUUUAACCAUAGUCAGCCAAUAAUAACCCAUCUUUUUGAUCUGAAAAUGAAGCUUUAGGUAUCAUUGGUGAGCCCCACAAAUCUCAGAAUGAGCUUCUUCAAUUACUUGAUUUGCCUUUUCUUCUCCUAAGCAUAAGAGAAGUACUCAAUCAUAUGAGCAAUAAUAGAGUGUUUCUUUGUAAUAAACAAAGCAUGGAGCUUGAUGUCAAAUUUUUGUUUGAUGACUUAGUUAAUUGGGUAAUAAGUCAUCGAUUAAUGACUAUUGCCAAUCAUUGAUGUCAAUAGUGAGCACUAAUCUAACAUUCAUCUUUUCUUGUUAUGUAAGGUGACAAUACCCACCUAUGGCAAAUUAGGACGUUUACUAUUUUGUCAUUAAGCAAUGUUAAACUUGCAGCUAAAUUGAAAAGAACAUAUGCUAUUUGGUUCUCUUUUUGUGGAACAUGAAUCAGUGAGAUUUGUUUGGAUUUUCCAUCAAUUGGGUGGCAUAUUGGAAAUAAGUUGAUCGAUUACAAACUUAGAGCUCUCGCAUAUUUCCAGGCUUGUGAUUUUCAUUUCGAUCGUCAUUUGUAGUCCGACGAUCAAGACUUGAUACUCAAUUACAUUAGAGCAUCGCUCACUAAAAAUAAAAGGAUAUGUUAGUAUUUGUUUCUAUGGUGAGACAAGCAUAACCCUAGCACUAGUUCCAUCAUAACGGGCUGACCCAUCAAAGAACAUCAUCCAUGAAAGGAAAAAUGUCAACGUAAAAGAUCUUUUUGUUAAGAAGAUCAUUUGAGAUUUCCUAGCUUACAGGAAUAAGAUGAUUUGCUAGGAAGUUUGCAAGUGCCUAUCAUUUGACUACCUUUUAAAGGAUUUAGAUUAUGUCAUACUGAAUGAGUAGUAGCCCUCAUCUUGCUAGUUUUCUUGAAAAUACUGGCUUUGACAACAUAUUUUUAACGGGAUCAAUAUGUGCUAUUAGAUGUAUAGUGUAUGCUUGAAUAUAAUGCCAACUUUUUCAUCAAGAAGAUUAGAGUGAGAUAAGCUUUCUUUAUUGGGGAAUAAUUUAGUUCUAGCCCAAUUUGAGUUAAACUUAAGUUAUACAAUGCUCUUUCCUUAUUCUCUUCAUUUUCUUGUGCAAUGCUCCAAGAGAGCAUUCUUGUGCAGCAAUGUAGAGCAUCAAUGGCUUUUUCGCCAUAGAAACACCUAAAAUUGGUGGAUUAGUCAAGUAUUUCUUAAUGCUUUCAAAAGCUUUAUGACAAGCUUGAUCCCAAAAAAAUGGCAUUUUUUUUUUCAUAAUUCAAUAGAAAGGUCAACAUCGUCAUGCAAUGUUUGAAAUAGAUCAUUAAAUAAAAGCAAGACAUCUUUGGAGACUUCUAAAUUCUUGUAGAUUGGUCUACUUUAGUGCCAUUGUUAGACAAUGAACCCUAGAAAUUUAUUGGAUAUGACAUCGAAAGCACAUUUAAGUGGGUUCAUCUUGAGUUAGUACAUUCUUAAUUUGCCAAACACCAUACGAAGAUCUUGUAGAUGGUCCCUUCUUUUCCUAGACUUUAAUAUUAGAUCAUCAACAUACAAUUCAACAUUCUUAUGGAGCAUGUCAUUGAAGAUUUUUUGCAUGACACAUUGAUAUGUUGCACCUACAUUCUUUAGUCCAAAAGACAUCACUUUAUAAUAGUAAAUGCUCUUUAGUGUGCGAAAUGCAAUAAGCCCUUCAUCUCUUAGUGCCAUCCAUGUAAAAAGAUAAAUUCGUGUAAUUAUGUCAAAAGCCUCAAUAAUUAGAAACCCUCAACGCUUUGGUCCAUGUAAAAAACCUUUGUCUCAGUAAGGUAACACCCAAAGAGGAUGAAUGAGUGUGUGCGUGUGUGUGUUUUAUAAAGAUUUUAAUAUAAAAAUUGAAAAACUUAACCCAAUUAAACUUAUAAGAGAGAACUAAGUUUUUUAAAUCAAUUAGUUCAUGUAUGAUAUUAGAAAUAAUCAAAGACAACCACACAAGAAAAACAAUUUUACGUGGAAAACUCUAAUACUAACUAUGAAAGAUAAAAAACCAUGAGGUUUAAGACCUCUAAUAAAAAGGCCACCAUACAAGAUCAAGAUACAUGAAUUUACUUGACCACUUAUCAUAAGACUUACUCUCCAAGACCUAUAUCAUGAUCCAUGUUUACAACACAACACUUCCAAUGCUAUAGUGAAUUCACCUCAGCCUUUGAGAGAACGCAAGUCUCUCCAAUGACCUAAAAUUUGAUAAACGAAUUCUUAAGAGUUGGGAAUGGUAAGACAAGUUUAAGAAGGGUUUAUAAAGCAUCAAUCCCUAAAAUAAGUUUAAGAAGGGUUUAUAUAUGUCAAAAGACCUAGAAGAUCGAUAAUCGAAUUUUUUGUAAAGAAUAAAUCUUCAAUUUCCAAAAAUGAGAUUUGCUAGAAUAUGGUAGAUUCAAAGUGACCGCUUGAGCGGACUUAUCCACUGCUUGGCACCUUUGGUCUUUGAGCACUUAGAUAAGGGCUUGAAAGGUAUAAACACUUGAGCGUUGAUACCAACACUUGAUACUAGUGCUUGAGGAUUGACACCAACGCUUGCGUGCCUUAUUUUUCCAAAAAGCAAAUUUUAAAUAAUUUAGCUCAGAAUUAAAUAACCAAUCCAAUCUAAACCUUUUUAAAUAUCUAAUUUCCAAAACUUAAAUCUUUUUAAACUUACCUGUGACUUUUUGGUUGAACGAAUAGCAACCUCUAAUCUUAAAGGGAGAGUAAGUCAUUAUUUAAAAAGUAUUCAAUGCCAUAAUGAAAUGAAUAGAAUUGCAAACAAAAUAAUAUAAGAACUUAAUGCCCCAACAAUCUCUCAUUUUGACAAUUUUAUGACAACACAAAUAGAGUUACAUAAACCCCCAAAACUCUCAAACAGAGUUUACAUAACACUUAAUCACACUCGUCUAAACCAAAUCAUCCAAUCACAUGCAGAGAACCAAAUGAUGCAUCCAAAUCCAGUAAGGCAUCCCAAUACCUGUAACUUACACACACUAACACACAAAUACCCAAGGUAAAGCAAUGUGUAGGAAAGAAUAUAACCAAGUAAUCAAAAUAAGGUAAUAAGAAAAAGAUCAAGAUCAAUAUGCAACCUAGCAAGCCAACACAUAUCAAGUAUAUGAAUCAAUCUAUGGAAAAAUAAUUCUAUCAUAACUAUGAAUCAAUCCUCAAUCCAAUCAAUCCAAAUCAAUCAAUCAUGUCUCCCCCAUUUUGUAGCAAAUAGACAAAGAUAAAGAAUAGAACAAGAUAAACAUGUAAGUAAAGUGAGAAACAUGAUAUCUAUAUAGAAAGGAAAGGUUUUGGAUACAAACAAAAUGUAGGAAACUAAAAAGCAUACUGAAAAUGUGAAUUUCAAUAAUGGAUUACAUAUAAAGGUGAGGGGAGGGUGAAUAGGUGUUGUAGAACAAUUUAAAAAUUAUUCCAACAAAGAUUACCUAACUUUAGACUUUCUCAAUGUCAAGAAACUUCUCUUCCAACAACUUUUCAACAAAGAACAACAUCCACAAGCAAGAAUGUAUGCACCAACUCUUUCCCAACAAUUUAUAAAUGCAACACAUGCAAAUGCUUCAACAAUCCUAAAAAAAAAUAAAAUCAAAAGAACAAUUAUCUCCUCAACUCAUAUCAAUUUACUCCAUGAUAUCAUUAACCAAAAGGAGCAGAAAAUUUAUUAAAGAUAUUCCAUGGAUCAUCACACUUAUAUCACCUCAUAUUUAUUCCAUUCAACAUAUAUGCCCAACUAAUCAAUGAUAUCAAGAAAAGAAAAUAAAUCAAAGUAUAGAGUGAGAGAAAGAGAUAAUUAACACCGGAUUUUAAUGUGGAAAACCUCCGAAGAGAUAAAAAAACCACGAGCCUACCACCGAUUGAAAAACUCUACUAUGAAGAAUAAAAAUUGAGUACAAGGUUUUACUUAGUUUAAGCCAACCAAUCCUUCCUAGACCACUUAACUAGUACCUUCACUUUCAGCUUCUUACCUUCAUCUCCCGAAGCACACUUGGAGUCCGCACCAAGCUCAAUCUCGACUUCUUCUUGAAUCCACACAAGAAGAAAAUAGGUUUAUACCCAAACCCAAAUAUAAUGAGAGAUUGAGAUAUGAAUGAAGGAAUGAAUCAACCCAUUUAUUGCUAAAGAAAAUCCAUUAAAAACUAGUUUGUAAAACAUUAAGAGAAUUGGAUUUUCUUUGCAACCAAAAAACCCCCAAAUUAGGAAAAGAGAUGAGAAAAUGAAGAACACAUGGAGUGGUUGCAACUCUCUCCACGGUUUCUGCAGUUUCUACCUAGAAAAUGAGAGAAGAUUGCUUUUUAAAGUGUAAAAAGAAGCCCUUAAUCUAAUGGCUAAGAUUUGAUCUUAAAACAAGUUAGUUGGAUCGAACUGCCCCUGCACCUGGAUUAAUCCAGAAAUAGGGAAAUAAAAACCUUGCACCAAAAAUUAUUUCUCCCAAAUUUCUUAACUCAUUUAAAGAUUAAAAAUAGUGUUGAUUCACAUUCAAACACCAAUCACUCGACUACAUACCUCGGCCUCUUAUCAAAGUAUUAAUCUUCUAAGUCAAGUAGUCCAAAGAGGGAUUGGUAAAUCGAGUUAAGGGACACUUAGGAAUUUUGUCUGGAAUUGCCAACCUAGUUAAACACUCACAAUCUCCCAUUUUGGCAAUUCUGGGACAAAACCCUUUACAACAUGAUUACUACUCAAAAAGUGUUCUUUUAUAGUUUGUUAUUAACUUUUUUAAAACACUUCUGAGUAGUAAUUAAUACAUUGUAACUCAAUUGGCACAUUAAGGACCUUUGCAAGUGUACUAAUCAAUUUUUGGCAAGUUUUGGGUGUUUUUGAUAGUUUUUUUAAUCAUUAAAAUGAGCCAAGAAUGAGAAAGAAGUUGUAUAAGCCAUGGCAAAGUAAGAUGAAACUCAAACACAUGAAGGAACCAAUCUUUGGAAAGCUUUGUAGCCUUUGCCAAGUCAAUCAAGCAUGCAAGGAGGAGAAACAAAGAAGAAAUCUAAUACCCAGCAAUUUCGCAUACCAUGCGAAAAUGCAAAAGGAGCACUAGCUACAGGACAGAGAGCAAGGCUGAAGAAAACGAAUUUCGCAAGCUAUGCGAAAUCUCGCAAGCCUUGCGAACAGAAGAAAAUGAAUCUCGCAAGCCUUACGAACUAAGGAAAUUGAAUUUCAUAAGUUGUGCGAAAUCUCGCAAGCAUUGCGAAACAAAGCACUGAAGAACCAAGCCAAAAGCAAUUUUCGCAAGCCCUGUGAAAUUUUCCAAGGUGUGCGAAAUUUUCCUGUGUAAUUUUAAGAUAUUUUUACACCGACUUCGUUAGAUUUUUAUCUUCAGAUAUUUUGUGUAAAUAUCCCAAUUUCUCCUUGUAAUCAGCUAAAGAUAUUUCUAAGAUAUUGAGGAUAUUUAUAGAGAGGUUAAAAAUGUCUCUCUAUAUAUGUCUUAGAAUAUCUAUUUUUGUAAUAUCUCGGAAUCUCGGAAUCUUGGAAGAAAUUCCAGAGAACACUUGUAUAUUCUCUUAGUAAGUAAAAAUACAGAGCUUUUGCUCUGCCUUACCUUCUAAUUUUGUUUUUAUUUUCUUUCUAGCCAAGCAACCUUUGAGGAUGUUUUCUUAGAGGAUGAGUGGCUAGGCUUUUUGUUUCUUGGACUGAAGAAAGUUAGGUAAGGGAUUUGAAUGGAAAGAUAGGAGUUUUCCUUGCUUAAAUUGAGGAAAGUUGUUGCCCGGUAAUGGUUUUUGUUUCUUUAUGAUUAACUUAAAAUCCCUUAAAAUCACCUGGGUCAAUACUUGGUAAGCUUAAAAGGCUCCAUGGAUACCAUGAGUGUCUGGUAGUUAUCAUUUACGAGCCUUUGGGAGGUGGUUUAAAGGUAGGGUUACCUAGAAUAGCCAAUACUUGGUAAGCUUAAUGGACACCAUGAGUGUCUUGUAGUUAUCUCUUACAAGCUUUUGAAGGGUAGUCCAAGGUUAGGAUCAUCUUGAAUGGCCAAUGCUUGGUAAGCUUAAUGGACUCCUUGAGUGUCUUAUAGUUAUCAUUUACGAGCCAUUGGAAGAUGAUUCACAGUGAGAGGUCUUACAUGUUUAAAACCAUUAACGGGAAGCAACUACAGUUUUUCAUGAACUAGUGGGAUCAAGUCUUAGUUGUUAAAUGAAGAUCCGGUUCGGGAGGUAACCAUAGUUUAUGUUAUGCUCCCCAACGCGAGGAAAAGAUCUGGAAUCUCCCCCUUUGCAUAAGGAACCUGAACCUAGUGACCUGAAAUUCCAAGAAACCCUUUUCUUUGUAAUUAAUCUCAAUUACUAUUUUUUUUUGUUUAUAUAAAACAAACCUUUCUCACCUAAAAUUGCAUUUUCUUUUAAUGCUAAUUGUAAAAGGGAAAAACACCAGUUUAGUAUUGGAAAUAAUAUCAAUUGUACCAUGAAAACCCAUCCCUGUGGACAAUCCUAGAGCCACUAUGCUAUGCUAGCUAUGCUACCCUAGUAUAUGGUGAAAUUAGGUUUAUAAAUUUUGUUGAUAACUCCCAUCUGAGGACUAAAUCAGAUAGCACACCAAUUGGGGACGAAUCAAAUGGCGUUGUUGCCGAGGAUGGUGCCACAAUACAGUGAUAUGACUUUUUUAGAACACUUGUGAUCUUCAUCACAAGUCCAGUGAUUUUUUUUCUUUUACUAACCCUUUUUAUUUGUUACCUUUUAAUUGUUCCCGUUUCAAUUUAUCUUUUAAUUAGUUUUUAGUUAACUUUAAUCUUUUUCUAGAUUUGUUUUUAUUUCUUUUUUUUCUUGUUUUUCUUGUUUUUGUUUCAGUUAUUGCUAGUUGUGCAUGCCAUAUUGGAUACGAGAUAGUGGGGGAAGACUUGUGAAAAUUGAAAAUCUUCACGAGACGGAGUUGGAAUUUUGCUUGAAUAUUAUGGAGGCUACACCUGAAGAUCAACAUAGUCAACACGCUCAGAAGGAUAAUCUCAAUGCAUUCUGAUCCAUGACGGACCGCAUGCAUCCACCUCGUAUGAGUGCACUGUCAUGUAUAGUGCCACCUACAGAACAACUAGUGAUCCGACCACAUAUUGUGCCACUUCUACCUACUUUCCACGGGAUGGAAAGUGAGAAUCCCUAUGCGCACAUAAAAGAAUUUGAAGAAGUUUGUAAUACAUUCCAAGAAAGAGGAGUUUCCAUCGACUUGAUGCGGUUAAAGCUAUUUCCUUUUACCUUAAAGGAUAAGGCCAAAAUUUGGCUUAAUUCUCUGAGGCCAAGGAGCAUCCGAGCUUGAACUGAUUUGCAAGCUGAAUUUCUCAAGAAAUUUUUCCCAACUCAUAGGACCAACGGCUUCAAAAGGCAAAUUUCAAAUUUCUCAGCUAAAGAGAAUGAGAAAUUCUUUGAGUGCUGGGAGAGAUACAUGGAAGCGAUCGAUGCUUGUCCUCACCAUGGCUUUGACACAUGGCUAUUAGUGAGCUAUUUUUAUGAUGGAAUGUCUUCCUCAAUGAAGUAGCUCUUGGAAAUGAUGUGUGGAGGAGACUUCAUGAGUAAGAAUCCAAAGGAAGCUAUGGAUUUCUUGAGUUAUGUAGCUGAAGUUUCACGAGGAUGGGAUGAACCGAAUGCCCGAGAAGUGGGAAGAAUGAAAUCUCAACCUAAUGCUCCAAAUGCUAAGGCUGGAAUGUAUAAUCUGAACGAAGAUAUCAAUAUGAAAGCAAAAGUAGAAGCUAUGGCAAAAAGAUUGGAGGAGCUAGAAGUUAAGAAGAUACGCAAAGUGUAGGCCGUUUCUGAAACACUAGUGCAAACUAUGACGUGUUCCAUUUGUCAAUCUUUUGCGCACUUGGUGGAGGAAUGUCCUACGAUUCCAGCUAUGAGAGAAAUGUUUGGGGAUCAAGUGAACGUUAUUGGACAAUUUAAGCCCAAUAACAAUGCUUCAUAUGGUAACACCUACAAUGCAAAUUGGAGGAACCAUCCGAAUUUCUCUUGGAAAUCAAGGGCACCUCAGUACACGCAACCUGGCCAAGCACCUCAGCAGGCUUCAAAUCUUGAACAAGCCAUUGUUAAUAUCAGCAAGGUUGUGGGAGAUUUUGUCGGAAACCAGAAAUCCAUCAAUGCUCAGCUCAAUCAAAGAAUUGAUCAUGUAGAGACAACAUUGAACAAAAUGAUGGAUGGAAUGCAAAAUGAUCUAUCUCAAAAGAUAGAUAAUCUCCAGUACUCAAUCUCCAGGCUCACCAACCUCAACACAGUGCAAGAGAAGGGAAGGUUUCCUUCUCAACCUCAUCAAAAUCCAAAGGCUAUCGACGAAGUGGAGGCUCAAGAAGGAGAAUCUUCAUAGGUGAGGGAAGUUAAAGUGGUGAUCACUCUAAGGAGUGGUAAGGAGGUUGAUUUGCCAACAACCAAACCAAAGCAUGAACAAGAGAGUGAAGCAAAGAAAGAGAAGAAGGAGGAAUUCAAAGGAAAGAGACCAAUGAACAACAUAAAGAAGAAGGACCAUGAUUCGACUGUGAAUGAAGAACUAGAAAGGACCAUCGGCAAAGAAGAUAUGAUGAAGAACCACUUGCCUCCACCCUUUCCUCAAGCUUUGCAUGGCAAAAAGGGAAUCAACAAUGCAUCAGAAAUUCUUGAAGUAUUGAGGCAAGUGAAGGUUAAUAUCCCAUUUCUAUAUAUGAUUAAACAAGUUCCGACUUAUGCAAAAUUCCUGAAGGACUUAUGCACUAUAAAAAAGAGGGUUGAACGUAAGCAAGAAAGCCUUCUUGACCGAGCAAGUCGGUGCCAUUAUACAGUGCAAGUCCCCAGUGAAUUACAAAGAUCAAGCUACCCUACAAUCUCAGUUAUGAUUGGAGGGGUGUCUGUGGAAAGAGCUUUGUUGGACUUGGGAGCAAGUGUGAACUUGUUACCAUACUCUGUCUACAAGCAAUUGGGAUUGGGAGAGUUGAAGCCAACAUCAAUCACUCUAUCUCUAGUAGAUAGAUCUGUGAAAAUUCCAAGAGGCAUAAUUGAAGAUGUCCUAGUGCAAAUUGACAAAUUCUACUACCCAGUGAAUUUUGUUGUCUUGGAUACAGAUCUGAGUGCAAAAGGAACUAAUUCUAUUCCUAUCAUACUUGGAAGACCAUUCCUAGCUAUAUCAAAUGUCAUCAUCAAUUGUAGGAAUGGAAUUAUGCAACUCUCAUUUGGCAACAUGACAAUGGAACUCAACAUCUUCUACUUAUGCAAGAAAUAAUUCCAUCCAUAAGAAGAAGAAGAACCAGAAGAGGUGUGUAUGAUUGAUAACUUAGUGGAGGAGCAUAGUGAUCAGAAAAUGCUAGAAGAUUUGAACGAGAGUCUUGGGGAGCUUGAUGAAGGGUCACCUGAACCCUCAGACUUGCUUGCUACUCUGCCCCUUUGGAAGACAAGAGAAGAGAUUUUGCCUUUAUUCAAAGAGAACGAGAUACAAGAAGCUGGAAAGGAGGAGUCCCCAAAGCUUAUUCUAAAGCCAUUACCCGCUGAGUUGAAAUAUGCAUACCUGGAACAAAACAAGAAGUGCCCUGUUGUUAUUUAUUCAUCUCUUACCACUCCACAGGAGGAUUGUCUACUUGAAGUCCUCAAGAGAUGUAAGAAAGUAAUAAGAUGGCAAAUUUCUGAUCUAAAGGGGAUCAACCCUUUAGUUUGUACCCAUCAUAUAUACAUGGAAGAAGAAGCUAAGCCAGUUCGUCAACCCUAAAGAAGGUUGAACCCUCACAUGCAAGAGGUAGUACGAGCUAAGGUGCUUAAACUACUUCAGGCCGGUAUUAUCUACCCCAUAUCAGAUAGCCCAUGGGUGAGUCCUACGCAAGUUGUGCCAAAGAAAUCUGGGAUCACUGUGGUGCAAAAUGAUAAGGGGGAAGAAGUUUCUACACGCCUCACUCCAGGUUGGAGGGUGUGUAUUGACUACAGGAAACUGAAUACUGUGACAAGGAAUGACCACUUCCCUUUGCCGUUUAUGGAUCAAGUGCUUGAGAGAGUCUUAGGCCACCCUUUCUAUUGUUUUUUAGAUGGCUACUCCGGGUACUUUCAAAUAGAAAUUGUUGUUGAAGACCAGAAGAAGACCACCUUUACAUGCCCAUUCGGAACGUACGCAUACAGAAGAACACCUUUUGGCUUGUGCAAUGCACCCACAACAUUCCAAAGAUGCAUGUUAAGCAUUUUCAGCGAUAUGGUGGAGCUUAUUAUGGAAGUCUUUAUGGACGAUAUCACCAUAUACGGAAGCACAUUUGAAGAAUGCUUAGUCAACUUGGAAGCUAUUCUGAGUCGAUGCAUUGAGAAAAAUUUGGUGCUUAAUUGAAAGAAAUGCCAUUUCAUGGUACACCAAGGAAUUGUCCUUGAGCAUAUCAUCUCCAAGAAAGGCAUUGAAGUGGACAAAGCAAAGGUUGAACUUAUUGUCAAGUUGCCAUCUCCAAUGACUGUCAAAGGAGUAAGGCAAUUCCUUGGCCAUGUUGGGUUCUAUCGGAGGUUUAUCAAAGAUUUCUCUAAACUCCCCAAACCUCUUUGUGAACUAUUGGUAAAUGAUGCUAAAUUCAUAUGGGAUGAUAGACGUCAACGGAGUUUUGAAGAAUUGAAGCAAUUUCUGACGACAGCUCCAAUAGUGAGGACACCCAACUGGCAAUUACCCUUUGAAGUGAUGUGCAAUGCCAGUGACUUUGCUAUAAGAUCCGUUCUUGGGAAAAAAGAAGAUGGAAAGCCUUACAUGAUUUACUAUGCAAGCAAAACAUUGAACGAGACACAAAGAAACUACACAACCACAUAGAAAGAAUUGUUGGCUGUAGUUUUUGUCUUAGACAAAUUUCGCGCUUACUUGGUGGGGUUUUUCAUUAUGGUUUUCACGAAGCACUCAGCUUUGAAGUAUCUGCUGACUAAGCUGGAUGCAAAAGCGAGGCUGAUCAGAUGGAUCCUCUUACUUCAAGAGUUCAAUCUUCAUAUCAAAGACAAGAAAAGAGUGGAAAAUGUGGUAGCUGACCAUCUUUCAAGGCUAACCAUAUCACAUAAUUCCCAUUGUUUGCCAAUUAAUGAUGAUUUUCCAGAGGAGUCACUCAUGCUGGUGGAAAUUGCUCCUUGGUAUGGCCAUAUCGCUAACUAUUUAGUUAUCGGAGAAGUUCCAAGUGAGUGGAAAGCUCAAGACAAGAAGCACUUCUUUGCAAAAAAUCAUGCUUACUAUUGGGAAGAGCCAUUUUUAUUUAAAUAUUGUGCAGACCAAAUAAUAAAGAAGUGCGUCCCUGAACAAGAGCAACGGGGGAUCCUCAAUCAUUGCCACAAAAGCAUAUGUGGAGGCCACUUUGCUUCUCAGAAGACAGCUAUGAAAGUAUUGCAAUCGGGUUUCUGCUGGCCAUCACUUUUCAAAGAUGUCCACACCAUGUGCAGAAGUUGUGAAGAUGCUAGAGACUUGGGAAGCUGACAUGAACGAACAUGAUGCCUUUGAACCCCAUCUUAAUCGUUGAUCUUUUCGAUGUCUGUGGCAUUGACUUCAUGGGACCUUUCCCUAUGUCCUUUGGCUACUCCUACAUCUUGGUGGGAGUGGAUUAUGUUUCUAAAUGGGUUGAAGUGAUCCCGUGCAAACACAAUGAUCACAAAGUUGUUCUCAAAUUUCUGAAGGAGAACAUUUUCUCGAGAAUCGGGGUACCCAAAGCCAUAAUCAGUGAUGGGGGUACUCAUUUUUGUAACAAGUCGUUCGAAACUCUCUUAGCCAAGUACAGGGUGAAGCAUAAGGUAGCUACACUUUACCACCCUCAGACUUCUAGGCAAAUGGAGUUAGCAAAUCGAGAUAUCAAAAACAUACUGAUGAAGGUGGUGAAUAUAAGUAGAAGAGAUUAGUCUGUUAAGCUCUAUGAUUCAUUGUGGGCCUAUAGAACAACUUAUAAGACCAUUCUUGGAAUGCCUCCUUUUCGCCUUGUUAAUGGCAAAGCGUGUCAUCUCCCUGUGGAAGUGGAAUACAAAGCUUGGUGGGCAAUCAAAAAGCUCAACAUGGACUUGAACAGAGUCGGUAUGAAGAGGUUCUUAGACCUUAAUGAGAUGGAGGAACUGAGAAAUGACGCCUACAAUAAUUCAAACAUUGCAAAGCAGAGAAUGAAGAGAUGGCAUGAUCAGUUAAUCUCCCGCAAACAAUUCCGAAAAGGACAAGGAGUCUUGUUGUAUGACUCUAAGCUCCAGAUCUUUCCGAGUAAGCCGAAGUCAAGGUGGAUAGGUCCUUUUACUAUUCAUGAGGUACAUUCAAAUGGAGUGGUGGAACUAUUCAAUUCCAACAGCACCGGGACCUUUAAAGUCAAUGGCCAUCGUCUCAAGCAUUCAUGGAGCCUUUUUCUCAAGACAAGGAGGAAAUCACCAUCCUUGAGCCACAUCAUGCUUGAAAGGAUAACGGAUUAGAUGGACUUAGUCUGUCGAAAGACUAUUAAGUCCAUAUUUUAUGUUUUGUCUAUAUUAUUCGUUUUAAUGUUGAUUUCAAAUUUUAUUGAUUUAGUACAUGUUUUAAUUAAAAUUUCUUGCUUUUAUUACGCUUUAUUGUGAUUUAAUUUAACCUUUGAUGAUCAAUUGCAAGUGGAUUUCAAAUUAGAUGGGGGAAAAUCUUAAAAUUUUUCUGACAGAGGAAAAAUAUGAAAAACAUAGCACAUUUCACAAACCCUGCGAAAAUUCCAAAUUUCAUUUCAUAGGCUUUGCGAAAAAUUUCGCAACCCCAAAAUCACUUUGCGAAAAAUUUCUCAACCCUAAAAUCACUUUGCGAAAAAUUUCACAACCCCAAAAUCACUUUGCGAAAAUACCCUAUGAAAAUGAAAAUGCCUUGCGAAAUUUAAAAAGGGUUUGCGAAAUUAUUUUGCAACCCUAGCAAAAUUUCGCAAGCUAGGAGAAAAUUCGCAAACACCUCUGCGAAAACUCCAAAAGUCACUUUGCACCUAUUUAAACCCCUCCUUGCCCGUUUUUCAUUUCGCAAACCUCAUCUCCUCAUUGUGAAACCCUCCAUCACCUUGCGAGCCCCCCAGCUUCCAUGGAUUUCCUCUUUGUGGGACGACUCGAGCCCGCGCACCUAAAGAACUGUUCCUCACCGAAUCUGUGGAACACAUACACAAGUGGUUUACUCUGUUUCAGAUAUGGCACUCACUAGAGGAGGCUAUACCGACGCUUCAUUGACUCGAGAGCGGACAUCACAGGCCCUCGAGGCCGCGAGCAUCCCACCAUCUAAGAGUGGAGUCCCUUUUAGUCCCCCUCAGCGUAGAUAUGAGACAUGGAGACCACCAACUACACUCAGAGCAACUUCUUCACGCCCUGAGAGUUUAGCACGCCGCACUCCGGCCAAGAGAGCCAGGACUUCAGGCCCUAGAGAGUCAUCUAGGCCUCCACAGCUUGAUCCGAAGGCCCCUACAGAUUCCGAGAUACUUUUCGGCAUGUCACCGGAAGCCAUCAUCAAAUGGCUCAUGGUCACCGUGCCGCCCAUUGAGGGCAAUUCAGAUUAUAGAGCCUGACCAUUUCAUUAAGAGCUCUACAUUGAUAUCGAGGUCAUGCGGCAGUAGCCAGAGCUCCGGGAUUCAUUUGGUCUACUCUAGAGGUACCAUUUGGAGCACUUCAUGACCCCUAGGGAGUUUUUCUAUCCCAGAGUAGCGAUGGACUUCUAUCAGUCCAUGACUACCUGAGACGUCCGAAGUCCUACUGCCAUCCAUUUUAGCAUCAAUGGAUGCUAGGGUAUUCUAAAGGCGAGACAUAUAGCAGAGGCUCUACAUAUUCCAUAUGAGCCAGUGGACCCAGCAGACUUCAGAGAGUGGUCCCCAGUUUCCCAGAGGGACAUGGUCCGUAUCCUAUCCCAAGGGACCUCUUCAGACUCAGUCCUCCUAUAGAAGGAGCUUCCCCCAGGGAUGCUCCUUAUCGACGUUUUGUUGCGGUCCAACCUUUUCCCUCUUCAACAUUUAGUAUAGAGGAGAGGUGCCAUCCUGGACACAUUAUUCCGGAUUUCAGAGGGCUUCUACUUCGGCCCUCAUCACUUGAUUAUGGCCGCUCUCCUCCACUUUGAGGAGAAAGUUCACAAGAAGAAGCUCUAGAGAGCUGACAUGAUUCCACUCCUGUUCCCGAGGCUGCUCUGUCACAUAUUAGAGCAUAUAGGCUAUCCUACGGAGAUUCAUCUCGAGCACCGCCGACAUUGUCGAGAACGAUACACUCUUAACAAAUGGACCCAGUUGGUAGGGUAUGCCCCACAUAUAGCAGCACCUCUGGUACCAUAGAAUGAGCAGGCAUAGCAGGAUGAGCCACCCACAGAGACUGUACCACCUGCCCCUGAAGCACCUACUAUAGUGCCCUUGCUUGAGACCACUACUACUGCCCCUUCUACCACUUCGGCUACUCCACCAGCUGCAUCUUCUACAUCGGAGGCCUUUAUGACCAUUUCUGCCACAGAGUUUCAUGCCAUGGUACAUACAUUCGAGGUCCUUACCACCAUGCACAAUACUUUAUUCCGGCAGAUGGAGGCAAUGCGUGCGCAGUUGGACCAGCAUACUGUUAUCCUUCAUCAGAUUCAGCAACAUCUAGGUAUUCUGCUACCACCUCAGCCUGACAUUUCGGGACCAUCAGAGCCUGUAGCUCCAACUGAGGAUGCCACCACAGCCGAGGCCCCGAGCUAGCCUACUUAGGAGACCACCACAGAUCCAUCAUCUUCAUAUGAUCCGACCACCAGCUAAUCAUCUCUUUAUCUUUUGUAUUUACUUACUAUAUUAGUAGAUAUAGUCUUUUACUUUGAUGUUUUAUAUUAUGGGAUUGGUUGUAUUACAUGCUCAUAUUUCAUAUUGUACUUUUCCAGAGUAAUAUAUAGACAUCAUUUCUGAUUAUAUUUGCCAUUUCUCUAUUCCUUCUACUCAUUAGUCUUUUUUUUUAAUCAUGUGGUUUCUCCUAUACAACUCAGACUCAAACUCACAUAAGAGGUACCACUUCCUCCCUUUUUGUUCAAUCGCUCUUGCCACAUUUAGGGCAAUGUAGAUCUCGGUUGGGGGGAGAGUUGAGGAAGGAAGUAUUGUUAAUAUUAUUAGGUUAAUUUGUUAAGUUAGUUGUUUUUGCUUAAUUUUAAAAGUUUUUACUCUACUCUCCGUGAUUAUUAAGGAAAAAUUCUCAAAAUGAAACGGGAGGAGUUGAAUUCUUACAUUUUUACUUGAACAUUAGAGUUUGUAUUAUGCUUAUUAAGAUUGAUGAAUUUUAGAAACUCCUAUUGAAUUCAACCUUAUUUCUUCCAUUCUAAUCUUACCACACACUGUGCACACUAGGUUCCGUUUAUAAGAUGAAAAACUAUUUCACCCCCUUGACUUAGGAAAAUUUCGACUUGGUUUUUCUCUGACCUCAUUUUAAUAGUGUUGGGGCACCUUGUGAAAGGCCAAUGAGCCUUUAGAAAAAAAAAAAAAAGAGAAAAGAACAAAGUGUUACACUUGCCGUGAAACCCUAGCAAGGUCUGAGGGGUAUAUGGUGAAAAUCUUUAAAACCCGAUGCCCUAAGCCUUUAUUGGUUGGGAGUCACCGACCUCAAUGCUCAUUACAAGGGUGAAUAGGUGGAGUUUAACAUAUUGUAGGUGUUUGGAUAUUAAAUUUUCAAAAUUCAAAAGUCUGAGGUAAAAUCUGAAGAGUUAGUGGUCGAAAGAUCCUUAAAGCUUGAUGCCCUAAACCUUGAUUGGUUGGGAGUCAUCGAUGGACCCCCGUUACAUGGACACUUUAGAAAGUAAUACCUUGAGCAUUGCACUCCUACAAUGAAAAAAAAUGUGAAAUAAAAGAGGUGUAUCCGGAUAUGUAAUUUCUACCUGGAUAUGUUGUCCGGAUGCCUUCCGAUGGUGUAUCCGGACGCACUGUCCGGGUAUACUCCUUGCAUGGAUUCCAAAUAACUCUCCUCAAUUUCAGAUUUGCUUUGGUGAUCAAAAAGCUAUCAAAACACCAAAACUUAACACAUUUUUUAUUAGAAUUGAUUACAAGGGUCCUUAACAUGUUAAUUGGGUUAAAAGGUGAUAACUACUACUCAAAAGAGUUUAAAAGAGUUAAUUACAAGUUAUCAAAUAGCACGUUUUGAGUAGUAAUCACUCCCCCCAACCGACAUAUUGCUAGUCCCUUAGCAAUGAAGGAGAGAAAAAAUAAAAAUAAACAAUACUAUAAUUUACAACAUCAUGCUUGAUCAACAAACAAUUUUCAAGUGGCAUGAUGAUCUAACUCCCACAUGGAACAUUAAAGAAAUAAAACUCAAACUUCAACAAGAGUUAUCAAAUAACUUAUCUAAUCACAAUUAUUAAAGAGAAGACAUUAUGAAAAUUUAAGCUUUAAAAGAGUUUCCACUCCUAAAUGGUCAAACCUUACUCUUCCACAAAAAUCUAAGUGUUAUUUAUUAGUUUCCGAAUAUAGUAUGUUGAACUAAUCUUUCUCCCCAACCUAGUUCUCUUUCAAAGCUUAGCAAACUAAUCAACCUCUAAUAGGCUAAGAACGUACCUCUUUUCUCACAAUUUUUUUUUUCAUUGUAGGAGUACAAGGCUAAAGGUAUUUUUUUUCUAAAUUGUCCAUGUAACGGGGGUCCAUCGAUGACUCCCAACCAAUUAAGGUUUAGGGCAUCAAGCUUUAAGGAUUUUUCAACCACUAACUCCUCGGAUUUUACCCCGGACUUUUGAGAAUAAAUUUUAAUACCCAAGCACCUACAGUAUGUUAAACUCCACCUAUUCACCCUUGUAAUGAGCAUUGAGGUCGGUGACUCCCAACCAAUUAAGGCUUAGGGCACCAGGUUUUAAAGAUUUUCACCAUAUACCCCUCAGACCUUGCUCGGGUUUCAAGGCAAGCAAACAUUUUUUUUUUCAAAGACUCAUUGGCCUUUUACAAGGUGUCCCAACACUAUUAAAUGAGGUCAAAGGUACCAAGUUUAAAAUUUUCCUAAGUCAAGAGGGAAAUAGUUUUUCAUCUUAUAAUCGGAACCUAUUGUGCACAGUGUGUGAAUAGCUUAAAGUGGAAGAACUAAAGUUUGAAUUCAAUAGAAGUUUCAACAAUUCAUCAACUUUAAUAAGCGUAAUACAAACUCUAAGUUAAGUAAAAAGACAAAAAUUCAAUUUCUCCCAUUUCAUUUUGAAAAUUUUUCCUUAAUAACCAUGGAGAGUAUAAUAAAAACUUAAAAAUUUUAAAAUUAAGCAAAAAACAACUAAAUUACCAAAAUAACUUAGCAUUAAUAACAAAACUUACUUCCUCAACUCUCCCUCCAACCAAGCUGAACAUUGUCCUCAAUGUGACAAAAGCAAUUAAACAAUAGGGAGGAAGUGGUACCUCCUGUGUGACAUGGAGUCUGAGUCAUGUAGGAGAAACCACAUGUUUAAAAAAAAAAAAAACAAUAAAAGAUAUGAGUAGAGGAAUUAAAAUAAUAUAAUGCUAAGUGUGCUCCCAAAUGAUAGAGAUUUGUAUUACUUGAUGGCAGUACAAUUUUAUAUGAAAAACAAGCAAUACAACCAAUCCCAGUAUAUAAUACCAAAAAGAUGGGAAUUCAAAAAGGAAAUACAUAAAGUAAAGUAUGUAAAUGAUCAAAGAUGGGGAGGAUGAUGCUGGUAAGCUGAUGGCUCAGGCAUGGGACUCUGCAGUGGUAGGGGUGAGAUGCUCAGUAGCUGAUGGAAGACCCAGAUGGUGCUGAAGCUGCCUCAGGAUGGCAGUGUGCUGAGUCUGGGUGGUCAAAAUCUGCUCUUGUUGAGAACGAAUAGCUGACAUCUCUUGAGCAAGGCUGCUCUGAGUCGCGGUGAGUGUCUGCAAUGUGUGGCAUAGAUCUCUAUAUUCUGAAAGGGGCAUGGCCAUCCUAGGCUCAGCUGAAGUAGAAGGCUCUGAUGCAGCUGGAAUAACUGGAGGGGUGCUGUGGGUGGCAGGAAAAGCCGAGGGUAUACCCUCAUGUAUGGGCUCUGUAGAUGCUCUCCUGGCAGCUGGUAUCUCAGCUGGCUGUGGGUCCUCUGACUGCUGUGGCUGUGGAAGCUGUGGAUGCUCUACUCUAUAUGCUGUCAUAUUGGUCCACUUGUCGAGAGUGAAUACCUCUCGGCAUAUACGUCUGCGCUCCAACUGAGGGUCUGAUGGAUACCCCAGAUGCUCCAAAAUUUGGCAUAGCAAUCUCGGGAAAAGAAGUGGAAUAGCAUCCGCUCGCAGCAGCUUCUUCCUAUGCACCUUCUCUUCAAAGUAGAGAAGAGCAACCAUAAUCAGAUGGUGAGGGCCAAAGAAAUAUCCCUCUGAUACUUGAACAGGGCCUCUAGUAGAACUCCUCUCCUCUGCACCCAAUGCUGAAGUGGAUAGAUGUUGUGGCGCAGGAGUGCAUCAAUGAAAAACAUGCUCGGAGGAAUUUUCUUCCUCAACAGAUAUGGAUUUGUGGAUGUUCCUCUUGACAAACUAUGAACCAUUUCAAGUUGGGAAAGAUUAGUCCAUAGUCGGUAAUUGUCACACCCACGAAAAUCACCUUAGAUUUUCCACCUAGUGCGCGGUGCUAAGGACCCUUCCUUAGCCAUCAUUUUCUCCUAGCCUUUUCAAAACGCACACAAACAAUGGAAACCAAAGGAAAUAGGAACACAACGAAGUUACAGGAAAUCCUUCCCAACUUGUAUUAAUCUCAAUAUACAAGAUACAAAAUUGUUUCCCUGAGUCAGAGGGCAAUGCUUACAUCCUAAGCAUUCAGAGAUACUUUCCCUUUUCUCUCCCCCUCUUCCUAAGGCUGCUAAGUUAGAGAGCAAUGCUUACAUCCCAAGCAUUCAGAGACUUCCCUCUCUCUCUCUUCCUAAGGCUGCUAAGUCAGAGAGCAAUGCUUACAUCCCAAGCAUUCAGAGACUUCCCUCUUUUUUCUUUUUUCUUUUUUCUUUUUUUUUUUCUCAAGGCUGCAGGAGCCCUUUAAAAAGACUCACCCUGCAGUUUUUCCCUUGGUGGUUAUGCAACCGCCCAUAACCCCCCUGAACCGCUUGCACAACCACCCACUACCCAGAUCGUGGUCUGCUGAGAAACAGCCCACUACCCAGAUGGUGGUCUCUCUAAAAACUGCCACGUGGCUUCCUCUCUCUUGGACACAUAGACGUCCCCCCUUUUCGACGCGUGGCAUCGCACAUUCUAUCCGGACGGAAUUUUCCCUCAUUCCACCCAGAUAUUUCAUAUCCAGAAUUCUGUCCGUCAACAUUUCUCUUAUCCUGAUAUCUCACAGCCGCCAUUUCUGUCCGGCCGAAGUUCCCACUUCACCCGGAUAUCUCACAACCGCCAUUCUGUCCGGCUGAAGUUCCCACUUCACCCGAAUGUCUCACAGCCGCCAUUCUGUCCGACCGAAAUUCCAUCCACCCGGGUGUCUCACAUCUGGACCUAUCCACUGACAUUCCAUCCACCCGGAUGUCUCACAUCCGGACCUGUCCGGGGCCGUCGUUCCGCCUUCUCCCGAUGUCUCACAUCCUGGCCUGUCCGGGGCCGCCGUUCCGCCUUCUCCGGAUGUUUCACAUCCGGCUCCUAGGGUUUGAACCACCAAACCCCCCCAGGCUUUCCUUGCUUUCCGCCUAGGCUCUCAUGAUUGCAAGGCCUACCCUUGAGGCCUAUUCCUCCAAGUCUGAAUCAAGUGGCUAAGGGGCUGACAGUAAUCCUCUUGACGGGCUGGCUCAUAUGGAAUAUGCAGGGCCUCUGCUAUGUGACGAGCUCCUAAAAUACCAUGACAUUCGUCAAUGGUGAAGUGAAUAAGAGUAGGAUCUCUGACCUGAUUAGUAGUCAUGGAUUGAUAGAAGUCCAUUGCUACUCGGGGAUAGAAAAAAUCCCUGGGGGUCAGCAAAUGCUCCAUGCGAUAUCUGUGCAGUAGAUGGAAUGAGUUUGCGAGCUCUGGCUGAAGCCUAAAGGUGGGUGUGUGAAAACACAGCUCAGAGUGAAAUGGUCAAGCCCGGCAAUCCAAAUUCCCCUCAAUGGGCGGUUGAGGCUCCGCCGGAGGUUCUGAAGACGGCGCCGGAGACGGUUCUGGAAAGGGCUCUGGAGAGGGCUCCGUUAAGUCGAUUGGCUCUGAAUCUACUACCCUGGGUUUCUUUUGCGGGGGACGGCCACCUGACCUGGUCUAAUAACGCCUCGCCGGAGGACUCAACGGCGCGGGUUCGGCCGGAAGUGGGGCGGCUACUUGUCGCGGAGGCUCUGAUGUGGAGCCUUGAACAGGCGCCUCUCGCGCGACUCUCUUGCGGCCGGUCGGAAAUGAUGACUUCGAUCCUCUGGUUCGUGCCAUGGCGGACUGAAGAAAAUGGCUAAAGGUGAUGGCCGGUGGCUCACGCGGCUUCGGGAUCAGGUGAGAGAGCGAACGAACGGUUGCUCUGGUGUUCUUCCUUUCUGAACCCUUUUGGCAGCUUAAAUGACCGGUUUUUAUAAAAAUAAAGGAUUAUCAAGGGUCGUUUUGAUUUUCGCAGAGGAAGGCCGAUUUCGCAGCAAAAGGUCGUUUUCGCAACAAAAGGCCAUUUUCGCAGCCCAUUUCGCAGAUGCGAAAUGGGGGGAACUGUGCUGCGAAAUGACACUCGUGUGCCAAGAGGGUGCUUUGCAGUUGCAAAAAUUUUUGCAAAGAGGGGCCUGAGGCUGCGAAAUGAUUUUCGCAGAGGCUUCUUUUAGGCUGCGAAAUCUCGCAGACCUCUGUUUUUCCCCUGUUUUACACUCUUUCUUGCUCCAAACGACUUUCCUUUAAUUUUUUUGCAAUUCCUCCUACAUGAGAUCAUUCAGAAAGACUAAGUUACAUAUAAAUACACAACUUAAGACCAAAAAUUAAAAUCACAAGAAUUGAUAAAGCUUGAAAUUAACAAAAUUAACAAAAACAAACAAAACAAAAAAAAAAAUUAUGGACUUUGGUGAAACCAAGUCCAUCUAACCCUUAUUUGAUUAGGCUUUAUGUGGCUCAAGGAGGUUGAUUUCCUCCUUUUCUGGUUUGAAUGGUUUAAUGAAUGGCUUGAGACAAUGACCAUUGACCUUGAAAAUGUCAGUGCUUUUGGAAUUCAGUAAUUCCACCACUCCAUUGGGAUGCACUUGGUGAAUAAUGAAAGGGCCUAUCCACCUUGACUUGAGAUUCCCUGGAAAGACAUGGAGUCUUGAAUCAUAAAGCAAGACUCUUUGUCCUUUAUGGAAUUCUUUACUGGAUAUUAAUUGAUCAUGCCACCUCUUCAUCCUCUGUUUUGCAACUUUGGAAUUGAUGUAAACAUCAUUUCUUAAUUCCUCUAUCUCAUUAAGGUCUAAGCACCUCUUUGCCCCAGCUCUGAUCAAGUCCAUGUUUAACUUCUUGAUUGCCCACCAAGCUUUAUAUUCAACUUCCACAGGGAGAUGACAUGCUUUGCCAUAGACUAGGCGAUAAGGAGACAUACCAAGAAUAGUCUUGUAAGCUGUUCUGUAUGCCCAUAGUGAAUCAUGAAGCUUAAUAGACCAAUCUUUUCUGCUCGUGAUCACCACCUUCAUCAGUAUAUUCUUGAUUUCCCUAUUUGCUAGCUCCACUUGCCCGGAAGUUUGAGAAUGAUAAGGUGUAACUACCUUAUGCUUCACUCCAUACUUGGCUAAUAGGGUUUCAAAAGGUUUGUUGCAAAAAUGAGUACCUUCAUCACUGAUUAUGGCCUUGGGCACCCCAAAUCUUGAGAAGAUGUUCACCUUAAGAAAUUUGAGAACCACCCUAUGAUCAUUAUGUUUACAGGGGAUUGCCUCAACCCAUUUAGAAACAUAGUCUACCCCCACCAAGAUAUAAGAGUUACCAAAAGACAUUGGGAAAGGUCACAUGAAGUCAAUACCCCAAACAUAAAAAAGAUCAACUAUUAGAAUGGGGUUCAUAGGCAUUUGAUUUCUUUUUGUUAGCUUCCCAAGCCUUUGGCAUCUAUCACAGCUCCUACACAUGAUGUGGGAAUCUUUGAAAAGAGAUGGCCAAGUAAACCCUGAUUGCAACACCUUCAUAGCUGUUUUCUGAGAGGCAAAGUGGCCUUCACAUGCAUUUUCAUGGCAAUGGAUGAGGAUCCCUUGUCGCUCUUCUUCAGGGACACACUUUCUUAUGAUUUGAUCUGCACCAUACUUGAAAAGGAAAGACUCCUCCCAAUAAUAAGCAUGAAUUUUUGCAAAGAAGUGCUUCCUAUCUUGUGCAUUCCACUCACUUGGAACUUCACUAGUAACUAAAUAGUUAGCAAUAUGAGCAUACCAAGGACCUUUCUCUAGCAACAUAAUUGAUUCCUCAGGAAAGUCAUCAUUAAUAGGUAAGACAUGGGAAUUAUGUGCUAUAGCCAACCUUGACAGGUGGUCAGCUACCACAUUCUCCACCCCUUUCUUGUCUCUGAUCUGGAGAUCGAACUCUUGUAACAAAAGAAUCCAUCUAAUCAACCUUGAUUUUGCAUCUUUCUUUGUCAAUAAAUACUUUAAGGCCGAAUGGUCAGUGAAAACAAUGAUGAAAGACCCUACUAGAUAAGCACGAAACUUGUCUAAGACAAACACCACAGCUAACAAUUCUUUCUCUAUAGUUGUGUAGUUCCUUUGAGCUUCGUUCAAUGUUUUGCUUGCAUAGUAGAUCACAUAGGGCUUCCCAUCUUUUCUUUGGACAAGUACAGCUCCUACAGCAAAGUCACUGGCAUCACACAUCACUCCAAAGGGUAGUUGCUAGUUAGGAGCCCUCACUAUUGGAACGGUUGUUAAGAAUUGCUUCAGUUGAUCAAAGCUAUUUUGACAUCUCUCAUCCCAGACAAACUUAGCAUCCUUAGCCAAAAGCUCACAAAGAGGUUUUGAAAGAUUAGAGAAAUCUUUUAUAAAUCUCCUAUAGAACCUUGCAUGGCCAAGAAAUUGCCUUACUCCUUUUAUAGUUGUUGGGGAUGGCAAUUUGACAAUAAGCUCCACCUUUGCUUUAUCAACUUCAAUGUCUUUCUCGGAGAUGAUAUGGCUAAGGACAAUUCCUUGACGUACCAUAAAAUGGCAUUUCUCCCAGUUGAGCACCAAGUCCUUCUCAAUGCAUCUGUUCAGAACUGCUUCCAAAUUGACUAAGCAUUCCUCAAAUGUACCUCCAUAUACGGUGAUGUCAUCCAUGAAAACCUCCAUAAUUCGCUCCACCAUAUCACUGAAGAUACUAAGCAUACAUCUUUGGAAUGUUGCAGGUGCAUUGCAUAAACCAAAAGACAUUCUUCUGUAAGCGUAUGUUCCAAACGGACAUGUGAAAGUGGUCUUCUCCUGAUCUUCCACAUCAAUUUCAAUUUGGAAAUACCCUGAGUACCCGUCCAAGAAACAAUAAAAAUGAUGGCCUGAGACUCUCUCCAGUACCUGAUCAAUAAAUGGGAGUGGAAAAUGAUUUUUCCUUGUCUCAACAUUCAACUUCCGAUAAUCAAUACACACUCUCCAACCUGAAGUGAGGCGUGUAGCAAUUUCUUCUCCUUUUUCAUUCUGAACCACAGUAAUCCCUGACUUCUUUGGCACCACUUGAGUAGGACUCACCCAAGGGCUGUUAGAUAUGGGGUAAAUAAUACCUGCUUGAAGUAGCUUCAGCACUUCAGCUCGCACCACCUCUUGCAAAUGAGGAUUCAAUCUUCUUUGAGGUUGACGAAUUGGUUUAGCUUCUUCCUCCAUAUAUAUGUGAUGUGUACAAACCAAAGGGCUAAUGCCUUUCAAGUCAGAUAUUUGCCAUCCUAUUGCUUUCUUACACCUCUUGAGAACUUCAAGUAGAGAAAUCUCUUGAUGACUAGUAAGAGAUGAAGAUAUAACAAUAGGACAUUGAUUAUUUUCUUCAAGGUAUGUAUAUUUCAGCUCCACGGGCAGAGGCUUCAAAUUGAGCUUUGGGGUCUCUUCUUUAGCAACUUCUUCUUUCUCUUUAUUGAACAAAGGUAGAAUCUCUUCUCUCCUCCUCCAACCUUGUAGAGUAGCAAGCACAUUAGUGGGUUCAGACAACCCUUCUUCAAGAUCCCCAAGACUUUCAUUCAGCUUGUCUUGUUGAUUCGCGUGUAACUCCAAAUGGGUCAUUUAAUAAAAAACAUUUAUAAAACCUAUGACCUCAUACUAAUGUAGUAAAGCUACUAUAGUAUAGUGGCUCUAGGGUCGAACUCUGGGAUGGGUUUUCAUUCUACCAAUGAUGUAUUCAAAAUUAGAAAUUGUAUUUAAUGGUUUCCUUAAUCAAAAACUUAAAGUUUAAAAGAAAAUAAAAUUUGUUUUGAAAGUGUUUGAAACUAAACUAACAUAAACUAAUUAAAAAUGGAAGAAAGAAAGUCUCCCGGAGCUAAGGGUUGCUAGGAUCAAGUUCAGAAUAGAAAGUGGAAAAUUCCGGAUUUUUCUCCUCGCAUUGGGGAUUUAACCUAUAGUUAUUUCCCGAACCGGUAUAGGUUUGACAAUGAAGAUUUAAUCCAUAAAAGAUCAAUAGAAAUGGUAGUCAAGGUCCAUUAAUGGCUUAAGACACUAUGGGUCUUCACCUUGAAUCACUUUCCAAUGAUUCGUACAUGAUAACUAAUGGACUAAUAUGAAUCUAGCAAUAAGCAUCCAUAAAGACCUGAAGCUUACCAUGUAUUGGUCAUUCAAAGUGAUUCUAAGGGGUUUAAAGCAAAACUUUGGAUUUAUAAGCCAUUUAUGAAUUCCAACUACCUGAAUUUAAUGCAUGGAAGCUUUCCACCUUUUCAUCUGGACUUUUCACCUAGCUUCCUUUACUCCAAGAAACCGAAAGUUUAGCCUCUCAUCCUCCGGGCAAACAUCCUUAGAGGUUGUUUGGCUUCCAAGAAAAAGAAAAUAGUAAAGAGCAAAGAGAACGAGAGAGCUCUGUAAAAUUCUCAGUGUAAAAACGUAAUACGUAUUCCAUAUGUUCCAAGAGGUGAUUUCCACCCCUUAUAAAGUCUUUACAAAAGCCAAAGCUUAUGAUUGGUUAGUUACAAGGAUAAUAAAGGAAAUUACAUCACAAAAUACAAAGGAAAAUAUCUAAAGUGGAGUCGGCAAAGGGCAGAGCAAAAUUCGCAACACGCAUGGGUUAUGCGAACCAUAUGCGAAUGUUAUGCGAAUUUCGCAUAACCUCUUGUGGAAUGCGAAAUUUUCGCAUAUGCUGGAGCAGUUGGCUUCCGAAGGCCAUAUCUUCCUCAUUUCAGCUCCAAAUAGUACACGGUUUGAAGCCUUGGAUUCUUGACUUCCAGAGCUUUGAAAUGGUAUAUAGCAUGUAAAAAAUGGACUUCGGGAAGUGCUCCAAAAGUGUGAAAGAAGACUGCAGCUGCUACAUCUUGAUUUUUUUUCACUUUGCUUCUCUUUGCCUCUCUCCUUUGCUUGACUUGUCUUAAUGAUCCAAAAAGCUGUUAAAACAUUAAAACUAGCCACAAAUAUGAUUAGAAGACAUUGCUAGGUCCUUAACAUGCCAAUUGGACUAAAGAUGGAGAACUACUACACAAAAGUGCUUAAAACAUAAUGCAUUAAAGGUGUAAAAUAGCACUUUUUGGGUAGUAAUCACUCCCCCCAACUGACACAUUGCUAGUCCCUGAGCAAUGAAGGAAAGAAAAAUAAAGAAAAAUAGAUAAUAUAAUAAUUUACAAAAUUAUUCUGAUCACUCCAAAAAAUAACCAAGUGGCAUGAUUGGAUCAAACUCUCUUGUGAAUAGUCAAGGAUAUAAAACUCAAUCAUCAACAAGAGUCAUCAAAUAACUUACCUAUCACAACAUUCAAAAAGCGGGCAUUAUGCAAAUUUGAGUAUCAAAAUAAUUUCCACUCCCAAAGGACCAACUCUUAAUCUUCCACAAAUAUCUAAGUGUUAAGAUGCUUAGUUUCCAGUUAUAGUGUGUCAAACUAUAUUCUCCCCCCAACUAAGGUUUUUCUCUAACUUUAGCAACACUAACUCAUAUAUAGAAGGCUAAGAACGCACCCCUUCUCUCUUUUUUUUUUUAGUCAUAUAUACUCCACCCAUCCACCCAUGUAACGAGCAGUGAGGUCGGUGGCUCCCAACCAUUGAAGGCUUAGGGCACCAGGUUUUAAAGAUUUUCACCAUAUACCCCUCGGACCUUGCUCGGGUUUCAAAGCAAGUGAAGCAAAAUUUGUUUUUUCAUAAGACACAUUGGCCUUUUAUAAGGUGUCCCAACACUAAUAGAAUGAGGUCAAUGGCACCAAGUCAAAAAUUUCCUAAGUUUAGGGGGUGAAAAAGUUUUCCAUCUUAUAACUGGAAUCUAAUGUGUUCAGUGUGUGAAAAGAUUAGAGUGGAAGGCUUAAGAUUGAAAUCAAAAGGAGCUUCAACAAUUUAUCAACUUUAAUAAGCAUAAUACAAACUCUAAGACUAUGGCAAUAAGAUAAGAAUUUAAUUUCUCCUAUUUAUUUUUGAGAAUUUAUCUUUAAGAAAACAAGGAGAGCUUGCAAAAAAUUUGUUAGCAAAAUAACUUAACCAAAAAAAUUCAAUAAUUUACUUCCUCAACUUUCCCCCCAACUAGGAUGAACAUUGUCCCCAAUGUUCUAAAAGCAAAUGGUAAUAAAAGGGAGGAAGUGAUACCUCCUUAUAGUAAGGUACUCUGAAUAGAGAGGAGAAACCACAUGUUGCAUAAGAAAAGAAAAAUCAUAAGAGUAAUGAUUAGAGGAAAUAAAAAGGAAUAGCUAAAAUACACAAAAAGGAAGAUGUCUAUAUAAACUGAGAGAGUACAAUAUACAAGACAAACAUGGAAUAUAUCCAAUCCCAGUAUAAAAGUGGUCCAAAAUACAUAAGACAUCCAAAAAACAUAGAAUAUAGAUACAAAAAAGGGAGAGGAGUGAUCGUAUGAUCAAGUAGUAGGCUCCUCUGGUGGAUAGGAGGGGUCCUCUGCUGGAACUGAGGAAGGCAUCGCUACAGGUGGAGCUGGUGGCACAAGACCGAGGUGCUGCUGAAUCUCACGGAGAAUGAGAGUCUGCUGCUCCUGCUGAGUCUGGAAGUGGUCCAUGCGCUCCAUAAUGGCCGUCUGAGUAGUGGUCAGAGUUUGAAAAGAAGCGAGCAAGGCACGGUACUCUGAACCAGGGAUAGUGAUGGGCGGCUCUGCGGUAGGAGGAACAGCAGGUGGAGCAUCAGAUGAUGCUGCCUCUGGUACAGGCUCCGAGGGAACUGAAGUGGAUGGAGCAGGAGGGACUUCCCUUGGCUCGGGAAGUUCUGGGGAAUGCUGAUGGAGCGAUAGCUGAGUCCAGUGUUCAAGAGAGAAGCUCUCUCGACAAUGGCGACGGGGCUCAGCCUGAGGGUCUGCAGGAAAACCCAUAUGCGCCAAAACAUGGCAAAGCAGCCGAGGAAAAAGUAACUGAAUGGAGGCCGCCCUCGUAAGACGCCGCUUAUGCACCUUCUCCUCAAAAUGGAGGAGAGCGGCCAUAAUCAAAUGAUGAGGACCAAAGUAGUAGCCCUCAGAGAUACGAAAUAAUGCCUCUAAAAUGGCCCCUCGCCUCUGUACUGUAUGCUGAAGAGGAAAAAGGUUGGUGCGAAGCACCACAUCAACUAAGAGCAUCCCUGGGGGAAGCUCCCUCCUGAAAAUGGUCCUCUGGGAAGAUGUCCCUCGAGAUAGGCUACGAACCAUGUCCCACUCAGAAAGUGGGGCCCAGCGUCUAAAUGCAGUGGGAUCAGCUGGUGCAUAAGGGAUAUGGAAAGCCUCGGCGAUCUGUCGAGCCCCCAAAAUACCCUGACGUCCAUCAAUGGUAAAAAGUAUCGAGGCUGGUACCGGGACGCCACGAGUAGUCAUAGACUGGUAAAAGUCUAAAACUACUCGAGGAUAAAAGAACUGGGGCGGAGUCAUAAAGGGUACAAGAUGGUACCUCUAAAGUAGGCUGUAUGAAUCCCGCAAGUCAGUCUGCUGGUGCAACAUAGUGUGCUCAAAAUAUGCCUCGGCAUGAAAUGAUUUGGACCGACAAUCUGAGUUGCCCUCAAUAGGCGAGCUGGGUCUAGGGCGUUUGAUGGAUGGCGGCUGAGACUGUGAAUCCCGAGGUGCUCUAGAGGACUCUCCUUGCUUUGAAGUCUUGGCUUUCUUUGUAGGAGGACCCCGAAGUGGAAUCUGAGUAGGGGCCACAGGUGUGGCAGAUGCUCUCCUCGUAUGGUAUCUGCUCUGAGAGGCAGAAUCAUCUAAAUGUGACGGCGCAUCUAGUGGGGCCCGCACAGGGGCGGCUCUCUCACUGCUCUAGGGAGCUGAGGUAUGUCCUCCUCGGGUCUUAGGCAUAAUGAAGUAAUGAAACGAGGCUCAGGGGCUUUGGAUUGGGGAGGGCAGAGAUGGAAAAAGUGAAAAAUUGGCACAAGGUAGGGGUUAUGCGAAAUUUCGCAUAUGGGGUGGGUUAUGCGAAUUUCGCAUAACACAUGAGGGAAUGCGAAAAUUUCGCAUUUGCACUAUUCACACGCCCACUUGAAGUUUUGAAGCUCAUUGAAAUUGUGGGAAUUUUUGGCUUUUGAGGGUGGGAAAUGCUGGCUAAGGUAAGAAAAGAAUUUUUCACGGUGAAUAGGCUUGGAAAUUGGAGCUUUUUCACGAAGAAAUUUUGAAAAUUGGAGCUCCUCUACCCGGCGGCCAUGGGUUCUCUUUGAAGAAAACGUGGCUUGAAUGCUUAGUUUGGUGUUUUGAAUUGGUGAAUACAAGGCUGAAAUUGGUUGAGGGUUGGAUUUAGAGUGUUGAGUAAGGAAUUGAGAGGUUUUUGAUGGUGGAAAAAGCUGAAAAUUGAAGGGGUGGACGGUGAUGAAUAGUGACUGCCGCGGCUAUGAGGUGGAGUUAUGGAGAUGGGCUGCCAUGGUGGUGUUGAGAGUGGGGAAUGAUGAUGAAAAGAAACUUAAGGAAGGGAUUUGGUGAUUGGAAGAGAGGUGCUAUGAGAAAUGAAGAGGAAAUUGAGCAUGGGAAGAGGAGAACACGGUCUUUAAAGAGGAAAUGCGAAUUUCGCAUUACCCCUUAUGUUAUGCAAAAAUUUCGCAUUCCUGUGAGAACCCAGACAGAGAGCAUGGUUUUUCAAAUUUGCCUCAAAAACGAAUUCGCAUAUGGUUGGCAUAUGGUUCGCAUUCCUGUGAAAUUCGCAUAAGGGAUUUUGGGAAGGGACCGAGAGCAUGUUUUUUUUGGAAAUUGCCACAAAAGCAUUUUCGCAUAAGGGGUGUGUUAUGCGAAAAUUUCGCAUAUGGGGGGGGGGGGGGUUAUGCGAAAAUGGCUGAAACUUGUUUUUUUUCUCCCUUGUUUUGCCUUACUUUCACCAUGACUUCAUUCCUUAAGCUUUCCCACCUGAAUGUUAGCACAAAAAAACAAUUCAAAACACAUUAGAACGACAUUAAAGUCAAAAAUAAAAAUCAAAACAUGGAAAAACACAAGAAAAAACUAGAUUAAAUUAAAAUCAACUUAAAAGAAAACAAAAAGAGGAUGAACUCUUUAGUCUUUGAAGAGACUAAGUUCAACCAUAAACCAAGUAUUUUCAUGUUGGAGGUGGAUCAAGGAGGAUGAAUUCCUCCUUGUCUCGGGAAAAUGAUUCUAUAUAAGGCUUAAGACGAUGCCCAUUCACUUUGAAAGUUCGAGUGCUAUUGAAGUUGAGUAGUUCCACUACUCCAUUUGAUUGCACAUCAUGAAUUAUGAAAGGACCCGUCCAUCUUGAUUUCAAUUUUCCCGGAAAAAGAUGAAGCUUAGAGUCAUAAAGCAAGACUCUUUGUCCCAAAACAGCCCCCAUAGCAAGAUCAUAAAAAAAAAAACUAAGUUAAAUCAAACCAAAAUAAAAUUAAAGCAAGAAAUCAAAAUUAAAACAAGUUUAAAAAUAAAACAAAAAGAUAUGGACUAGCUAGUCUUUAGAAAGACUAAGUCCAUAAAAAAAUUGGAUCCGGAUUUAGCUUGCCCGGAUCCCAUAUGAAGUUUGCAUUUAAAUCAACAGGAAAUGGCUUCAAAACUAGCUUUGGAGGGUCCUCCCUAGCUACUCCUUUUAAGUCCUCCUCAUUGAACAAGGGUAAGAUCUCUUCCUUUCUCCUCCAAGGAGACAUGAUGGCUAGCACAUCAGAGGGUUCAGGUAACCCUUCUUCAAGCACUUCAAGGCUUUCAUUCAAGCUCUCUUCUAAAUUCUUGUCACAAUGCUCUUCAACCAAGGUGUUGAUCAAGCACACCUCCUCCAAUCCUUCCUCUUCUUCUGGGUGAAGAUGCCUCUUGCAUAGAUGGAAUAUGCUUAAUUCCAAGGUCAUAUUCCCAAAUGUGAGCUGCAUCACCCCAUUUCUACAAUUGAUGAUGGCAUUGGAGGUAGCUAGGAAAGGUCUCCCAAGGAUGAUUGGUACAUAGUUUGCUUCCUUCACAGUGGGAUCAGUAUCAAGCACAACAAAAUCCACAGGAUAGUAGAAUUUGUCAACUUGAACAAGAACAUCCUCUAUCACCCCCCUUGGGGUUUUUACUGACCUGUCAGCUAAAGAGAGAGUGAUGGAUGUGGGCUUCAAUCCUCCAAGUCCCAGUUGCUUGUACACAGAGUAUGGGAGCAAAUUCACACUUGCCCCCAAGUCUAGUAAAGCUUUCUCCACAUGUGUCCCUCCAAUGUUGACUGAAAUGGUGGGGCAUCCCGGAUCUUUAUACUUAACUGGAGACUUACUCUGAAUGAUAGCACUUACUUGCUCAGUGAGGAAUGCAUUCUUUGUCACAUGUAACCCUCUCCUGACCGUGCACAAGUCCUUUAGAAACUUUGCAUAUGUGGGGACUUGCUUGAUCAUAUCAAGUAAGGGUAUAUUCACCUUCACUUGUCUCAAGACUUCAAGAAUUUCUGAUGAAUUCUUGAUUUCCUUCUUUCCAUGUAAAGCUUGAGGAAAAGGGGGAGGCAUAUGUUUCUUCAUCAUAUCCUCUUUAAUCACUAUCCUUGGCUCUUCUUCAAUGCUUGAUUUGGAUGCACUUUUCUUCCCACUCUUCUCUUCUUGGUUAUUGCUCUCUUUGACCAAGGUUUUCUUUGACAUGAGUUCUUCAUCUUGCUUCACCUUAGGCAGGGGUUGAUCAACAACCUCUUUUCCACUCCUUAAANNNNNNNNNNNNNNNNNNNNNNNNNNNNNNNNNNNNNNNNNNNNNNNNNNNNNNNNNNNNNNNNNNNNNNNNNNNNNNNNNNNNNNNNNNNNNNNNNNNNGGAAAACUUUCCCUUCUCAUUCAUAGUGUUGAGGUUGGUAAGCCUAGAGAUGGAGUAUUGAAUAUUAUCUAUCUUCUGAGAUAGAUCAUUUUGCAUCCCCUCCAUUCUCUUAAUUUGAGAACUCUCAACAUUUUCAAUCUUUUGAUGCAAUUGGGAGUUGAUUGCCUUUUGUUCACCCACAAAGUCACCCAUGACUUUACUUAGGUUCACAAUGGCUUGCUCCACUGCAGAGGUUUGUUGAGGUGCUUGGGUUUGGCCUUGUGGUUGGUAUGGAGGUGGUCUUGGUUUCCAAGAAAAAUUUGGAUGGUUUCUCCAGCUUGAAUUAUAGGUGUUUCCAUAAGGUGCAUUGUUGUUAGGCCUAAAUUGCCCCACAACAUUGGCUUGAUCACCUAACAUCUCUCUCACAGCUGGCAUGGUUGGGCACUCAUCUACCACAUGAUCACAUGAUUGGCAAAUGGUGCAUGGCAUGGCAUGGGCUUGGGUCUCGGAAAUGGCUUGGACUUCAUGCAUCUUUUUCAACUCAAGUUCUUCCAAUCUCCUUGCUAUUGUUGCCACUUUAGCUUUCAUGUCCAUGUCUUCACUUAAUACAUACAUUCCACCUUUUGGAUUUUGGGUUGGUUGAGAGGGAAACUUCCUUUUCUCUCUUGAGUUGGGCUCAUCCCAUCCUCUUGACACUUCAGACACAUAACUUAAAAAGUCCAUGGCUUCUUCCGGAUUCUUGCUCAUAAAAUCUCCCCCACACAUGGUUUCAAGAAUUUGCUUCAUGGAGGAAGACAUUCCAUCAUAAAAAUAGCUCACCAAGAGCCAUGUAUCAAAGCCAUGAUGAGGACAAGCAUUGAUGGCCUCCAUAUACCUUUCCCAACAUUCAUGGAACUUCUCAUUUUCUUUAGCAGAAAAAUUUGAGAUUUGUCUCUUCAACCCAUUGGUCCUAUGGGUGGGGAAAAAUUUCUUCAAAAAUUCGGCCUGAAGAUCAACCCAAUUCCUUAUGCUCCUUGGCCUUAAAGAAUUAAGCCAUAUUUUUGCCUUGUCCUUCAGAGUAAAAGGGAAUAGCUUGAGUCUCAUCAAGUCUAUUGAAGCUCCUCCCUCUCUAAAGGUAUUGCAAACCUCCUCAAACUCCUUGAUGUGGGCAUAUGGAUUCUCACUCUCCAUUCCAUGGAAAUUUGGUAGAAGGGGCACAAUAUAGGGCCUUAUAACCAACUGCUCAAGAGGAGGCAGGAUGCACAAGGGUGCACUCAUCCUUGGUGGGUGCAUUCUAUCCCUCAUGGAUAAAUAUGCAUUGGGAUUACCCCCUUGACCUUGUUGAGAAUUCUGAUCCUCUGGUGGAGGGUCCAUGAUGUUAACACAAAUAUCCAACUCUGUGUCUUGAGGAUUCUCAAUCCUUACUAAUCUUUCCUCUUGGUCCCGAAUCCAAUAGGGCAUGCACAAGUUAUUACUUACCUGAAAUAAAACAAAAACAACAAAAACAAAAGAAACCUAGAAAAAAGUUAAGGUUAGAAAGAAAAUGAAAAUAAACCUAACAAAAAUAAAAUGAAAGGAAAUGAAGUUAGUGAAAAAGGAAUUCACCAAACUUGUGAUGGAAAUCACAAGUAGCCUCUAAAAGGUUGCAUCACUGUAUUGUGGCACCAUCCCCGGCAACGGCGCCAUUUUGAUUCGCGUGUAACUCCAAAUGGGUCAUUUAAUAAAAAAAAUUUAUAAAACCUAUGACCUCAUACUAAUGUAGUAAAGCUACUAUAGUAUAGUGGCUCUAGGGUCGAACUCUGGGAUGGGUUUUCAUUCUACCAGUGAUGUAUUCAAAAUUAGAAAUUGUAUUUAAUGAUUUCCUUAAUCAAAAACUUAAAGUUUAAAAGAAAAUAAAAUUUGUUUUGAAAGUGUUUGAAACUAAACUAACAUAAACUAAUUAAAAAUGGAAGAAAGAAAGUCUCCCGGAGCUAAGGGUUGCUAGGAUCAAGUUCAGAAUAGAAAGUGGAAAAUUCCGGAUUUUUCUCCUCGCAUUGGGGAUUUAACCUAUAGUUAUUUCCCGAACCGGUAUAGGUUUGACAUGAAGAUUUAAUCCAUAAAGAUCAUAGAAUGGUAGUCAAGGUCCAUNNNNNNNNNNNNNNNNNNNNNNNNNNNNNNNNNNNNNNNNNNNNNNNNNNNNNNNNNNNNNNNNNNNNNNNNNNNNNNNNNNNNNNNNNNNNNNNNNNNNNNNNNNNNNNNNNNNNNNNNNNNNNNNNNNNNNNNNNNNNNNNNNNNNNNNNNNNNNNNNNNNNNNNNNNNNNNNNNNNNNNNNNNNNNNNNNNNNNNNNNNNNNNNNNNNNNNNNNNNNNNNNNNNNNNNNNNNNNNNNNNNNNNNNNNNNNNNNNNNNNNNNNNNNNNNNNNNNNNNNNNNNNNNNNNNNNNNNNNNNNNNNNNNNNNNNNNNNNNNNNNNNNNNNNNNNNNNNNNNNNNNNNNNNNNNNUUCAAAGUGAUUCUAAGGGAUUUAAAGCAAAACUUGGGAUUUAAAAGCCAUUAUGAAUCCCAACUACCUGAAUUUAAUGCACGAGCGUUUUCCACCUUGCAUCUGGACUUUUCACCUAGCUUCCAUCACUCCAAGAAACCGAAAGUUUAGCCUCUCAUCCUCCGGGCAAACAUCCUUAGAGGUUGUUUGGCUUCCAAGAAAAAGAAAAUAGUAAAGAGCAAAGAGAACGAGAGAGCUCUGUAAAAAUUCUAAGUGUAAAAACGUAAUACGUAUUCCAUAUCCAAGAGGUAAUUUCCACCCCUUAUAUAGUCUUUACAAAAGCAAAAGCUUGUGAUUGGUUAGUUACAAGGAUAAGAAAGGAAAUUACAUCAAAAAAUACAUAGGAAAAUAUCUAAAGUGGAGUCGGCAAAAACAGAGCAAAAUUUGCACCACGCAAGGGGUGUGCGAAUUUCGCACACCAUUCGCACAGCUAAGGGGGUGUGCGAAAUUUUCGCACACCUGGAGCAGUUGUCUUCCGAAAGCCAUAUCUUCCUCGUUUCAGCUCCAAAUCAUACACGGUUUGAAGCGUUGGAUUCUUAACUUCCUGAGAUUUGAAAUGGUAUAUAGCAUGUAGAAAAUGGACUUCGGGAAGUGCUCCAAAAGUGCCAACGAAGACUGCAGCUGUUGUCCUCUGUUUUCCUCCUUGCUUCUCUUUGCUUUUCUCCUUUGAUUGGCUUGUCUUAAUGAUCCAAAAAGAUGUCAAAACACUAAAACUAGCCACAAAUAUGAUUAUAAGACAUUUCUAGGUCCUUAACAUGCCAAUUGGACUAAAGAUGGAGAACUACUACACAAAAGUGCUUAAAACAUAAUGCAUUAAAGGUGUAAAAUAGCACUUUUUGGGUAGUAAUCAAGAGUCUAACUGUAAUCUGAAAAGACCAAUAGCCUUGACUGCAGCCUUGUUGCCAUUUCCCACAUAGAUGUAUCUUUCACCAUCAGUUGGCAUUCGGCUCCUUANGCAACCCUGCAUAGUGACACUUAUGUGAGUAGUUGCACCCGUAUCUAUCCACCAAGUGUCAGUAGCACUACAGCUAAAUUAAUUUCUGAACAAACAAAGUUGAGAAGUGUACCUUUCUUUCACGCCAAGCAGCGUAUUUGGUACAUGUCUUCUUCAUAUGACCAGCCUUCUUGCAAAAGAAANNNNNNNNNNNNNNNNNNNNNNNNNNNNNNNNNNNNNNNNNNNNNNNNNNNNNNNNNNNNNNNNNNNNNNNNNNNNNNNNNNNNNNNNNNNNNNNNNNNNAGCUUAUGAUUGGUUAGUUACAAGGAUAAUAAAGGAAAUCCCAUCACAAAAUACAAAGGAAAAUAUCUAAAGUGGAGUCGGCAAAGGGCAGAGCAAAAUUCACAACACGCAUGGGUUAUGCGAACCAUAUGCGAAUGUUAUGCGAAUUUCGCAUAACCUCUUGUGGAAUGCGAAAUUUUCGCAUAUGCUGGAGCAGUUGGCUUCCGAAGGCCAUAUCUUCCUCAUUUCAGCUCCAAAUCGUACACAGUUUGAAGCGUUGGAUUUUUGACUUCUAGAGCUUUGAAAUGGUAUAUAGCAUGUAAAAAAUGGACUUCGGGAAGUGCUCCAAAAGUGUGAAAGAAGACUGCAGCUGCUACAUCUUGAUUUUUUUUCACUUUGCUUCUCUUUGCCUCUCUCCUUUGCUUGACUUGUCUUAAUGAUCCAAAAAGCUGUUAAAACAUUAAAACUAGCCACAAAUAUGAUUAGAAGACAUUGCUAGGUCCUUAACAUGCCAAUUGGACUAAAGAUGGAGAACUACUACACAAAAGUGCUUAAAACAUAAUGCAUUAAAGGUGUAAAAUAGCACUUUUUGGGUAGUAAUCACUUGUAUAUUCUGAUUACAGUGCUCAUCCACUAAAGUGUCGAUAAUGCAUACCUCUUCUGGACCUUCUUCUUUUUCCGGAGUGAUUUGCUUUUUAGACAUAUGAAAAAUGUUGAAUUCAAGUGCAUAUUGCCAAAAGUGAGUUGCAUGAGUCCAUUCCUACAAUUGAUGAUUGCAUUUGAGGUAGCAAGGAAUGACCUUCCAAGGAUGAUAGGAACUGAAUUAGCUUCCUUUACAGUAGGAUCUGUAUCAAGAACAACAAAAUCUACUGGAUAGUAGAAAUUAUCAACUUGAACUAAGACAUCCUCAAUUACCCCCCUUGGAAUUUUUACUGAUCUAUUUGCUAGAGAUAGGGUGAUUGAUGUUGGCUUCAACUCACCAAGUCCCAAUUGCUUGUAGACAGAGUAUGGUAGCAAAUUCACACUUGCUCCCAAGUCUAACAAAGCUUUCUCCACUACCUUUCCCCCAAUCAUGACUGAAAUGGUAGGACAUCCUGGAUCUUUGUACUUCAAAGGAGACUUGCAUUGUAUGAUUGCACUUACUUGCUCAGUCAAGAAGGCUUUCUUGUUCACAUUCAACCCUCUUUUGAUAGUCCACAGGUCCUUUAGGAAUUUUGCAUAUGUUGGAACUUGCUUAAUCAUAUCCAGCAAUGGAAUGUUGACCUUCACUUGUCUCAAUACUUCAAGGAUUUCUGAUGCAAUUUUUUAUCCCCUUUUUUCCCAUGCAAAGCUUGAGGAAAAGGUGGAGAUAUACGUUUCUUCAUCAAUUCUUCCUUAAUAAGCUCUUUCUCCGGAUUUGCAUUCACUGUUGAAUCACGGUCCUCCUUCGUUUCAUUGACAUCUUUCUUCUUUCCUUUCAUUUCCUCUCCCUUCUUUGUUUCUUCUUCUUCUUCAACAUGUGGCUUGGGUGUUGGUGGCUCAACCUUUUUACCACUCCUUAGAGUGAUCAAGGCUUCAACAUCUUUCACCUGUGACGAUUCUCCCUCAUGGAUUUCCAUUUCAUGGAUACCCUUGGGGUUUUGGUGAGGUUGAGAAGGAAAUCUACCAUUCUCUUGCACUGUGUUCAAGUUAGUGAGCCUUGAGAUUGAGUAUUGGAGAUUAUCUAUCUUUUGAGAUAGAUCAUUUUGCAUCCCAUCCAUCAUUCUCUCUACACUGUCAAUUCUUUGACUGAGUUGAGCAUUGAUGGCUUUUUGGUCUCUGAUUCGUGCCCAAUUGGUGUCUCAGCUGAUUCGUGUCCAGCUGGUGCUCCUUGAUUGAGGGAGUAAUCAACAAAAUUUAUAACCUAUUACACCAUAUACUAGGGUAGCAAAGAAAAAGCUACUAUAGCAUAGUGGUUCUAGGAUCGUUCACUGGGAUGGGUUUUCACUUCACAAUUGAUAUUAAUUCAAAGUUGAAUUGAUGCCUUUUCAUUUCAAGGUUAGUUUUAAAAGAAAACAUAAAGAUGUUUGAAUGAAAAAGGUUUGGUUUUAAACUAACCAAAAAUAGUAACUGAUUUUACUUACAAAGAAAAGUUGUUUCUUGGAGUUUCAGAUCACUAAGCUCAGAUUCCUCAUACAAAAAGGAGAGUUCCGGUCACUUGUUUCUUUUCCUCGCAUUAGAGAAUUAACAUAUAGUUCAUUCUCCAACCGGUGUUGUACAGAUGCUUUCCAUUAAUGGGUUCAAACACUAAAUCCCUCUCACUGAUGCAUCUUGCAAUGGCUCAUGCCUCUCACCUAGCAUUUGCCAUUCAAGGUGAUCUUUAACCUUGGAUUACCCGUCAAAAGCUCGCAAGAGAUAACUAAUGGAUGUCUCCUUGGAGUCCAAAAGCUUACCAAGUGUUGGCUAUUUUAGAAAAUCCUACCUUCAAGUCACCUCCCAAAGGCUCACAAGAGAUAAACUAGUGAAUCUCCAUGGACGGAGAUCACUUGUCUUACCAAGUGUUGGCCCAAGUGACUUCAAGGCGUUUUAAGUUAACUAAAAAGAUAAAAACCAUUAACAGGUCACACUUUCUCUUCAUUAAAAGCUAAAACAACAAAACUUCCAAAUUAUGCAUGUGGAAACUUACCCGGCUUUCCUCACUCCAAGAGGCGAAGAGCCUAGCCUCUCAUCCUUUGAGGAAAAAUCCUCAGAGUUUGGUUGGCUAGAAAUAAAAAGAACGAGAAAACAAAAAUAUAUAUAUGAAAAGCAGAGCAAGUGCUCUGUAAAAUAUAUUCCUUACUAUUACAAAAGGUUCGUCGUCCAUUUCCCCUCAGAACAGGCUCCCCGAGAGAUAUAUAUAAAGAAAAUUACAAAACAAAAUAUCUCAGGUUAUUCACCCUUUUUCGAAACUUAAUAACUAAGGAAUCCUAUAAUUGGUGGGUUACAAGGAGAAAAUAGGGAUUUAGACAUCAAAAAUCUGAAGCAAAAUAUCCAAAAGUGUCGAUCGCAAAUAUCUGGAAGCACUUAGGAGAAUUUCGUAGGAGCACAAAAUGGCUGCGAAAUUUCGCAGACGAACAAGAUGGUUGCGAAAUCAUUUCGCAGCCAAAGGCUGAUUUCGCAGCCCUGCGAAAUUGGCCUUUAGCUUGGAGUGAUCUGCUUCCAAUGGCUCUAACUUCCUCAUUUUAACUCCGAUUCGCGAACCAUUUAAAGCAUUGGAUUGUUGACUUCCUGAUCUUCAAACCGACAUAUAGCAUGCAUAAAUUGGACUUCAGGAAGUGCUCCAAAAGUGGCUGAAAUGACUAUCAUCAAGAAUGCUUCAUGGCAGAUUUCUCUUUGCUUCCCCUCCUUGCAUUCCGGAUUUUGCUUAUGGCAAAGGACUUUAAAGCUUCAAAGCUUUGGUUCUUCAUGUUUCUGAGCUUGCCAUUGCUUUGCCAUGGAUUCCAAAUAACUCUCCUAAAUCUUGGAUUGCUUUGGUGAUCAAAUUACUAACAAAAACACCAAAACUUACACAAAGUGAUUAGAAUUGAUUGCAAAGGUCCUUAAUAUGUUAAUUGGGUUAAAAGGUAAUAACUACUACUCAAAAGUGUUUAAAGGAGUUAAUUACAAGCUAUCAAAUAGCACUUUUUGAGUAGCAAUCAGUCUCCAACAAAAUCUUCCACAACCUUGCUGAGAUUCGCUAUUGUUUGUUCAAGACUUGAAGAUUGUUGAGAUGGUUGAGUCGGUUGAGAUGGUGGAGCCGGCUGUUGGUACUGAGGUGCUCUUGCCUUCCAUGAGAAAUUUGGAUGAUUCCUCCAACUUGAGUUGUAAAUAUUUCCAUACGGUGCAUUGUUAUUGGGCCUGAAUUGUCCAAUGACAUUUGCUUAAUCUCCAAACAUUUCCUUUACAGCUGGAAUUGUAGGGCACUCCUCCAUCAAGUGUUCAUAAGAUUGACAAAUAGGACACGACUUUACUUGCACUGAUGUUUCAGCAACAGCUUGCACUUCAUGCCUCUUUUGCAGUUCUAGUUCUUCCAAUCUUCUUGUCAUAGCCGCAAAUUUUGCUUUCAUAUCAUCAUCUUCAUUCAAGGUAUACAUCCCAGCCUUAACAUUGAAAGCACUCGGUUGAGACUUCAUCUUUCCCACUUCUCCUUUGUUUGGUUCAUCCCAUCCCCUUGAGACUUCAGCCACAUAACUCAAGAAAUCCAUAGCUUCCUCAGGAUUCUUACUCAUGAAAUCCCCUCCACACAUUGUUUCGAGGAGUUGCUUCAUUGAGGAAGACAUCCCAUCAUAAAAAUAGCUCACCAACAGCCAUGUAUCGAAGCCAUGGUGAGGACAAGCAGUUAUGGCUUCUAUAUAUCUUUCCCAACACUCAUAGAAUUUCUCAUUCUCUUUAGAUGAGAAGUUUGAAAUUUGCCUUUUCAAGCCAUUUGUUCUGUGAGUAGGAAAAAAUUUCUUGAGGAAUUCAGCUUGUAAGUCAGUCCAAGUACGGAUACUCCUUGGCCUUAAAGAAUUAAGACAAAUCUUGGCCUUAUCCUUUAAAGUAAAAGGAAAUAGUUUAAGCCUCAUCAGGUCGAUAGAAGUUCCUCCAUCUCGGAAUGUAUUACAAACAUCUUCAAAUUCCUUGAUAUGGGCAUAGGGAUUCUCACUUUCCAUUCCAUGGAAAGUUGGUAGAAGUGGCACAAUAUGAGGUCUGAUCACUAGCUGCUCUAUAGGGGGCACUAUACAUGAUGGUGCACUCAUACGAGGUGGAUGCAUUCGGUCCCUCAUUAAGAUGAAAGCAUUGGGAUUGUCCUGGUGACCAUGGUGACUAUGCUGAUCUUCAGGUGUAGCUUCCAUGAUAUUCAAGCUCAAUUCCAAUUCCUUGUUAUGAGGUGUAUCAAGUUUAACAAGCCUUCCUCCCUGUCUCAUAUCCAAUUUGGCAUACACAACUAGUAUCGACUGUAACUAAGAAAGAAAAACAAAAACAGAGGAAAACAAAAACAAAACUACCAAAAAGAGUCUGAUUAACUAAAACUAAAUUAAAAACUAUGCUAGAAUAUAAACGAGUAAAAUAAAAAACUAAAAGAGUUAGUAAAAUGAGAGAAAACUCACCAAACUUGUGAUGAAAACCACAGGUACCUUGAAAUAAUAUCAUUGUGAAGUUGGCACCUUUCCCGACAACGGCGCCAUUUGAUUCAUGCCCAGUUGGUGUAUCAGCUGAUUCAUGUCCAGCUGGUGCUCCUUGCUUGAGGAAGUAAUCAACAAAAUUUAUAACCUAUUACACCAUGAACUAGGGUAGCAAAGACAAAGCUACUAUAGCAUAGUAGCUCUAGGAUCGUUCACUGGGAAGGGUUUUCAAUUCAUAAAUGAUACCAAUUCAAAGCUGAAUUGGUGCCUUUUCAUUUCAAGGUUAGCUUUAAAAGAAAACAUAAUUUUUGGAUGAAAAAGGUUUGGUUUAAACUAACGGUAAAGAAAGUAAUGGAAAUUACUUAUGAAGAAAAACGUUCCUUGGAGGUUUAGGUUCACAGGGGAGGUUCCUUAUGCAAAAACAGAGUUCCGGUCAUUUGAUUCAUUUCCUCUCAUUAGAGAAUUAACAUAUAGUCAACUCUCUAACCGGUGUUGUACAGAUGUUUCCCUUUAAUGGGUUCAAACACUAAAUCUCUCUCACUGAUGCACCUUGCAAUGGCUCAUACCUCUCACCUAGCACUUGCCGUUCAAGGUGAUCUUUAACCUUGGACUUCCCGUCAAAAGCUCGCAAAAGAUAACUAAUGGAUGUCUUCGUGGAGUCCAAAAGCUUAUCAAGUGUUGGCUAUUCUAGAAAAUCCUACCUUCAAACCACCUCCCAAAGGCUCGCAAGAGAUAAACUAGUGCAUCUCAAUGGAUGGAGAUCACUUGCCUUAUCAAGUGUUGGCCCAGGUGAUUUAAAGGCGUUUUAAGUUAACUAAAAACAUAAAAAUCAUUAACGGGUCACACUUUCUCUUCAUUAAUGGUUGAAACCGCAAAGCUACUAAUUCUUGCACUUGGAACCUUUCCCGGCAACCUUAACUCCAAGGAACUAAAAUUCUAGCCACUCAUUCUCUGAGGAAACAUCCUCAGAGCUUGUUUGGCUAGUAAGAAAAUACAAUCAAAAUGAGAAGGUAAAGCAGAGCAAAGCUCUGUAUUUUUCUUCCUUUUAAAAACUAUACAAAAGUUUUCGUCGUCCCCGAGAACAAGCUCUCGAGAGAUAUAUAUAUAUAUGGCAAAUUACAAAAUAUCUAUAUGAGGUUAUUCACCCUUUUUCCAAACUUAAUAACUAAGGAAUCCUAUAAUUGGUGGGUUACAAGGAGAUUUUGGGGAUUUAGACAACAAAUAUCUAAAGCAAAAUAUCCCAAAAUAUUGGUGGCAAAUAUCAGGAAGCUUCAGGAGAAAACCGCAGCACUGUGCAAAAUGGCUGCUCUCCCAUCCGGGUAGACGCUAUCAGAUGAUCCGGAUAUGUCCGUCCGGAGAAGUUGAAACGCCUCCUCUCCCAUCCGGCUCCUGAAUUCCGGACGUGAACAUCUGGGUGGAAAGUGGGCGGCAGCCGGGUGCAAAAUGGCAGUAGCCAGGUGUAAUUCCUACCCGGAUAUGUUGUCCGGAUGCCCUCCGAUGGUGUAUCUGGACGCACUGUCCGAGUAUACUCCUUGCAUGGAUUCCAAAUAACUCUCCUCAAUUUCAGAUUUGCUUUGGUGAUCAAAAAGCUAUCAAAACACCAAAACUUAACACAUUUUUUAUUAGAAUUGAUUGCAAGGGUCCUUAACAUGUUAAUUAGGUUAAAAGGUGAUAACUACUACUCAAAAGUGUUUAAAAGAGUUAAUUACAAGCUAUCAAAUAGCACAUUUUGAGUAGUAAUCAGAAGCCUAUCUCCAUAUGAGAUUGGAGUUGAGAAAUUUGAUCAGACAACAAAGUGGAUUGUGUAGAAAUUUUCUCAUCCAAUGCAUCAAACCUAGCACAAAGUUGAGCUAGGACACUGGAAUCUACAGUUGAAUCUGAGUCACUUUCACCAAAUUUGCUCUUAACUCUACUAUGGCACACCUUGUUCUUAGAACUAAGGGCACCCUUAAUCUGUCCCUAACUCUGAUUCCAAGAUGAGGUAUCAAUGGGACCCAUUGGUUCAAGAAAUGAAGAAUUUAUAGGAAAUUCAAUUCCAACCCUUUAGCAAUUUUUUGUGAUUAAAAUGCCAUAAGGAAAAACCUCAUUCUUAGACACUAAAGGAUCUCCUCAAACAAUCAUCUAAUCUAAGAUGCAAGAUGCUAGGUUUAUGGGUUCCCGAUGAAGAAUUUGGGAUAAGAGAAUACAACCCUUUUUACAAAUAUCUACCCGAUGAGAGGAUGGAUAAACUAAGAAUGUUAAAAAAGUCGCCAACACCUAUGUAGGUCGAGAUAUGCUACCGGUGUGUACAAUUAAGCUUAGCUAACCUCGAACCUCUCCCCAUAAGUUAAUAGACACUCUAUCCAACAACUCAAAAGUGAUUUCCAAAUCACUCACAGAGGAUGCUUCAACCAAUGGGAUGGCUAAGACUUCAGCAAUCACCUCAGGAGUGACUUUAACAGCAAUUCCAUAUAGACUUAACUUAAGGUAGGACUCAUCCAAGUCAAGUUCAAUAAUAUUUGAAUAAAACCUUCAGACAAUAGGAACACAAGCAGUCCCAGUGAAGCUUGCUAGAGAAAUACAAUUCUAUAAACAGUGUUGGAAUUGGUGUGUCAAGAAAUGAUUCUAGAUAAAGUUGUCUCUCAAGAACAAGAGACCUAUGAUGAUAAACCUUGGUGUACAGGUCUCUACAGAACUUUUCUGGGAAAGCAUUGCAAGGAAUCCCAUCAAUGGAAGUUUUUGUAGGAGCCUUAGGGAUACUGGGAGGCUGGACAGAUGGAUUGAUGGGUAAAUUCUUAUAUCGAGAACCUUUUGAGGUCCUAGAGGAUGAACCUUUAACAGGGGCUUUGUUCCCACGACCUUUUGGAGGCAUAGUUCUAAGUAAAAAUACAAAGAACCAAACAACCAAAGAUUCCAAUAAUAUUAUAUAUAAAACAACCUACUCAGACAACCUACUAUGAGAAAUCUCACACGAAAACUAACAAGUAACACCAAUGGAAGAAGAACAAAUUAACUUGUACACAUAGAAAUCUUGUGAUGGAGAAGACAUAGAGAAUCAGUCGACUACAAAAGCUAAAGCGUAGGUUGACUAACACCGAAGAAGAUGCCGGUAGAAAGAAUGAAAAUGCAGGCCAACGAUAAUAAAAAAAAACAAGAGAAAUGAUCCAAUUGAGGUAUGAUAAAGAUCCUACUGGAAAUAGAGGAGAACUGUAGGCCGAUGGCAAGAGCUAAAACACCAACGGUAGAUGGAACCAGACGUGUUGACUGUACACCGAUGGGAAUGAGAAUGAGAGCGAAAGCACAUGUCCUAUUAGGUAUUUGUUCGAUUCUUUACAUUAAUUCCCUGGUGGCCCAUUACUACUCGUGUAGCCUAUCUUUUCUAAGCCACCUUAGGGACUAUGGUUAACGGAUUUAUCUAACUCUAUUGUGACUCUUGGCAAUCCUAAUUUAGACUUGGGCUCGUUUAGACACACUUGGCCCAUUAGGCACCACCCUAGGCCCACUUAGGCACCUUAGGCCUUCUUAGGCACCUUAGGUCCAUUAGGCACCCUAAGCCCACUUAGGCACUCUAGGCCCACUUAGGCACCCUAGGCCCUCUUAGGCACCUUAGGCCCAUUAGGCACCACCCUAAGCCCACUUAGGCAACCCACUUAGGCACUCUAGGCCCACUUAGGCACCUUAGGUCCAUUAGGCACUACCCUAGCCCCACUUAGGCACUCUAGGCUCACUUAGGCACUCUAAGCCCACCUAGGCACCCUAGGCUCAUCAGGCACCACCUUAGGUCCACUUAGGCACCCUCAUCAGGCACCACCUUAGGUCCACUUAGGCACCCUAGGCCCAUUUAGGCACACAUGACCCAUUAGGCAUGACUAGCCUACUUAGUUUAACCAACCUUGCCUAGGUCACCUUUUAGGCACAUCUUGCAUGGCUUCAUGGCUCACAUUUUUGCAUGGCUUGCAUGACUUUUCUUUUUAUUAUUAUCUAUUUAGCCAUUUUGUAUAUUACUUUGUGUAUUUUUUUAUCAUUUCAUAAAACACUUUUAUUCAAUCUGAUAAUUUUGUAAAAUACUUUUAUUUAUUUUAAUCUAAUAAUUUUAUAAAACACUUUGAAUAUAAUCUAAUAAUUUUGUACAAUAUUUUUGUUUAAUUUAAUCUAAUAAUUGUAUAAAAUAUUAUAUUUUUUGUCAAUUCAAUAAUUUUUACUCAUUUUCUUAAACACAUUUUUUUAAUUUAACCUAUAUUAACUUUGGAAUUUUGUAGGGAGAUUUAUCAAUGAGGAGUUUGGCUUCUUUAGGAAAGGAAACUUGGAGGCUAUGAUUGAGAGAUAUUCAGUCCACGUUUGAAAAGAAAAUAAAGAAAGGAAAGAGCCCGAGAUGGAAAGAUAGGAAGAUGUUUUUUCAGGCCAUGAUGUAGAAAGAGAGUGAGUCCAUGUUCAAGGAAGAUGGAUAAAGUGCAGCCACAUGAUUGAGGGAAAGAAAGAUGAUUUUCUGGGCGAGGAUAAGCAGACAUGGGGAGGAUUGACAGAACAUUUUCUGGCUGGCUGAAUGAAUCUAAAUUUUGGGAAAGAUACAAAGAUGUUUUGAAAGACAUUAUGUGGAUUUUGAGGUGUGAUAUUUAGAGUUUUAUUGAGAAAGAAAGGGAGUUUUCUGAAUAGUGGAUUCCAUCUGAAAGUGGAAGAGGAGAUGAUAAUUUUUUUUUGAAGGGAUUAGAGGCUGCCAUUUGGGAGGAGAUCAAUUCGCUUUUGAAGGGAUUAGAGGCAGCUGUUUGGGCAAGGAUCAGUCCGCAUUUUGAAGUGAUUAGAGGCUGCUGUGUGGGAGAAUAUCAAUCCACGUUUUAAAGGAAUUAGAGGCUGCUGUUUGGACAAAGAUCAGUCCGCGUUUUGAAGGGAUUAAAGGUUGUUGUUUGGGCAAAGAUUAGUCCGAGUUUUGAAGGGAUUAGAGGCUGCUGUUUGGGCAAAGAUCAGUCCGCGUUUUGAAGGGAUUAGAGGUUGCUGUUUGGGCAAAGAUCAGUCCAUUUUUUUAAGGGAUUAGAGGCUGCCGUUUGGGAGGAGGGUUUCCAAGUUUUAGAGAGGAUUCCGGCUGUUGUUUUGGAAUGGAGAGACGCAACUGUUUGUUGAUAUUCACCGGCUAUUCACCCCACGAUGGUGAAGAUGAGUACAUACCUACCUUGUUGAAUCUGAAGAUGAGAAAGGCAGCCGCACCAUUGGGAGCAAUUCCGGAACAGCCGCACCAGUGAAGUAAGGAAAGAAAGGUAUGUAUCAAAGAGAGAAAAGUUUGGCAGCCGUACCGGAGAAAGAAACAGUCUACGCUUCAACGGAUCCUCCAUGGGGAGCACUUUCAACAUCAACUCCACGUCACAAUUGGUGAUCCUCCACUCGUUCUUCACCAUACCAGCUGCACAUCACCUUGCUUUGGUAUCAACACAGCUGUUAGAUAAGAUACUUUUAUAUAUAUAUAUGGGUUUUCACUAGAAUCUAAAGUUUAGUUUAUUUUAAGUUGGAUUAUUAUAUUAGGUUGAGUGGUUGACCUAUUUUUUAUUAGCUUCAGCAUAUACGUGCUAUUAUGUUAGCAUGAAUUUCACUCUUGUUUGAUUUUUUUAUUUUAUUAUUACAUUAAAGAUUAGAAUUGUGUUUAAAAUUAAUUUUGCUUUAUUAUAUUAAAUUCAAAAAAUACAAUUUUGUGUAGUUUUAACUUUGAGAAAAAAAUAUAAUUUGAUCUCUAUUUAAUUUAGUUUGGAUUCAUUUAAUUAUUUAUUAUUUAGUUAUUUAUGUGCUACUAAUUUAAUGAUUCGUUAUUUAUUUAUUCAUUUACUAAUAAGAUUGAUCCUAUGGGUUAAAGAUUCAGUUUCAAAAAUAUGUUUUAGGUAGUUUGACUCGACUUUAGGUUUAAAUAAAAUUUUAGUUUGUCAAAAUGAUUGAUUUUGUGUGUUCAAUAUUAGAUUUUAGACUUGCCUUAAUUAAUGUUAAAAACGUUUGUUAAGCUUAGUUUUUUAUUUUUGCAAUGUAAGUUUAUUAAAAAAAAAUUAAUUCCAUGAGGUCGUAUUUUGUUUUAACUAUAUUCAUUUAUUCAUGCGCUAUCUAUUUAUUAUUUAUUAAUAAGAUUAAUUUUAUAGGUUAGAAAUUUAGUUUUAAAAUUUGUUUUGGAUAAUUUCAUAAUUUAAUUUUUGGUUUAAGUAAAAUUUUAUUUUGUUCAAAUAAUUGAUCUUAUGUGUUAAAUAUUUGAUUUUUUUAAAUUUACCUUAAUUAGUGUUUAAGUCAUUUUGAGCUUAUAUUUCAUUUUAAUAAUGUAAAUUUAUUUAGGAAGCUGGUUCUAUGAAUUCGUAUUUUUGUUUUAGCUUGCUUUCAUUUCAUUUGAUCCAUUUUAAUUAUUAGGUGUCUUUUUUUUUUAUAUAGUUUUAAGUUAUUAACAAAAUCAAUUCCACAUUAGAAAGUGUCUGUGUUUAGUUUACUCUGAUUUAGUUUCACUCAUCCAUUCGGUUUAGAUAAUUUCUAUAAUAUUAGCUCACUAAUAAAAUUAAUUCUAUAAUGGAAAAUUCAUGUUUGCUCUGACUUAAUUUGGUCCAUUUUAAUCAGUCUAGAUGCAUUUGUGUGUUUGAUUGAUCAUGUGUUAAUUCUUAAUUGAUGUGUUUCUCGAAAAUAGUCAUUAAUUCUUGGUGGGUAUCUCGUUAGCUUAUAUGAUCUAAGUUUGAAUAGUUUAUUGCUUUGGUAGUCUAUGGUAAAAUUUACUUUUUGGAGGCCAUCGAAAAAUAGUGAAGAUUGGCCUCCAUUCCCGCCACUUCAAUUUUCUCGAUCGUAAAAAAAUGUACUUUGUGAUUUUGUCAUCUUUUGUUUUGAUUGGUAUUUUGUUUAUUAUGUUUUGUUUUUUUUUCAAAUUAAUUUCUUUUAUUUUGAAAUAAAAUACUUUUCUCAAAAUGUUCCUCAUAAAAAUCUAUUUAAAAAAAAAAAUCCAUGUAGAGUUCUUAGAAUCCAAAUCUCAUUUUCUUAAAUAACAUGCAAUAAUUUUUUGAUCAGUUCGCAUCUUUCUCGAUUUUCAAUGAAAAUUUUGGUUUUGAAUAAAACACGAAUCAAAGCUUGUGGUCCCAAAUAAAUGGGAUGAUUUUAGGCUAGAUUUGUGUAUACCAAUUAGGGAAUUGGUGAAACCCCUACAUAAGAGAAUUUUUCAAAACUCUUCUUUGCUUAUAGUUUUCACUCAGCCACUGAACCUUUAGAUUUAAAAUUCAUUUUAGCGACCUUGGAAUGUUUUUAAAAAUUUUCAAAAACUUGUGUGACUUUAUUCACUUCUUGAACUUGAAUUUAAUUUUUCUUUUGAGUUAUAAAACCAUUAUGGAAUAGAAUAUAUAUAAACGAGUCUUAAGGGGGGCUUCGUUUUCACCCAAUUCUGGACACCCGAGAGCUUUUUGAAAAACUGAAAUACCAGACGACUUUUAAAAUUUUAUUCAAUAUUUUUACUCAAUUCUAGGCUUCUUGAAAUUGAUCUUAGACACAAACUAUUUAAAAAUAUGCUUUUUUCAGGGAGAUAUGGUUUUUCAAAUUCUUGCCUAUUGUGCAUGUUGGAUUCUGGACAUCUAGUUAGCUUGAGUGUUUUAAAAAUAUUUUUGAGUACUAUCUGACCUUGAAUUCAUUUUUUAUAUGAUAUAUACACUUUGAAAUAUAUGUGUGAUUUUUUGUAUGAUUUUAUGUGAUCAUUUAUUGUUUUUUUAAAUUCAUUUAUUCAUGUCCGUUUUUCUUAUCUAAUCUGGACUUUUUAGAACCUUUAGGUGCCUUUGUUGCAAUCUGUCCUUUGAAUGAGAGUUUGGCCUUCGGUAUCUAGAUGUGUAGGAGUUGUCUCCUAAAAUUUUUUGUAAUUAAAUUCCACUCUAAGUCAUUUUUUUUUAGAAAUUGUUUUAUGAUGCUUCGUUUUCUAAUUGCAUGUUGAUAAUCUUGUACAUUGCUUGAAUUGGUUAUUUAUUUUUGGAGUCAUUUGACUUACCUUGGCUCAAUUUUGGCUUUGGUACUAUGUAUUAGACAUAAUGAAUAUGUUAUAUAGUUCAUACUUGUCCUAAUCACCCUAGCUUUUUUGGAGGAAUCAUAUUAAUUAUGCUCUCUAUCACUUACUUUUUGAAAUUUUAUGAACAUGCAUAUUGUUGCGAGUCUUAUUUAUGCUUGAUGUGAUCCUUAGGUGCUUAGAUGUAUGCUUGAUUUGCUUGGAUAAAAUGCAUGUGUGCUAUAUUUCCGAACUAAUUUUGAUGUCUUGUGAUAACGCUUAAGAAGUAGUCCAAGUAUGCACCCUAAAUCUCCUUUAUGAGUAUGAUUGGUUUUUCUUGUUUGGCAUGCUAGUUUUGAAAUCACCUUAGCCUACCUAGGUAUCCAUGAUCAACUAGUUAAUUUUCAAAUUUCCCUUAACUUAGUCAGUAGAGACCUUUGUAGAGCUUAGAGGGGUGCUACCUCUUAGAGGUAAUUUCCUAAUAAGUAACCUGAUCACCGGACCAAGACUUGGGUUUUCGAGACAUGCUUUUCCAAAAUUGUGGAGUCACUUCUUUAGGUUUUUCUAUCUUGUUUUAUUUUCCCUUUAAAAUUUUAAAAAAAAAAUGAUGACUCCGACUUUUCCAAAACUAAAUUUUUCACCAAAAAUAAAAGCAAGUCUCGUCGAUCAAGUGGGGGUGCACAUGAAAAACGCGAGUCCACAAAUUGGCAAGUCCAUUGGGGAUUUUGAGGAUCAAGCUUGAACACUAGUUGAGGAAAAUGUGGCAUUUAAUUGGUCGAUUAGAGGAUACCUCACUUGUUUUAGGCAAAGGUGAUUUGAUUUGCUUGAUUGUUUAGUUUGCUAUCUUAACAUGUUUGAUAUCCUUGCAUGAACGCUUAAUUUCUUGUUCACUUCAGCAUGAUACACUCUCACAUAUGUUAGAUAGGACUUUGUUUAUAUGAUACCUAUCUGCUUGGUAUGACUGCUUGUUGCAUGACAACCCUUGCUCGUGCAUGAUUGUAUGACUACUUGUCUCUGUUCACUAUCUUACUUUUGAUCUUAGGUUUUUCGGAUGCACCCACAUCCUUCACUGUGCACUUUAGAUUAUCCCUGAGUGUCGAGAAAUAGGAGAGCCUUUACCAUUUGGAAACCCCUUGGGAGCGUGAGGAAGUGCAUGUGUGGAGGUGAUGACCCCCACAUGGAAGCACCUUGUCUCCUUGGAGGCGUGCAGAGGGUUGCGUACCAUCGGAGGGUACGAUCACUUCUGCUAAGGAUCCUUUAACCCACCCAUUUUUAUCUUAUAGAACCACCUCAAUCUUGUAGGUUAGCCUAGACCCAAUUAGGAUUUUAUUCCUGCACGUGGGUGCAUCUAUGGACCUUGAGAGUUGUCUUGGUUAUAAUUGGCUUUGGUUACCCUCUCCAUAGUCUCAUUUUGGUAUCAUCAGAUACAAGUAUCAGUUUAAGUAUACAUGGGCUAUAUGCUUGAUUAUCUUUUAGUUGGUUCAUAUAGAGCUACCCUUGUACAGCGUCUUAUCCAAUGUUUUCGUGUUUAUAGGAGUAUUUUUGGUGCCCAAUCUGGAUUCGCCUUCAUGGACUAGAGUUAGAGGCAGGUUGACCAGAGCAUCAGAUCAGCCAGACCAGAGAGUAGAUCAGAGAGAUAUAGCUGUGGCCAAUCUGGAUUCGCCUUCCUAGGUAGUCACUGUUGACCAAUUUGCUGCAGCCAUGGCUUCGAUUCAGGAGGCUAUAGCCAGCCUCGGAUAGAGGAUAGAUGGGCAGCAGGCCUUGUAGGCCCCGCCUCAGGAUAGUGCACAGUAUGACUCUACGACACCACCACCCUCUCCACUCAAUCAAUCGGUUCCACACCUUGCACCGUAUGUUUUACAUAGUCAGACUGAUGUUACCCCACUUCCUAUCGUAGCACGCAUUCACUUAGAGGAUGCACAUGCUCAUAUGGAUAGACUCGAGUAGAGGAUGAGACAGAUGAGGGUUUCAGAUGGAGCUAUUAGUUGGGAUGAUUUUGAUAGAGCAGCAGUGGCCAGUUUGCCGACCCAUUUCAAGAUGCUAAAGAUUGAGAGGUAUAUGGGCAUAGGUUGCCCUAAGAUUCAUUUGAGGCUAUACAGUAGUGUGAUGAGGGCCCACGGUUUGGAUGAGGCCCACUUGAUUAUGCUUUUUCCCAUGUCCUUGAGUGGUGCAACACAGCGUUGGUUUGCUUCUUUAGAUGUUUCAUGUCAUAGGACAUGGGAUGAUUUGGUCUAAGAGUUUUUGAGACAAUUUGCUUUUAACACUAUCAUUGAUGUCUCGAGGAGGGCUAGAGGCCUUAAGACAAAGACCAGAGGAGUCGGUGACUUCAUUUAUCUAUUGAUGGAGGGAGAAGAUUUCCUAGAUUGUUGAUCAUCCUUCAAAGAAGGACCUGAUUAGUAUGAUUUUGAGGAGCUUACAACCUAGAUUUUCUAGACAUUUGAUGGGAUUUCCUCAUAAGGAUUUUGGAUCCUUGGUACAGGCCUUGUAUGGUAUAGAUGAGGGCAUUGCUAGAGGAUUAUGGCUCAAGUCUUCUCCUUCUGAUUCAAAGGGGAAGAAGCCUUUAGGAGGAUAAAGACCUAGAGAUGUGGGUACUAUCAAUUCAGUAGGAUCGAGAUCUCCCAGGCGCUAUUAAACAUUUGGGCAGACUUUAAGAGCCUAUUACCUAUAGUGUUAUGUUCAGUAUAGAACGCCUAGGCCUAUGACUCCUACAUACCUACAUUCGACCCUAAAGCCUAUUUUUGCUACAUUGGUCUCAAAGAGACCUCCUACUCUAUACCCUCGGCCAUGAGCCCCACAGACUACUAUGCCUUUUGUAAAGAGGCCGACACGACAGUUCUCCCAGCUAGGUAUGCCUUUGAGUCGAGCUUUCCAAAAGCUCAUAGAGGGUGGUUUGUUGAUUCAGUUGGCUCCUAGGCCUGUACCCCAUUCUAUGCCACCGCGCUUCUGGAUGGAUUUGCAUUGCUCUUACCAUCAGGGUCCAAGGCAUGACACGGAUCAUUGUGCCACCUUGAGACAUGCUAUACAGGACUUGAUGGAUUAAGGUCUGGUUAACUCAGGGCAACCAAGUGUAACCAUGAACCCUCUACUAGCUCACUCUACGCAUGCAGUGCCACCACCCUUGGGCGAUAUCCAUCACAUAGAUUUUGUAGAGGAUGACGGCAUACACAUGUUAAGUUGGGAUGAUGGAUUGCCAGAGCCGAUUGUUUUGGAUGAUGGUUAUGAGGUUGACAUAAUGGGUUCUUAGACUUCUACUCCGUUCAGUUUGAUUUCAGAUUGGGUACUGUUUGAGUUUACUCCUACUGCAUCAUUAGCUAUGGUAUGUCAGGGCCCAUCCGUCUUAUUUAUCCUACGACCAAAUGAUGAUGAUUUGGAGGGAAGAGAUGUAUAGAUUGUGAUCCAUAGUGGGAGAGUAACUCAACUCCCACCUUUAGUAGCCAAGCCAUUUGAUGGUGCAUUUUCUCAUAAGGAGGUUAGGAGAGAAGAUGAUGAGAUAUUGAGGCAGUUAUAGAGUACACAUGUCCGCAUAUCUAUUUGGAGUUUGCUAGCAUAUUCUAGUACUCAUAGAGAUGCAUUGAUUCAGGCUUUGAGCUAGAUUCACAUAAAGACCACCACUAUCCCGGAGGGGUUGAUUCAUAUGUUGAUAGCCGACAAGGCCACAUGUAUUGUGUUUUCAAAUGAUAACUUGCCAUUAGAGGGUUCAGACCAUACACACCCUCUAUAUAUUAUAGUUCGUUGUUCAGGCCAUAGAGUUCCAUCCGUCCUAUUGGACAAUGGCUCGGCCUUAAACGUUUGCCCAUUGGCUACUGCUAUCACCCUUGGUUAUGCUCUUUCAGACUUUGGUCCCUUUACACAGACGGUUAGAACAUAUGACAGUACUAAAAGGGAGGUGUGGACCCUCACCCGAUCCACCGGACCGACGCGACUCGCUUUUAAAAGAAAAGAAAGAAAUGAAAAAGUUGGUGUUUUCUAGUUUUGAAAAACCCACCCCCGGUGAGGAACGGUGUUGUUUGGAGUCGCCACUUACUUUUUAUUUUUGUUUUUAAAAUGGGGAAAAUUAAGUAAGAACAAAAACCCCUAAUGACCCCAGUAUGGAAAAAGCGGUCUACGAAAACUAGAUUCUGGGUCCGAGGAUCAGGUUACCCGUUGGGAAGGUACCUCAUGCGAGGUAGCACCCCUCUAGGCCCGAAACUCGGUCUCUACUAAUGAAUUGGGUAUGUGGGAGCAUAUGGGUCAAAGGUCAAAUGAAACCCUAGGCUAAAUAGAUGUCAUGAAUCACAUAAUCCUAAUUGGUAUUUGCCAUGCAUAUGAAUUCAACCAAAUAAAACAAUGGGUGCGUACCUGUGGUCCCUAGCCAAGCGCUACAUAAAAGGUCAGCCAAACACAGAUAAACACAUAACAAAUAUUCAAGAUUAAGCACCAUGCAUGCAUAUGAAUUCAACAACCAAAGCCAACAAUGCGUACCUGCGGUCCCUAGCCAAGCGCUGCAGCAGAGGGUGAGUCAAUCACGCAACAUGUAUUCAAAAUCAAGCAUCAAAGAUUGUGCCAAAAAGGAAGAUAGCUGGUUGAAAUGAGGUAAGAGACUCCCCCAAAUGUCAUACAAAUCGAACUAGACUCAUCUAGACCACACCACCCAUAACUUCAAAAUUGCCCAUACUAACUGAAAUCAAACACUGACUUAAACCUUCAAGAUGGCUCACAAGUGCCCUAUAGCAAAUGGGUUUGAGCCCCCAUGGAUAAGGGCUCGAAAAAUGCCAAAAUCGAGGGCUACCUAAAGUCCUCCAGCAGAACAAGUUGAACUAGUUCUCAACUGGUACAACCUAUUGAGAAGAAUUCCCAAAUUUUUCUAGAAAACUCCUAAAUGAGUGAGGAUUCAAACAAAAGAAACGACACUCAAUCCCGAGCCCAAAUGAGUGAGAACCAGACAAAGAAAGGCAGGUGUUCCUCAUGGCUGACAGAGGCAUCCAGCUAUGGUGCUGAAUCGGUUGAACCGGUUCCCAACCUAUUCAGCCGAUUGAUAAAAAAUCCCAAAUUCUAUCAUAAAGUUCCUAAGUGAUUGAGGAAGCAAACAAAAGAAACAGUUCUCAAUUCCGAGCCCGGAUGAGUGAGAACCAGACAAAGAAAGGUAAGUGUUCCUCAUGGCUGAUAGAGGCUGCCAGCUAUGGUGCUGAACUGGUUGGUAAAAAAUCCCAAAUUCAGUCAGAAACUUCCUAAGUGAUUAAGGAAGCAAACAAAAGAAACGGUUCUCGAUUCCGAGCCCGGAUGAGUGAGAACCAGACAAAGAAAGGCAAGUGUUCCUCAUGGCUAACAGAGCCUGCCAGCUAUGGUGCUGAACCGAUUGAACCGGUUUCCAACCGGUUCAGCUGGUUGAUAAAAAAUCCCAAAUUAGUUCAAAAAGUUCCUAAGUGAUUAAGGAAGAAAACAAAAGAAACGGUUCUCAAUUCUGAGCUCGGAUGAGUGAGAACCGGACAAAGAAAGGCAGGUGUUCCUCAUGGCUGACAGAGGCAGCCAGCUAUGGUGCUGAACUGGUUAAACCGGUUUCCAACCGGUUCAGCCAGUUGAUAAAAAAUCCCAAAUUAGGUAAGAAAGUUCCUAAGUGAUUAAGGAAGUAAACAAAAGAAACGGUUCUCAAUUCCAAGCCCGGAUGAGUGAGAUACAGACAAAGAAAGGCAAGUGUUCCUCAUGGAUGACAGAGGCUGCCAGUUAUGGUGCUGAACCGGUUGAACCGGUUUCAAACUGGUUCAUCCGGUUGUUAAAAAAUCCAAAAUUUGGUAAGAAAGUUCCUAUGUGAUUAAGGAAGCAAAAAAAAGAAACGGUUCUCAAUUUUGAGCCCGGAUGAGUGAGAACCAGACAAAGAAAGGCAAGUGUUCCUCAUGGCUGACAGAGGCUGCCAGCUAUGGUGCUGAACUGGUUGAACCGGUUCCAAACCGGUCCAGCCGGUUGGUAAAAAAUCCCAAAUUCGGUCAGAAAGUUCCUAAGUGAUUAAGGAAGCAAAAAAAAGAAACGGUUCUCAAUUCCGAGCCCGGAUGAGUGAGAACCAGACAAAGAAAGGCAAGUGUUCCUCAUGGCUGACAGAGGCUGCCAGCUAUGGUGCUGAACCGGUUGAACCGGUUCCAAACCGGUUCAAUCGGUUGGUAGAAAAUCCCUAAUUCGGUCAGAAAGUUCCUAAGUGAUCAAGGAAGCAAACAACAACAAUCAUGUGUGGCCUUUAUUAUCCACACCCAAACAAUACAAUCUUCAUAUCAAAGGGAAGAAAAUAUGAUGAGGAAGGAGAAAAAACAUAUGAAGACGAGGAAGAUAAACUGUAAGUAAAGAAAAUUCAGCGUGCUUACCUCAGAAUCUCCACCAAAUAUGAUCCGUGCAUGCCGAUGAUGACUUCCAAAACUGAGAGGCUGUCACUCUCCUCUUCAAAAAAACCACAGUGCUGAAGCUUUCCCCCACACUCUCAACUCAGAAGAUGCUACUGACCUUUUGUUUUUCUCACCAGCAAAAUUUCCCCUCUCCAAAAUGUCAAAAGGUCCUUUGCUCUCCUAUCCUCUCACCUUUUAUACUCAUACCCCUCUUAGCAUUUGAGCCUCCUGGGUUCCUUCCCCUUCAGCACCGAAAUUCCCUUCAUCAACAUGGGAACCACACCCCUCAUUACUUCUCUUAGACUUACAAGGCCAGCUCACUCCCUUCAGUUUUUUCAACUUGCUUCACCACCAAGAAUCCAUAUGGAUUCAUGGUGGGCUGCAAGGAACCCAAAACAAGGCCUAAAAUGGACCCACAACAUUUCCCAAAACCGAUCUGGAGCUUAUGGGCCUGAGCCAUGUAGGAUUUGGGCUUCAAAAUUACUAGAAUUAGUGUUCUACCUCAGCUGACUCAAUGAACCGGCUGAACCGGCCGAACCGGAUGCCAACUGGUCGAACCAAUGGAAAAAAAUUCUGAAAAUUUGACAGAAUGUUCCUAGUAGAGUAAGGAAUCCAUUAAAAAAAACGGUGCAUGAUUCCAAGUUCGGAAGAGAGAGAUAUGAUCAAAACAAUUACCAAAAAUCAGUGUUCUACACCGGCUGACUCGAUGAACCGGCUGAACUGGCUGCCAACCAGCCGACCGGUUGCAAAAAAUUUUGAAAAUUUUACAGAAUGUUCCUGGAAGAAUAAGGAAUCCAUAAAAAGAAACGGUUCUUGAUUCCGAGUUUGGAUGAGGGAGAUACAAUCAAAACAAGCCCGAGUGCUCCGAACCUCAACAUGCCCCUAUAAACCCCAACUAAGCUAAAACAUCGGGAUGACCCUACUUCCUUCCUAUAGCGUGAUGUGAACGACUAGGAAAAUGGCCAUGGUGACCCUCCGAAAUGAACCACAUAUGCACCACAAUGGACCACAGACAAACCCACACAAGGCUCGGACACCGACUAAGCCCAAAAGGGGCCCUAGUGGUGCCAUAUGCGAACGAUGGGUGGAUGUGACACCCGAAGGAUAAAUGCCAGUGUCGAGGGACAAAAUUGAGGGUCUACAAAUAUGCCCCUCUUCAGUAGAGUGAAUGAACGAGUGAAUUGUGAGUGCAAAGUGCAUGUAAUGCAAGAGUGAAAUGAACUCUAGUGAAGAACCCAAAUGACCAACAAUUUUGUCCCCACCCAACAAUAAAGAAGGCUAAGGGAAAUAAGUCAUGCUGACCGAAUGGACUAUGGGAUCUAGGCACGAUGCCGGAGAAAGAUAAAAAGAGACCCGAUCACAAUGCCGGGAAAGAUUAGGGAUUUUAUCCAGGCAAGUACCGGAGAAGGGUUCGGGCAAGUACCAAAAAAUGGUGGAAUCCGGGUGAGUACCAGAAAAGGGUUAGGGCAAGUACCGAAAAAUGGUGGAAUCCGGGCGAGUACCGAAAAUGGGUAAAAUUCGGGCGAGUACCGGAGAAGGGUCCGGGUGAGUACCGGAAAAAGUUCCGGGCGAGUACCAGAGAAGGGUUCGGGCAAGUACCGAAAAAGCUCCGAGCGAGUACCGGAGAAGGCUUCGGGCAAGUACCAAAAAAGCUCCGGGCGAGUACUGAAAAAGCUCUGGGUGAGUACCGGAGAAGGGUCCGGGCGAGUACCGGAAACGGGUAAAAUUCGGGUGAGUACCGAAAACGGGUAAAAUUCGGGCGAGUACCGGAGAAGGGUUCGGGUGAGUACCGGAGAAGGGUUCGGGCGAGUACCAGAGAAGGUUCCGGGCAAGUACCAAAACAGGUCCGGGCGAGUACCGGAGAAGGGUGGAAUCUGGGCGAGUACCAGAGAAGGGUCCGGGCGAGUACCGAAAAAGUGUGAAAUCCGGGCGAGUACCGAAGAAGGGUUCGGGCAGGUACCGGGAAAGGGUGGAAUCCGGGUGAGUACCGAAAAAGUGUGAAAUCCGGGCGAGUACCGAAGAAGGGUCCAGGCGGGUACCGGAAAAUGGUGGAAUCCAGGCGAGUACCGGAGAAGGGUCCGGGCGAGUACCGGUAAAGGGUGGAAUCCGGGCGAGUACCAAAGAAGGGUCCGGGAGAGUAUCGGAAAAUGGUGGAAUCUGGACGAGUACCAGAGAAGGGUUCGGGCAAGUACCGGAAAAGGGUGGAAUUCGGGCGAGUACCGAAAAAGCUCCGGGUGAGUACCGGAGAAGGGUCCGGGCGAGUACCGGAAACGGGUAAAAUUCGGGCAAGUACCUAAAACGGGUAAAAUUCGGGCGAGUACCGGAGAAGGGUCCGGGCGAGUACCGGAGAAGGUUCCGAGCAAGUACCGAAAAAGGUCCGGGCGAGUACCGGAGAAGGGUGGAAUCUGGGCGAGUACCAGAGAAGGGUCCGGGCGAGUACCGAAAAAGUGUGAAAUCUGGGCGAGUACCGGAGAAGGGUCCGGGCGAGUACCGAAAAAUGGUGGAAUCUGGGCGAGUACCGUAGAAGGGUCCGGGAGAGUACCGAAAAAUGGUGGAAUCCGAGCGAGUACCAGAGAAGGGUUCGGGCGAGUAUCGGAAAAUGGUGGAAUCCGGGCGAGUACCGGAAAAGUGUGAAAUCCGGGCGAGUACCGGAGAAGGGUCCAGGCGGGUACCGGAAAAUGGUGGAAUCCGGGCGAGUACCGGAGAAGGGUCCGGGCGAGUCCCGGAGAAGGAUUCGGGCAAGUAUCGAAAAAUGGUGGAAUAGGGGAUCGAACUCGGGCACGAUGCCAAGGAACCACCGAACUAAAAGGGGGUAGGGAUGUCAUUACUAAGGCUCAAAACACCUAAACAGACAGGGGAUGCCUUAAAACAAAACUCAGAGCAAAAUAGGGGGACUCAAGAUGCAACUGCUGACAUACUAACCUUGAUAAAAAAGGGAUAUGCCCCAGUAUGACGUCCAGGGACUGCCAACAGAUGACUCGAAGAAGCCAGAAAUCAAACACCUUCAUCAUGACAAAAGAAAGGGGUAUGCCCCGGUGUAACACCAGAAAAUGCCGAUAAAUGACAAGCGAGAAAUCACAAUCACCACUAACAAAUGGAACGAAGGGGGUAUGCCCCUAUAGGACAAACUCACAAAUGUGACCAAGGGUGAAAGAAAGGAGUUAUGCCCCAGUCUAAGAUAUCAAUAUCAUGUCAGAAUCCCAUAACCGCACAUAUGGUUAAAGUCAGAGAGCUGAAAAUAUCACAAUCAUCCAUUUCUAAGGAAAAAAAACCCUCCACUCUAAUCCACAACAUCCAAUAUCCACAAAAACUGAUAGGGGAUAUGCCCCAGUGUGUACAUCUGAAACUCAAAUAUCUUAAUGAAAACUCUGGAAUACAUCACUGAAGACCCACUCAUUUGAACUAACAAACAAGACAAUGAAUGGGAUAUGCACCCCUGCUGGGUCGAUGAAUACCGUGAAUCUGAUCUCGGGUCAGACCUCAGAAGCACUCUGCUAUAUGAAGAAACUGGGCUAAAUGCUGGGCUUACUCAAACUUUGAUGUCCAUAACAUUGCUAGGAGAAACAGAAUGCCUGGGUACAUGUAUAAAGAGCCAAAGCCAGCAUGCAAGGAUGGGAGCAUGCCCCAGUAAAAACGUGUCAAAACAUCAGGCAAAGGUGCCCUCAACGGUCCCAACUCUCUAUAUCAUCUAUCUCUGAUCAUGGACCUGAGGCAAGUAAACUGAAUGGAAAGACAAUAUGUGACCCUCGAUAUCCCCCGAAGUAAUGGAGACCUGUCAACAUCCUAUACUCAAUCAGUAGACGAAGCCUGUCCGAAUGAACCGCAUCGAAGCAAACACGAGAUCUCAUGGCCUUAGGGUGGUCUUACGACUCGAACCGUAAUGUAGGCCAGGGGUAAAAGGUUAAUGAAACGAUGGGAAACAAAGACCCAAAUCUCCCAAUAGAUAAUGCCAAACCCCUGUGUGCGCAAUGUCAAAUAUCGCAUAACCAUGUGAGCAAGGUGACUCAACCCUGCAUCCAAAUAAAAAAACAAACAAUAGGUGAUACGCACCAAAGAACUCAUCGUUCAUGAAGUGAAACGACAAUCGACGAGGAUAGAAGCAGACGAAAAGGGACAAGAUGAAUGAUGAAUGGGUGUAGAAGAAAAUGGAGAAACCAACUGGGAUAUAAAUAUAGCAAUAUGUGACAACGACGAACAACUCAUCCUAAGAACGCCAAAUCAAAGCAAGUCACUAUAUGAUGGGAAUGGUGAUGUAGACAAUGAUCCAAGGGCCUAGUGCCAAGGAAACCCAAACCUCACUCCCAAUGUGUCGCCCAGAUCCAUGGUGAGAAGGAUCGUACAAUGCUCUCAUCCGACUCUUAAAGGAAAAAGAAAUCUCUCAAACCCAAAACCACCUCUGAUGAUCCCAAGUAUAUCAACGAAUACCAGUCAGGUUUUUUUUUUUUUUUUGGGCCGAAUUCCAUACUAUCACAAUCCAACAAAAAGAACCCCAAACCUCUAAUCUUGACCGACCCCUUCAACCUAAGAAUCUUGGAUCAAAGCUUACAGGUGCAAUGAAGGGUGUGACAAACCUGACUGGUAGCUCUGGGACGAGAGCGCAUCAUCAUCACACAAGGGAAAACAGAAGUGAAGUGAAUAGAGAUGAUAGAAACUGGACUAACAGGUAGACGGUGUGAAGAUGCAAAAUGGAGACGAAAAGAAACAGGCAAUGAUGCAAGAAAGAACAAACGAAGAAUGACACCAUGCCCACAAUGCUCAUAGAUCCAAUCAAUAAAUAAAAAGCGCACAAGGGUAGGCCCCCAACCUAGGUCAGAAAAGGUAUGCAAGGCUGAAUGAAAGAAAAGGCCAUAAUAAACCACGUGAGGCUCAAAGGGCUAGCAAUAGUAUAUAUCAAUGUAUGGGUGUGCAAUAGGGAAUAUGGCUACUCGAAGUGACGGCCACCCAUCCUCUGACCAUGAUCUCACGCAUAAAACUUCUUCAGCUGAUCCACAUUAACUGGCUUUGUGAACUGAUUUCCAUCUAGGUCUGUCAACCAGGCAGCUCCCUCUCGAGUCAGAUCUCGAAUGACAUAAGACCCACUCCAACUCGGUCUAAACUUGCCUCUAGGGUAGCUGAUCAAUCCCCCGAGGACUUUCAAGACUAGGUCACCUCUCUGGAAUUUCCUAGGCUUGACCCUCUUUCUGAAUGCACGGGUCAUCUUCCUCUGAUAGGCCUGAACAUGAUCUGCCGCCCUCAAUCUCUUCUCAUCCAACAGGUUAAGUUGAUCAUAACAAGACUGGGCCCACUCGGCCUCGGAUAUAUGCUGCUCUAGUGCUACUCUCAAAGAUCCCAUCUCAAUCUCAACAGGUAGCACUGCCUCCAUACCAUACACCAAAGAAUAUGAGGUAGCUCCAAUAGAGGUACGAAAAGAUGUACGAUAAGCCCACAAUGCGAAAGAGAGCUUCUCUGACCAAUCCCGAGAAGUCUUGACCAUCUUUCUCAAAAUCCUCUUGAUAUUCUUAUUUGCGGCCUCAACUGCUCCAUUAGUCUGCGGCCUGCACGCAGACGAUCUGUGAUGCUGAAUGCCAUACUCUUGAAUCAACGUGUCCACCUCGCCCCUGAAAUGCACCCCUCUAUCAGAAAUCAACUCGUGAGGGACCCCGUAUCGGCAAAUAAUGUGCGAUCUGAUGAAUUUGGCCACCCUGGCCGCUGUCAAUCUAGCAUAGGAAGUGGCUUCCACCCACUUGGUGAAAUAGUCAAUGACUACCAAAAUGUACUCAUGCCCACUGGAAGACUUGGGAAAGAUCUUCCCAAUAAUAUCAAUACCCCAUACUGAAAAUGGCCAAGGGGAUGCAAGUGCAUGCAACUCAGAAGGUGGCACGUGUAUCAAGUCUCCAUGCAUCUGACACUCCUAACAUCUCUGUACAAACUGGCAACAAUCUAUCUCCAUGGUCAACCAAAAGUAACCAGUCCUCAUGAUCUUACGUGCUAGCAUAUGACCUCCCAUGUGUGGGCCACAGACCCCUGCAUGAACCUCUCUCAUCACUCGAUCUGCAGAUGCACGGUCUAAACAUAAUAAUAACAAGCCAUCAGGUGAUCUCCUAUACAACGCAUCCCCGCAAACAACAAAUCUGGUGGCCAACUGUCUCAAUGCUCUCCUAUCCUUAGCCGAGGUUGACUUUGGGUAAGCGCCGCAUGACAGAAACUGAUAAAUAUCAUGAUACCAUGGCAGCUCAAUCUGAUCCUCUAUUUCUCCAAUCAAACAAUAGUAAGCUGGUGCAGACUUAGUCUCAAUCAGCAAUGGCCUAACAUUCACCCCCGUACGGAUCACAAUUAGAGAAGCCAAGGUGGCUAAUGCAUCGGCAAACUGAUUCUCCGCCCUGGGCAAAUGUAUAUACCUUAACACAUCGAAUCUAUCAAUCAACUGGUCCAAGUAAGCAUGGUAGGGUUUCAACUUCUCAUCCUGUGUCCUCCAGAUACCUUGAGUCUACUUUAUAACCAAGUUGGAAUCCUCGUGGAUCUCCAACUGUCUAAUGCCAAGAUCAAGUGCAGUCUCCAAACCUGUAAUGCAAGCCUCAUACUCUACAAUAUUAUUCGUCAACCGGUGAUGAUCAGAAAAUGCUAACCGGACUGAUCUGGGGAUAUGAUCACCCUGUGGUGAUAUCAAUAAGAUACCAAUGCCAAACCCCGACUGAUUGGCGGCACCAUCAAAGUACAAUCGCCACCCCGUAAUACUAGUCAUUGAAACAAUCUGCUCAUCAGGGAAAUCAUCAUCAACUGAUCGGUCAUCGGAUAUCGGCAAAGAAGCUAGAUGAUCUGCAACAAUGCUUCCCUUUACUGACUUCUGCGUGACAUAAUGAAUAUCAAACUCUGUCAACAAUACCAGCCAUCUCAUGAGCCUACCGGUCAGAACAGGCCUGUCAAAUAGAUACCUCAACGGGUCCAAUCGUGAGACCAAGAGCACAGAAUACUCUGUCAUGUAAUGUUUAAGUCUCCUAGUGGCCCAAACCACUGCUAAGCAAAGGCGCUCAAUCAUAAUGUACUUGCACUCAUACUCAAGCAUCCUUUUACUCAAAUAAUAGAUGGCUCGCUCCUUCCCCAAAUCAUCAAGUUGAGCUAGCAUGCAUCCUAAGGCCAUGUCUGAAACUGAUAAGUAUAGAAGCAAAGGACGCCCUGGUGUGGGAGGCACUAAAACCGGAGAAGAAAGGAGACACUCCUUAAUCCUCUCAAAAGCGCGCUGACAAUCAUCAUUCCAAACUGUAGGCUGAUUCUUCCUCAGAAGGCGGAAGAUAGGCUCACAAAUGUCUGUCAGUCUAGCAAUGAAACGAUUGAUGUACUGCAAUCUACCUAGGAAUCCCCUUAUCUCUUUCUCAGUCCUCGGGGUAAGCAUGUCAAGUAUGGCUCUAAUUUUCUCUGGAUCAACCUCUAUACCUCGCUCACUAACAAUGUGUCCCAGUAAUUUUCCAGAAGUCACCCCAAAGGUGCACUUCUUGGGAUUCAAUCUUAGCCUGAACUGUCUGAUCCUCUCAAAAAACCUUUGUAAGGCUGCUAAGUGAUCUACCCUGUCUCGGGACUUUACUAUCAUGUCAUCCACAUAGACCUCGACAUCUUUAUGCAUCAUAUCAUGGAACAGAGUAGUAGCAGCUCUCUGAUAAGUGGCUCCUGCAUUCUUCAACCCAAAUGGCAUAACUCGGUAGCAGUAAGUACCCCACUCAGUAAUGAAAGAAGUCUUCACCAUAUCCUCUGGAGCCAUCAAAAUCUGAUUAUACCCAGAAAAACCAUCCAUGAAGGAUAACAUCGGAUGCCCUGCAGUGCUAUCAACCAGCAUAUCAAUGUGUGGAAGGGGAAAAUCAUCCUUAGGGCUGGCCUUAUUCAGAUCUCGAAAGUCAACACAAACUCUAACCUUACCGUCCUUUUUGGGAACAGGGACGACAUUAGCCAGCCACUCAGGAUACUCAACCACUGACAAGAAGCCAACAAUGAGUUGCUUCUAAAUUUCUUCCUUAACCUGCAAACUCCAUCGAGGGUGUAGUCUCCUCAAUUUCUGCUUAACGAGCCUAGCAUGUGGUAAAAUGGGCAGGUGAUGCUGCACUAUGGUGGGGUCAAGGCUCGGCAUGUCCUCAUAUGACCAUGCAAAUACAUCCCAGUAUGACCUAAGCAGGUCAAUCAAUCUACUCCUCUCAUCAGGAGAUAGAGAAGAGACAAUCCUAAUCUCCCUAGGCUGAUCUGGUGCCCCAAAAUCUAUCAACUCUGUGCUACUAGAAAUGGGUGUGACUUUCCUAUCCUCCGUAUCAGAAUCACACUUUGACUGACCACCCAGUGGGUCAUCUGUAUCUCCCACAUCAUCAACAUCAUAUAUAUGUGUCGUGGGUGCUGGUGGUGCAAUCAAAGGAAAAUGUUGUGACACAUUUAAGUACUCGAAAAUACUCAUAUCAUUAUUACCAUUAGAAAUAUCAUCAAAGCGGGUGACAAACCUGGACAUAGUGUCAAAAGAAAGAGGUGGGUCCAUAGAGUCGGACGCUCCCUCAACAGAAGCAAAAUCAGAAGUAACGACAUCAAGGACUGACUCAUCAUCAAGUACGGAAACUCCAGAUACGUCGAAAGCAGAAAGGGGUCUGUGUGGGGCUGCAUCAAGGAUACGACCAAUGCCUACAAAAUCCAUAUCAUUAGUGUGGGCAUCAGGAAUAGAGUCAUCCUCAUCAGUCUCGAGUACAAAAACUCCGAACAUGUCAAAAAAAGUAUGGGGCCCGUGUGGUGCUGCAUCGAAGAUACGGCCUAUGUCGAUCAUGUCCAUCUCGUCAGUGCCAUAUCCCAAAUCCAUAGGUAGGUCAUAAUUAGGGACCUCCUCGGGGAAACACAUAGAGAACAUACUAGCUCGGUCCGGUGAUGGGGGCGUGACUAUCAUGGCACCAGGUGCCUCAGUAGUCCCGGUGUCCAAAUGAAUCUGACCCAGGGCCUGCUGGAUGUCCUGAAUCUCAACUGUCUCUGGAAUGUGAACAGUCCCCUUUGUGCGAGGUGUAUGCUCUGAACCCCUAAUGAAGUAGUCGGCCAACUGGAAGGUGUAUGGGCGGAGGGGAUAAUCAAAUGGAAUGCCAGACAUGCGAGCCUUCACCCUAUCCCUACGCAGCUGUGACAUAUAACGUGCAUCAGCCUCUGUGGGGAUGUAACCUAAUCCGUUGGGCGUGUCGUGAUCAACUGUGAAAGUAAACUCUUGAGGCCCCUGCUGGCGGUGACCCAAUCCCAUGCCAUGCAAAUAAGACAUGCCUCUCAUCAUGCUGAGCACCAAAAUGUUGUUGUGCUGGUCAAAUGAUAUAGGUACCAUAUCUCUGCUACCGUCCUCUAAGCUGACAACCUGAACCUCAUCGAACGUAAACCCGGUCAAAUGUAAGUCAUCCUCCCUGUGACUGAUAUGUAAUACUGGAUCAGUCGAAGUGAUAAUAUUUCUAUCAGACUAUAUCGUGAUAAUGCGCCCCUCGUGUAUGAACUUCACCUUCUGAUGAAGGGAAGAUGGUAUAGCAUCGACCUUAUGAAUCCACGGGCGGCCAAGAAGCAGGUUAAAGGAUGACUGAAUCCUCAAAACCUGAAAUACUAUGGAGUAACUAACUGGCCCAAUCAUGACAUGUGUACUAAGUGUACCCAUAACUNNNNNNNNNNNNNNNNNNNNNNNNNNNNNNNNNNNNNNNNNNNNNNNNNNNNNNNNNNNNNNNNNNNNNNNNNNNNNNNNNNNNNNNNNNNNNNNNNNNNCAGGGCAGAGCCAUUGUCCAAUAGAACAAACGGCACCCGACGACCUAAACAAGCAACAUCAAUGAAUAAGGGUAGAACAUGAUUUGAUCCCUCUGGUGGCAAGUCAUCAUCAGAAAACACUAUACAUGUAGCUCUAUCAGCUGUCAACAUGUGAAUAAGCCCCUCUGGGGUAGUAGUAAUGUCAACCCUAAUCUGGCCAAGGGCUCUGACUAAUGCAUCUCUGUGUGUACUAGAAGAGGCCAAAAGGCUCCAAAUGGAUAUGCGAGCCUGAGUAGUGCGUAGUUGGCGUAAUAUCUCAUCAUCUUAUCUCUGAACCUCCUCUCUAGCAGCUAUACCAGCAAAUGGCCUGUCAACGGGUGGAGGUUGUGCUACCCUUCCACUCCGUGUAACUAUCUGAACAUCUCUAUGAGGGGGCCUAUAUUCCUCUAGGAACAGAAUGAAGGGUGUCAUAGGUGGCACAUGCUGUAAGUAUACUGGUGAUACUGGAGGCGGCCCAUAAAUCCUGUCCGGGGUCAAACUGAAUGGCCUGGGGAUCUGUUGUCUAGGUAUAUAUCCAACAAAAUUUGACUCCUCAUAUAGACUGAUCGGAUGAGGAGCCUCUCCAUCCCAACCCAUCAUAAAUAUCUCAUCCCCUGCAAACUCAAUCAAAUGUACCCCUUCUGGGGGUGGAGGUACUGCUCUAGUGUCAUGAGUAGGUAGCGGGUCUGUGGCUACACCCGGGCGCCCCAAAUCAACCAAGUCCUGAUCAAUCAAAUCUUGAAUGGCAUGUCUCAGUGCUGAACAACUGUUUGAAUCAUGGCUUGCUCUCUGAUGGUAUGCACAGUGAAGAUUUGUCCUGAAUCCCGGGGGAGUAGGUUGUAGUGGUGGUCUAGGUGGUAGUGGGGCAAUCAGUCCCCCCUCAACCAAUCUCUGAAAAGCUUGGCUCAGUGGCAUCCCAAGCUGUGUGAACUGUCUAACUGGCCUCGGUGGAGGUGGUGCUCUAUACUGACGAUGGAACUGCAUAGGCGGCCUCUGGGGUGCCUGUGUAGCAUAUACUGGCUGUGGUGGCAGAUGUAGAUAAGUAGGCCCUACUGGCCUAAUGGGAGCAACUGGUCUGUACUGAUCAUGUUGUAUCAUCUGAUAAGGAGUGCCUAAAAACUGACUCUGAAACGGAGGACGACGUGAAGACCGGUGUCCUAUCAUGCCAAUAGUACCAACAUCUAAGGGCCUGGGGCCUGAUCCCGACUUCUUCCCCUUUGAGUCUGAAGGGGAAGAAUCUGCCCAUAAACCUCUAGAUAUACCCUCCUCAAUGCCAUAGAGGGCCUGCACUAAUGAGCCAAAGUCUGUCUGAGAGAAGCCCAUGAGAUGCCUAGCAAAGCGGGGCUGAAGGCUGCGCAUAAUCAUACUGAUCUGAUCGCGCUCUGAAGGUCUAUCAAUAAUCUGUGCUAUCUUCUCCCUCCAAUGGGAGAUGAAUGCAGUGACUGUCUCAUCCGGCCCCUACCUAAGGGCCUCUAACUCCCUCUGGGAUACAUCUACUAUAGUAUUGAAAGAAUACUGUCUAAUAAACUCCUGUCCCAAAUCAGCCCAUGUCCUACGUCUCGAAGGGUCCAAUGAGGCAAACCAAUGCUGAGCAGCACCACUCAACGACCGAGGAAAUAACAUAAUCAUUUGUGCCUCAUCCAGUCUAUGCCCGCACAUAACAGUGCUGUAUAACUGCAAGUGAAUAUGGGGGCACCCUAUCCCCGUGUAUCUCUCAAUGUCCGGCAUGCGGAACUCAACAGGCAAAGCUGCUACUGGCAUAUCAUCAUAUCCAUCCCAACCCAUAAUCCCAUCAGAAACAUGUAGUGAUCUCAUCCUCUGCUCAAUCUUAUCAAUACGAGCCUAGGUAUCAUCAACAAUCUGUGUUGGUGCCACAAUAGAAUGCGGCGUAGUCUCAGUCUGACCAUGCAACACAAAUGCUCCAGCCUGGGGAGCUGACUGAACCGGUGGCGGUGGUGGUGGUGGAACUGCGUAGUCCUGCUGUAUAGUAGGUCCAGACAGCCCAGAUGGUGGUGGUGGUGGUGUUGUGGUAGAGUCAUGCAGGGUGCUCCCCGGAAUCGGCAAUGGCUGGGCCUGGUGCCCAUCAAUCCUCUGACCCAGUCCAAAGAUAGCGUCCCUAAGUGACGCUAUGGUAUCGGUAAUCUCAGCCAAAUGGUCAACGGUAGCGUACUGAGGGUCCAUAUCUCUAUGAUUUGGUAUCUGCUCUAACUGGCUGGGUGAAUCCGAUCCUCUAACCAGUCUAUCUCCAAUCCGGAUCCAAGCUCGGGAACCCAGGUCGAUCUCAAUCAAUAAUCCUACAAAAGGAAAGGGGUACGUCAGUCCCCGUGACUAUCAAUCCUGAAAUCAAACUAGGAACUUAUAACUAAAAUCUUCCGAGAGAAUGAACUGACAUGUGAUGUCAAUAGCUAAACUGAUAUAUGGUUCCACAGGCAGGAAUGGGAUUCUGACAUGGUGACACCUCAGGGGUAAUGUGACUCAAAAGUCAAAAAAAGAGAAAAGGCAAGUCCUAAAAGACUAGAUGACUAUACCCACAGGGAUACACAACCUAAGGUCCUAACUAACAAUCAAUCAACAAUCAAAGUGACAUGCUGGCCACGCAUGUAUCCAUGAAAUCCAGCUCAGGGCUAUACAGGUCUUCAUUGCUCAGAUAUCCAUCUUUUCCAUAGUGCUCCCAAACAUCGAUAUAGCCCUUAUGCUAGACCCUAUUCCAAACCCCUAGCUUGGUCGAAGGCGAACAAUUGGGAAUGACUCCCAAGAAACACAAGCAAUCCAUGAGGAAUAGUUGACCAAGACUAGUGAUUCGGAAGUAAGGCAGCAAGCAGUCAUGCAAGGGAAGGAGCGAUCAUACAACAAAUAGUCAUGCACAAAGAGAUAGCCUACCACACAUCUACACACAAUCUAAUCAUCUAAGUCUAAUCCCAAAUGUCAUAGCUAGAUACCAAUCAACAAUGAGCAAGCAUGCUAGAAUCCAACAGGUGAACACACAAGCAACAACACAUCACAGGUGCAAGCCAAAUACCAGCCAACUACGUGAUCAUUAGUCAUCUACGUAGCCUAAGAGUCUACUUAUCAAUGAACCAUGUGCUCCAAUAUACCCAACUCAAGUUCAAGCUUGAUCUUCUUAUGAAACCAGAGAUUCUGGGUUCGAUCCCCAGCGGAGUCGCCAAUUUGUAGACCCUUACCCGAUCCACUGGACCGACGCGACUCGCUUUUAAAAGAAAAGAACGAAAUGAAAAAGUUGGUGUUUUCCAGUUUUGAAAAACCCACCCCCGGUGAGGAACGGUGUUGUUUGGAGUAGCCACUUACUUUUUAUUUUUGUUUUUAAAAUGGGGAAAAAUAAGUAAGAACAAAAACCCCUAAUGACCCCAGUAUGGAAAAAACGGUCUACGAAAACUGGAUUCUGGGUCCGGGGAUCAGGUUACCCGUUGGGAAGGUACCUCAUGCGAGGUAGCACCCCUCUAGGCCCGAAACUCGGUCUCUACUAAUGAAUUGGGUAUGUGGGAGCAUAUGGGUCAAAGGUCAAAUGAAACCCUAGGCUAAAUAGAUGUCAUGAAUCACACAAUCCUAAUUGGUAUUUGGCAAGCAUAUGAAUUCAACCAAAUAAAACAAUGGGUGCGUACCUGUGGUCCCUAGCCAAGCGCUACAUAAAAGGUCAGCCAAACACAGAUAAACACAUAACAAACAUUCAAGAUUAAGCACCAUGCAUGCAUAUGAAUUAACAACCAAAGCCAACGAUGCGUACCUGCGGUCCCUAGCCAAGCGUUGCAGCAGAGGGUGAGUCAGUCACGCAACAUGUAUUCAAAAUCAAGCAUCAAAGAUUGUGCUAAAAAGGAAGAUAGCUGGUUGAAAUGAGGUAAGGGACUCCCCCAAAUGUCAUACAAAUCGAACUAGACUCAUCUAGACCACACCACCCAUAACUUCAAAAUUGCCCAUACUAACUGAAAUCAAACACUGACUUAAACCUUCAAGAUGGCUCACAAGUGCCUUAUAGCAAAUGGGUUUGAGCCCCCAUGGAUAAGGGCUUGAAAAAUGCCAAAAUCGAGGGCUACCUAAAGUCCUCCAGCAGAAUAGGUUGAACUAGUUCUCAACUGGUACAACCUAUUGAGAAGAAUUCCCAAAUUUUUCUAGAAAACUCCUAAAUGAGUGAGCAUUCAAACAAAAGAAACGACACUCAAUCCCGAGCCCGGAUGAGUGAGAACCAGACAAAGAAAGGCAGGUGUUCCUCAUGGCUGACAGAGGCAGCCAGCUAUGGUGCUGAACUGGUUGAACUGGUUUCCAACCGGUUCAGCCAGUUGAUAAAAAAUCCCAAAUUUGGUCAGAAAGUUCCUAAGUGAUUAAGGAAGAAAACAAAAGAAACGGUUCUCAAUUCUGAGCUCGGAUGAGUGAGAACCGGACAAAGAAAGGCAGGUGUUCCUCAUGGCUGACAGAGGCAGCCAGCUAUGGUGCUGAACCGGUUUCCAACUGGUUCAGCCAGUUGAUAAAAAAUCCCAAAUCUGGUCAGAAAGUUCCUAAGUGAUUAAGGAAUCAAACAAAAGAAACGGUUCUCAAUUCUGAGUCUGGAUGAGUGAGAACCAGACAAAGAAAGACAAGUGUUCCUCAUGGCUGACAGAGGCUGCUAGCUAUGGUGCUGAACCGGUUGAACCGGUUUCAAACCGGUUCAGCCGGUUGGUAAAAAAUCCCAAAUUUGGUCAGAAAGUUCCUAAGUGAUUAAGAUAAACAAAAGAAAGGGUUCUCAAUUCCGAGCCUGGAUGAGUGAGAAACAGACAAAGAAAGGCAAGUGUUCCUCAUGGCUGACAGAGGCUGCCAGCUAUGGUGCUGAACCGGUUGAACCGGUUCCAAACCAGUUCAGCUGGUUGGUAAAAAAUCCCAAAUUUGGUCNNNNNNNNNNNNNNNNNNNNNNNNNNNNNNNNNNNNNNNNNNNNNNNNNNNNNNNNNNNNNNNNNNNNNNNNNNNNNNNNNNNNNNNNNNNNNNNNNNNNAAGUGUUCCUCAUGGCUGACAGAGGCUGCCAGCUAUGGUGCUGAACCGGUUGAACCGGUUCCAAACCAGUUCAGCUGGUUGGUAAAAAAUCCCAAAUUUGGUCAAAAAGUUCCUAAGUGAUUAAGGAAGCAAACAAAAGAAACGGUUCUCAAUUCCGAGCCCAGAUGAGUGAGAACCAGACAAAGAAAGGCAAGUGUUCCUCAUGGCUGACAGAGGCUGCCAGCUAUGGUGCUGAACCGGUUCCAAACCGGUUCAGCCGGUUGGUAGAAAAUCCCUAAUUCGGUCAGAAAGUUCCUAAGUGAUCAAGGAAGAAAACAAAAACAAUCAUGUGUGGCCUUUAUUAUCCACACCCAAGCAAUACAAUCUUCAUAUCAAAGGGAAGAAAAGAUGAUGAGGAAGGAGAAAAAGCAUAUGAAGACGAGGAAGAUAAACUGUAAGUAAAGAAAAUUCAGCGUGCUUACCUCAAAAUCUCCACCAAAUAUGAUCCGUGCAUGCCAAUGAUGACUUCCAAAACUGAGAGGCUGUCACUCUCCUCUUCAAAAAAACCACAAUGCUGAAGCUUUCCCCCACACUCUUAACUCAGAAGAUGCUACUGACCUUUUGUUUUUCUCACCAGCAAAAUUUCCCCUCUCCAAAAUGUCAAAAGGUCCUUUGCUCUCCUAUCCUCUCACCUUUUAUACUCAUACCCCUCUUAGCAUUUGAGCCUCCUGGGUUCCAACCCCUUCAGCACCGAAAUUCCCUUCAUCAGCAUGGGAACCACACCCCUCAUUACUUCUCUUAGACUUACAAGGCCAGCUCACUCCCUUCAGUUUUUUCAGCUUGCUUCACCACCAAGAAUCCAUAUGGAUUCGUGGUGGGCUGCAAGGAACCCAAACCAAGGCCUAAAAUGGACCCACAACAUUGCCCAAAACCGAUCUGGAGCUUAUGGGCCUGAGCCAUGUAGGAUUUGGGCCUCAAAAUUACUAGAAUUAGUGUUCUACCUCAGCUGACUCAAUGAACUUGGCUGAACCGGCCGAACUGGAUGCCAACUGGUCGAACAGAUGGAAAAAAAUUCUGAAAAUUUGACAUAAUGUUCCUAGUAGAAUAAGGAAUCCAUUAAAAAAAACGGUGCGUGAUUCCAAGUUCGGAAGAGGGAGAUAUGAUCAAAACAAUUACCAAAAAUCAGUGUUCUACACCGGCUGACUCGAUUAACCGGCUGCCAACCAGCCGACCGGUUGCAAAAAAUUUUGAAAAUUUUACAGAAUGUUCCUGGAAGAAUAAGGAAUCCAUAAAAAGAAACGGUUCUUGAUUCCGAGUUUGGAUGAGGGAGAUACGAUCAAAACAAGCCCGAGUGCUCCGAACCUCAACAUGCCCCUAUAAACCCCAACUAAGCUAAAACAUCGGGAUGACCCCACUUCCUUCCUAUAGCAUGAUGUGAACGACUAGGAAAAUGGCCAUGGUGACCCUCCGAAAUGAACCACAUAUGCACCACAAUGGACCACAGACAAACCCACACAAGGCUCGGACACCGACUAAGCCCAAAAGGGGCCCUAGUGGUGCCAUAUGCGAACGAUGGGUGGAUGUGACACCCGAAGGAUAAAUGCCAGUGUUGAGGGACAAAAUUGAGGGUCUACAGGAGGUCAUGAGUACUUUGAUGAUAGAGUUGUUGAUUGGUCUGGCUAUAUUCCUUAUCAUNNNNNNNNNNNNNNNNNNNNNNNNNNNNNNNNNNNNNNNNNNNNNNNNNNNNNNNNNNNNNNNNNNNNNNNNNNNNNNNNNNNNNNNNNNNNNNNNNNNNNNNNNNNNNNNNNNNNNNNNNNNNNNNNNNNNNNNNNNNNNNNNNNNNNNNNNNNNNNNNNNNNNNNNNNNNNNNNNNNNNNNNNNNNNNNNNNNNNNNNNNNNNNNNNNNNNNNNNNNNNNNNNNNNNNNNNNNNNNNNNNNNNNNNNNNNNNNNNNNNNNNNNNNNNNNNNNNNNNNNNNNNNNNNNNNNNNNNNNNNNNNNNNNNNNNNNNNNNNNNNNNNNNNNNNNNNNNNNNNNNNNNNNNNNNNNNNNNNNNNNNNNNNNNNNNNNNNNNNNNNNNNNNNNNNNNNNNNNNNNNNNNNNNNNNNNNNNNNNNNNNNNNNNNNNNNNNNNNNNNNNNNNNNNNNNNNNNNNNNNNNNNNNNNNNNNNNNNNNNNNNNNNNNNNNNNNNNNNNNNNNNNNNNNNNNNNNNNNNNNNNNNNNNNNNNNNNNNNNNNNNNNNNNNNNNNNNNNNNNNNNNNNNNNNNNNNNNNNNNNNNNNNNNNNNNNNNNNNNNNNNNNNNNNNNNNNNNNNNNNNNNNNNNNNNNNNNNNNNNNNNNNNNNNNNNNNNNNNNNNNNNNNNNNNNNNNNNNNNNNNNNNNNNNNNNNNNNNNNNNNNNNNNNNNNNNNNNNNNNNNNNNNNNNNNNNNNNNNNNNNNNNNNNNNNNNNNNNNNNNNNNNNNNNNNNNNNNNNNNNNNNNNNNNNNNNNNNNNNNNNNNNNNNNNNNNNNNNNNNNNNNNNNNNNNNNNNNNNNNNNNNNNNNNNNNNNNNNNNNNNNNNNNNNNNNNNNNNNNNNNNNNNNNNNNNNNNNNNNNNNNNNNNNNNNNNNNNNNNNNNNNNNNNNNNNNNNNNNNNNNNNNNNNNNNNNNNNNNNNNNNNNNNNNNNNNNNNNNNNNNNNNNNNNNNNNNNNNNNNNNNNNNNNNNNNNNNNNNNNNNNNNNNNNNNNNNNNNNNNNNNNNNNNNNNNNNNNNNNNNNNNNNNNNNNNNNNNNNNNNNNNNNNNNNNNNNNNNNNNNNNNNNNNNNNNNNNNNNNNNNNNNNNNNNNNNNNNNNNNNNNNNNNNNNNNNNNNNNNNNNNNNNNNNNNNNNNNNNNNNNNNNNNNNNNNNNNNNNNNNNNNNNNNNNNNNNNNNNNNNNNNNNNNNNNNNNNNNNNNNNNNNNNNNNNNNNNNNNNNNNNNNNNNNNNNNNNNNNNNNNNNNNNNNNNNNNNNNNNNNNNNNNNNNNNNNNNNNNNNNNNNNNNNNNNNNNNNNNNNNNNNNNNNNNNNNNNNNNNNNNNNNNNNNNNNNNNNNNNNNNNNNNNNNNNNNNNNNNNNNNNNNNNNNNNNNNNNNNNNNNNNNNNNNNNNNNNNNNNNNNNNNNNNNNNNNNNNNNNNNNNNNNNNNNNNNNNNNNNNNNNNNNNNNNNNNNNNNNNNNNNNNNNNNNNNNNNNNNNNNNNNNNNNNNNNNNNNNNNNNNNNNNNNNNNNNNNNNNNNNNNNNNNNNNNNNNNNNNNNNNNNNNNNNNNNNNNNNNNNNNNNNNNNNNNNNNNNNNNNNNNNNNNNNNNNNNNNNNNNNNNNNNNNNNNNNNNNNNNNNNNNNNNNNNNNNNNNNNNNNNNNNNNNNNNNNNNNNNNNNNNNNNNNNNNNNNNNNNNNNNNNNNNNNNNNNNNNNNNNNNNNNNNNNNNNNNNNNNNNNNNNNNNNNNNNNNNNNNNNNNNNNNNNNNNNNNNNNNNNNNNNNNNNNNNNNNNNNNNNUUUAUGGAUGCUUAUUGCUAGAUUCAUAUUAGUCCAUUAGUUAUCAUGUACGAGUCAUUGGAAAGUGAUUCAAGGUGAAGACCCAUAGUGUCUUAAGCCAUUAAUGGACCUUGACUACCAUUUCUAUUGAUCUUUUAUGGAUUAAAUCUUCAUUGUUAAACCUAUACCGGUUCGGGAAAUAACUAUAGGUUAAAUCCCCAAUGCGAGGAGAAAAAUCCGGAAUUUUCCACUUUCUAUUCUGAACUUGAUCCUAGCAACCCUUAGCUCCGGGAGACUUUCUUUCUUCCAUUUUUAAUUAGUUUAUGUUAGUUUAGUUUCAAACACUUUCAAAACAAAUUUUAUUUUCUUUUAAACUUUAAGUUUUUGAUUAAGGAAAUCAUUAAAUACAAUCUCUAAUUUUGAGUAUAUCACUGGUAGAAUGAAAACCCAUCCCAGAGUUCGACCCUAGAGCCACUAUACUAUAGUAGCUUUGCUACAUUAGUAUGAGGUCAUAGGUUUUAUAAAUGUUUUUGAUUAAAUGACCCAUUUGGAGUUACACGCGAAUCAAAAUGGCGCCGUUGCCGGGGAUGGUGCCACUUUACAGUGAUGCAACCUUUUAGAGGCUACUUGUGAUUUCCAUCACAAGUUUGGUGAAUUUCUUUUUCACUAACUUCAUUUCCUUUCAUUUUAUUUUUGUUAGGUUUAUUUUCAUUUUCUUUCUAACCUUAACUUUUUUCUAGGUUUCUUUUGUUUUUGUUGUUUUUGUUUUAUUUCAGGUAAGUAGUAACUUUUGCAUGCCCUAUUGGAUUCGGGACCAAGAGGGAAGAUUAGUAAGGAUUGAGAAUCCUCAAGACACAGAGUUGGAUAUUUGUGUUAACAUCAUGGACCCUCCACCAGAGGAUCAGAAUUCUCAACAAGGUCAAGGGGGUAAUCCCAAUGCAUAUUUAUCCAUGAGGGAUAGAAUGCACCCACCAAGGAUGAGUGCACCCUCAUGCAUCAUACCUCCUCUUGAGCAGUUGGUUAUAAGGCCCCAUAUUGUGCCCCUUCUACCAAAUUUCCAUGGAAUGGAGAGUGAGAAUCCAUAUGCCCACAUCAAGGAGUUUGAGGAGGUUUGCAAUACCUUUAGAGAGGGAGGAGCUUCAAUAGACUUGAUGAGACUCAAGCUAUUCCCUUUUACUCUGAAGGACAAGGCAAAAAUAUGGCUUAAUUCUUUAAGGCCAAGGAGCAUAAGGAAUUGGGUUGAUCUUCAGGCCGAAUUUUUGAAGAAAUUUUUCCCCACCCAUAGGACCAAUGGGUUGAAGAGACAAAUCUCAAAUUUUUCUGCUAAGGAAAAUGAGAAGUUCCAUGAAUGUUGGGAAAGGUAUAUGGAGGCCAUCAAUGCUUGUCCUCAUCAUGGCUUUGAUACAUGGCUCUUGGUGAGCUAUUUUUAUGAUGGAAUGUCUUCCUCCAUGAAGCAAAUUCUUGAAACCAUGUGUGGGGGAGAUUUUAUGAGCAAGAAUCCGGAAGAAGCCAUGGACUUUUUAAGUUAUGUGUCUGAAGUGUCAAGAGGAUGGGAUGAGCCCAACUCAAGAGAAAAAGGGAAGUUUCCCUCUCAACCAACCCAAAAUCCAAAAGGUGGAAUGUACGUAUUAAGUGAAGACAUGGACAUGAAAGCUAAAGUGGCAACAAUAGCAAGGAGGUUGGAAGAACUUGAGUUGAAAAAGAUACAUGAAGUCCAAGCCAUUUCCGAGACCCAAGCCCAUGUCAUGCCAUGCACCAUUUGACAAUCAUGUGAUCAUGUGGUAAAUGAAUGCCCAACCAUGCCAGCUGUGAGAGAGAUGUUAGGUGAUCAAGCCAAUGUUGUGGGGCAAUUUAGGCCUAACAACAAUGCACCUUAUGGAAACACCUAUAACUCAAGCUGGAGAAACCAUCCAAAUUUUUCUUGGAAACCAAGACCACCUCCAUACCAACCACAAGCCCAAACCCAAGCACCUCAACAAACCUCUUCAGUGGAGCAAGCCAUUGUGAACCUAAGUAAAGUCAUGGGUGACUUUGUGGGUGAACAAAAGGCAAUCAACUCCCAAUUGUAUCAAAAGAUUGAAAAUGUAGAGAGUUCUCAAAUUAAGAGAAUGGACGGGAUGCAAAAUGAUCUAUCUCAGAAGAUAGAUAAUAUUCAAUACUCCAUCUCUAGGCUUACCAACCUCAACACUGUGAAUGAGAAGGGAAAGUUUCCCUCAACCAAGCCAAAAUCCCAAGGGUGUUCAUGAAGUUGAAACCCAAGAGGGGGAGUCUUCAAAGUUGAGGGAGGUUAAAGCUGUGAUCACUUUAAGGAGUGGAAAAGAGGUUGAUCAACCCCUGCCUAAGGUGAAGCAAGAUGAAGAACUCAUGUCAAAGAAAACCUUGGUCAAAGAGAGCAAUAACCAAGAAGAGAAGAGUGGGAAGAAAAGUGCAUCCAAAUCAAGCAUUGAAGAAGAGCCAAGGAUAGUGAUUAAAGAGGAUAUGAUGAAGAAACAUAUGCCUCCCCCUUUUCCUCAAGCUUUACAUGGAAAGAAGGAAAUCAAGAAUUCAUCAGAAAUUCUUGAAGUCUUGAGACAAGUGAAGGUGAAUAUACCCUUACUUGAUAUGAUCAAGCAAGUCCCCACAUAUGCAAAGUUUCUAAAGGACUUGUGCACGGUCAAGAGAGGGUUACAUGUGACAAAGAAUGCAUUCCUCACUGAGCAAGUAAGUGCUAUCAUUCAGAGUAAGUCUCCAGUUAAGUAUAAAGAUCCGGGAUGUCCCACCAUUUCAGUCAACAUUGGAGGGACACAUGUGGAGAAAGCUUUACUAGACUUGGGGGCAAGUGUGAAUUUGCUCCCAUACUCUGUGUACAAGCAACUGGGACUUGGAGGAUUGAAGCCCACAACCAUCACUCUCUCUUUAGCUGACAGGUCAGUAAAAAUCCCAAGGGGGGUGAUAGAAGAUGUUCUUGUUCAAGUUGACAAAUUCUACUAUCCUGUGGAUUUUGUUGUGCUUGAUACUGAUUCCACUGUGAAGGAAGCAAACUAUGUACCAAUCAUCCUUGGGAGACCUUUCCUAGCUACCUCCAAUGCCAUCAUCAAUUGUAGAAAUGGGGUGAUGCAGCUCACAUUUGGGAAUAUGACCUUGGAAUUAAACAUAUUGCACCUAUGCAAGAGGCAUCUUCACCCAGAAGAAGAGGAAGGAUUGGAGGAGGUGUGCUUGAUCAACACCUUGGUUGAAGAGCAUUGUGACAAGAAUUUACAAGAGAGCUUGAAUGAAAGCCUUGAAAUGUUUGAAGAAGGGUUACCUGAACCCUCUGAUGUUCUACCUAUCAUGUCUCCUUGGAGGAGACGGGAAGAGAUCUUACCACUGUUCAACCAAGAAGACUCACAAGAAGCAACUGUGGAGGACCCUCCAAAGCUUGUUUUGAAGCCGCUUCCUGUUGAUUUAAAAUAUGCAUAUUUGGAGGAAAAUGAGAAAUGUCCAGUGGUGGUUUCUUCAACUCUUACUAGUGAUCAAGAGGAUAAUCUUUUGGGAAUCCUCAGGAAAUGCAAGAAAGCCAUUGGAUGGCAAAUUUCUGAUCUGAAAGGGAUUAGCCCUUUGGUGUGCACCCACCAUAUUUAUAUGGAGGAUGAUGCAAAACCAGUGAGGCAGCCCCAGAGGAGGUUGAAUCCGCACAUGCAAGAGGUGGUGAGGGGUGAAGUUCUGAAGCUACUCCAAGCUGGGAUCAUAUAUCCCAUUUCAGACAGUUUGUGGGUGAGCCCCACCCAAGUAGUCCCAAAGAAAUCUGGAAUCACUGUGGUCCAGAAUGAGAAAGGGGAGGAAGUCUCUACACGCCCUACCUCAGGAUGGAGGGUGUGUAUAGACUACAGGAGGUUGAAUUCAGUGACUAGGAAGGACCAUUUCCCAUUGCCUUUCAUGGACCAAGUCCUUGAGAGAGUCUCAGGACAUCCUUUCUAUUGUUUUCUGGAUGGGUACUCGGGGUACUUCCAAAUAGAGAUUGAUUUGGAAGAUCAAGAAAAGACAACCUUCACUUGCCCCUUUGGUACUUUUGUGUAUAGGAGAAUGCCCUUUGGUCUAUGCAAUGCUCUUGCAACUUUCCAAAGAUGUAUGCUGAGCAUCUUCAGUGAUAUGGUGGAGCGCAUCAUGGAAGUCUUCAUGGAUGACAUCACUGUUUAUGGAAGUUCUUAUGAGGAGUGUUUGUUGCAUUUAGAAGUUGUUCUCCAAAGAUGUAUUGAGAAAGACCUAGUGCUAAAUUGGGAGAAGUGCCAUUUUAUGGUNNNNNNNNNNNNNNNNNNNNNNNNNNNNNNNNNNNNNNNNNNNNNNNNNNNNNNNNNNNNNNNNNNNNNNNNNNNNNNNNNNNNNNNNNNNNNNNNNNNNAGAUGAGAUGUAUAUGAUGAGUAUGAGUCAGAUCGCCGAGAUGGUUCAGUUUGAGCCUGCUUUACCAUUCAACUUGUUCGGGGUGUCUGUUAUCGAGGUCGCCAAGGAGAUCCAAACAUUCCUUGGUUCAGAGCUUAUAGAGUAUGUUACAAUUGGUGAUGAUUUGUUUGAGGACAUUUUUAGCCCUAUUGAGGGAACGUUCGACUUUGUGGACCCACCUCUUUCAUUUGACAUUUUGUUGGGAUUUAUUUCCCAUCCUGACGAUAUUUAUGAUUCCUCAUCUAUGGAUUUGAGUAUUUUCGAGCAUUUUCAUGUCUCUUGUGAUAGUAUUUGUAUAUCUACACUCCACUCACCCACUCUAUAGAUACUUGAUAUAGAUGAUGAGAUCGCGCAAUCUGAUUCAGAUAAAGAUUCUUCUGAUCAUGACUCAGAUCCCACAGAUGAGAAAGUUUCACCUACUAUAAAGGAUGUUGAGACUAUUGAUUUUGGCAUAGAGGAUUAGCCUAGAGAGCUGAAGAUUGGUUCACCACUGUCUACAAACAGGAGGGAUAGACUUAUUCAUUUACUCAAGUCAUACUUGGAUGUUUUUGCAUGGUCUUAUAAGGACAUGUUGGGUCUAGAUCUCUCUAUAGUCCAACACCAUUUGCCUAUCUUGCCACAUAUCAGACUAGUUAAGUAGAAACAGAGGCGAUUGCACCCACACUGGAGUCUACAGGUGAAAAAGGAAAUUCAUAAACAACCCAGUGUUGGAUUUAUAUCAGUUGUUAAGUAUCCAGAGAGGCUGGCUAAUGUCGUCCCCAUUCCCAAAAAGGAUUGCAAAGUUAGAGUUUGUGUUGAUUUUAGAGACCUUAAUAAAUUCAGCCUUAAGGAUGACUUUCCUCUCCCACAUAUUGAUUUGUUGGUUGAUAACACUGCAAGGCAUUUGAUGUUGUCUUUCAUGGAUGGAUUUUUGGGGUAUAAUCAGAUUUUGAUGGCUCCAAAGGAUAUGAAGAAGACAACUUUCAUUACUGAGUGGGGUACCUACUAUUAAAGAGUUAUGCCAUUUGGGUUGAAGAAUGCAAGAGCUACUUAUCAUAGAUCCGCUACCACUUUGUUUCAUGACAUGAUGUAUAGGGAUAUGGAAGUUUAUAUGGAUGAUAUGAUUGUGAAAUCCCGAAGUAGAUCAGAUCACUUAGCAGCUUUAAAGAGAUUCUUUAAGAGGAUUCAGAAAUUCAAAUUGAGGUUGAAUCCUAAGAAGUGCACCUUUGGAGUGACUUCUUGGAAAUUGUUGGGGCAUAUGGUCAAUGAGCAAGGCAUAGAGGUUGACCCAGAUAAGAUUAGAGUCAUACUUGACAUGUCUAUGCCGAGGACUGAGAAAGAGAUCAAGGGUUUUCUGGGCAAAUUACAAUACAUCAAUUGUUUCAUAGCCAGAUUGACAGACAUAUGUGAGCCUAUCUUUUGUCUUUUGAGGAAGAAUUGACCAAUAUUUUGGAAUAAUGAUUGCUAGAUUGCAUUUGAGAAGAUCAAGGAAUACUUGGUUUCUCCUCCUGUUUUAGUGCCUUCUAUGCCAGGACGUCCACUUCUUCUGUAUUUGUUAGUUUCAAACAUGGCUUUGGGAUGUAUGCUAGCUCAGCUUGAUGACUCAGGGAAAGAGUGAGCAAUUUACUAUCUGAGUAAGAGGAUGCUAGAGUAUGAGAUGAGAUAUGUUAUGAUUGAGCACCUUUGCUUAGCGUUAGUUUCGGCCACCAGGAGAUUGAGGCAUUACAUGACUGAGUAUUCAGCGUGUUUGAUUUCUCGACUAGACCUAUUCAGGUAUUUGUUUGACAGGCCCGCAUUGACUGGUAGAUUGAUGAGAUGGCUCAUAUUGUUGACAAAGUUUGAUAUUCAGUAUAUUUCUCAGAAGUCUAUUAAGGGAAACAUUGUCACUGAUCACUUAGUGAUUACUACCAAAAAGUGCUAUUUUGUAGACCUAAUUAUAAUGGUUUUAAGCACCUUUAAGUAGUAAUCAUAUUCAUUUAACCCAAUUAAUUCAUUAAGGUCCUUAGUAAUUGGUUUUAACCAUUUUGUGGCAAGUUUACAUGUUUUUAUCAGCUUAUGAAUCGAUUCAAGCAUGCCAAAUGAUGGAGGAGCUACUUGUACAAGUUAAAGCAAGGAUUUUGGACAUUUACAGGCUUGAAUUUCAAGUGGAAACACGAGCACAAGCAAAGAGAAGCAAAGAGGAAAAGCAAGCAAAGUGAAGAGAAGCAAAGAGGACAGCAGCUGCAGUCUUCUUUCACACUUUUGGAGUACUUCCCGAAGUCCAUUUUUUACAUACUAUAUACCAUUUCAAAGCUCUGGAAGUCAAGAAUCCAACGCUUCAAACCGUGUACGAUUUGGAGCUGAAAUGAGGAAGAUAUGGCCUUCGGAAGCCAACUGCUCCAGCAUAUGCGAAAAUUUCGCAUUCCACAAGAGGUUAUGCGAAAUUCGCAUAACAUUCGCAUAUGGUUCGCAUAACCCAUGCGUGUUGCGAAUUUUGCUCUGCCCUUUGCCGACUCCACUUUAGAUAUUUUCCUUUGUAUUUUGUGAUGUAAUUUCCUUUAUUAUCCUUGUAACUAACCAAUCAUAAGCUUUGGCUUUUGUAAAGACUUUAUAAGGGGUGGAAAUCACCUCUUGGAAUAUAUGGAAUACGUAUUACGUUUUUACACUUAGAAUUUUACAAAGCUCUCUCGUUCUCUUUUCUCUUUACUAUUUUCUUUUUCUUAGAAGCCAAACAACCUCUAAGGAUGUUUGCCCGGAGGAUGAGAGGCUAAACUUUCGGUUUCUUGGAGUAAAGGAAGCUAGGUGAAAAGUCCAGAUGAAAAGGUGGAAAGCUUCCAUGCAUUAAAUUUAGGUAGUUGGAAUUCAUAAAUGGCUUCUAAAUCCAAAGUUUUGCUUUAAACCCCUUAGAAUCAUUUUGAAUGACCAAUACAUGGUAAGCUUCAGGUCUUUAUGGAUGCUUAUUGCUAGAUUCAUAUUAGUCCAUUAGUUAUCAUGUACGAGUCAUUGGAAAGUGAUUCAAGGUGAAGACCCAUAGUGUCUUAAGCCAUUAAUGGACCUUGACUACCAUUUCUAUUGAUCUUUUAUGGAUUAAAUCUUCAUUGUUAAACCUAUACCGGUUCAGGAAAUAACUAUAGGUUAAAUCCCCAAUGCGAGGAGAAAAAUCCGGAAUUUUCCACUUUCUAUUCUGAACUUGAUCCUAGCAACCCUUAGCUCCGGGAGACUUUCUUUCUUCCAUUUUUAAUUAGUUUAUGUUAGUUUAGUUUCAAACACUUUCAAAACAAAUUUUAUUUUCUUUUAAACUUUAAGUUUUUGAUUAAGGAAAUCAUUAAAUACAAUCUCUAAUUUUGAGUAUAUCACUGGUAGAAUGAAAACCCAUCACAGAGUUCGACCCUAAGAGCCACUAUACUAUAGUAGCUUUGCUACCUUAGUAUGAGGUCAUNNNNNNNNNNNNNNNNNNNNNNNNNNNNNNNNNNNNNNNNNNNNNNNNNNNNNNNNNNNNNNNNNNNNNNNNNNNNNNNNNNNNNNNNNNNNNNNNNNNNNNNNNNNNNNNNNNNNNNNNNNNNNNNNNNNNNNNNNNNNNNNNNNNNNNNNNNNNNNNNNNNNNNNNNNNNNNNNNNNNNNNNNNNNNNNNNNNNNNNNNNNNNNNNNNNNNNNNNNNNNNNNNNNNNNNNNNNNNNNNNNNNNNNNNNNNNNNNNNNNNNNNNNNNNNNNNNNNNNNNNNNNNNNNNNNNNNNNNNNNNNNNNNNNNNNNNNNNNNNNNNNNNNNNNNNNNNNNNNNNNNNNNNNNNNNNNNNNNNNNNNNNNNNNNNNNNNNNNNNNNNNNNNNNNNNNNNNNNNNNNNNNNNNNNNNNNNNNNNNNNNNNNNNNNNNNNNNNNNNNNNNNNNNNNNNNNNNNNNNNNNNNNNNNNNNNNNNNNNNNNNNNNNNNNNNNNNNNNNNNNNNNNNNNNNNNNNNNNNNNNNNNNNNNNNNNNNNNNNNNNNNNNNNNNNNNNNNNNNNNNNNNNNNNNNNNNNNNNNNNNNNNNNNNNNNNNNNNNNNNNNNNNNNNNNNNNNNNNNNNNNNNNNNNNNNNNNNNNNNNNNNNNNNNNNNNNNNNNNNNNNNNNNNNNNNNNNNNNNNNNNNNNNNNNNNNNNNNNNNNNNNNNNNNNNNNNNNNNNNNNNNNNNNNNNNNNNNNNNNNNNNNNNNNNNNNNNNNNNNNNNNNNNNNNNNNNNNNNNNNNNNNNNNNNNNNNNNNNNNNNNNNNNNNNNNNNNNNNNNNNNNNNNNNNNNNNNNNNNNNNNNNNNNNNNNNNNNNNNNNNNNNNNNNNNNNNNNNNNNNNNNNNNNNNNNNNNNNNNNNNNNNNNNNNNNNNNNNNNNNNNNNNNNNNNNNNNNNNNNNNNNNNNNNNNNNNNNNNNNNNNNNNNNNNNNNNNNNNNNNNNNNNNNNNNNNNNNNNNNNNNNNNNNNNNNNNNNNNNNNNNNNNNNNNNNNNNNNNNNNNNNNNNNNNNNNNNNNNNNNNNNNNNNNNNNNNNNNNNNNNNNNNNNNNNNNNNNNNNNNNNNNNNNNNNNNNNNNNNNNNNNNNNNNNNNNNNNNNNNNNNNNNNNNNNNNNNNNNNNNNNNNNNNNNNNNNNNNNNNNNNNNNNNNNNNNNNNNNNNNNNNNNNNNNNNNNNNNNNNNNNNNNNNNNNNNNNNNNNNNNNNNNNNNNNNNNNNNNNNNNNNNNNNNNNNNNNNNNNNNNNNNNNNNNNNNNNNNNNNNNNNNNNNNNNNNNNNNNNNNNNNNNNNNNNNNNNNNNNNNNNNNNNNNNNNNNNNNNNNNNNNNNNNNNNNNNNNNNNNNNNNNNNNNNNNNNNNNNNNNNNNNNNNNNNNNNNNNNNNNNNNNNNUACGAGUCAUUGGAAAGUGAUUCAAGGUGAAGACCCAUAGUGUCUUAAGCCAUUAAUGGACCUUGACUACCAUUUCUAUUGAUCUUUUAUGGAUUAAAUCUUCAUUGUUAAACCUAUACCGGUUCAGGAAAUAACUAUAGGUUAAAUCCCCAAUGCGAGGAGAAAAAUCCGGAAUUUUCCACUUUCUAUUCUGAACUUGAUCCUAGCAACCCUUAGCUCCGGGAGACUUUCUUUCUUCCAUUUUUAAUUAGUUUAUGUUAGUUUAGUUUCAAACACUUUCAAAACAAAUUUUAUUUUCUUUUAAACUUUAAGUUUUUGAUUAAGGAAAUCAUUAAAUACAAUCUCUAAUUUUGAGUAUAUCACUGGUAGAAUGAAAACCCAUCACAGAGUUCGACCCUAGAGCCACUAUACUAUAGUAGCUUUGCUACAUUAGUAUGAGGUCAUAGGUUUUAUAAAUGUUUUUGAUUAAAUGACCCAUUUGGAGUUACACGCGAAUCACAUAGCCUCAUUACCAAUAUCUGAGGGUAAACUAGUUGACGAUGAUUUUCUAGAUGAGGAGUUCAUUACUAUGACUAGCUUAUCAGGUUGGCGCAUGUACUUCGAUGGUACAGCCAACCAAUUAGGGUUUGGGAUAGGCGUUUUGUUGAUAUCACCCCAAGGAGACCAUAUUCUGAGGUUAGUUCUUUUGGUGUUCUCAGAUUGACAUUCCACCAUGAAUAACAUAGUUGAGUAUGAAGCUUGUAUCUUUGGUUUAGAGACUGUAUUGGAGCUAGGCAUUAGACAAAUGGAGGUAUUCAGUGAUUCCAAAUUGGUACUUAAACAGAUUCAAGGUGAUUGGAGGACUAGGGACGUAAAGCUUAGGCCAUAUCAUGCUUAUUUAGAGUUACUGGUUGGGAGAUUUGAUGACUUGAGAUACACUCGUCUAUCUAGAGCGCAAAACUAGUUUGUUGAUGCCUUAGCUACCUUAGCUUCUUUUGUGGACAUACCGAUUGAUGUGGUUAUAUGUCCAUUACUGAUUAAGUCGAGGUUUAUACCUGCUUACUAUUGUCUGAUUGGAGAGACAAAGGUCCUGACAUUUAUCGGUUUAUUAGAUCUAACACAUACCCAGAGGUCGCCACAGCCAAGGAUCAAAGGGCAUUGAGGUAGUUGGCCACUAGAUUUAUGAUUUGCGGAGAGACUCUAUAUAGGCAAUCGACUGAAGGUAUGCUUUUAUUAUGUUUAGAUCGAGCCUCUACAGAUCGAGUGAUGAGAGAGGUUCAUAUGGGAGUUUGUAGUCCACACAUGGGAAGACACAUGCUAGCCCGUAAGAUUAUGAGGACAGGUUACUUUUGGUUAACUAAGAAAAUAGAUUGUUGUCAGUUUGUUCAGAGAUGUCCCAAGUGUCGGAUUCAUGGUGAUCUCUUUCAUGCACCACCAUCAAAGUUACACGUUUUGACAUCGCCAUGGUUGUUUUCAGUAUGGGGUAUUGAUAUUAUUGGGAAGAUUUCAUCGAAAUCUUCCAGUGGUCAUAAGUUUAUCCUAGUUGCCAUGGAUCAUUUCACCAAGUGGGUGGAAGUUGCAUCAUAUCUAAGGUUGACAUCUGCUAGAGUCACCAGUUUCAUCAUAUCACACAUCAUCUGUCGUUAUGGGGUACCGUAUGAGUUGAUUUCAAACAGAUGGGUGCACUUUCGAGCUGAGGUUGACACUUUGUUGCCUACAGGCCACAGACUAAUGGGGCAGUAGAGGCCGCUAAUAAGAACAUUAAGAAGAUUUUGAGGAAGAUGGUUGAAACCUCUCGAGAUUGGUCAGAGAAACUCUCUUUUGCAUUGUGGCCAUAUCGUACCUCUUUUUGUACCUCUACAAGAGUGAUUCGUUUUGUCCCAGUCGGGUCUUUUAAUAAAAAAUAUUUAUAAAUCCUAUGACCUCAUACUAGCGUAGCAAAGCUACUAUAGCAUAGUGGCUCUAGGGUCGAACUCUGGGAUGGGUUUUCAUUCUACCAGUGAUAUACUCAAGAUUAGAAAUUGAAUCUAAUGAUUUCCUUUGUCAAAAACUUAAAGUUUAAAAGAAAAUAGAAUUUGUUUUGAAAAUGGUGUUUGGAACUAAACUAACAUAGAACUAGUUAAAAAUGGAAGAAAGAAAGUCUCCCGGAGCUAAGGUUGCUAGGAUCAAGUUCAAAAUGCAAAGUGGGAAAUUCCGGAUUGUUCUCCUCGCAUUGGGGACAACAACAUAAAGGAUGGUUGUUUCCCGAACCGGUAUAGGUUUAACAAUGAAGAUUUAAUCCAUAAAAAGUCAAUAGAAAUUAGUCAAGUUCCAUUAAUGGCUUUAGACACUAUGGGUCUUCACCUUGAGUCACUUUCCAAUGGCUCAUAUAUGAUAGUUAAUGAUCUGAUGUGGAUCUAGCAUUAAGUAUCCGCAGAGACCUAAAAGCUUACCAUGUAUUGGCCAUUCAAAGUGAUUCUAAGGGAUUUAAAGCAAAACUUUAGAUUUUAAAAGCCAUUUAUGAACUCCAACUACCUGUAUUUAAAGCACGAGAGUUUUCCACUUUUGCAUCCGGACUUUUCACCUAGCUUCCCUUAGUCCAAGAAACCAAAGGUUUAGCCUCUCAUCCUCUGGGAAAACAUCCUCAGAGGCUGUUUGGCUAGUAAGAAAAUACAAUUAAAAUUGAGAAGGUAAAGCAGAGCAAAGGCUUUGUAUUUUACUUCUUUGCAAAACUGUACAAAAGUUCCAACACACUCCUGAGAACAGGCUCCCGAGAGAUAUAUAUGGAAAAUUACAAAAUAUCUACCUGAGGUUAUUCACCCUUUUUCCAAACUUAAUAGCUAAGGAAUCCUAUAAUUGGUGGAUUACAAGGAGACUUUGGAGAUUUAGACAACAAAUAUCUAAAGAAAAAUAUCCCAAAAUAUCUCAAAAUGUUGGUCGGAAAUAUCAGGAAGCUUCAAGAGAACACAGCAGCAUUGUGCAGAAUGACUGCUCUCCCAUCCGGGCAGACGCUAUCAGAUGAUCCGGAUACUUCCGUCCGGAGAAGUUAAAACGCUUCCUCUCCCAUCUGGCUCCUGAAUUUCGGACGUAAAAUGUUGGCGCACGGAAUUUCCGGAUAUGAAAUGUUCCCGCGCCGCCAAGCUAUCCGGAUCAACUCCAUCCGGAUUCCACCAAGAGGACAUGCGCGCCAAGCUAUCCUGCUCUCGCUGGAUGAUAACAUAUCCUAUCCGGAUAUGGUGUCUAGAUGGAAAACAUUGACUAAAACGAGCAAGCUUUCCUACAGCCCACAUUCCGCCGCUUUCCAAGGGUGUGUCCGGAUGUCCUGUCCGGGUAUACUCCUCCUUACAUGGAUUUCCAAAGAACUCUCCUCAAUCUCAUAUUGCUUUGGUGAUCAAAAAGCUAUCAAAACACCAAAACUUAACACAUUUUUUAUUAGAAUUGAUUGCAAGGGUCCUUAACAUUCCAAUUGAGUUAAAAGGUGAUAACUACUACUCAAAAGUGUUUAAAAGAGUUAAUUAAAAGCUAUGAAAUAUCACUUUUUGAGUAGUAAUCAAAGAGCUACACCUUAUUCUCUAGUGUAUGGUAUGGAGGCUAUUUUGCUAGUCGAGACAGAGAUGGUUUCAUUGAGAGUAUCUCUUGAGCAGUAGGUUUUUGAGACAGAGUGGGCUCAUGCUCGAUUUGAUCAGCUUAACCUUUUAGAUGAGAAGAGAUUGAGAGUAGCAAAUCAUGUUCAAGCAUAUAAGAGAAAGAUGGCCCGUGCCUUCAAGAAACGAGUUAAGCCUAGACCAUUACAGAAAGGAGAUUUGGUUUUGAGGAUUCUCAAAGGCUUAGUUGGAGACCGUAGAGAGAAUUUCAGACCUAGUUGGAGUGGGCCUUAUGUUAUUAGAGAGUUGACUUCAGAAGGGGCUGCAUGGUUGACCAACUUAGAUGGAAACCGAUUUUCAGAGCCUACCAAUAUGGAUCAACUAAAGAAAUAUUACAUUUGAGAUUAUGAUCGCAAGAUGGGUGGCCAUCAUUUCAGUUAGCCUUACACCUUAUCACUUUUAUUGAUAUUAGACCGUUGCUAGCCCAUUGAGCUUCACGUGGUAUGCUAUAGACUUUUCUUUUUUAUAGCACUACUUAUCAUUUCUAUACCCGGGUUGGGGCCCUUUGAUGUAUAGUUAUGCUUUGCUAGGAAAGUCUCAUAAGCUUUGGACUUAUAGGCUUAUCUUUAUCAUAUUUUCUAUUAUCACCUCACCACCCCGUCUGUUACGUUCCACUAUUUUCACAUUUUCAUCUCUAUUUUGCCUUUCAUUAUUGGUCGUUACAUUUCAUAUUCUCUUCACUAGGAAUGUUGAUUUUUCACAUAUUGAUGCAUAGAGAGUAGUCGUAUCACCCCUUUUAUUCCAUCAUUUGGCAUUGAUUAGGAGAUUUUAGCUUGAAAGGUUGUCUCAUGGGUUGGGGUUCAUGUAUUCAUUAGUGUUUGGAGAGAAUUCAUUCAUUCAUUUUAGUUUCUCAUUGGAGUAAGACUUAUUGAUGACCAAGGUAUGCGCACGCAAAAAAAAAAAAAAAGUUAUAUGUUUGUACUUGACAUCCUACUCCAUUGAGCAUAUGUUGUUAUUUGAGGGUUGUUUAUUGGGUUUAUCAUUGAGGGUUUGUGUGAGUUUUCCAUGAGGACUUUUCAUUCCUUGAGCCACUCUUGUUAUGCAUUUAGAGUGUUGAGAGUUCAUAUGAGAGGUCUAUGAUAUCCUUUGCUUCUUGGAUCAUAGUUGAUAUGUAUUAGGUGUGAGAGAUGAGUAACCUUUUACUAGGGUCUCCGGGUCAUUGUCUUACCCACCAUGCCAUCAUUGGUGAUAUGACUUUCCUUUAUUGCACUAAUAUGUGUUAAUCAUCAUUCAUUCCACUUUCUCAUUGCCUUCUUUCGUGUGUCAUCACCUCUAUCCAGAUCUUUGUUCCACCUUUUAUCCAUUUCCUACAUAUUGAUACAUGUUUCUAAUUUGAUACAUUUUUCACAUCAUUCACAUGUUUCAUUGAUGGUUUGACCACUUAUCAUUUCUCUUGUUUCUCCAUCGAUAUUUCCUUUGACUACCUUUAGGUCCAUGGCUCAUGAGAUCUUUUUCUAUGCAUCACAUCUUUUACAUAAGGGUAUGGGUUUGAUCAAUGGGUAUUUGAGCCUAGUUUCCCUUCGUUUCUUUCACCCUUUCACCCUAGCCUAUGUUACGUCCCAUGUCUUAAGACCACCCUAAGGCCACAAGAUCAGACAUUAUCUUUGACAACCUUCACUUGGACGGGCUUAUGUAGAUUGGUUGAAGUAUAGUCGUUACUAUGCUUUCUCUUAUGGGAGAUACUUUUGGAAGCAUUUGGUUUCUCUCUCCUACUUGGUAUAUUGAUGUUUGAUGGAUUUUUGAGUUGGAGAUAGUCCUUUGAUGAUGUUAGAUUCAUCAUUUUGUUGUGCAUCAGAUAUCCACACUGGGGCAUAUUUCCCCUUUGCUCUGAGAUCCUUAGUUGUGGUUGGGUUGUGUGGAUAUUCUUGAUCUUGAUCAUUAAGAUGUUUGAUUGAUGUUAUCAGGUGAUUGAUUGACGUUGACAGAUGUUUGGUUGACGAUGUUAUGUUCUUUAUUGUGUACCAGAUAUCCAUAUUAGGGCAUAUUCCCUUCUCCUCGAUGAGAUUGUACAUAGAUGGAUGAACAUUGUUGUUUGUUUGCCUCAGGACUCCGACAUCAGAUACUAUACUAGGGCAUAUUGCUCUCUUGAUGAGAUUUUGUUUUCAUAGUGGUAUGAGGAUGGAUGAUUGAUGUUGGUUAUUUACCUCAUGACUUUCACAUCAGAUCUUAUACUAGGACAUAUUUCUCAAUUUUCUUUUAGUAUCCUUGGGAUUGGGACAACAGCCAGCUUGGUUUUAGAUUGAGUGUUAGUAUUGGAUUACAUCAGGUUUCAUCCAAGGAGCAUAUGUGGAUCCUUUAGCCAGAUGCUCAUGAGAUAGAUUGCUUUCGUCAUUGAUUACCUUGCGGAUUGGGUUAUCUAGAUAAGUAGUAUUUUGUUCACUUUUAGAUGUGUUUUCAAAUGAGUUGUGAUACACACUCCAAGAUUUACAUUUUGAGGUUUGUCGCCAGAGUAGUUUGUGAGACAUAAAGAGUUCUUUCAGUUCAAAAUUUUCAGAGUUUUAUCAUGAAGCAUCGAUUUCUAACUCAUUGAUUUCAGCCAAUGAUUGGUUUACUGGUUGUUUCAGCAGUACGGGCACCCUGGAUACUGGGGCAUAUUUCUCUUCCUAAGUUCAGUAGUCAGACCCUCAGCAUUUCGAGUAUACGACUUUAAGCCCAUUUUCUUUCUAUCCAUUUUCGAAUUGGCCUUUAUUUCUCUUUCAUUUAGAGCCUAGAGCUCUCGACCCAGAGUCGAUUUUCAUUUAUGACCCAGAGUCAUUUCUUUUCCAUUUAAACCCCGAAGCUCUCAACCUAGAUUCAUUUUUCAUUUAAGACCUAAAGUCAUUUCUUUUCCAUUUAGAGCCUUGAGCUCUCGACCCAGAGUCGUUUUCCAUUUAUGACCUAGAGUCAUUUCUUUUCCAUUUAGAGCCUAGGGCUCUCAACCCAGAGUCAUUUUUCAUUUAUGACCCAAAGUCAUUUCUUUUUCAUUUAGAAGCUAGAGCUCUUAACCCAGAGUUAUUUUUUUCAUAUAUGACCCAAAGUCAUUUCUUUUCCAUUUAGAGCCCAAAGCUCUCGACCUAGAGUUGUUUUUCCAUUUAUGACCCAGAGUCAUUUCUUUUCAAAUAGAGCUUAGAGCUCUCGACCCAGAGUUGUUUUUUCAUUUAUGACCCAAAGUAAUUUCUUUUCCAUUUAGAGCCCAGAGCUCUCGACCCAGAUUUGUUUUUCAUCUAUAACCCAGAGUUAUUUGUUUUCCAUUUAAAGCCUAGAGCUCUCGACCCAGAGUCAUUUUUUUUCAUUUAGAGCCUAGAGCUCUUGACCCAGAGUCAUUUUUUUUCCAUUUAGAGCCCAGAGCUCUCGACCCAGAGUCGUUUUUCCCUUAUGACUUAGAGUCAUUUCUUUUUCAUUUAGAGCCCAAAGCUCUCGACCCUGAGUCGUUUUUCAUUUAUGACCCAGAGUCAUUUCUUUUCCAUUUAUAGCCUAGAGCUCUCGACCUAGAGUCGAUUUUUCUUUUAUGACCCAAAGUCAUUUCUUUUCCAUUUAGAGCCCAGAGCUCUCGACCUAGAGUCGAUUUUUCUUUUAUGACCCAGAGUCAUUCCUUUUUCAUUUAGAGCCUAGAGCUCUCGACCUAGAGUCAUUUUUCAUUUAUGACCUAAAGUCAUUUCUUUUUCAUUUAAAGCCCAGAGCUCUCGACUUAGAGUUGUUUUUCUUUUAUGACCUAGAGUCUUUUUUUUUUUCAUUUAUGACCUAGAGUCAUUCUUUUCCAUUUAGAGCCAAGAGCUCUCGACCCAGAGUUGUUUUUCAUUUAGGACCCAGAGUCACUUUUUUUCCAUUUAGAGCCCGGAGCUCUUGACCUAGAGUCGUUUUUUUAUUUAUGACCCAGAGUCAUUUAUUUUCCAUUUAGAGCCUGGACUACUUGACCCAAAGUCAUUUUUUAUUUAUGACCUAAAGUCAUUUCUUUUUAAUUUAGAGCCUAGAGCUCUCGACCUAGAUUCAUUUUUCAUUUAUGACCCAAAGUAAUUUCUUUUCCAUUUAGAGCCUGGAGCUCUCGACCUAGAGUCAUUGUUUCAUUUAUGACUUAGAGUCAUUUCUUUUCCAUUUAGAGUCCAGACCUCUCGACCCAAAGUCGAUUUUCAUUUAUGACCCAGUCAUUUCUUUUCCAUUUAGAUCCCAAAGCUCUCGACCCAAAUUCUUUUUUCAUUUAUGACCCAGAGUCAUUUUCUUUUCUAUUUAGAGCCUGGAGCUCAUGACCCAGAGUCGUUUCUCUCAUUUAUGACCCAGAGUUAUUCCAUUUUUGUGAUUGCGACCUCGUGUUCCGAGCUUACUCCUGUCAUGUGCUAGGACAAAAUCUCUGGUCUUUUUCUUUUAGUUCUUUGGUAUAGUUCACUUCGUUACACUCAUAUUCGUAUUUUUACUCACAUUACCUACACCCGUGAUCUCUAUCGAAAAGGGGCAUAUUUGUAGACCAGAGAUUUUGUCCUCCUAGCACAUGUCCUAUUAGGUAUUUGUUUGAUACUUUACAACAAUUCUUUGGUGGCCCAUUGCUACUCAUGUAGCCUAUCUUUUCUAAGCCACUUCGGGGACUAUGGUAGAGGGAUUUAUCUAACUCCAUUAUGACUUUUGGCAGCCCUAAUAUAGACCUAGGCCCUUUUAAACACACUUGGCCCAUUAGGCACCACCCUAAGCCCACUUAGGCACCCUAGGCCCAUUAGGCACUCUAGGUCCACUUAGGAAACCUAAGCCCACUUAGGCACUCUAGGCCCACUUAGGCACCUUAGGCUCUCUUAACCACCUUAGGCCCACUUAAGCACCCUAGGCCCAUUAGGCACCACCCUAGGCACCCUAGGCCCACUUAGGCACUCUAGGCCCUCUUAACCACCUUAGGCCCACUUAGGCACCCUAGGCCCAUUAGGCACCACCUUAGGCCCACUUAGGCACUCUAGGCCCACUUAGGCACUCUAGGCCCAUUUAGGCAUACAUGGCCCAUUAGGCAUGACUAGCCCACUUAGUUUUACUAGGCUUGCCUAGGUCACCUUUUAGGCACAUCUUGGAUGGUUUCAUGGCUUCAUGGCUCACAUUUUUGCAUGGUUUGCAUGACUUUCCUUUUUAUUAUCAUCUAUUUAGCCAUUUUGUAUAUUACUUUGUGUGUUUCUUUUUUUAUCAUUUCAUAACACUUUUAUUCAAUCUAAUAAUUUUGUAAAAUACUUUUCUUUAUUUUAAUAUAAUAAUUUUAUAAAACACUUUGAAUAUAAUCUAAUAAUUUUGUACAAUAUUUUUGUUUAAUUUAAUCUAAUAAUUUCAUCAAAUACUUUUAGCCAAUCUAAUGAUUGUAUAAAAUAUUAUAUUUUUUUAAGGGAUUAGAGGCUGCCGUUUGGGAGGAGAUCAGUCCGCGUUUUGAAGGGAUUAGAGGCUGCUGUUUUAGCAAGGAUCAGUCCACAUUUUGAAGGGAUUAGAGGUUGCCGUUUGGGAAUAGAUCAAUCCGCGUUUUGAAGGGAUUAAAGGUUGUUGUUUGGACAAAGAUUAGUCCGCGUUUUGAAGGGACUAGAGGCUGCUAUUUGGGCAAAGAUCAAUCCGCGUUUUAGAGGCUGCUAUUUGGGCAAAGAUUAGUGCAUUUUUGAAGGGAUUAAAGGCUGCCGUUUAGGAGGAGGGAGUCCAGGUUUUAGAGAGGAUUCAGGCUACUAUUUUGAACAGAGAGACACAACUGUUUGUUGAUAUUCACCGGUUAUUCACCCCGCGAUAGUGAAGAUGAGUACAUACCUACCUUGUUGAAUCUGAAGAUGAGAAAGGCAGUCGCACCAUUGGGAGCAAUUCCGGAACAACCACACUAGUGAAUGAAGGAAAUAAAGGUAUGUAUCAGAGAGAGAAAAAUUUGGUAGCCGCACUGGAGAAAGAAACAGUCUACACUUCAACGGAUCCUCCACAGGGAGCACUUUUACCAUCAACUCCAUGUUAUAGCUGGUGAUCCUCCACUCAUUCUUCACCGCACCAACUGCACAUCACCUUGCUUUGGUAUCAUCACAACUGUUAGGUAAGACAGUUUUUAUUUAUUUAUUAUAUAUAUAUAUAUAUAUAUAUAUAUAUAUAUAUAUAUAUAUAUAUAUGGGUUUUGACUAGAAUCUAAAAGUUUAGUUUAUUUUAAGUUGGAUUAUUAUAUUGGGUUGAGUGGUUAACCUAUUUUUUUAUUAGCUUCAGCAUAUACGUGUUAUUAUGGUAGCAUGAAUCUCACUCUUGUUUGAUUUUUUUUUUUUUUUAUUACAUUAAAGAUUAGAAUUGUGUUAAAAGUUAGUUUUGCUUUAUUAUAUUAAAUUCAGAAAAUACAAUUUUGUGUAGCUUUAACUUUGAGAAAAAAAUAUAAUUUGAUCUCUAUUUAAUUUAGUUUGGAUUCAUUUAAUUAUUUAUUAUUUAUUUAUUUAUGUGCUACUAAUUUAAUGAUUCGUUAUUUACUUAAUCAUUUAAUAAUAAGAUUGAUCCUAUGGGUUAAAGAUUCAAUUUCAAAAAUCUGUUUUGGGUAGUUUGACUCAACUUUAGAUUUAAGUAAAAUUUUAGUUCGUCAAAAUGAUUUAUUUUGUGUGUUCAAUAUUGGAUUUUAGACUUGCCUUAAUUAAUGUUAAAAACGUUUUUUAAGCUUAGUUUUUUAUUUUAAUAAUGUAAGUUUAUUAAAAAAAAAAUUUAAUUCCAUGAGGUCGUAUUUUGUUUUAGCUAUAUUCAUUUAUUCACACGUUAUCUAUUUAUUAUUUAUUAAUAAGAUUAAUUUUAUAGGUUAGAAAUUUAGUUUUAAAAUUUUUUUUGGAUAGUUUCAUAAUUUAAUUUUUGGUUUAAGUAAAAUUUUAUUUUUUUCAGAUAAUUGAUCUUAUGUGUUAAAUAUUUGAUUUUUUUUUUUUAAAAUUUGCCUUAAUUAGUGUUUAAUUCAUUUUGAGCUUAGAUUUCAUUUUAAUAAUGUAAAUUUAUUUAGGAAGCUGAUUCUAUGAAUUCGUAUUUUUAUUUUAGCUUGCUUUCAUUUCAUUUGAUUCAUUUUAAUUAUUAGGUGUGUUUUUUUUUUAUAGUUUUAAGUUAUUAACAAAAUCAAUUCCACAUUAGAAGGUAUCGGUGUUUAGUUUACUCUGAUUUAGUUUCACUCAUCCAUUCCGGUUAGAUAUUUUCUAUAAUAUUAGCUCACUAAUAAAAUUAAUUCUAUAAUGGAAAAUUCAUGUUUUCCCUGACUUAAUUUGGUCCAUUUUAAUCAGUCUAGAUGCGUUUGUAUGUUUGAUUGAUCAUGUGUUAAUUUUUGAUUGUUAUUCUUAAUUGAUGUGUUUCUCGAAAAUAGUCAUUAAUUCUUGGUGGGUAUCUCGUUAGCUUAUAUGAUCUAAGUUUGAAUAGUUUAUCGCUUUGGUAGUCUAUGGUAAAAAUUUACUUUUCGGAGGCCAUUGGAAAAUAGUGAAGAUUGGCCUCCAUUCCCACCACUUCAAUUUUCUCGGUGGUAAAAAUAUAUAUUUUGUGAUUUUGUUCUCUUUUGUUUUGCUUAGUAUUUUGUUUAUUAUGUUAUGUUUUUUUUUUCAAAUUAAUUUCUUUUAUUUUGAAAUAAAAUACUUUUCUCAAAAUGUUCCUCACAAAAAUCUUUUUUUUUUUUAAAAAAAAAAAAAAAUCCAUUUAGAGUCCUUAGAAUCCAAAUCUCAUUUCCUUAAAAUAACACGCAACCAUUUUUUGAUCAGUUUGCAUCUUUCUCGGUUUUCACUGAAAAUUUUGGUUUUGAAUAAAAUACGAAUCAAAGAUUGUGGUCCCAAAUAAAUAGGAUGAUUCUAGGCUAUAUUUGUGUAUACCAAUUGGGGAAUUGGUGAAAUCUCUACAUAAGAGAAUUUUUCAAAACUCUUCUUUGCAACCAGUUUUCACUCAACCUAUGAUCCUUUAGAUUUAAAAUUCAUUUUAGUGACUCUGGAAUGUUUUUAAAAAUUUUCCAAAACUUGUAUGACUUUCUUCACUUGUUGAACUUGAAUUUAAAGUUUCGUUUGAGUUAGAAAACCAUUAUGGAAUAGAAAAUAUAAAUGAGUCUUUAGGGGGGCUCCGUUUUCACUCAAUUCUAGACACCCGAGAGAUUUUUGAAAAAAUAACAUACCAGACAACUUUUAAAAUUUUAUUCAAUAUUUUUACUCAAUUAUAGGCUUCUUAAAAUUGAUCUUAGACAUAUAAAAUAUUUAAAAAUAUGUUUUUUUCAAGGAGAUAUAGUUUUUCAAAUUCAUGCCUAUUGUGCAUGUUGGAUUCUGGACAUCUAAUUACCUUAAGUGUUUUUAAAAUAUUUUUGAGUACUAUCCGACCAUGGAUUCAUUUUUUUAUGAUAUAGACACUUUGAAAUAUAUGUGUGAUUUUUUGUAUUAAUUUAUUUGAUCACUUAUUAUUUUUAAAAAUUUGUUUAUACAUGUCAAUUUUUCUUAUCUAAUCUGGACUUUGUAGAACCUUUAGGUGUCUUUGCUGCAAUCUGUCCUUUGAAUGAGAGUUUGGUCUUCGGUAUCUAGAUGUGUAGGAGUUGUCUCCUGAAAUUUUUUGUAAUUAAAUUCCACUCUAAGUCAUUUUUUUAGAAAUUGUUUUAUGAUGCUUCCUUUUCUAAUUGCAUGUUGAUGAUCUUGUACAUUGCUUGAAUUGGUUAUUUAUUUUUGGAGUCAUUUGACUUACCUUGGCUCAAUUUUGUCUUUGGUACUGUGUAUUAGACAUAAUGAAUGUGUUAUAUAAUUCAUACUUGUCCUAAUCACUCUAUCUGUUUUGGAGGAAUCAUAUAAAUUAUGCAUGCUAUCCAGGUACGGUCUUUAUCACUUACUUUUCGAAAUUUUAUGAACAUGCAUAUUGUUGUGAGUCUUAUUUGUGCUUGAUGUGAUCCUUAGGUGCUUAGAUGUAUGCUUGAUUUGCUUGGAUAAAACACAUGUGUGCUAUAUUUCCAAACUAAUUUUGAUGUCUUAUGAUAGUUCUUAAGAAGCAGUCCAAGUAUGCACCCUAAAUCUCCUUUAUGAGUAUGAUUGGUUUUUCUUGUUUGGCAUGCUAGUUUUGAAAUCACGUUAGCCUACCUAAGUAUCCAUGAUCAACUAGUUAAUUGUCACAUUUCCCUCAACUUAGUCAGUAGAGACCUUUGUAGGGCUUAGAGGGGUGCUACCUCUUAGAGAUACCUUCCCAAUAAGUAACCUGAUCCCCGGACCAAGACUUGGGUUUUCGAGACAUGCUUUUCCAAAAUCGUGGAGUCACUUUUUUUUAGGGUUUUCUUUCUUUUUUUAUUUUCUGUUUAAAAUAAAAUAAAAUACAAUAAGUGGCGACUCCGACUUUUCCAAAACUAAAUUUUUCACCAAAAAUAAAAGUAAGUCUCGUCGAUCGAGUGGGGUGCAUAUGAAAAAUGCGGGUCCAUACAGUGGCUGAAACUAAGAAUGAUGGUGAAAAUAUGUAGAGAAAAAAGGUUCUUUUAUUUGGAACGAAAGCCUUAGGGCUUUGAAAGAAAUGAGAAAAUUAAACAGAUAGAGUUUUAAUUACAAAAAUGCCCCUCGUCCAUUUAACCUAUGAGUAUAACCAACUAAGGACAAAAUUGGAAAUUUUAACAAAAAAACAUGUUCAGGGAUUUUGAGUUUUUUUUUUAUUAAAAAAAAUUUAAGAAAACACCCUUGAUUCAUUAAACCAUACGAGUUGAACUAGAUAAGGGCAAUAAUGGAAUUUUUCAUAGAUGCAUAAGUGGUAUCGAUCUUGGUGGAUCGAUCCACAUUUCAUUCAAGAGCUGUCAGUGAAAAAAAAAAAAUUGUGCAACUUAACUGUGGGAAGCUUUUUACAAAAAUUUAUAAGUGUUGGAGCCAAGUGGUAUCGAUCUUGGUGGAUCGAUCUACAUUUCAUUCAAGGGCUCUCGGUCACAAGAUUGUGCACACAGUGGAUUGAUCCACAAAUUUAGUAGAUCAAUCGACACCCUACUGAAAAAUGACUUAGGCAAGAACUGAUGAUUAAACACAAGAAACACACUAACAAGCUUUCCAAAAAUUGAAAAUUUGAUUCACCAAAGCUAAGAUACAAUAGGAUGACAUACUUAUCUUUCAAUCAAGGAGUUAGAAUUGAUUCACAUUGAACAAGAAUGCUACCAAGAGCUUAACUUUAAACAAAAUUAAUAAACAUAAAGAUUGAAGAACCUUCCAAAUUUAUCAAAUGAAUAAGUAAAAAACAAAUGAUUAUCAACACUCUAAUAAGGAAACUUAAGCUCAAAGAAGACUUACUCAUGACGCCAUAAAAUAGAGAGAAUGUUAAUUUCUUUCCACAUAUAAACCUAUAUCCACCCAUGAAGCAAAAAAAAAAAAAAUUUCAAGACAGACUUUCUUCCUAGAGAAAUUCAAGAUAACGUUCCAAGAAGUCAAUUUGCACCUCUCUUGGCCAGAUUUCUGUUUAAUACGACCUAUUCACAUCCAAAAUAAAAUAAAAUAAAAUUCACACAUCAUUUGUUUUUCACAUUGAGCAUUGGAAUGAUUACACAAACAUGAGCUUCACCCUUAGGAUCAUUUUUUUUUCUUUUUUUACUUGAGGACCACUAAGGUGGCCUUUACAACAUAACAACGUAAGGGAUGUCCCACUCUUGCAAUGAAGGCUUUUUAACUCUUGAAACAUUGCCAAGAAGCCAUAACCAUUCUGGGAAGCUUAAUAUUUCUUUUUUUCUUUUCUUUUUCUUUUUAUUUUUUUUUUAUUUUUUUUAAAUUUCAAAGAGAGGGCAAACAAUCAAGGAAGAAUAAUUUUCAACACUCAAGGACAUUCUAGGUGACUUUACUCGCUUUUUAAUGCUCAUUAGAUAAACAUAAGUUUGCAUUUAGGCUAUAAAGAGAAAUACUCACCAUUUAUGUAAUCACAAGGUUCAACUAUGAGUUGUUACUCAUUUAAAAGAAAUGAAGCUAACCUUUUGUGGUUUAUCUAAUCAAAUCAAAAUAGCAAGGAAUCAAUAUCAUGUUUAUCAAUCAAGCCAUGGAGAUAAAAACAUCUUGAAGCUUUUAAGAUCAUUAUGAGUCAAUUUAACUUUUAAACAAAAGUGUAAGCAUGUCACUCUCAUGAACUCAACAAAUGUUGAAAAUUUAUGAAAAAUGAAGAAAAUAUUGAACCAAAACAAAAAAAACAUCAACUUGAUGAAAUUUAGGAACUUAGGAAGACAACUAGGACUCAAGGAUAUGCAAGAGGGUGUCCUAAACAAGUUCUAAAGGAAGUCAAUUGACUAUGCAUAAACCUAUGGACUUUCUAAGUGAUUCAAACCUAGACACAUCCACAUGUUUAGUGAGAAUAUCAGCAAUUUGACCCUCAGUUGGAACAUAUUCCAAUGACACCACUUUGUUUUCAACUAAGUCAUGAAUGAAGUGAUGUCUAAUGUCAAUGUGUUUUGUUCUAGAGUGAAGAACAGGGUUCUUGGAGAUGUUGAUUGCACUAUUAUUGUCACAAAACACUACCAUGGUUCCUUGAUCUAUUCCAUAGUCUCUCAACAUUUGUUUGAUCUAAAAAAUUCGAGAACAACUACCGGUUGCAAUGUAUUCCACUUCAACUGUGGAAAUCGAAACAAAGUUUUGCUUCUUACUCAUCCAAGCAACCAAGCAAUUUCCAAUAUAAAAACAACCACCUGAUGUGCUUUUCCUAUCAUCCACAUUUCCAGCCCAAUCAACAUUAGUGUAGCAAGCUACAUUAGAAUGAGUGUUAAAUGGAUACCAAAGACCUAGCUCUAAAGUACCAGCAAUGUACCUAAUGAUGCACUUAAGAGCUAUGAGAUGAGAUUCCUUAGGACAUGCUUGAUAUCUAGCAUACACUCCAACACUAAAAGCUAUGUCCGAUCUACUAGCAGUGAGGUAUAAGAGGCUACCAAUCAUGCUCUUAUAUAAUGUUUCAUCUACCCCUUUCCCUAAUUCAUCCUUACUUAGCUUUAGGUUGGUAGGCAUUGGUGUCCUAAAAUGUUUAGUUGACUCAAGCCCAAAAUUUUUGAUAAGUUCCCUUGCAUACUUGGAUUGGGAUAGGAAAAUCCCAUCCUUGAGUUGUUUCACUUGGAAACCAAGAAAAUAGGUCAAUUCUCCUACUAUUCUCAUCUCAAACUCACUUUUCAUCUCUUUGGCAAAAUCUAAAGCACACUCACUGGAGGUAAAGCCAAACACUAUGUCAUCCACAUAGAUUUGUGCUACCAAGAACACUUCAUCAUUUCUUCUAAUGAACAAUGUUCGAUCAGCUUCCUCUCUCAUGAAUCCUUUCUUAAGAAGAUAAAAUGUGAGUAUUUCAUGCCAAGCUCUAGGAACUUGUUUUAAACCAUAGAGAGUUUUUCCAAGUCUAUAGACAGGAUUUGGAAACCUAGGGUCUUGAAACCCUUUGGGUUGCUCCACUUACACUUCUUCAUUGAGGAUCCCAUUCAGAAAUGCACUCUUGACAUCCAUUUGAAACAGUUUAAAUUUCCAUAUACAAGCUACAACUAAGAGUAUUCAAAUGGAUUCAAGUCUUGCAACUGAAGCAAAGGUUUCAUCAAAAUCAAUUCCCCAGCUUGCUUGAACCCUUGAGCAACCAAACUAGCUUUAUUUCUCACAAUCACACCAUUUUCAUCCAUCUUAUUUUUGAAAAUCCAUUUUGUUCUAAUGACAUUCACAUCUUUUGGUCUAAGCGUUAAGAACCAAACAUCAUUUCUAGAAAAUUGAUUUAGUUCUUCAUGAAGAGCCUCUACCUAAGCUUCAUCAUUCAAGGCUUCUUCAACAUUUUUUUGGUUCAAUUUAGAAGGUAUAGCAAACAUAGCUUACCUCAUUUAGCUUGGAUUGUCUUCUUGUUAACAUGCUAUCCUCAUAGCUUCUAAUCACUUUGCUCAAUGGAUGGUUCUUAGGUAACCUUGACUUAUUUUUCUUCGAUAGCUCAAUUCCUCCCCUAUCUCUUUUCUUUCCUUGCUCUUCUUUCUUUUCUUCCUCUUCACUUAACUUUUCAUCUUCAAAUUUUUCUUCAAUCACUUCAAUAUUUUUUGAAACAUCAAUUCUAUCCUCAUCACACUCUCUUGAUAUUGAUCCUAGAUCAUCCACAAUCACAUUGAUUGAUUCCACCAUACAUUUUAAACUCAAAAUGUACACUCUAUAUGCCCGAAUUUAGGAGGAAUAUCCUAAGAAUAUCCCUUCUUCACUUUUGGAUUCAAACUUUCCAAGAUUUUCAUGAUCAUUCAAGAUAUAGCGUCUACUUCUAAACACCCUAAAGUACUUCACACUGGGUUUCUUACCUUUCCAUAGCUCAUAACAAGUUUUCCUAGUAUGAGGGCGCAUGUGAGUUCUAUUGGAAGUAUAGCAAGCGGUAUUGAUGGCUUCAACCCAAAAAUGUGUAGGAAGUUCAUGUUGAUUUAGCAUUGUUCCGACCAUUUCUUGAAAGACAUGAUUCUUUCUCUCUACUACCCCAUUUUGUUGAGAUGUUCUGGGAGCGGAAAACUCUUGUUUGAUUCCUAGAGAAUGAGAAAAAUCUAAAAAAAUCAUAAUUGUCAAAUUCUCUCUCCAUAUCACUCUUAAUUCUUCAAUGGGAUACCCUUUUUCAUUUUGAAUUUUCAAACCAAUGUCCUUGAAAUUUAUGAAUGCCUUACUCUUAUCUCUUAGGAAUGCAACCCAUGCAUACUUAGAAUAGUCAUCAACCAUCACAAAAAUGUAUUUCUUGUCUCCUAAACUCUCAGUUCUCAUUGGUCCCAUGAGGUCCAUGUGUAAGAGUUCUAAAGGUUUAGAGGUCAAAAUUUCAUCAACUCUCCUAUGUGUACUCCUAGUUUGUUUUCCCUUUUGACAAGUACCACAAAUAGGAUUAGAAGGUUUUCCAAGCUUAGGAAUCCCUUUUAUGACUUCAUUAUUAGCAACCUUCAUCAAGUCACGGUAGUUUAAAUGACCCAACCUAUGCUGCCACAAAUCGAUUGAUUCAACUUUUGAACUACCACACACAAGGGAAGAAGAAGAAGAUGUAGAAGGAUUUUGACAAACAACAUAGCAAUUAUCAGAAGUUCUCAAACCAAUCAUCACACAAUUUCCAUUAAAAUCAAACCCUUUACAUAAAUUUUGUGAAAAUCGAACAUUGAACUUCUUGUCACAUAUUUGACUAAUGCUAAUCAAGUUAGCUUUCAAUCCUUCCACAUAUAAGACCUCUUCAAGAUUAGGGAUCCCGGGAGCAUAAAUUGUGCCUUUCUCUUUCACACUACCAACAUUACCAUUACCAAAAGUCACAUUUCCUCCAUCAAAUUUAAUGAAAUUAGUGAAGAAUGAUCUAUUACCUAUCAUAUGACGUGAACAACCACUAUCAAAGCACCAUGAGUGUGACUCACUAGCUCUAAGUGUAGUAUGAACAACAAGGCUAUUAAGCUCAUUCCUUUUCACCCAUAGUUGUUUUACAUUUGUGACUUUGGUCAUUCCAUUUGAAGUGCUUCCUUGGAAGCCACUAUGAUGAGGGACAUUUGAAUCCCUCUUGAACACUCUCUUGCCUCCUUGUAACAACCUAUUUCUCAAAGAGAAUGAUUCAUUCAUUAGGUUGGUCAACUUUCUUUGGAAACUCUCAAACAUCCUAGCAUAACAUCUAUCAACGGUGUGUCCCAUUUUAGAGCAAUGAGUGCAAUGAAGUUUCAAUUUAUGAGGAAUUUUCUUAGGGACCACUCCUUCACAAGGCUUGACAAAAUUUUUUUUACCACUACUUGGAGUGGUAAUUUCAUCAACAAAACCUAAGCCUCUUUUAUUAAAUGAUUUCCUCCUUGAAUUGAUCAAAUCACUAAGUCUUUUAGAGCUAGGAUGUGACUCUUCUUUCCUAAGACUCAACUCAUUCUUAAACACUUGAUUUUCACUCUUCAAUUCAUCACACAUUUUCUUCAUGUCAAAGUAUUCACCCUCAAGAAAGACAAUUUUAUCUAGCAAAGACUUUUUAUUUCCCUUUAGAGUUUUAAUCUCAUUGAUUAAACUCCUUUUAAAAGUCUUCCACUCAACUUGUUCCGGUUUGAGACUUAAGCACUCCUUGUACAAAGUCUCAUAUGUAGAAUCAAAACUCAUCUCAUAACCAUUGAAGUCACUUGACUCACAAGACUCACUAAGAGCCUCAUUUUUUAGUGGUUCAUUAAUGACACUUGCCAUAAAGGCUGUGAAAUUAGUGCAUUCCUCAUUGGCAUUGGAUUCUUUUUCACUUGAUUGACAUGAUUCUAUGUCACUCCAAGUGACUUGCAUGGCUUUCUUUCUUUUUUUAUUUAAGGGACAUUUAGUGGCAUAGUGCCCCUUUCCCCUACACUUGAAGCACUCAACCUCAAGGUCCUUUUUGACACUCUUAUCUUUCUUUUUGUCUUUUACAAUUGAUUUUCCUAUUGAAUUAUUCCAUUUUUUAGCAUAUUCCUUGGACUUCUUCUUAUAUUUCCUGAACUUCAUAUAUUUUUUGAAUUUUUUUAUCAAAUCUAGCAACUUCUUCGUUUGACAUUUUCUCAUCACCCUCACCUUUGGAACCUAAGGACUUUUCUUUAAUGGCAUUCAAGGUAAUGCCCUUUGAUUUCCUAGGUGAUCCAAGAGUCAUUUCAAAAGUUUGGAAUGAACCUUCAAAUUCAUCCAUUUUCAAGGAAUCUACAUCCUUGGAUUCUUCAAUGGAAGUAACUUUUGCUCUAAAUCUCUCCGGAAGAGAUCUUAGAAUUUUUCUAACCCCUUUAGAAUUAGGGAUGGGCUCACCUAUAUUAAAGCUAGAAUUCACAAUGUCUAUUAGUUUUGCAUGAAACUCUCUAAAGUUCUCAUGAUCUUCCAUCCUAAUUGUCUCAAACCUAGAGGUCAACAUUUGAAGUUUGGACACUUUCACAACAUUAGUGCCUUCAUGAGUCACUUGGAGGAUAUCCCAAGCCUCCUUAGCCGAAGUACAUGUGGCUAUCCUAUGGAAUUCAUCCAUACUAAUGGCAUUAAAGAUGGAAUACAUGGCUUUAGCAUUGUUCUCACUAGCUUCAUUAUCACCUCUCUCCCAUUCCAAUUUAGGCUUGAUAACAUUAGUUAGUCUACCUUUUCUAUCCAAUACCCUAGAUGGAGACCAACUAAAUUCAACGACUUUCCAAACUUUUUCACUUUGCAUUUUAAGAAAAUAUUACAUUCUCACUUUCCAAUGAGAAUAAUUUUCGUUGGUUAAAAAUGGUGGUCUUCCAAUGGAAGCUCCCUCUUGAUGAGGUUCCAUGAUUAAGAUUCAAGGACCGAAAAUGAUUUUUUUUUCUUAAAAAAAAAACGUGCUCUAAUACCAAUUGAAAAUGUGAAUUUCAAUAAUGGACUACACCUAGAGAGAGGGUGAAUAGGUGUUGUAGAAUAAUUUAAAAAUUCUCCCAACAAAGAUUACCUAACCUUAGACUUUCUCAAUGUCAAGAAACUUCUCUUCCAACAACUUUUCAACAAAGCACAAUAUCCACAAGCAAGAAUGUAUGCAUCAACACUCUUCUAACAAUUUAUAAAUGCAAUACACAUGAAAAUGCUUCAACAAUCCUAAAAAAUAAAUCAAAAGAACAAUUAUCUCCUCAACUCAUAUCAAUUUACUCCAUGAUAUCAUUAACCAAAAUGAGCAAAAAAAUUAUUAAAGAUAUUCCAUGGAUCAUCACACUUAUAUCACCUCAUAUUUCUUCCAUUCAAUAUAUAUGCCCAACUAAUCAAUGAUAUCAAAAACAUAAAAUAAAUCAAAGUGUAGAGUGAGAGAAAAAGACAAUUAACAUCAGAUUUUAACAUGGAAAACCUUUGAAGAGAUCAAAAACCACGAGCCAAACUGAUUGAAAAAAUCCACUAUGAAGAAUAAAAACUGAGUACAAGAUUUUACCUAGCUCAAGCCAACCAAUCCUUCCUGGACCACUUGACUAGUACCUUCACUUUCAACUUCUCACCUUCAUCUUCCGAAGUACACUUGGAGUUUGCACCAAGCUCAAUCUCGACCUCUUCUUGAAUCCACACAAGAAGAAAAUGGGUUUGUACCCAAACCCAAAUAGAAUGAGAGCUUGAGAUAUGAAUGAAGGAAUAAAUCUACCCAUUUAUUGCUCAAGAAAAUCCAUUAAAAAACUAGUUUGGGAAGCAUUAAGAGAAUUAGAUUUUCUUUGCAACCAAAAACCCUCAAAUUAGGAAAAGAGAUGAGAAAAUGAAGAACACAUGGAGUGGCUACAAUUCUCUCCUCGGUUUCUACAGUCUCUACCUAGAAAAUGAGAGAAGAUUGUUUUUUAAAGUGUAAAAAGAAGCCCUUAAUCUAAUGGUUGGGAUUUGAUCUUAAAAACAAGUUAGUUGGAUCGAUCUGCCCCUGCACCUGGAUCGAUCCAGAAAUAGGGGAAUAAAAACCUUGCACCAAAAACUAUUUCUCCCAACUUUCUUAACUCAUUUAAAGAUGAAAAACAGGGUUGAUUCACAUUCAAACACCAACCACUCAACUACAUACCUUGACCUCUUAGAAAAGUAUUAAUCUUCUAAGUCAAGUAGUCCGAAGAGGGAUUGUUUAACCGAGUUAGAGGACACUUAGGAAUUUUGUUCAGAAUUGCCAACCUAGCUAAACACUCACACAUACAUUUAGAUCAAAGCUAAAUAACAAAAAAUAUCUAAAAAUUGAGCCAAAUUGGCUUUAGUAUACAAAAAGUGGAUCAAAACACAAACAAACAACUAAUGAUCCAAAGACAACGAUAGAAUACAACCCAAGGCACAUUGAGGUUGGAUCCAGGAGAUGAUGUAAGAGAGUUGCUUCUCGAUGCCUUUAAAACUAGCAUCUAACUCUCGCUUGUGCACAUCCAAGUGAGUGACUAACUUAACAGUCCAAGUGCCUACUAUACUGACUUGAAAGUGAAGUUGGUCUAGAGAAUCCAUCACCCUUUGUAAAAGAAGAGCAUAGAAUGGAGGAGCAAAGUGGGCUGAAGAGCAAGAAGAGCCUUCACAUCCUCGACUAUGACGCCCACAUGGAGCAAGCUCAAGGAAAUCAGUCUCCUAAAUAGGUAGAUCCUACUCCAUAACAUGGAUCUCCUCCUACUUGAUGACGACCUCCUGUGUAGCCUCCUAAGCUGUAGUAGCCAAGGGAGCAAGGUUUGGAGGAGCGGCAAACUGUUGUGCAAGGUCAAGAGGGAUAAGAUGUUCAUAAAAAUAAUUGCAAUGUUUGGACUAGGAGCUUAGGGUCCAGGUAUAGCAAGGGUUGGAUCCAACUCAAAGCCCACAUCCUUAAGAAUCCUAUCGAUGAUGAGGGUAAAUGGAAAGCCACCAGUGUGACCAGUAGGAUCACAAAAAGGAGUCGUGAUAUCUAAAAUCGCUUGGGCAAUGUCGAGCAACUGCUAAGAUAAUACGAAGUGCAUGAAACGAGUGACAUUGUUCCAAAUCUUAGUAUGAUGUGUCAUAGGAUAAAACAACUAAGAAAGAUAGGAUGAGAGAGCCCAAACUAACUUAGUAAAUUCAACGACUAGAAUAUAAACUAGCAACGGAUGUGGCUCGCCAUAGAGAGAGACCAAGACUAAAGUGAGCUCACCCUAAGUACCUACACCUCAGGAGAGAAUAUGAGAAGUUGACUAGACAGUCGAGGCAUACCAAGUGCCCAAUAGAUAGAAGUAGUCGAGACAAGGAAAGUUUGACCAUACAUGGUGAUGCCAAACAUCAUAUCACUCAUCGUAGAAUGGAUGUUUACAUAGAACGUCAAAACAUAGUGUGGGUAGGUUAGCCCACGAAAAGAAGCAAGAGGCUCUCAACCCCAUGCUCAGAAGAUAGACAAAAGGUCAAUAUCGAAAAAAAAAUUGCAUAUUAAUGGUGUGCUCGACUAAUUCGUUCCCAAUUGGUGUCUCAGCUGAUUCAUGUCCAGCUGGUGCUCUUUGAUUGAGGGAGUAAUCAACAAAAUUUAUAACCUAUAUCACCAUGCAUUAGGAUAGCUUUAGCUAAUAUAGCAUAGUGGCUCUAGGAUCGUUCUCUGGGAAGGGUUUUCAACUCACAACUGAUACCAAUUCAAAGUUAAAUUGGUGCUUUUUCAUUUCAAGGUUAGCUUAAGAAAUAAAACACAAACUUUGGUUAAACGAGGUUUUGUUUCAAGCUAACUAAAAAGAAAGUAAUGGAAAUUACUUAUGAAGAAAAACAUUCCUUGGAGGUUUGGGUUCACAGGGGAGGUUCCUUAUGCAAAAACAGAGCUCCGAUCAUUUGGUUCAUUUCCUCGCAUUAGAGAAUUAACAUAUAGUCAAUUCUCUAAUCGGUGUUGUACAGAUGUAUCCUUUAAAUGGAUUUCAGCUCUAAUUCCCUCUCACUGAUGCAACUUGCAAUGGCUCGUGCCUCUCACCUAGCAUUUGCCAUUCAAGGUGAUCUUUAACUUUGGACUUCCCUUCUCAAGCUCGCAAGAGAUAACUAAUGGAUGUCUCCUUGGAGUCCAAAAGCUUGCCAAGUGUUGGCAAUUCUAGAAAAUCCUACCUUUAAGUCACUUCCCAAAAGCUCGCAAGAGGUAAACUAGUGUAUCUUCAUGGACGUAGAUCACUUGCCUUACCAAGUGUUGGCUCAAGUGAAUGGAAGGUGUUUUAAGUUAACUAAAAACAUAGAAAUCAUUAAAGGAUCACACUUCCUCUUCAUUAAUGGCUAAAACCACAAAGCUAUAAAUUCUUGCACUUGGAACCUUUCCCGGCAAUCUUAGCUCCAAGGAACUAAAAGUCUAGCCACUCAUUCUCUGAGGAAACUUCCUCAGAGCUUGUUUGGCUAGUAAGAAAAAGAAUGAGAAAACAAAAAUAUAUAGGAAAAAUAGAGCAAGUGCUCUGUAAAAUAUAUUUCUUGCAAAAUUGUACAAAGGAUGCGUCUAAGAACAAGCUCCCGACUCUCCCCACUCUCCUUUCUUAAAGAAAAUUACAAACUAUAUAUAAGAGGUUAUUCACCCCUUUGUUCUUACUUAAAGACUAAGGAAUCCUAUGAUAGGUGGGUUAUAAGGAGAGUUUGGGGAUUUAGACAUCAAAUAUCUAAAGCAAAAUAUCUCAAAAAGUCGAUCGGAAAUAUCGGGAAGCUUCAGGAGAAAUUCCGUUGCACUGUGCAAAAAUGGAGACUUGGUCGUUAGUAUUAUCAGAGUUUGCUUUUUGAUUGUGGGCGGAAAUGGAUCCGGCGAAUCGCGAGUAUCUGACAAGCCAAGUUGUCCAGGGAAUCUGAAUUGUCGGCUGUGGAUGCUCUCCGGGUAAGCGCUAUUAGAGGAUCCGGACAUGUCUGACCGGGGAAGUUGCAACGUCCUCCUCUCCCAUCCGACGUCAGGCGUCAGAUGUGAAAUAUCCGAUCAGAGGAUCCGAUCAUGUUUGACCGGACAGAAUUCCAAAUGUGAGAUAUCCGGAGAAGGUGGAAUGUCGGUUGAACAGAAUUCUUCCCCGGGUGGAAUGAGCUAUGUUGCUCGUCGCAAGAGGGACCGUCUGCGUGUGCAAGGUGUAGGGACCCCUCCCCCUGAUGACACGGAGCGCGCAUCGCUACCCGGAGCAACUCCAUUGUGAUUCUCCAAGAGGACACGUGGCGUGCUCCCCUAUCCGGACUCCCUCAGGGAGAAGCACACGACACUCGUGAACAUCACACCCCGGAUGAUAGCAUAUCCUAUCCGGAUAUGUUGUCCGGAUCAUUGACUAAAGUGAGCAAGCCUUGCUACGUCAUUCCGACAGCCUGCCAUAGCCCACGUUCCGCCGCCCUCCGAUGGUGUGUCCGGACGCCCUGUCCGGACAUCUUUUGCCAUGGAUUCCAAAGAACUCUCCUCAAUCUCGGAUUGCUUUGGUGAUCAAAAAGCUAUCAAAACACCAAAACUUAACACAAUUUGAUUAGAAUUGAUUGCAAGGGUCCUUAAUAUGUUAAUUGGGUUAAAAGGUGAUAACUACUACUCAAAAGUAUUUAAAAGAGUUAAUUACAAGCUAUUAAAUAGCACUUUUUGAGUAGUAAUCAUCGACCUCAACACAAUGGCCUAUGAAAGAAGCAUAAUAAUGGUCAUGAGCCUUCUUAGAAUGAAAACACUCCAUUGAGAGGUCACUUAGGUUGAAAAGACCCUGGACCACUAGACCUUGACCCUUUGGAAAAUAAGGCAUAGAGGGUGCCUCCCUAAGUCGCCUACAAACAUUGGCUAUCCUACAAUGAAUAAAAAUAUAAAGAGACAUGAAAAUUGAAUAAAAUAUCUGAAGAAAACUAAACCAUUGGAAAGACUUAGAAAACUAUCUCAAACAAUACUAUGAACUUUGAAAACUUGAAAAAGGGACACAAAAACAUGUUGGAAGGCAAGAACACGAAAACCCAGAGCUUAAAGUAAAUAAAGAAGGGUAAAUGAAACAAAAAAAUGCGCUUGAAAGCCUUAAAUAGGUACUUAGGUUGUUGGAAACUAGAUUAGUGAUUGAACGACUUAAGCUCGAGAAGCAACAUUGGAUACAACUUAAGGAACACUCAAGCACUUGUAUCACAGAAAAAUAUGUUGGAUAUAACUUAUGGCACUUGAGCAUUUUCAACACUUACAUGAUAGGCUUGACCACUCGAGCUCUAGAAGCAACGCUUAAGCGGUUGGAUAGAUGCUUGAGCACUUGAAGUAGUGUCAAUCUAACUAAAUAUCAUAAACAAAUGCUUGAAAUGAUUAAGGAAAUGUAAAUCCAUGAAAUAGGCAAUGUGUUAGCAACAAAAACUCAUUAGUAAUAGUAAAAAAACAAGAAAUAUCAACUUAGGGCAUAAUUCAAUUGAACAAACUCGAUAAAUUAGAAAGAAUAGUAAUACACCAAGUAAAAAACCUAAAGAGAAGUUUCAAUCAAACAAAAUUGAUAUAUCAAACCAGAGAACAUCAUUAAUCACAAUUUUGGUUUGUAAAGUAGAUAAAUAAUUAUCAAAUAUUAUGAGGGCCAAAAUGAAUCAAUGGUAUUGAUUUUCAAGGGGAUGAACUUAUUGUCAAAUUCUAAAUUUCGAAUUUGAAUUCUUAGAAGUUACUAAACCAUGCCUUAAUAUAAUUAAUUCACAUUCAGUAAAUUUAUUAUAAGUUCGUUGGAUUUUUGUUUAACAUGGUAUUUGUUGAUCUACAUAUAACACAACUUUUCUCUUCCUCAAUCAUAUAUCAUUAUUUUCCUUUAUUAUUAUUUUUUAGGAGAAGUGGAGCCAUUGUAUAUCAUUUAUGGAAAUCAUAUUCCCACUCUAGUUGCCUUAUUCCACUUAGGAGUUGUUUUCUAAAUAUUGCAAGUGAAGGCAUAAAUAUCUUGCAAAGAAUCUUUGAUGUUACUUUAGCUAAGAUUCUAUGAUUUCUAUUAUUCACUUUAGGAAACAAAAAUAUUGAACAUAGACAAAUAAGGUAUGUGUAUUAAAUUUGAUUAAGCAUGGUAUUUGUUACUUUCUAAGAAAAUAAAAACUACUUUAUUAGUUAAAUUUAAGAAGAUUCCCUAGUAUCCAUUUACCAAUAAUAUAUCUUUUAGAUUUCACACUAUACAAAGAUUUUUAUAUACGUUAAAAGCGAUUAAUAGAAUCCUAGGGAAAUAGAUUCAAAUUUGUGGAUCUCGUAUUUUUCUAUUAAGCCUAAAACUUGAGAUAUUGAAAUCCUUACUAAUAAGGCAAGUAAUAUGAUGUCCAAAUUUUCCCUAAGAAGAACUGGGAUAGACCAAAGGAUGAGAAAAUAAGCAAUUUAAGCACAAAUCUUAAGCCUACACCCUUUGACAUCAGUUAGUUAGGCAUAUACCCAAGGAUUUCCUAAGAAAUUCAAACCUAAGGGUAUCCAAGGGUUUUGUAAAAAUAUUUGUCAAUUGAUGCUCCAUUAGGACAAACUCUAAGGAAAUAGCCUUAUCUUCAACUAGAUCCCUAAUGAAAUAAUGAUGAAUUUAUAUAUGUUUAGUUCAGGAAUGAAGAAAAGGGGUUUUGAAAAUAUUAAUUGCACUAGAGUUGUCAUAAUAAAUAUUCAUAGUACCUUGCUUAAUGCCAUAGUCAUUGAGCAUUUGUUUCAUUCGAAAAAACCGGGCACAACAACUUCUUGCGACAAUAUAUUUCACUUCAACAGUGGACAAGGAUAUUGAAAUUUGCUUCUUACUUAGUUAGGCAACUAAACAAUCAUCGACAAAGAAGCAAGCACCCGAAGUGUUUUUGUGGACCCGUAUUUUUCAUGUGCGCCCCCACUUGAUCAGCGAGACUCGCUUUUAUUGUGAAAAAAAAAAUUGUUUUUGGAAAUGUCAGAGUCACCACUUAUUUGAUUUUUUUUAAAGGGAGAAUAAAACAAGAAAGAAAACCCUAAAAAAAGUGACUCCAUAGUUUUUGGAAAAGUGUGUCUUUAAAACACCCGAGUCUAGGUCCGGGGAUCAUAUUACCUAUUGGGAAGGUACCUCUAAAAGGUAGCACCCUUUUAAGCCCUACAAAGGUCUCUACUGUCUAAGUUAAGGGGAAAAUGACAAUUAAUUGAUUAAUUGAGGAUACCUAGGUAGACUAAGGUGAUUUUUAAAAAAAAUAGCAUGCCAAACAAGAUCAAAUCACAAUAAAGGAGAGUUAGGAUGUGUACCCGAACCACUUCUCAAGCGCUAUCAUAAAACAUCAGAGUUAGUAUAGAAAUAUAACACACGACAUGUAUUCAAUCAUAGCAAAUCAAGAACACAUCUAAGCAUAAAAAAAUUACAUCAAAGAUAAAUAGUCUUCAAUAGUAUACAUGUUCAUAGAAUUCCAAAAAGCGAGUGAUAGAGAGCGUACCUGGAUAGCAUGCAUGAUUUAUAAGAUUCCUCCAAAACUAUUAGAAUGGUUAGGACAAGUAUAAAUUAUAUAACAUCUCUAUUAUGUCUAAUAUACAGUACCAAAUUCAAAAGUGAGCUAAGGUAAGUCAAAUGACUCCAAAAGCAUAUAACAAAUUCAAGCAAGUACUAAGUCAUCAGCAUGCAUAUAGUAAAUACAAAACAAUUGCUAAAAAAUGUCUUGGAGUGGAAUUUAAUCACAAAAUAAAAAAUAAAAAAAAUCAGAAGCAAAUCCUACAUAUCUAAAACAAGAUACCAAAAUCCAAACAUUCAUUCGAAGGACGGAUUGCAGCAAAGACACCUAAAGGUUCUACAAAGUCCAAAUUAGAUAAAAAAACCUGACAUGCAUAAAUGAUUUUUUUAAAAAUAAUAAAUGAUCACAUAAAAUCAUACAAAAAAUCACAAACAUAUUCAAAUUGUAUAUAUCACAUAAAAAAUGAACAUGGGGUCGAAUAUACUCACAAAUAUUUUUCAAACACUCAAGUUAGUCAGAUGUCUAGAAUUUAGCAUGUGCAGUAGGUACGAUUUUGAAAAAUCAUAUCUCCCUCAAAAGGCAUAUUUUUUAAUAUUUUAUAUGUCUAAGAUCAAUUUCGAGAAGCUUAUAAUUGAGGAAAAAUAUUGAAUAAAAUUUAAAAAGUCGUCUGUUACUUUAUUUCUUGAUAAAUAUCUCAGGUGUCUAGAACUAGGUAAAAAUGGAGCCCCCCUAAAGACUCGUUUAUAUCUUCUAUUCCAUAAUGGUUUCUAAAUCAAAUGAAACUUUAAAUUCAAGUUCAAGAAGUGAGGAAAGUCAUACAAGUUUUGGAAAUUUUUUUAAAAUAUUCCAAAGUUGGUAAAACGAAUUUUAAAUCCGAAGGGUCUGUAACUGAAUGAAAACUGGCAGCAAGGAAAAAAUGUUUUUGAAAAUUUUUGCACCACUAGAAUUGUCCUCCCUAAAUGGCUAUGCUGCUGCAUUAGGAAAAUGUUCCCCACAAGGUAUAAAAUUCAGAUUUACAAUAUCAACACUAAACUCACGAUGGGCAACUGGAAUUUUGAUGUUAUCAAAGAAUUGAAGAGGAAUUUUAAUGAGUCCCAUGAAGUGACCUAUUCUGUUGAAUGCUCAAUUUGUUCAACUCUGAUAGAACUUUGAUGGUCCACUAGAAUCUACAUCAUCUUCAUAUGUGGACUGUGCAUCUUCUCAAAGUGGCGGCCUUCCUAUAGUAACGUGUAAGUGCCUCCAAAAAAAUCUGAAUUCCCCUUUCAUUGAAGCUUCUCGAAUCCAUUCGACACGCAAUCCUUAUGCUACCAUAUUCCAUAUGCCAAUCUUAAGAUAGAUGCUUCUUCCUCUUGGAAGCAUGUUGUGCAUGGAAUCUUUCAAUGCGGGCUGUGCGUGAGAUGCCAACUGUGUCUAUAUGUAAUGCUAUGGUGUGACUGCACCCUUUUAGGAAUCAAAUCUGUAGCCUCCACUUUCCCCAAUGUGAUCACUCCCUUUAUGGUAUUCCUAACAUACAUUUUUUGCAAACAAUAGUUUGUUUUUUAGAUAAACAAGUACCAUAUCUAGAACAGGUCUUACAGAUUUAGCAAACUCCUCUGCCAGGGGUUGUAUCUUUUUUACACCUUUAUGUUUUGAAUAGAAGUCCUCACGUUUCCAUGCAGUCACAUCCCCACAAUCACAAUAGCCACCACCCGUAUAUAUAACAGAAUAAUCACGGUCCUUGUGGUUUCCAUUCUGGAAACAAGGAACACAAAUUGCAUAUUGAUGCGACUCAUGGUAGCUUAACUUUAAAGGCGUAUCAACAAAAUUUAUACCUUAAAUACUAUUACUAAAGUAGCCAAGCUACUAUAGCAUAGUGGUUCUAGGAUCGUUCACUGGGAAGGGUUUUCGCAAACACAAGUGAUAUUCAAAUUAGGAAAAUAGGUGAUUUUCUUAUGGAUGUUAGCUUUAAAAGAAAAUGUAAAUGUUUUAGAAAGAUUUAAACUAAUUUAAGCUAACAUUAAAGACUAAAAUGAAAGGGUGUAAAAACAAGUUUCUCAAAGAUAGGAUAGCUAUGCUCUGGCUCUUAUGCAAAUUGGAAAUCUCAGGAUAGGCUCCUCGCGUUGGGGUUGCAACUAUGGUGAUGCUUGCUUCCCGAACCGGUAUGGAUUUAGCAAAUCAAGUUUUAAUCCUUUAAAAUGACAAAACAGAUGGUAGUGAAUUUCAUCAAUGGUUAUUCACCUUAGACUUCCUUUGAAUGGCUCGUAAGAGAUAACUAAUGGUCUAAAGCCAAAAGCUUACCAAAUAUUGGCAACUCAAAGUCAUUCUAGGUGAUAAACUCACCUUUCAAUGGCCAUUGAAAUUGGUUCUAAUGGAUUAAUACAAAACUUGGAAUUGAAAACCUCACCUUCCAAUAGCUCGUAGGAGAUAACUAAUGGAUAGAAAUCCAAAAGCUUAUCAAGUAUUGGCCGUUGGAAGUUGUCCAAAUGAAAUAAAAACCAAACUUUGCAUUAAUGAACCUUUAAUGAAAAACGACUACCUUACCUUCCGGGUGUGAGAAAUUUCCAUGGGAUUGCAUCCAAGUCAUCACAUAACAUCCAUACUUUGAGAAACUAAAAGUUUUAGCCAAUCAUCCUCUGAGGAAAAGCCCUUAGAGGCUGUUUGGCUACCAAGAAAAUAGAAAUGGGGAAGAACAGGAGAAGAGAGAAAAACAGAGCAAGGCUCUGUAUAUUUUCAAAGUGUAAAACGUAACCUAUAUUAUAUAUUAUAUGUCAAUAUGUUACAACGGAUGCAAGGGAAUAUAUAUAGAGAAGUUUUUCCAACCUUCCUAGCUAAGAAAUCUUAUGAUUGGUGGAUUACAAGGAGAAGAAUGGAAAUUUAUACAAAAAUAUCCAAAAGAAAAGAUCUCGUGUGGAGUCGGCAGAAACAAGGGAAAAUUCGCACCACGCAAGGGGUGUGCGAAAUUUUCGCACACCUGAAGAAGGUGUGCGAAUUUCGCACACCAUUCGCACAGCUAAAGGGGGGUGUGCGAAAUUCUCGCACACCUGGAGCAGUUGUCUUCCGAAGGCCAUAUCUUCCUCGUUUCAGCUCCAAAUCAUAUACGGUUUGAAGCGUUGGAUUCUUGACUUCCUGAGCUUUGAAAUGGUAUAUAGAAUGUAGAAAAUGGAGUUCGGGAAGUGCUCCAAAAGUGCCAACGAAGACUGCAGCUGCUGUCCUCUGUUUUCCUCCUUUGCUUCUUUUUGCUUCUCUUUGCUUCUCUUUGCUUUUCUCCUUUUGUUGGCUUGCUUUGGUGUAGCUAAAAGCUUGAUUUAACUUGUCCAAGUAGCUCCUCCAUCAUUUGGCAUGCUUGAAUUGAUUCAUAAGCUGAUAUAAACAUGUAAACUUGCCACAAAAUGGUUAAAACCAAUUACUAAGGACCUUAAUGAAUUAAUUGGGUUAAAUGAAUAUGAUUACUACUCAAAGGUGCUUAAAACCAUUAUAAUUAGGUCUACAAAAUAGCACUUUUUGGUAGUAAUCACAUAUGUUGGGUCAUGUUUACAUGUUCAGCAACGGUAUACUAUAUCAUUAUGGCCCUAAACAAACCCACAAACACCACAAUGACUAGUACUUAUUUUGGCGAAUUUAUUUAAGACACCCAGUGGUUCACCAUAGAACAUCAACCAUUGUAACAUACACAUACUUUCACAGAAUUGUUCUGUCAUGGUAAGGCUCACCAAGUUCAACAAUAGAAAUUCGUUUGAUGGUGCGUUAAUUUGAUGGAGAGAAUCCAUUGAUAAAAAAAUGAUGAAAUGCUAAUCUGAAGAUCAUGACAGCAAUUCAUCUUCGGAAAAUGAACCUAAUGAGAACCUUCAGGAAUCCAAAAUGGAGAGUUCUAAUGGCGGUGAUCAUUUGUAGCAUCGUCGACCCCCUCUCUUCCCCUUCAGAAUGCUGGAUCACCUCCAUGUUCUCAGAGUUUCUUCAAAAAAACGUUCUUCUCUCCUCUUCCACUUAGUGUGUUGAAAAUAUCUCUCCACCUUCUUUCAAUGACCUACUCCAGAAUGUUGGAGAUCUCCUUAUUUCUCUGUGUAUGGUCGUCUCUCCUCCUUUGACCCCAAACCAGCCUAUUGUUUUUUCCCCACGUGCAAUCAAUCCCUCAUGUAUUGAUUCGGAUGCCUAGCUGGUGUCCCUUGAGUUUGGUCCUCAGACAGGAGUAAUCAACAAAAUUUAUAACCUAUAUCACCAUGCACUAGGAUAGCCUUAGCUAAUAUAGCAUAGUGGCUCUAGGAUCGUUCAUUGGGAAGGGUUGUCAACUUAUAACUGAUACCAAUUCAAAGUUGAAUUGGUGUUUUUUCAUUUCAAGGUUAGCUUCAAAAGAAAACAUAAACUUUGGCUGCAAAAGGAUUUGUUUUAAGCUAACUAAAAAGAAAGUAAUGAGAAUUAAUUAUGAAGAAAAACGUUCCUUGGAGGUUUAGGAUCACCGGGAUCAGGCUCCUCAUGCAAAAAACAGAGCUCCGGUCACUUGAGUCUUUUCCUCGCAUUAGAGAAUUAACAUAUAGUUAAUUCUCUAACCGGUGUUGUAUAGAUGCUUCCCUUUCAUGGAUUUCAGCAUUAAUUCCCUUUCACUGAUGCAUCUUGCAAUGGCUCGUGCCUCUCACCUAGCAUUUGCCAUUCAAGGUGAUCAUUAACCUUGGACUUCCCUUCUCAAGCUCGCAAGAGAUAACUAAUGGAUGUCUCCUUGGAGUCCAAAAGCUUACCAAGUGUUGGCAAUUCUAGAAAAUCCUACCUUCAAGUCACCUCCCAAAGGCUCGCAAGAGGUAAACUAGUGCAUCUCCAUGGACGGAGAUCACUUGCCUUACCAAGUGUUGGCCCAGGUGAAUUGAAGGCGUUUUAAGUUAACUAAAAAUAUAGAAACCAUAAACGGGUCACACUUUCUCUUCAUUAACAGCUGAAACAAUAAAACUACCAAUUCUUGCACAAGGGACCUUACCCGACUACCUUAGCUCCAAGAAACAAAAAAUUCUAGCCAACCAUUCUCUGAGGAAACAUCCUUAAAGCUUGUUUGGCUAGUAAGAAAAAUACAUUCAAAGUGAGAAGGUAAGGUAGAGCAAAGCUCUAAAUUUUACUUCCUUCAAAACUAUACAAAAGAUGGUCUUUGAGAACAAGCUCCCGAGAUGUUUGUGAUGAAAAUUACAAAACAAUAUAUAUGAGUCUAUUCACCCCUUUGUUCUUGCUUAAAGACUAAGGAAUCCUAUGAUAGGUGGAUUACAAAGAGAUAAUGGGGAUUUAGACAUCAAAUAUCUGAAGCAAAAAAUCUAAAAAUGUCGGUCGCAAAUAUCUGGAAGCACUCAGGAGAAUUUUGCAGGAGUGCAAGAUGGCUGCGAAAUUUCGCAAGCUGAAGGACACCAUUUCGCAGCCAAAGGCUGAUUUCGCAGCCUGCAAAAUUGGCCUUUAGCUUGGUGUGAUCGGCUUCCAAUGGCUCUAACUUCUUCAUUUCAACUCCGAAUUGCACAUCGUUUGAAGCAUUGGAUUGCUAACUUCUCGAGCUUCGAAAUGACAUAUAGCAUGCAUAAAUUGAGCUCUAGGAAGUGCUCCAAAAGUGUUCAACAGUUUCUGUCCUCUUGAAUUCUUCAUGUUAGAUUUCUCUCUUUGCUUUCCCUCCUUGCAUUCAUGAUUUGCUUUUGGAAAAGGAUUAUAAAGCUUCAAAGCUUUAGUUCUUCAUGUUAAUGAGCUUCCAAUUGCUUUGCCAUGGAUUCCAUAGAACUCUCCUCAAUCUUGGAUUGCUUUGGUGAUCAAAUUACUAUCAAAAACACCAAAACUUACACAAUUUGAUUAGAAAUGAUUGCAAAGGUACUUAAUAUGCUAAUUGAGUUAAAAGGUAAUAACUACUACUCAAAAGUGUUUAAAGGAGUUAAUUACAAGCCACAAAAUAACACUUUUUGAGUAGUAAUCAUGUAUUCUCCCCAAACCAACCUGUUAUUUGCUCUCUCUCUUACUCAAUCAAUCUGCGGUUCCUCCAAUCAGUCCCGUUGACUCCACUAACAUGGAAAAACCCCUCACCGGUCUAGAGAGAGCCCACAAUCUUCUACGUCAGUCCAGCAUGAUUAGAACGAACCUAGCCUUCAUUCCAUCCCUAUUCACAUCGAAUAUCUUCUUUUCACCUGCCUAAAACCAACUAUGGUAAGUUUCAACCUCUCUUCCAAAGAACCAUGCAAUAAUAAUAAUAAAAAACAAAAUCAUCCAAUUAAAAAAAUAAAAAAAUAAAAAAAUAAAUCAUAUGCAUACAGAAGAUAACCAAAAUAUUAUUUCAUGAUAAAGAAACAUAACAUUAGUAUCAUAUAAUUUCCUAAAAAAAAAAUUAAAAAAACAAAUAAAUAAAUAAAUAAACUAGAACCCACUUAAAACAAAAAUCAAACAAAUAGAAUUCUAGAAGACAAACCUUAGUGCACUAAGCUUAAAGAACUAUCCAAGGGAUCCUAAGUGACCUAAGGUGGUGCUUAAUGGGCCAAGUGCAUCUAAACAUGCCUAGCGCACCUAAGUGAGCGUAGGGUGCCUAAAUGGGCUUAGCCUAAAUGGGCCUAGGGUUCCUUAGUGGGCCUAGGGUGCCUAAGUGGGCCUAGGGUGCCUAAGUGGGCCUAGGGUGCCUAAGUGGGCUUAGGGUGCCUAAGUGGGCCUAAGGUGCCUAACUAGGCUUAGGGUGCUUAACUGGGCCUAGGGUACCUAAGUGGGCCUAAGUCUAAAGUAGGGCUGCCAAGAGUCACAAUGGAGUUAGAUAAAUCCCUCAACCAUGUCCCCAAGGUGGCUUCGAAAAGAUCGGCUACACGAGUAGUAAUGGGCCACUAGGGAAUUUCUGUAAAGUAUCAAACAAAUACCUAAUAGGACUUGUGCUAGGAGGACAAAAUGGAGGGUUUACAAAUAUGCUCCUCUUUAGUAGAGAUCACGAGUGUAGGGAAUGUGAGUAAAAAUAUGAAUAUGAGUGGAAUGAAGUGAACUACACCGAAGAAUUAAAAUAAAAAGACCAGAGAUUUUGUCCUAGCAUAUGACAAAAGUAAGCUCGGAACAUGGGGUCGCAAUCAUAAAAAUGGAACAACUCUAGGUCGUGAGCUCAAGGCUUUACAUGGAAAGAAUGACUCUAGGCCAUAGAAGAGAAAACAACUCUAGGUCGAGAGCUUUGGCCUCCAAAUGCAAAAGAAAUGACUCUAGGUCAUAAAUGAAAAAUCGAUUACGGGUCGUGAGUUUUGCACUCUAAAUGGAAAAGAUGACUCUAGGUCAUAAAUGAAAAUCGACUCUGGGUUGAGAGCUUUUAGCUUUAUAUAGAAAAUAAAUUACUCUGGUUCAUAAAUGAAAAACGACUCUAGGUUGAGAGCUUUGGGCUCUAAAUGGAAAAGAAAUGACUCUGGGUUAUAAAUGAAAAACAACUCAAGGUUGAGAACUCUGGGCUCUAAAUGGAAAAUAAAUGAUUUUGGGUCAUAAAUGAAAAACAACUACGGGUCGAGAGCUUUGGGCUCUAAAUGGAAAAGAAAUGACUCUAGGUCAUAAAUGAAAACUUGACUUUGGGUCGUGAGCUCUAGGCUCUACACGGAAAAAAUGACUCUAGGUCGAGAACUCUGGGCUCUAAAUGGAAAAUAAAUAACUCUGGGUCAAGAGCUCCGGGCUCUAAAUGGAAAAGAAAUAACUCUGAAUGCCUAUGAUAAUAAUGCCAGCUCAACCAUCUCAACCAUCCCAACAAGCUUCAAGUCUUGAACAAGCAAUAGUGAAUCUCAGCAAGGUUGUGGGAGAUUUUGUUGGAGACCAAAAAUCCAUCAACUCUCAACUUAGUCAAAGAAUUGACAGUGUAGAGAAUACUUUGAAUAAAAUGAUGGAUGGGAUGCAAAAUGACUUAUCUCAGAAGAUAGAUAAUCUCCAAUACUCAAUCUCAAGGCUCACUAAUUUGAACACAGUGCAAGAGAAGGGUAGAUUUCCUUCUUAACCUCACCAAAACCCCAAGGAUAUCCACAAAGUGGAAACUCAUGAGGGAGAAUCUUCACAGGUGAGAGAUGUUAAAGCCUUGAUCACUCUAAGGAGUGGUAAAAAGGUUGAGUCACCAACACCCAAGCUAUAUGUUGAAGAGAAGGAAGACGAAGAGACAAAGAAGAGGGAGGAAAUGAAAGGAAAGAAGAAAGAUAUCAGUGAAGGGAAGGAGGACCGUGAUUCAACAGUGAAUGCAAAUCCGGAGAAAGAACUUAUUAAGGAAGAAUUGAUGAAGAAACGCACAUCUCCACCUUUUCCUCAAGCUUUGCAUGGGAAAAAGGGGAUAAAAAAUGCAUCAAAAAUCCUUGAAGUAUUGAGGCAAGUGAAGGUCAACAUUCCGUUGCUGGACAUGAUUAAGCAAGUUCCAUCAUAUGCAAAGUUCCUAAAGGACCUGUGUACUAUCAAAAGAGGGUUGAAUGUGAACAAGAAAGCCUUCUUGACUGAGCAAGUGAGUGCCAUCAUACAAUGCAAAUCUCCUUUGAAGUACAAAGAUCCGGGAUGUCCUACCAUUUCAGUUAUGAUUGGAGGAAAGGUAGUGGAAAAGGCUUUGUUAGAUUUGGGAGCAAGUGUGAAUUUGUUGUCAUACUCUGUUUAUAAGCAAUUGGGACUUGGUGAAUUAAAGCCAACAUCAAUCACUCUAUCUUUAGCUGAUAGGUCAGUGAAAAUUCCAAGGGGAAUAAUUGAGGAUGUUUUAGUUCAAGUUGAUAAUUUCUACUAUCCAGUAGAUUUUGUUGUUCUUGAUAUUGAUCCUUUAGUUAAGGAAGCUAAUUAUGUUCCUAUCAUCCUUUGAAGGCCAUUUCUUGCUACUUCAAAUGAAAUCAUAAAUUGUAGGAAUGGACUUAUGCAACUCACUUUUGGCAACAUGACACUUGAGCUUAAUAUCUUUCAUAUGUCAAAGAAGCUAAUUACUCUGGAAGAAGAAGAAGGUCCAGAAGAGGUAUGCAUUAUUGACACUCUAGUGGAGGAGCAUUGUGAUCAGAAUAUGCAAGAUGAGUUGAAUGAAAGUCUUGAGGAUCUUGAAGAAGGGUUGUCUGAACCCGCUGAUGUCCUUGCUACUUUACAAGGUUGGAGGAGGAAAGAAGAGAUCCUACAUUUAUUCAAUAAAGAUGAGGGACAAGAUGAUGUAAUAGAAGAAUUCCCGAAGCUCAAUUUGAAACCUCUGCCCAUGGAGUUAAAAUAUACAUACCUACAAGAAAAUAACCAAUGUCCUGUUGUUAUAUCUUCAUCUCUUACCGGUCAUCAGGAGAUUUCUCUACUUGAAGUUCUUAAGAGGUGCAAGAAAGCAAUAGGAUGGCAAAUAUCUGACUUGAAAGGAAUCAGUUUGUAGACCCUCAAUUUUGUCCUCCUAGCACAUGUCCUAUUAGAUACUAGUUCGAUAUUUUACAGUAGUUCCUUGGUGGCCCAUAACUACUCACAUUACUUACCUUUCUUGAGCCACCUCGGAGACUCUGGUUGAGGGAUUGCCUAGCCCCUUAUUGUGACCCUUGGCAAUUUUGAUUUAGACUUAAGCUAUUCUUUCACUUUUAGGAUAGCACACUUAGGCAUUGUCCUAAACACCUUAGUGUCACGGACUUAGUCGUUUCCUAAGCUCGUGCGACACUUAGGCAAAUCAAGACACUUGAUCUUGCUAAGUCAGCCUUACCCCCGACACUUAGCUUGCUAGGCUAAGAUGCUCACGACUCAGAAGCUUGAGAAGUUGUAGUAGGCAACUUUUAAAGAAUGGAAGCUCUUAUUACUCAAGGAAGCCUUUACAAGUGCUUGGAAGCUCACUUGCUUGGUUAGGAAGUGAUUUGGGUGGUGCCUUGGCCAAAUGAGGCCCUCACCUAUUUAUAGGCACCAAGGGAACUCUCUAGAACCUUGGAGGGUUCCUUACAAAUCAAGAAUAUUCUAGAACAUCCUACCCUAUUCUAUGUACAACCCUAUGUACAAGAACAUACAAGAGAUUCCUAGAAGUCUCUAGAAAUCCUUGGACUCUUCCCAUGCCUUCCACCAUAGUGUAGAGAUGUGUGGACAUCUCUAGGCAUUUCUAGAACCUUCCACACUCUUCCCACCAAUGGCUUAGUGUAGAUGGCUCCAGGAGUCUCCAGAAGCUUCCCUCCUCCUAUAUAAGCCCAUGGGGAGGGUCAUUUGAAGCAUCCUGUGACAUUAGUCUCACUUAGACACUUUUUUAGACCCACUCAGGUUCGCUAGGUCCACCUAAGCAUCCCAACCCACCUAUGUUGCCUUUUAGGUAAUUCCAACAUGACUUACAUAAUUUGCAUGAUUUGCAUUUUUAAUGUUUGCAUGUACUCGAUUUCUUAUUUAUUUAAUUAUCUAUUUAUUUUAUUUAUUUAUUUAUUAUUAUUGGGUUAGUUAUUUGUUUUUAUUUAUUUAUUUAUUUAUUUUAUAGAAUAUUGCAAGAGAUUGAUGAUUAAUUGUGUAAACUGAUGUCUUAAUUAUUUCUGUGUACUUAUGAUAGACAUAAUGUUUUUAAUUGCAUAAUUUUAAAUUAGUUUUAAUUUUCAAUUUCAUGACCUUUACUAAUUUUAGAUUCUUAUUUUAUUUUAGCAUAAGAUUCAAAUGCACACAUAGGAAAAGAUCCUUGAUGUGCACGUCUGCAUACAUGUGGAGAUAUUCUAUGCAACAUGGAAAGGAGAUUUAUAUCCUUAAAGAAAGAAAAGCAAAUCACGGCUGAAUGGGGGAUGGAAAGGAGAUUUAAAGUGUUAAAGAAAGGAAAGUAGAUUUAAAAAAGGAAGAAAAGAACAAAAAGGAAAGGGGAAUUUUCCUUUUUGUUUUGGGAACAGAUUUGGGUCUUUGAGGGGGCUGAUAUAUAUACGUGAAAGCAUGUUGAAAAGUGGGGGAAUUUUUUUGGGGCUGGAAGAGAGGAGAUUCAGGGAUCGUCUGGAGGAAAAGCACAAAGGAAUUGGAGAAGAGAGCAAUUGCAACCAAGGCUGCCCAGGUAUGCUUCUCGUCACUCUUGGAAUUCUUACCCAUAUUCGAUUUCUCCAUGCGUUUGUUUCUGAAUAUUUAAUAUACUGUUGAUUGGGGUGGAUGAAAAAGGCCACAAAUUGAUUUGUUGAGAUUGGUUACUCACUUGUUUACCCUGUUUUGGAUUCUGAUUCUCUUAUAUGUCAUUGAUGUCGUCUGAAAUUCAUGACUCCAUGCCUGAAUUUGAUCAUGUUCUUUUUUGUUUAAAUCUCAUUCUACAUUUUGCUCUCUGUCCUUAGCCCACGGAUUCAAUAUUUGAAGUGGAGCUAUUUAUGUUUAUUGACCAAAGUCUUCCGCUCUCUUCUUCUCUGGGUUUUACAUAUUUUUUUUAUUUGUUCUCUAUCCCUCUUCCUACACGGUAUUUGAAUCUAUUUGAGGUGCUUACGGUGUGUUUGAAGAAAUGUCCAGAGAUGAAGAUUUGAUUAAUUCCUUACCUUCCUGUUUUGGAUCAAUUGGGUUUUAUGAUGAAGUGUUGGUUCUCUCUGAGUAAAGGCUAGAUGUGGUUUUGUUACUUUCUUUGGAUUCUGCGUUUCAUGAAAUUAUGGCCUGGGGUGAAUCGGGAUACUUGAAAAAGGAGCAUCGGGUCAUGAGUUUUUAAUUGAAUUCCCUGAUUUCAGUUUAUACUAAGAUUGGAAAGAUAUAUUUCGGGAGAAGUUAUUGGUGUUCAGAAUCACUUUGUCUAGGCAUAAGGAUUUUUUGGAAAGCUUUGAAGCCUUAUAUCAGUUUUAUACCAGGAAUUCCUUUCCUGUGUUUUGCUAAAGCAUUCCUCUCAUUUAUGCAUUUGAUGUGACCAAUUUUCUUAUGAAGACAAGAUCACCGCGCUCCUGACAUCCUCAUGCCAAGGCACUUCGAAUGUUUCUUGAAAACUCAAGUGAGAGCUUCUUUGGCUACAUAUUUGCCUUUGAUCGACGAAAAUCAUCUACUUAGGCUAUAGUUCCCCUCCAAGAAAACCAGCUUGCUUGGAAUUUAUUUAGAGAAGUUAUUCUAUAAAACAUCAGUUAGAUCAGCGAUGAAUACUCAGAAUUUGAAUUCAGUUAGCUUGCAGUUGAUAUCCAAAACCAACUCCGCUUUGAUACCCAAUCAAUCGAAUUUGCACAGUGCACAAGUUGUACAUAUGAAGCCACAAUCAGCCAGUCAAUCGGAACAGGAGCCAUCAAGUCAGCAACACCAGAUUUUGAUGAAGAUCGCUGCCUUUGGUCAGUUUCAGCUGACAUCUGAUCUAAGCAGUCAAGUAAAGGCCGACCUUGGAGGGGAACGCCAUAACGAAACUCUGAAUUCACAAGUUUCUGAUCAGUUUCAACUUUCUAAGUCGUAGAAUCAAAUCCAGCAGAAUUCUUCCGAAGACCAUUCUGGAGGUUCUCAGCUGCACUCUCUACCAUCUGGGACGUAGGAUAUACGUUCAUCAGUGGCCUCAUUGACACCAUGUUCAGACUAAUGAUGCUGUCUAGGAAGUACAGUUCUCAGAUGCUGGUUGUUCAAGUCAGUACCAAUAAAGACUGCUUUGUAAAAAUCUGGAAAGAAAGGAUUUAUGUUCAAAGCAUAGAACGUUCUGGUCGUGUUUGGGAUGCAAAAUUGAGGAUUAAAGAGGGCUGCAGAAAUGGUAAACAGUUUGACUUUCUGGUGAAGUUUAUGGUCAUCUCGCUGUCGAUAAUAAAUCCUCUAUGCUGGAACGAAUCCAAAUAUUUGCUCAUGAGGACAAGAUCCAUAGGAAACUACUUCAUCACUGGUCCAAUGUAUGUGUAUGACUCAAAUUGGGUCACUGAUGGAGGAUGACUUCAACAUGAAUGGUGAUAACUCUGUCCAGCUUCUUGUUGCUGCACAUGCUGUUAAUAAUGCUCAAGCCAUUAUUAUGGCUCUUUUGGAGGAGCAUUUCGUAUCUCAAUUAUGCAGUAUUGCUCCAGCAAACGCUCAUGCUGAAAGGCAAACCCGGAGCUCAGAACUUCAGCAUAAUCAACAAUUGGAUGUUCCCCUGUCCAAUGAUAGUCUACUGAUAGAAGGUAAUGAUGCUAGUUCAUUUGAUGAGUCACAAUGAAUCAGAAUAGAACACUAAUGAAGAGCAAAAACCCAACUCCUCUGUGCAGCUUCUUGACCCGCUGUUGAGAAGGAGAAUAUCAGUAUGAAGUAUCAAAUCCCAAGUCCUUGACCCUCAAAAUCAGUUUUAGGACCUUGGUCAUGCUAUUGGCCUUCAAAGACUGAAUAUGAAAAAUAGAUGUCCUAGUAUUCCCCGCUUUGUAAUAUGAUUAGAUUCUCAUAACCCUGUUCUAGUGAGUUGCUCAUAUGGAAAGGGAUUGGUUUAAUCAGUCUUGACUUCACUUACAGCUACCUGAAAACUGCUUUACAAUUAAUCUGGCCCCUGUUCCACUCUUGGAGCCUGAUGAUGGGAAUUCGAAGCAAAGUGGAAAUUGAACUUCAAGGCAUGAGGGACAUUUACUAUGUAGGUGACCCUAUGGCAUUUGAGCUCACUCAGAGAAACGCAUCAUACACUGUGGCUUUAGUAGGCAAGCACUUUGCAAAUGACAAUCCUUCACCAACAUUUCCCAUAUUUUAAGAGGUUGAUUCCAUUGUAAUCAGAUUGGUGGGGUGGGGAUCUCAAAAGAUUGGAUGCAUUCCCAGGAGUAAAAUUCCUCGAAUAUUGUUUCCCUUAAUGGUUAUUUGAAGCACUGGGAGACUCACAAAAUCAUCCAAAAUAAAACACUCUAUACCUGAAUUGAUGAAGAAGGGGUAGUGGCAAGCCAGAGGACUUACAGAGGACUACAUUCCAAGUCUGGAUUUCAUUGAUCCCUUCUUUGGGUGCCUAAGGGCAGAACUCUUAUCAGUUCCAAUUUUUCCUCUGUAUCUACUGCAAAGAGGUAGGCAAGCACUCUGAAGAUUGAAAAUGUUGCCAAAUUAUGCAAUGCAUUGGCCGUUCUAUCGACCAUUAGGUAUUAUGCAGCUGGAUGUGCAGGUUCUGUGAAGAGUUAUGAUCUCGUAUACAAAAAAUAAAAAUAAAAAUGGAGAACCUCAACUCGCUGGUCUGAUCUUCCAUGGUUAUAUACAGAUUCUUGGAUCAAGUGUUCCAGAGAUUUGCUUCAAGAAGAUAUUGCUAAUCAAUCUGAAAAACGGCCAAAUGAUCUUCGUUUUUUGCAGUUCACCUCAAGGUCCACUGAUUAUGCUAAGGGAGUGAUGGUAAUUCAUGAGGAUUGAAGCCGCUGUUUCUAGCGACCUUCAGAGGUUGAGUGGGCAUGAAGAAAAGACUCUAAAAGUCCUAAGACCAAAAUAGAGGACUCAUCUGAUCAUACUGUCAUGAAUAUGAGAUGGAAUUCCUAAACCAAUGGCUCUGAUGAAGAUCAAAUCAAAAUAGGGGAAAAUCUGCAGGUUCGAUGUGUAAACGGUCAAGAAAAGGUUCAGCUUUUAGCUCCUGAACAGUCAAAAUUAUACAAUGAUGAUUUCUUUUUUAGACACAUGCAAGAACAAUCUAAAUUCGAGAAUUGUAGAGUUGAAGCUUAAACUUCCUGGAUCAUGAUCUUUAGAAAGAAUUUAAGACUUUUCUUUGUUGAAAUCAGGAAAACUUGUUGAGAAGCAACCUGGGACGCACUUUUUUUUUCUUCGCUACUAAGACUGGUCAGCAUGUCCACCUGAAGUCAAAUCAGUUGCUGCUGUAAUUGCCACUCUCUUACAAGAAUAUUUGAACCAGCUUGGUGGUCUCAAAAGCAUGCUGGAUUUUUCUUGCUAUGAUCAUCAGGGCACUCUGCUGUUUGCUAAGUCAUGGCCUGAGCAUUUAUUUGGAGGAAUUAAUUAAGUCAUGCCUGAAAUGGAGGGAAAUGAUGUCUUCCAUGAUAAAGUUUUCUUCACCAUUUGAUUCAGCAUAUGUGCAGUUGUCUCCACAAGCGAAUGUGGAAUCAUCAUCCCCAUUACUGCCUAGGAUAUGGCAUACUUCAUGGAAAUUCACAGCAACAGGGGAGCCACCAAGCAUUCACUCGACAAGCUAGGGAGGCCCCUGACUAGAUUAACGAAGCAGCUCAGGCACGGACCUGAAGCUUAAAUCUGAUGAUUCUGAGGAUGGAACCAUGGCACUCAUAUAGCUAUGACAAGACUUUACUGAAUUUAAUAAGGAUAGCAAAUAAAUUGAAGCCGAUGUUCACUAUAAGUACAUCUUUGAUAGUCAUGCUGCCGCAUCUACGAUGACUUUGAUGGAGGGCAGUGAGUCGAUUAAUGAGAAAUCUCUUUAUGACUUCUCAGAAUGUUUGGGAAGCAUCUAUGUUGUUUAAAUGAACUUCCCGAGAAGUGCUUGUGUAACUUGCUAAGCUGGCUGCUUGAGUUGAACCACUGUGAUAUCAGUGGGGGAAAGAAACAACAAAGGCUUAAUGAAGAGACUAUACCCCGGAAGUUCAGAACUGGAGGUUAUGCGUGACGUUGUUCGAGAUUUAUAAUCCGAAAGGCUUCCUACAUGGCCAGAAUACAGAGAAUGGUUGGUUUGGGAUUGAAAAGAAGAUGACCAUUAUUCACCAGCUUCAUCCAAUUUUGGAGACUUUCAUGACAAGAUUUCAGGAUUGAAGCUGGUCAUGUCUGUUCUUCAAAACAAAUUCUAUUGCCUACCAAAAGAGGACUCAUUUCUCAUGUCAUAAAAAAUGCUCAUGUCUUUGAGGAAAUUCGUGAGAUAAAUGUGAUUAGAGUUUGCUAGCAAAAACUCAUUUUAGUCCAAGAAUUUAUGAAGGAUAUUUUCCAAUGACAGUCUUUUGAUUCACCUUGGCUCAGAGUAUGACCCCUUGCCCAAUGAACAGAAUGCUAACGGUCUUUGUUACUAUUUCCAAACUGGUCUUUUAUGUGAAAUGACCAGCCAUGAUGCGAGACCUAUUAUCGGAUUGAUUUGAUCAUGAAAGACGAAGUGUUGCACUCACUAGCUUGGUUGAUUGCCAUCAAUACUGGUAAGAUUUGCAGCGUUCAUAUAAGCUUUAAAGAGUCUUUGAAACAGUAGCAAUGUCGGAUGAAUAUUCUAGCAACCACAGCUUAUUUGCAGCCUUAUGUGCAUCCUCAUCGAGAAGUUACCAACCAUGCUGAUUAUCUUCGAGUUCCUCACCAGAUGGGGGUCCUAAAUCAACUUUUGGCAAAUUCUGGUUAUGCAUUAACCCAUCAGCAGAUCCGUGACAAUGCUAGUGGUGUUAAUGGUGAAGAUGAUACUCCAUCUAAUUAUCAAAAUUGUCUAGUUCCAAAAGAUCUAUUAAUCUCAGAUGAUACAAUACCUGAAACAGUUCAAACAGAACCUGUAGUUGUGGCUGCUACUGUUGCAUCUGGUGAUGGCAGUAAAGAUUUCAUCCUUGAAUCUGAAAGAAGGACAAGACAUGAUAACCUUUAGUUCCUCUAACAGGGUUCCAGAAACACAAUGGAUUGAAUCAGUCAAAAUUCAAACCAUCAUAUCUCCCUCCUCUGCUUUGUGCCACAUCGAAGAAUCUAAAAUGCCAUGUCCUCCUAAAAUAAGCAUAGAAGAGAGAAGAUAACAUAUCUAGGAACCAAUUUUACUACAUUCAGUCUGACAAGACAGCGAAACUGGUACCAUGGUUCAGCCUGGUGAUAUUCCCAUAAUCACAUUUGAAUUAACGCACACCAUUCUUUCAUUUUUUGUAAAGCUCCUAUCCUUUGGUCAACAGUACAAUAAAGUGCUGCGAGGAGUUGGUGUACUAGCAAUUCUGUUGGAUGGUCUGAAGCAGCACGAGUUUCUUUUGGGUGCAGAUCAACACAAUGGUAAUCCUGGUCAGUUGGAGAGAGAAUUCAGCUACAGCAGCUUCAAGAAACACUCUAGCAGCAAGGAUGAUAUCAUAUCUUCAUCAAAGCUAAUUGAAUCUGUUUCUAGGAAGUUUCCUUUUUUGAAAUUAAGAAUAUAGUUGUUGAUGCAUGGUGAAGAGACUCCCAGAUUUAAAAUUUGCAGUCAGUAAAGAAACAGCCAACAAGGAUGAUUCGCGUGUAACUCCAAAUGGGUCAUUUAAUCAAAAACAUUUAUAAAACCUAUGACCUCAUACUAAUGUAGUAAAGCUACUAUAGUAUAGUGGCUCUAGGGUCGAACUCUGGGAUGGGUUUUCAUUCUACCAGUGAUGUAUUCAAAAUUAGAAAUUGUAUUUAAUGAUUUCCUUAAUCAAAAACUUAAAGUUUAAAAGAAAAUAAAAUUUGUUUUGAAAGUGUUUGAAACUAAACUAACAUAAACUAAUUAAAAAUGGAAGAAAGAAAGUCUCCCGGAGCUAAGGGUUGCUAGGAUCAAGUUCAGAAUAGAAAGUGGAAAAUUCCGGAUUUUUCUCCUCGCAUUGGGGAUUUAACCUAUAGUUAUUUCCCGAACCGGUAUAGGUUUGACAAUGAAGAUUUAAUCCAUAAAAGGUCAAUAUAAAUGGUAGUCAAGGUCCAUUAAUGGCUUAAGACACUAUGGGUCUUCACCUUGAAUCACUUUCCAAUGACUCGUACAUGAUAACUAAUGGACUAAUAUGAAUCUAGCAAUAAGCAUCCAUAAAGACCUGAAGCUUACCAUGUAUUGGUCAUUCAAAGUGAUUCUAAGGGGUUUAAAGCAAAACUUUGGAUUUAGAAGCCAUUUAUGAAUUCCAACUACCUGAAUUUAAUGCAUGGAAGCUUUCCACCUUUUCAUCUGAACUUUUCACCUAGCUUCCUUUACUCCAAGAAACCGAAAGUUUAGCCUCUCAUCCUCCGGGCAAACAUCCUUAGAGGUUGUUUGGCUUCCAAGAAAAAGAAAAUAAUAAAGAGCAAAGAGAACGAGAGAGCUCUGUAAAAUUUCUAAGUGUAAAAACGUAAUACGUAUUCCAUAUGUUUCAAGAGGUGAUUUCCACCCCUUAUAAAGUCUUUACAAAAGCCAAAAGCCUAUGAUUGGUUAAUUACAAGGAUAAUAAAGGAAAUUACAUCACAAAAUACAAAGGAAAAUAUCUAAAGUGGAGUCGGCAAAGGGCAGAGCAAAAUUCGCAACACGCAUGGGUUAUGCGAACCAUAUGCGAAUGUUAUGCGAAUUUCGCAUAUGCUCUUGUGGAAUGCGAAUUUUUCGCAUAUGCUGGAGCAGUUGGCUUCCGAAGGCCAUAUCUUCCUCAUUUCAGCUCCAAAUCGUGCACGGUUUGAAGCGUUGGAUUCUUGACUUCAAGAGCUUUAAAAUGGUAUAUAUCAUGUAAAAAUUGGACUUCGGGAAGUCCUCCAAAAGUGCGAAAGAAGACUGCAGCUGCUACAUUUUGAUUUUUCUUCACUUUGCUUCUCUUUGGUUUUCUCCUUUGCUUGACUUGUUUUAACGAUCCAAAAAGCUGUCAAAACAUUAAAACUAGCCACAAAUAUGAUUAGAAGAUAUUGCUAGGUCCUUAACAUGCCAAUUGGACUAAAGAUGGAGAACUACUACACAAAAGUGCUAAAAACAUAAUGCAUUAAAGGUGUAAAAUAGCACUUUUUGGGUAGUAAUCAAAGGACUCAUGGAUGCAGUAGGAACAGAGCAGCGACAACGUUAAGGAAUUUUGCAAAGUGAAGGAAAUCAUUCAUUUACAGAUUCGGUCCGAUUAUGGAUGAAAAACAACAAUGUGGAGUCUGCUUGGUGAUGGCAAUGACAAGGGUACAUAUUCUAGUAGAAUCAUUGAAUCAAAUCUUGGUGGUGGGAAACUAACACAUAAUGCAGGAAAUCUGUCAAUACAAAAAAAUUGGGGAUUUUGAAUUUUAUGUUCAGUGUUUGAUCAAUGUUGGGGAGAAUCCAUUUGAGCUUACGGACCAAGUUACCUUAUACAUGGAAAUGCUUCUGACCACUGAAUAUCCUGACGACGAAUUAGGUCCUUCUAUCCCGAAUUUUGAGACUCCAUUCCAUCAUGGCUAUCUUGCUAUACACACCUCCUCCUCUAUUUGCUUCUUUGAUUGGGAAUUUAUUGUUUUAAAUUAAAUUUUUGAAUCAUUUUUCAACUAAAUAUUCCCAGCAUUGAAAAAUCCAUCUUUAAUAAUCCUUUGCUGCCAUUUUUCCUCUCGGCAUGCACUUUCACUAGUUUCUUUAACUUACAACCAUUUUCUUGAUCUUCUUGAUUUUUCACAAGCAUGAAUAACUUUCAUGAUUCCAAACAAUGGAAUUCAUAGAAUCAACUCAUGCGAAAUCGAUUAGGGCUUUGGAGAGGGCCCGACAUUCAUGAUAUCCUCUUCGAUAGUGUUUGUUCGACAUUUGAUUAAUUGUGCUUUCUCUUUGAGAUACGUGAGAUUAUUAUGCACCUAUUAUUAAGCAAUCUUGUUUCCCAUAGAGGCGUUUUAGCUUGCUAUCCAGGUACGCUCCUCCUCACCAAUUUUCGAGAAUUACAUGGGCACGUAUGCUAUUGGCGAUUAUAUCCAUACAUGAUGUGAUUCUUGGGUGUUUUGAUAUAUGCUUGAUUUGCUUGGAUAAAACACUUGUCGUGUGAUGUAUCUCUAUACUAACUUUUAUGUUUCAUGAUAGCGCUUAAGAAGCGAUUCAGGUACGCACCUUAACUCUCCUUUAUUGUGAUCUGAUCUUGUUUGGCAUAAUAUUUUUUUGAAAUCACCCUAGUCAACCUAGGUACUCUCAAUUAAUUAAUUAAUUGCCCCAUUUCCCCAAUUUAGUCAGUAAAGACCUCUUUAGGGCUUAGAGGGGUGCUACCUCUUAGAGGUACCUUCCUAAUAAGUAACCUGAUCCCCGGACCUAGACUCGGGUUUUUCAAAGACAUGUUUUUUUUCCAAAAAUUAUGGAGUCACAUUUUAGGGUUUUUCUUUCUUGUUUUAUUUUCCCUUUAAAAUAAAAAUAAAAUAAGUGGCGGCUCCAACUUUUCCAAAACUAAAUAAUUUUUCACAAAUAAAAAAAGCGAGUCUCGUCGAUCGAGUGGGGACGCACGUGAAAAAUGCGGGUCCACAUAAUCCUUUGGUUUGUACACAUCACAUAUAUAUGGAGGAAUAAGCUAAACCAAUUCGUCAACCUCAAAGAAGAUUGAAUCCUCAUUUACAAGAAGUGGUGCGAACUGAGGUACUGAAGCUACUCCAAGCGGGCAUUAUUUAUCCCAUAUCUGAUAGCCCUUGGGUGAGUCCUACUCAAGUGGUACCAAAGAAGUCAGGGAUUACUGUGGUUCAGAAUGAAAAAGGAUAAGAAAUUGCUACACGCCUCACUUCAGGUUGGAGAGUGUGUAUUGACUAUAGGAAAAUGAAUGCUGUGACAAGGAAAUAUCAUUUUCCACUCCUGUUUAUUGAUCAGGUGCUGGAGAGAGUCUCUGGCCAUCCUUUCUAUUGUUUCUUGGACGGGUACUCAGGGUAUUUCCAAAUUGAAAUUGAUGUUGAAGAUCAGGAGAAGACCACUUUCACAUGUCCGUUUGGAACAUACGCCUACAGAAGAAUGCCUUUUGGUUUAUGCAAUGCACCUGCAACAUUCCAAAGAUGUGUGUUUAGUAUCUUCAGUGAUAUGGUGGAGCGAAUUAUGGAGGUCUUCAUGGAUGAUAUCACCAUAUAUGGAGGUACAUUUGAAGAAUGCUUAGUAAAUUUAGAAGCGGUUCUUAAAAGAUGCAUUGAAAAAGACUUGGUGCUCAACUAGGAGAAAUGCCAUUUUAUGGUACAUCAAGGAAUUGUCCUUAGCCAUAUCAUCUCCGAGAAAAGCAUUGAGGUUGAUAAAGCAAAGGUGGAACUUAUUGCCAAAUUGCCAUCCCCAACCACUGUAAAAGGAGUAAGGCAAUUUCUUGGCCAUGUAGGGUUCUACAGGAGAUUUAUACAAGACUUCUCUAAGCUUUCAAGGCCUCUUUGUGAACUUUUAGCUAAGGAUGCUAAGUUUGUCUGGGAUGAAAGAUGUCAAAAGAUUUUUUAUCAAUUGAAACAAUUUUUGACAACCGCUCCAAUAGUAAGGGCUCCUAACUGGCAAUUACCCUUUGAAGUAAUGUGUGAUGCCAGUGACUUUGCUAUAGGAGUUGUACUUGGCCAAAGAGAAGAUGGGAAGCCCUAUGUGAUCUACUAUGCAAGAAAAACAUUGAACGAGGCUCAAAGAAACUACACAACUACAGAGAAAGAAUUGUUAGCUGUGGUGUUUGCUUUAGACAAGUUUCAUGCUUAUUUGGUAGGGUCUUUCAUCAUUGUUUUCACUGACCAUUCGACCUUGAAAUAUUUAUUGACAAAGCAAGAUGCAAAAGCAAGGUUGAUUAGAUGGAUUCUUUUGUUACAAGAGUUUGAUCUCCAAAUCAGAGACAAGAAAGGGGUGGAGAAUGUGGUAGCUGACCACCUUUCAAGGUUGGCUAUAGCACAUAAUUCUCAUAUAUUACCUAUUAAUGAUGACUUUCCUAAGGAAUCACUUAUGUUGCUAGAGAAAGCUCCUUGGUAUGCUCAUAUUGCUAACUAUUUGGUUAUUGGUGAAGUUCCAAGUGAGUGGAAAACGCAAGACAGGAAGCACUUCUUUGCAAAGAUUCAUGCUUAUUAUUGGGAAGAGCCCUUCCUUUUCAAAUAUUGUGCAGAUCAGAUCAUAAGGAAGUGUGUCCCUGAAGAAGAGCAACAAGGGAUCCUCAGCCAUUGCCAUGAGAAUGCCUUUGGAGGCCACUUUGCCUCUCAGAAAACAGCCAUGAAGGUCUUGCAAUCAGGGUUUACUUGGUCAUCGCUUUUUAAAGAUUCCCACAUCAUGUGUAGGAGUUGUGAUAGAUGCCAAAGACUCGAGAAGCUUACAAAAAGAAACCAAAUGCCCAUGAACCCCAUCCUUAUAGUUGAUCUUUUUUAUGUUUGGGGUAUUGACUUCAUGGGACCUUUCUCAAUGUCUUUUGGUAACUCUUAUAUAUUGGUGGGGGUGGACUAUGUUUCCAAAUGGGUGGAGGCAAUCCCCUGUAAAUAUAAUGAUCACAGGGUGGUUCUCAAAUUUCUUAAGGAGAACACCUUCUCAAGAUUUGGGGUGCCCAAGGCCAUAAUCAGUGAUGGAGGUACUCAUUUUUGCAACAAACCUUUUGAAACCCUAUUAGUCAAGUAUGGAGUGAAGCAUAAGGUAGCUACACCUUAUCAUCCUCAAACUUCCGGGCAAGUGGAUCUAGCAAACAGGGAAAUAAAAAACAUACUGAUGAAAGUGGUGAUUACAAGUAGAAAAGAUUGGUCUAUUAAGCUACAUGAUUCAUUAUGGGCAUAUAGAACAGCUUAUAAGACUAUUCUUGGCAUGUCCCCCUAUCGUCUCGUCUAUGGCAAAGCAUGCCACCUCCCUGUGGAAGUUGAAUAUAAGGCUUGGUGGGCAAUCAAGAGGUUGAACAUGGACUUGAUAAGAGCUGGGGCAAAGAGGUGCUUAGACCUUAAUGAGAUGGAGGAAUUAAGAAAUGAUGCUUACAUCAAUUCCAAAGUUGCAAAACAGAGGAUGAAAAAGUGGUAUGAUCAACUAAUCUCCAACAAAGAAUUGCGGAAAGGACAAAGAGUCCUACUCUAUGACUCAAGGCUCCAUAUCUUUCCAGGAAAGCUCAAGUCAAGGUAGAUAGGUCCUUUCACCAUUCACCAAGUACAUUUCAAUGGAGUGGUGGAAUUACUAAAUUCCAAUGGCAUAGAAACCUUUAGAGUCAAUGGUCAUCGCCUCAAGCCAUUCAUUGAGCCGUUCAAGCCAGAAAAUGAGGAAAUCAACCUCCUUGAGCCACAAAAAGCCUGAUCAGAGAAGGGUUAGAUGGACUUGUUUUCACCAAAGUCCAUAAUUUUGUUAAAUAUGUUAAUUUUUAAGUUUUGUAAAUUAUUUUAUUGUAAUUUUGGUCUUGAAAUUAUGUAAAUUGUAACUAACUUAAUCUUUUUGAAUGAUUAAAAUCAGGAGCAGAUUCUUACCACUCAGGCCCAGCACACUGCCAUCCUGAGGCACAUUCAGCAUCAUCUUGGCAUUACAUCAGCUCCUGAGCAUGCCAUUCCCAGCUCAUCAGAGCCAUCACAGGCCCCUCCUUUUGUUGAUCAGUCUAUGCCUCAUCAGGAGCCUUCUUCAGGAGAGGCAGCUGAGCCAUCAUUUCCACAGCAUCACUCCACGUUACUCAGGAGGUACCACUUCCUCCCUAUUUUUCAAUUGCUUUUAUCACAUUGAGGACAAUGUUCAGCUUGGUUAGGGGGAGAGUUGAGGAAGGAAGUUUUUGUUAUUAAUGCUAAGUUAUUUUGGUAAUUUAGUUGCUUUUUGCUUAAUUUUAAAAUUUUUUAAGUUUUUAUUCUACUCUCCAUGGUUAUUAAGGAAAAAUUUUCAAAAUGAAAAGGGAAAAAUUGAAUUUUUGUCUUUUCACUUGACUUAGAGUUUGUAUUAUGUUUACUAAAGUUGAUGAAUUAUGGAAACUUCUAUUGAAUUCAACCUUAGUUCUUCCACUUUAAGCUAUUCACACACUGUGCACAAUAGGUUCCGAUUAUAAGAUGAAAAACUAUUUCCCUUUUGACUUAGGAAAAUUUUAGACUUGGUACUUUUGACCUCAUUUAAUAGUGUUGGGGCACCUUAUAAAAGGCCAAUGAGCCUUUGAAAAAAAAAAGUGUUUGCUUGCCUUGAAACCCGAGCAAGGUCUGAGGCGUAUAUGGUGAAAAUCUUUAAAACCUGGUGCCCUAAGCCUUCAUUGGUUGGGAGUCACCGACCUCAAUGCUCGUUACAAGGGUGGAUAGGUGGAGUUUAACAUACUGUAGGUGCUUGGGUAUUAAAAUAUAUUCUCAAAAGUCCGGGGUAAAAUCCGAAAAGUUAGUGGUUGAAAGAUCCUUAAAGCUUGAUGCCUUAAACCUUAAUUGGUUGGGAGUCAUCAAUGGGCCCCCGUUACAUGGACAAUUUAGAAAAGAAUACCUUUAAGCCUUGUACUCCUACAAUGAAAAAAAAAUUGUGAAACAAGAGAUGCGUUCUUAGCCUAUUGGAGGUUGAUUAGUUUGCUAAGCUUUGAAAAAUAACUAGGUUUGGGGGAGAGAUUAGUUCAACAUACUAUAUUCGGAAACUAAUAAAUAACACUUAAAUUUUUGUGGAAGAGUAAGGUUUGACCCUUUGGGAGUAGAAACUCUUUUAAAGCUUAAAUUUGCAUAAUGCCUUCUCUUUAAGAAUUGUGAUUAGACAAGUUAUUUGAUAACUCUUCUUGAAGUUUGAGUUUUAUUUCUUUAAUGUUUCAUGUGAGAGUUAUGAUGGCUCUGAACGCGUAUGAAAAUGGUGGCUUUGAAUGCCUAUGAAAAUGGUGGCUCUGAACGCCUCUGAAAAUGAUGGUGGCUCUAAACUCCUCUAAAAAUGAUGGGUCUAAACGCCUAUGAAAAUUUUGGCUCUGAACGCCUAUGAAAAUAGUGGCUUUGAACGCCUAUGAAAAUGAUGGCUCUGAAGGCAUAUGAAAAUGGUGGCUCUUAACUCCUACGAAAAUGGUGGCUCUGAACACCUACUAAAAUGGUGGUAACUUUCCAUGCCUAUGUAAAUGGUCGCUUUGAGCACCUAUGAAAAUAGUGCCUUUGAACACCUACGAAAAUGGUGGCUUUGAGCACUUAUGAAAAUGGUGGCUCUGAACGCCUAUGAAAAUGGUGGCUCUGAACGCCUAUGAAAAUGGUGGCUCUAAACGCCUCUAAAAAUUGUGGCUUUGAACAUCUAUGAAAAUGGUGGCUCUAUAUGAAAAUGGUGGCUAUGAACACUUAUGAAAAUGGUGGUUUUGAACGCCUAUGAAAAUGGUGGCUCUGAACGCCUAUGAAAAUGGUGUAUUUGAACGCCUAUGAAAAUGAUGGUGGCUCUGAACGCCUCUAAAAAUGAUGGCUCUAAAUGCUUAUUAAAAUGGUGCCUCUGAACGCCUAUGAAAAUGGUGGCUUUAAACGCCUAUGAAAAUAAUUGUGGCUCUGAAUGCUUAUGAAAAUGGUAGCUUUGAGAACCUAUGAAAAUGGUGGCUCUGAAUGCCUAUGAAAAUGAUGUCUCUGGAAGCCUAUGAAAAUUGUUGUAGCUCUGAACACCUAUGAAAAUUGUUAUGGCUCUGAACGCCUAUGAAAAUGGUAGCUCUGAAUGCCUAUGAAAAUGAUGGCUCUAGACGCCUAUGAAAAUUGUUGUGGCUGUGAACGCCUAUGAAAUGGUGGCUGUGAACGCCUAUGAAAAUGGUGUAUUUGAACGCCUAUGAAAAUGAUGGUGGCUCUUAAUGCCUCUAAAAAUGAUGGCUCUGAAUGCCUAUUAAAAUGGUGCCUCUGAACGCCUAUGAAAAUUGUGGCUUUUAACGCCUAUGAAAAUAAUCGUGGCUCUGAAUGCCUAUGAAAAUGGUGGUGGCUUUGAACGCCAAUGAAAAUGGUAGCUUUGAACGCCUAUGAAAAUGGUGGCGUUGAACGUCUAUGAAAAUGGUGGCUCUGAACGCCUAUAAAAAUGGUGGUGGCUUUGAGUGCCUAUGAAAAUGGUGGCUCUAAAAGCCUAUGAAAAUGGUGGCUCUGAACGCCUACGUAAAUGGUGGGUCUGAACGCCUAUGAAAAUGGUAGCUUUGAUCGCCUAUGAAAAUGGUGGCUCUGAACGUCUAUGAAAAUGGUGGCUUUGAACGCUUAUGAAAAUAGUGCCUCUGAACACCUAUGAAAAUGAUGGCUCUGAACACCUUUGAAAAUGGUGGCUCUAAACGCCUAUGGAAAUGAUGGCUCUGAACGCCUAUGAAAAUGGUCGCGACUUUGAACGCUUGUGAAAAUGGUGGCUCUUAAUGCCUAUGAAAACGGUGACUUUGAACGCCUAUGAAAAUGGUGGUGGCUCUGAACACUUAUGAAAAUGAUGGUGGCUCUGCACACCUAUGAAAAUGGUGGAUCUGAACACCUAUGAAAAUGGUGGCUCUGAACGCCUAUGAAAGUGAUGGCUCUGAACGCGUAUGAAAAUGGUGGCUUUGAACGCCUAUCAAAAUGGUGGCUCCGAAUGUCUUUGAAAAUGAUGGUGGCUCUAAACGCCUCUAAAAAUUAUGGGUCUAAACGCCAAUCAAAAUUUUGGCUCUGAACGCUUAUGAAAAUGGUGUCUUUGAACGCCUAUGAAAAUGAUGGCUCUAAACACCUACUAAAAUGGUGGUAACUUUGAAUGCCUAUGUAAAUGGUCGCUUUGAGCACCUAUGAAAAUAGUGCCUCUGAAAGCCUACGAAAAUGGUGGCUUUGAGCACUUAUGAAAAUGGUGGCUCUGAACGCCUAUGAAAAUGGUGGCUCUAAAUACCUCUGAAAAUUGUGGCUUUGAACACCUAUGAAAAUGGUGGCUCUGAACACCUAUGAAAAUGGUGGUUGUGAACACUUAUGAAAAUGGUGGUUUUGAAAGCCUAUGAAAAUGGUGGCUCUAAACGCCUAUGAAAAUGGUGGCUGUGAAUGCCUAUGAAAAUUUUGGCUCUGAACGCCUAUGAAAAUGGUAGUGGCUAUGAACGACUAUGAAAUGGUGGCUCUGAACACCUAUGAAAAUGGUUGCUCUAAAUGUCUUUGAAAAUGGUGGCUUUGAACGCCUAUGAAAAUGGUGGCUCUGAACGCCUAUGAAAUGGUUGUGGCUCUGAAUGCCUAUGAAAAUGGUUGCUUUGAACGCCUAUGAAAAUGGUGGCUCUGAAUGUCUAUGAAAAUAAUGGUGGCUCUAAACGCUUCUAAAAAUGGUGGCUCUGAACGCCUAUGAAAAUGAUGGCUUUGAAUGCCUAUGAAAAAUGGUGGCUUAGAAAACCUAUGAAAAUGGUGGCUCUGAACGCCUAUGAUAAUGGUUGUGGCUCUAAAUGCCUAUGAAAAUGGUGGCUGUGAAUGCCUAUGAAAAUGGUGGUGGCUUUAGAUGCCUAUAAAAAUGGUGGCUCUGAAUGCCUAUGAAAAUGGUGGCUCUGAACACCUAUGAAAAUGAUGGUGGCUCUAAACGCCUUUGAAAAUGGUGGCUCUGAUCACCUAUGAAAAUGGUGGCUCUGAACGCAUAAAAUUGGAUGAAAUGGCUCUCAAUGCCUAAAACUAGAAUAAGUGGCUUUGAAUGCCUAAAACUAGAAGAAGUGGCUUUGAAUGCCUAAAACUGGAAAAUAUAGUGGCUCUGACCACCUUAGAUUGUGAAGAGGAAGUGACUCUGAAUGCCAAACUGAAGAUAUGGUGGUGGCUCUAAAUGCCAAGCUGCGAGGGAAUGAUGAGGGGAAAAAUACCUCAGUGUGGUAUGUCAUCACAAAUCUCAAUCCACUGAAAAUGUCUACAAAGGACUACACGAGUCUCAAAAGAUGCUCUGUCGAUGAGUCGGAAUGGUUAAAUCAACUAUAAAAUAAAGUCUCACCACUCAUCUGACUAAAUCAUGAGGCUUGACAAAGUGUCAUAAUAAUCUGGAUAUCUCUAACUCGGGAAACCCUGCUGGAGGAAUCUGUCAUCAUCUCAAAGGAACAAUCCACUAGUAGGUCUUAAGAAAAAUGGUUCACUGGGGCAAUUGUCACUACCCCAACAUAACGAUCUACUAAAGAGUCAUGGGUAAUGAGAUAGUCAAAACACAAAGGUCAGGCUCCUCUGAAGGCUCAUCUCGGUAUAAAUCAUCGAUGUUGUAACCAGUAAUGCGAAUAAAUAUCCCUUGGAUGAAUAAAGAAAAUGGUAAUAGCUCCAUGAGAAGACAAUCAUCUCCACAAUAGAGAAAGGGAAUAUGCCCCGGUAUAGCAAUUGACACAUCUUGCCAUGUGGGUAACCAAGGAAAAUAUGCCCUAGUAUAGCAACUAGUACAUCUGGUCUGUCCUGAUGACUUGAGAAUAACUCAAUGGGAAUGUAUAAGAGAUCUGACAUGUGCUCCACUGAGAUGAUGAUAUGGGAGUCUAUGUGCCUAAGAUAAAUCCAUCAAAGAAUCAUGACAAUAUUAGAAAGUAUGAGCCUAACUGAAUGACUCAAGAAAGGCUCUACUAGAGAAUCAUCAUAAAAUACAAACAAAUCAUCAACUCAACAUGUAUCUCAUAAAUGGGAAUGAUCAUGCAAAUCAAUAAAGAUCUACAAAUCUCAACUGAAACGGAAAUAUGCCCAAGUAUGGCAUCAAAUGUGUGGUAGGUCGAAAAAUCAGAUACACCUAAUCAUCCAUCACCAAGUGUGUAAUUGAUUACUACCCAAAAAGUGCUAUUUUACACCUUUAAUGCAUUAUGUUUUAAGCACUUUUGUGUAGUAGUUCUCCAUCUUUAGUCCAAUUGGCAUGUUAAGGACCUAGCAAUGUCUUCUAAUCAUAUUUGUGGCUAGUUUAAGUGUUUUGACAUCUUUUUGGAUCAUUAAGACAAGCCAAUCAAAGGAGAAAAGCAAAGAGAAGCAAGGAGGAAAACAGAGGACAGCAGCUGCAGUCUUCAUUGGCACUUUUGGAGCACAUUCCGAAGUCUAUUUUCUACAUACUAUAUACCAUUUCAAAGCUCAGGAAGUCAAGAAUCUAACGCUUCAAACCGCGUAUGAUUUGGAGCUGAAACGAGAAAGAUAUGGCUUUCGGAAGACAACUGCUCCAGGUGUGUGAAAAUUUCGCACACCCCCUUAGCUGUGCGAAUGGUGUGCGAAAUUCGCACACCUUCUUCAGGUGUGCGAAAAUUUCACACACCCCUUGCGUGGUGCAAAUUUUGCUCUGUUUUUGCCGACUCCACUUUAGAUAUUUUCCUAUGUAUUUUUUGAUGUAAUUUCCUUUCUUAUCCUUGUAACUAACCAAUCACAAGCUUUUGCUUUUGUAAAGACUAUAUAAGGGGUGGAAAAUUACCUCUUGGACAUGAAAUAUACGUAUUACGUUUGACACUUAGAAAUGUUUACAGAGCUCUCUCGUUUUCCAUUUUUCUCUCUACUAUUUUCUUUUUCUUGGAAGCCAAACAACCUCUGAGGAUGUUUUCUCAGAGGAUGAGAGGCUAAACUUUUGGUUUCUUGGAGUGAUGGAAGCUAGGUGAAAAGUCCAGAUGCAAGGUGGAAAACGCUCGUGCAUUAAAUUCAGGUAGUUGGAAUUCAUAAAUGGCUUUUAAAUCCAAAGUUUUGCUUUAAAUCCCUUAGAAUCACUUUGAAUGACCAAUACAUGGUAAGCUUCAGGUCUUUAUGGAUGCUUAUUGCUAGAUCCAUAUUAGUCCAUUAGUUAUCAUGUACGAGUCAUUGGAAAGCGGUUCAAGGUGAAGACCUAUAGUGUCUAAAGCCAUUAAUGGACUUUGACUACCAUUUAUAUUGAUUAUUAUGGAUUAAAUCUUCAUUGUUAAACCUAUACCGGUUCGGGAAAUAACUAUAGGUUAAAUCCUCAAUGCGAGGAGAAAAAUCCGGAAUUUUCCACUUUGCAUUCUAAACUUGAUCCUAGCAAUCCUGAGCUCCGGGAGACUUUCCUUCUUCCAGUUUUAAUUAGUUUAUGUUAAUUUAGUUUCAAACACUUUCAAAACAAAUUUUAUUUUCUUUUAAACUCUAAUUUUUUUUUUAUAAAGGAAAUCAUUAAAUUCAAUUCAUAAUCAUGAGUAUAUCACUGGUAGAAUGAAAACCCAUCCCAGAGUUCGACCUUAGAGCCACUAUACUAUAGUAGCUUUGCUACACUAGUAUGAGGUCAUAGGUUUUAUAAAUGUUUUUGAUUAAAUGACCCAUUUGGAGUUACAUGCGAAUCAAAAUGGCGUCGUUGCUGGGGAUGGUGCCACAAUACAGUGAUGCAACCUUUUAGAGGCUACUUGUGAUUUCCAUCACAAGUUUGGUGAAUUCCUUUUUCACUAAUUACAUUUCCUUUCAUUUUAUUUUUGUUAGGUUUAUUUUCAUUUUCUUUCUAACCUUAACUUUUUUCUAGGUUUCUUUUGUUUUUGUUGUUUUUGUUUUAUUUCAGGUAAGUAGUAACUUUUGCAUGCCCUAUUGGAUUCGGGACCAAGAGGGAAGAUUAGUAAGGAUUGAGAAUCCUCAAGACACAGAGUUGGAUAUUUGUGUUAACAUCAUGAACCCUCCAUCAGAGGAUCAGAAUUCUCAACAAGGUCAAGGGGGUAAUCCCAAUGCAUAUUUAUCCAUGAGGGAUAGAAUGCACCCACCAAGGAUGAGUGCACCCUCAUGUAUCAUACCUCCUCUUGAGCAGCUGGUUAUAAGGCCCCAUAUUGUGCCCCUUCUACCAAUUUUCCAUGGAAUGGAGAGUGAGAAUCCAUAUGCCCACAUCAAGGAGUUUGAGGAGGUGUGCAAUACCUUUAAAGAGGGAGGAGCUUCAAUAGACUUGAUGAGACUCAAGCUAUUCCCUUUCACUUUGAAGGACAAGGCAAAAAUAUGGCUUAAUUCUUUAAGGCCAAGGAGCAUAAGGAAUUGGGUUGAUCUUCAGGCCGAAUUUUUGAAGAAAUUUUUCCCCACCCAUAGGACCAAUGGGUUGAAGAGACAAAUCUCAAACUUUUCUGCAAAAGAAAAUGAGAAGUUCCAUGAAUGUUGGGAAAGGUAUAUGGAGGCCAUCAAUGCUUGUCCUCAUCAUGGCUUUGAUACAUGGCUCUUGGUGAGCUAUUUCUAUGAUGGGAUGUCUUCCUCCAUGAAGCAAAUUCUUGAAACCAUGUGUGGAGGAGAUUUUAUGAGUAAGAAUCCGGAAGAAGCCAUGGACUUUUUAAGUUAUGUGUCUGAGGUGUCAAGAGGAUGGGAUGAGCCCAACUCAAGAGAGAAAGGGAAGUCUCCCUUCCAACCAACCCAAAAUGCAAAAGGUGGAAUGUAUGUAUUAAGUGAAGACAUGGACAUGAAAGCUAAAGUGGCAACAAUAGCAAGGAGAUUGGAAGAACUUGAGUUGAAAAAGAUGCAUGAAGUCCAAGCCAUUUCCGAGACCCAAGCCCAUGCCAUGCCAUGCACCAUUUUCCAAUCAUGUGAUCAUGUGGUAGAUGAGUGCCCAACCAUGCCAGCUGUGAGGGAGAUGUUAGGUGAUCAAGCCAAUGUUGUGGGGCAAUUUAGGCCUAACAACAAUGCACCUUAUGGAAACACCUAUAAUUCAAGCUGGAGAAACCACCCAAAUUUUUCUUGGAAACCAAGACAACCUCCAUACCAACCACAAGGCCAAACCCAAGCACCUCAACAAACCUCUUCAGUGGAGCAAGCCAUUGUGAACCUAAGUAAAGUCAUGGGUGACUUUGUGGGUGAACAAAAGGCAAUCAACUCCCAAUUGCAUCAAAAGAUUGAAAAUGUUGAGAGUUCUCAAAUUAAGAGAAUGGAGGGGAUGCAAAAUGAUCUAUCUCAGAAGAUAGAUAAUAUUCAAUACUCCAUCUCUAGGCUUACCAACCUCAACACUGUGAAUGAGAAGGGAAAGUUUCCCUCUCAACCAAGCCAAAAUCCCAAGGGUGUUCAUGAAGUUGAAACCCAAGAGGGGGAGUCUUCAAAGUUGAGGGAGGUUAAAGCUGUGAUCACUUUAAGGAGUGGAAAAGAGGUUGAUCAACCCCUGCCUAAGUUGAGGCAAGAUGAAGAACUCAUGUCAAAGAAAACCUUGGUUAAAGAGAGCAAUAACCAAGAAGAGAAGAGUGGGAAGAAAAGUGCAUCCAAAUCAAGCAUUGAAGAAGAGCCAAGGAUAGUGAUUAAAGAGGAUAUGAUGAAGAAACAUAUGCCUCCCCCUUUUCCUCAAGCUUUACAUGGAAAGAAGGAAAUCAAGAAUUCAUCAGAAAUUCUUGAAGUCUUGAGACAAGUGAAGGUGAAUAUACCCUUACUUGAUAUGAUCAAGCAAGUCCCCACAUAUGCAAAGUUUCUAAAGGACUUGUGCACGGUCAAGAGAGGGUUACAUGUGACAAAGAAUGCUUUCCUCACUGAGCAAGUAAGUGCUAUCAUUCAGAGUAAGUCUCCAGUUAAGUACAAAGAUCCGGGAUGCCCCACCAUUUCAGUCAACAUUGGAGGGACACAUGUGGAGAAAGCUUUACUAGACUUGGGGGCAAGUGUGAAUUUGCUCCCAUACUCUGUGUACAAGCAACUGGGACUUGGAGGAUUGAAGCCCACAGCCAUCACUCUCUCCCUAGCUGACAGGUCAGUCAAAAUCCCAAGAGGGGUGAUAGAGGAUGUUCUAGUUCAAGUGGACAAAUUCUACUAUCCUGUGGAUUUUGUUGUGCUUGAUACUGAUCCCAUUGUGAAGGAAGCAAACUAUGUACCAAUCAUCCUUGGGAGACCUUUCUUAGCUACCUCCAAUGCCAUUAUCAAUUGUAGAAAUGGGGUGAUGCAGCUCACAUUUGGGAAUAUGACCUUGGAAUUAAACAUAUUCCACCUAUGCAAGAGGCAUCUUCACCCAGAAGAAGAGGAAGGAUUGGAGGAGGUAUGCUUGAUCAACACCUUGGUUGAAGAGCAUUGUGACAAGAAUUUACAAGAGAGCUUGAGUGAAAACCUUGAAAUGUUUGAAGAAGGGUUACCUGAACCCUCUGAUGUUCUAGCCAUCAUGUCUCCUUGGAGGAGACGGGAAGAGAUCUUACCACUGUUCAACCAGGAAGACUCACAAGAAGCAACUGUGGAGGACCCUCCAAAACUUGUUUUGAAGCCACUUCCUGUUGAUUUGAAAUAUGCAUAUUUGGAGGAAAAUGAGAAAUGUCCAGUGGUGAUUUCUUCAACUCUUACUAUUGAUUAAGAGGAUAAUCUUUUGGGAGUCCUCAGGAAAUGCAAGAAAGCCAUUGGAUGGCAAAUUUCUGAUCUGAAAGGGAUUAGCCCUUUGGUGUGCACCCACCAUAUCUAUAUGGAGGAUGAUGCAAAACCAGUGAGGCAGCCCCAGAGGAGGUUGAAUCCUCACAUGCAAGAUGUGGUGAGGGGUGAAGUUCUGAAGCUACUCCAAGCUGGGAUCAUAUAUCCCAUUUCAGACAGUUUGUGGGUGAGCCCCACCCAAGUAGUCCCAAAGAAAUCUGGAAUCACUGUGGUCUAGAAUGAGAAAGGGGAGGAAGUCUCUACACGUCCUACCUCAGGAUGGAGGGUGUGUGUAGACUAUAGGAGGUUGAAUUCAGUGACUAGGAAGGACCAUUUUCCUUUGCCUUUCAUGGGCCAAGUCCUUGAGAGAGUCUCAGGACAUCCUUUCUACUGUUUUCUGGAUGGGUACUAGGGGUACUUCCAAAUAGAGAUUGAUUUGGAAGAUCAAGAAAAGACAACCUUUACUUGCCCCUUUGGUACUUUUGCGUAUAGGAGAAUGCCCUUUGGGUUAUGUAAUGCUCCUGCAACUUUCCAAAGAUGUAUGCUAAGCAUCUUCAGUGAUAUGGUCGAACGCAUCAUGGAAGUCUUCAUGGAUGACAUCACUGUUUAUGGAAGUUCUUAUGAGGAGUGUUUGUUGCAUUUAGAAGCUGUUCUCCAAAGAUGUAUUGAAAAAGACCUAGUGCUAAAUUGGGAGAAGUGCCAUUUUAUGGUACAACAGGGAAUUGUCUUAGGACAUAUCAUCUCCAAGAAGGGCAUUGAGGUAGAUAAGGCAAAGGUGGAGCUAAUUGUUAAGUUGCCACAUCCCACAAAUGUUAAAGGAAUUAGGCAAUUCUUAGGACAUGCCGGGUUCUAUAGGAGGUUCAUUAAGGAUUUCUCAAAAAUCUCAAAGCCUCUUUGUGAACUCUUGGUAAAAGAUGCCAAGUUUGUGUGGGAUGAGAAGUGUCAGAAGAGUUUUGAGGAACUGAAGCAAUUCCUCACAACAGCACCAAUAGUGAGAGCCCCAAAUUGGAAAUUACCUUUUGAGGUAAUGUGUGAUGCAAGUGACCUUGCUAUGGGGGUUGUCUUAGGGCAAAGAGAAGAUGGAAAGCCCUAUGUGAUUUAUUAUGCGAGCAAAACUUUGAACGAGGCUUAAAGGAACUACACAACUACUGAGAAGGAGUUGUUGGCAGUAGUUUUUGCCUUGGAUAAGUUUCGUGCUUAUUUGGUAGGGUCCUCUAUAGUGGUGUUCACUGACCAUUCCGCCUUGAAGUACUUGCUAACCAAGCAAGAUGCCAAGGCAAGAUUGAUAAGAUGGAUCCUUUUGCUCCAAGAAUUUAAUCUCCAAAUCAGGGAUAAAAAGGGAGUAGAAAAUGUGGUAGCUGACCACUUGUCAAGACUUGUGAUAUCACAUGACUCACAUGGUCUGCCUAUCAAUGAUGACUUCCCUGAGGAGUCUCUCAUGUCAAUAGAGGUAGCUCCAUGGUAUUCUCACAUUGCAAAUUUCUUGGUUACUGGAGAAGUACCAAGUGAGUGGAGUGCCCAAGACAAGAGGCAUUUCUUUGCUAAGAUCCAUGCCUAUUAUUGGGAGGAGCCCUUUCUCUUCAAAUAUUGUGCGGAUCAAAUCAUAAGGAAAUGUGUUCCUGAACAAGAGCAAUUAGGAAUUCUUUCCCAUUGCCAUGAUAAUGCAUGUGGAGGUCAUUUUGCCUCCUAGAAAACAGCAAUCAAAGUGAUCCAAUCAGGUUUUUGGUGGCCNNNNNNNNNNNNNNNNNNNNNNNNNNNNNNNNNNNNNNNNNNNNNNNNNNNNNNNNNNNNNNNNNNNNNNNNNNNNNNNNNNNNNNNNNNNNNNNNNNNNCCUUGUUUAUGGCAAAGCGUGCCAUCUUCCAGUGGAGAUUGAAUACAAAGCAUGGUGGGCAAUCAAAAAACUCAACAUGGAUUUGACAAGAGCCGGGUUGAAAAGAUGUUUGGAUUUGAAUGAAUUGGAGGAAAUGAGGAAUGAUGCUUACCUCAAUUCAAAAAUUGCAAAGGAGAGGUUGAAGAAAUGGCAUGAUCAAUUAGUAAAUCAAAAGAAUUUUGCCAAGGGACAAAGAGUCUUGCUUUAUGACUCUAAGCUUCAUCUUUUUCCGGGAAAAUUGAAAUCAAGAUGGACGGGUCCUUUCAUAAUUCAUGAUGUGCAAUCAAAUGGAGUAGUGGAACUACUCAACUUCAAUAGCACUCGAACUUUCAAAGUUAAUGGGCAUCGUCUCAAACCCUAUAUUGAAUCUUUUUCCCGAGACAAGGAGGAAUUCAUCCUCCUUGAUCCACCUCCAACAUGAAAACACUUGGUUCAUGGUUGAACUUAGUCUCUCCAAAGACUAAAAAGUUCAUCCUCUUUUUGUUUUCUUUUAAGUUGAUUUUAGUUUAAUCUAGUGUUUUCUUGUGUUUAUGCAUGUUUUGAUUUCUAUUUUUGACUUUAAUUUCAUUCUAAUGUGGUUUGAAUUGUGUUUUUUUGUGCUAACAUGUAGGUAGGAAGGCUUGAAGAAUGAAGUCUUGGUGAAAACAAGGGAAAACAGGGGAGAUAAGACAAGGCUCAGCAAAAUUCGCACACCCCCUUGUGGUGUGCGAAAAUUUCGCACACCAUUUACCCUGUGCGAAUUCCAUUUUUGCACCACUUUUCAAAAAUUACAUGCUCUCGGUCCCCUGUGCGAAUUUCACAGGAAUGCGAACCUUGUGCGAACCUUGUGCGAAUUCGUUUUUUGCGCCAAUUUUCAAAACCAUGCUCUCUAUCUUGGAGAAUCACAAGUAUGCGAAAAUUUCGCACACCAUUUUCCCCUGUGCGAAAUUCAUUUUUCUCUUUAAAAGCUUUGUUCUCCACUUCAAAGUCUUAGCUUCUUCUUCAAUUCUCUCAAAGCCUCUCUUCCGAUCACCCAUUUCCAUCCACAAAGCUCCUUUCCUUCAUCAUCCAUCAUCAUCAGCACCACUAUGGCAGCCAUUAUCCAUAGCUCCACUCCAUAGCCGCGGCAUCAACUAUUCACCACUUCCCAUUUUCGGCAAUUUUAUCUCCUUCCACCAUCAAAAUCCUUUCAAAUCUUCACCCAACCCUCUAAAUCCAUCCACAAUUCAAUCCAAACCUUGUUCUUACCAAACCAAAGCCUAAACCAUAAGCAUUCAAGCCAUGGUUUCUUCAUAAGAAACCCAUUGCCGCCGGCCAUGGGAGCUCCCAAUCUUCAAUUUUCCUCUUGAAAAGCUCCCAAUUUUCAAGCCUUUUCAUCAUGACAAAUCUUUUUCAUACCUAAGCCAGCUUUUCCCACCCUCAAAGGCCAUAAAUUCUCACCAUCUCAAACAAGCCCCAAUUCUUCAAACGCACGGGUGAAUAGUACCCUGUGCGAAAAUUUCGCACACCCCCCCUCCCCUGUGCGAAAAUCUCGCACACCACCCCCCCCCGUGCAAAAAUCUCAGCUUCUCCAUCCCUACCUUCCCUAAUCCCAAGCCUCUGCGCCUCAUUUCAUCGCUCCAUCAUGCCGAAGACCAGAGGAGGAUCUACCACAGCCCCCUAGAGCAGUCAGAGAGCUGCCCCUAUGCGGGCCCCACUAGCUGCACCCUCACAUUUACCUGAUUCUGCCCCUCAGAGCAGAUACCAUACGAGGAAAGCAUCUGCCACGUCUGUGGCCCCACCACAAGUUCCGCCUCGGAGUCCUCCUACAAAGAGAGCCAAGACUUCAGAGCCAGGAGAUUCAUCCAGAGCACCUCGGGAUUCACAGUCUCAGCCUUCUUCCGCCAGGCGCCCUAGACCCAGCUUGCCCAUUGAGGGCAAUUCAGAUUGCCGAUCGAGAGACUUUCAUGUCGAGGCAUAUUUCGAUCACUCUCUUAUGCGACAGUAGCCUGAGUUGCGGGAUUCAUACCGCCUACUUGAAAGGUACCAUCUUAUACCCUUUAUGACUCUGCCCCAGUUCUUUUAUCCUCGAGUAGUUUUAGACUUUUACCAGUCUAUGACUACUCGUGGCGUCCCGGUACCUGCCUCGAUCCUUUUUACCAUUGAUGGACGCCAGAGUAUUUUGGGGGCUAGACAGAUUGCCGAUGCCUUCCAUAUCCCUUUUGCACCAGUAGAUCCUGCUACAUUUAGACGCUGGGUCCCAUUUUCUGAGUGGGACAUGGUUCGUAUCCUAUCUCGAGGGACAUCUUCCCAGAGGACCAUUUUGAGGAGAGAGCUUCCCCCAGAGAUGCUCCUAGUUGAUGUGGUGCUUCGCGCCAAUCUUUUUCCUCUUCAGCAUAAAGUACAGAGACGAGGGGCCAUUUUGGAGGCAUUAUUCCGUAUCUCUGAGGGCUACUAUUUUGGCCCCCAUCAUUUGAUUAUGGCCGCUCUCCUCCAUUUUGAGGAGAAGGUGCAUACGCGUCAUCUUGCGAGGGCAGACUCCAUUCCUUUACUUUUCCCUCGGCUGCUAUGCCAUGUUUUGGCGCAUAUGGGUUUUCCUACAGACCCUCGUUCAGAGCCCCGCCGCCAUUGUCGAGAGAGCUUCUCUCUUGACCAAUGGACUCAGAUAGGGCUCCAUCGCCAGUCCCCAGAACUUCCCGAGCCAAGGGAAGUCCCUCCUGCUCCGUCCACUACAGACCCUCCACAGCCAGUACCGGAGGCAGCAUCAUCUGAUGCCCCACCUGUUGUUCCUCCUACAUCAGAGCCGCCCAUUACUAUCCCUGGUCCAGAGUAUCGUGCCUUGCUCACUUCUUUCCAGACUUUGACCACUACUCAGACGGCCAUUAUGGAGCGCAUGGACCACUUCCAGACUCAGCAGGACCAGCAGACUCUCAUUCUCCGUGAGAUUCAGCAGCACCUGGGUCUUGUGCCACCAGCUCCACCUGUAGCGGUGCUUUCCACAGUUGCAGCGGAGGACCCCUCCUAUCCACCAGAGGAGCCUACUACUUGAUCAUACAAUCACUCCUCUCCUUUUUUGUAUCUAUAUGCUACGUUUUGGGAUGUCUUAUAUAUUUUGGACCACUUUUAUACUGGGAUUGGAUGUAUUCCAUGUUUAUUUUGUAUAUUGUACUUUCUCAGUUUAUAUAGACAUCUUCUCUUUUAGUGUAUUUUAGCUAUUCCAUUUUAUUUCCUUUUUUCAUCACUCUUAUGAUUUUCCUUUUCUUAUGCAACAUGUGGUUUCUCCUGUUCAUUCAGAGUCCCUUACUAUCAGGAGGUAUCACUUCCUCUCUUAUUUUAUCGCUUGCUUUUGGAACAUUGGGGACAAUGUUCAUCUUAGUUGGUGGGAGAGUUGAGGAAGUAAUUUGUUGAAUUUGUUAAGUUAUUUUGCUAACAAAUUUUUUGCAAACUCUCUUUGUUUUCUCAAAGAUAAAUUCUCAAAAGUAAAUGGGAGAAAUUAAAUUCUUAUCUUAUUGCCAUAGUCUCAGAGUUUGUAUUAUGUUUAUUAAAGUUGAUAAAUUGUUGAAGCUUCUUUUGUUUUCAAGCUUAAGUCUUCCACUCUAAUCUUUUCACACACUGAACACAUUAGAUUCCAGUUAUAAGAUGGAAAACUUUCUCACCCCCCUAAACUUUGGAAAUUAUCGACUUGGUGCCAUUGACCUCAUUCUAUUAGUGUUGGGACACCUUAUUAAAGGCCAAUGUGUCUUAUGAAAAUAAUUUUUGCUUCACUUGCUUUGAAACCCGAGCAAGGUCCGAGGGGUAUAUGGUGAAAAUCUUUAAAGCCUGGUGCCCUAAGCCUUUACUGGUUGGGAGUUCACCGACCUCACUGCUCGUUACAUGGGUGGAUGGGUGUAGUGACACUUAAAAAAAAAAAAAAAGAGAAGGAAGGGUGCGUUCUUAGCCUUUUAUAUAUGAGUUAGUGUUGCUAAAGUUGGAGAAAAACCUUAGUUGGGGGGAGAAUAUAGUUUGACAUACUAUAACUGGAAACUAAGCGCCUUAACACUUAGAUUUUUGUGGAAUAUUANNNNNNNNNNNNNNNNNNNNNNNNNNNNNNNNNNNNNNNNNNNNNNNNNNNNNNNNNNNNNNNNNNNNNNNNNNNNNNNNNNNNNNNNNNNNNNNNNNNNNNNNNNNNNNNNNNNNNNNNNNNNNNNNNNNNNNNNNNNNNNNNNNNNNNNNNNNNNNNNNNNNNNNNNNNNNNNNNNNNNNNNNNNNNNNNNNNNNNNNNNNNNNNNNNNNNNNNNNNNCAAAAAGUGCUUUUUUCCACCUUUAUGCCAUUAUGUUUUAAGCACUUUUGUGUAGUAGUUUUCCAUCUUAGGUCCAAUUGGCAUGUUAAGGACUAGCAAAUGUCUUCUAAUCAUUUUUGUGGCUAGUUUUAGUGUUUUGACAUCUUUUUGGAUCAUUAAGACAAGCCAAUCAAAGGAGAAAAGCAAAGAGAAGCAAGGAGGAAAACAGAGGACAGCAGCUUUAGUCUUCGUUGGCACUUUUGGAGCACUUCCCGAAGUCCAUUUUCUACAUGCUAUAUACCAUUUCAAAGCUCAGGAAGUCAAGAAUCCAACGCUUCAAACCGUGUAUGAUUUGGAGCUGAAACAAGGAAGAUAUGGCUUUCGGAAGACAACUGCUCCAGGUGUGCGAAAAUUUCGCACACCCCCUUAGCUGUGCGAAUGGUGUGCGAAAAUUUCGCACACCCCUUGCGUGGUGCAAAUUUUGCUCUAUUUUUGCCGACUCCACUUUAGAUAUUUUCCUAUGUAUUUUUUGAUGUAAUUUCCUUUCUUAUCCUUGUAACUAACCAAUCACAAGCUUUUGCUUUUGUAAAGACUAUAUAAGGGGUGGAAAAUUACCUCUUGGACAUGAAAUAUACGUAUUACGUUUGACACUUAGAAAUUUUUACAGAGCUCUCUCGUUUUCCAUUUUUCUCUCUACUAUUUUCUUUUUCUUGGAAGCCAAACAACCUCUAAGGAUGUUUUCUCAGAGGAUGAGAGGCUAAACUUUUGGUUUCUUGGAGUGAUGGAAGCUAGGUGAAAAGUCCAGAUGCAAGGUGGAAAACGCUCGUGCAUUAAAUUCAGGUAGUUGGAAUUCAUAAAUGGCUUUUAAAUCCAAACUUUUGCUUUAAAUCCCUUAGAAUCACUUUGAAUGACCAAUACAUGGUAAGCUUCAGGUCUUUAUGGAUGCUUAUUGCUAGAUCCAUAUUAGUCCAUUAGUUAUCAUGUACGAGUCAUUGGAAAGCGGUUCAAGGUGAAGGCCUAUAGUGUCUAAAGCCAUUAAUGGACUUUGACUACCAUUUAUAUUGAUUAUUAUGGAUUAAAUCUUCAUUGUUAAACCUACACCGGUUCGGGAAAUAACUAUAGGUUAAAUCCCUAAUGCGAGGAGAAAAAUCCGGAAUUUUCCACUUUGCACUCUAAACUUGAUCCUAGCAAUCCUGAGCUCCGAGAGACUUUCCUUCUUCCAUUUGUAAUUAGUUUAUGUUAAUUUAGUUUCAAACACUUUCAAAACAAAUUUUAUUUUCUUUUAAACUCUAAGUUUUUUUUUUAUAAAGGAAAUCAUUAAAUUCAAUUCAUAAUCAUGAGUAUAUCACUGGUAGAAUGAAAACCCAUCCCAGAGUUCGACCCUAGAGCCACUAUACUAUAGUAGCUUUGCUACACUAGUAUGAGGUCAUAGGUUUUAUAAAUGUUUUUUAUUAAAUGACCCAUUUGGAGUUACAUGCGAAUCAGUAAUCCUAGUCAUCCAUGUCCACAACUGAAUCGGAUCCACAUAUCAAAAGGUGUAUCUCAGAAGAAGAAUCAUGAGAACAUCUAAACAUCAAAAAGUGUGGGCAUGACUGAAUGGCCCAAAAGCGGCUCCACUAGGGGAUCAUGAUAAGUUAACAAACAGGUCAUCAUCUUGGUGUGUAUCUCAUAAGUGGAGAUGAUCAUGCAACCCAUGAAGAUUUAUAAAUCUCAACCAAAAAGGAAAUAUGCCCCAGUAUGGCAUCAGAUAUAUGGUAGAUCAAAAAAAUCAGACAACAUUGGAUCAUCCAUCAUCAAAUGUGCAAUCUCAAUCAUCCAUAUCCGCAACUGAAUCAGGUCCAAACAUCAAAGAGAUGUCUCCCAGAAGAAGAAGCAUGGUGAUAUCUAAAUAUCAACCAAAUCUCAAACACUUGUCCAAGUAAGGGUUGCCGAAGACGACAUCUGAUCCCAUGGCCUUAGGGUGGUCUUAAGACACGGGACGUAACAUAGGAUGGGGUGAUAGGGUAAUAGAAAUGAAGGGAAACUAGGCUCAAAUACCCAAUUAUCAAAUCCAUACCCUCGUGUGCAAAAUGUAAUGCAUAGAAAAAUAUCAUGAGCCAUAGACCUAAAGGUAACCAAAGGAAAUGUCAAUAGAGAAACAAGAGAAAGGAUAAGUGGUCAAACCAUCAAUGAAACAUGUGAAUGAUGUGAAAAAGUAUCGAAUCAGAAAUGUGUAUCAAUAUGUAGGAAAUUGAUAAAAUAUGGAACGAAGAUUUGGAAAGAGAUGAUGGGAUACAAAAUAAAUCAAUAAGAAAGUGGAAUGAUUGAUGAUUGAUUACUACCCAAAAAGUGCUAUUUUACACCUUUAAUGCAUUAUGUUUUAAGCACUUUUGUGUAGUAGUUCUCCAUCUUUAGUCCAAUUGGCAUGUUAAGGACCUAGCAAUGUCUUCUAAUCAUAUUUGUGGCUAGUUUUAAUGUUUUGACAGCUUUUCGGAUCAUUAAGACAAGUCAAGCAAAGGAGAGAAGCAAAGAGAAGCAAAGUGAAAAAAAUCAAGAUGUAGCAGCUGCAGUCUUCUUUCACACUUUUGGAGCACUUCCCGAAGUCCAUUUUUUACAUGCUAUAUACCAUUUCAAAGCUCUGGAAGUCAAGAAUCCAACGCUUCAAACCGUGUACGAUUUGGAGCUGAAAUGAGGAAGAUAUGGCCUUCGGAAGCCAACUGCUCCAGGUUAUGCGAAAAUUUCGCAUUCCACAAGAGGUUAUGCGAAAUUCGCAUAACAUUCGCAUAUGGUUCGCAUAACCCAUGCGUGUUGCGAAUUUUGCUCUGCCCUUUGCCGACUCCACUUUAGAUAUUUUCCUUUGUAUUUUGUGAUGUAAUUUCCUUUAUUAUCCUUGUAACUAACCAAUCAUAAGCUUUGGCUUUUGUAAAGACUUUAUAAGGGGUGGAAAUCACCUCUUGGAAUAUAUGGAAUACGUAUUACGUUUUUACACGGAGAAUUUUACAGAGCUCUCUCGUUCUCUUUGCUCUUUACUAUUUUCUUUUUCUUGGAAGCCAAACAACCUCUAAGGAUGUUUGCCCGGAGGAUGAGAGGCUAAACUUUCGGUUUCUUGGAGUAAAGGAAGCUAGGUGAAAAGUCUAGAUGAAAAGGUGGAAAGCUUCCAUGCAUUAAAUUCAGGUAGUUGGAAUUCAUAAAUGGCUUCUAAAUCCAAAGUUUUGCUUUAAACCCCUUAGAAUCACUUUGAAUGACCAAUACAUGGUAAGCUUCAGGUCUUUAUGGAUGCUUAUUGCUAGAUUCAUAUUAGUCCAUUAGUUAUCAUGUACGAGUCAUUGGAAAGUGAUUCAAGGUGAAGACCCAUUGUGUCUUAAGCCAUUAAUGGACCUUGACUACCAUUUCUAUUGAUCUUUUAUGGAUUAAAUCUUCAUUGUCAAACCUAUACCGGUUCGGGAAAUAACUAUAGGUUAAAUCCCCAAUGCGAGGAGAAAAAUCCGGAAUUUUCCACUUUCUAUUAUGAACUUGAUCCUAGCAACCCUUAGCUCCGGGAGACUUUCUUUCUUCCAUUUUUAAUUAGUUUAUGUUAGUUUAGUUUCAAACACUUUCAAAACAAAUUUUAUUUUCUUUUAAACUUUAAGUUUUUGAUUAAGGAAAUCAUUAAAUACAAUUUCUAAUUUUGAGUAUAUCACUAGUAGAAUGAAAACCCAUCCCAGAGUUCGACCCUAGAGCCACAAUACUAUAGUAGCUUUGCUACGUUAGUAUGAGGUCAUAGGUUUUAUAAAUGUUUUUUAUUAAAUGACCCAUUUGGAGUUACACGCGAAUCAAUGAUCAACCCAUAUUAGUGCAAUGAAGGAAAGUCAUAUCACCAAUGAUGGAAUGGGGGAUAAGACAAUGAUCCGAAGACCCUAGUAAAAGGUCACUCAUCUCUCAUACCUAAUACAUAACAACCAUAAUCCAAGAAGCAUAAGGUCUCGUAGAACUCUCACACGAACCCUCAACACUCAAAAUGCAUAACAAGAGUGGCUCAAGGAGUGAAAACUCAUGAAAAUCUCACAAGAACCCACAAUGACAAAUAAACAGACCUCAAAAGGUGACAUAAGUGCCCAAUGGAGCAAGAUACCAUACACGAACAUAUCAUUGCACCUUUUUUUUCGCAUGCUCUGAUCAUCAAUAAAUCGAACUCCAAUGGGAAAGAUAUAAGGAAUGAAAAAACUCUCUCUAAUCAUUGAUGAAUACAUGAACCCCAUCCCACGAGACAACCUCUCAAACUAAAAUCUCUGAAUCAAUGCCAAAUGAAGGGAUUAAUGGAGUGAUAUGACUACCCUCUUUGCACCAAGAUGUGAAGAAUCAUCAAUCCAGGAAAGAGGAGAGAUAAGAUGAAGCAAACAAUGAUAAAAGCAAGAAAGAGAAUGAAAAUGUGAUGAUAGUAAAAUAAAACAAACGGGGUGAUAAGGAGAUGGUAACAAGAAUGAGAAGAUAGGCCUAUAAGUCUAAAGCUCAUGAGACUUUCAUAGCAAAGCAUGUAUAUACAUCAAAGGGUCUCAACCUGAGUGUAGAAAUGGUAAUCAAGGCUAUAAAAAAGAAAGAAAAAAAAAAAGAUUUAAUGUACCACGUGAGGCUCAAUGGGCUAGCAAUGGUCUAAUAUAUAGAUAGAAGUGAUAAAGUGUAAGGUUAACCGAAAUGAUGGUCACCCAUCCUACAACCUUGGUCUCAAAUGUAAUACUUCUUCAGCUGAUCCACACUAGUAAGGUCUGAGAACUGGUUUCUAUCCAGAUAUGUCAAUCAUAUUUCCUCUCUAGGGUUAACUCUCUAAUGAUAGGUGGUGUACUCCAAGUUAGUCCCUAGGGUCUCCUGGAAUAGAUGAAUCUCCAAGACCAUAAUUGGGCUCGCAUCAUCCUCAAACAUAUCAUCAACAUAAGCGGGAUGCCCUAACAUAAAUAAACAAAAUCUCUCCUAAACUCUCAACGAUAAAGAUCUCAAGCAUAUCAAGAGAGUGAACUAUCUCUGGCUAAUCUGUACUAACCAUCCAACUAUCAUCCAAUAUGUUUAUCUCAUGCUCGUUAUGAAGAAAACCAUGUCAAUCAAAUCUCUCAUCUUAGAGGAAAAAACUAACAUCCUUUAUAAGAACUCUCAUCUGAUAAACUUUGACUCAUAAUCCACUAAACUCAUCAUAUGUACGAUGUCACCCUCAACAAUGUCAUUGGGUAACUGGGUGGUGAGGGUGGGCGAUGAUGAAUCACACGACAUCUCAUCCCGAAGUAAAUGUUAUCUAUCUUACUGUCUAUCAAUCCUCUGGCUCAAGCCUGCUAAUGCCUCCUGAAUAGAGUCAUGGUGAUAGUAAGUCGAUCAACUAUAACAUGCUGAAGAUCCGUACCUGACUGCUUUGAAACCCUGAUCAAACUAUCUCUAACUCUAUAAGAAUUCGAAUUUGAACCAAAACGAAUAACACUCUUAUAAGGUGCAAAGGCACAAAAAGAGAAAUAACACAAAGGAAACUUAGAAGAAGUGGAAAUGCACUAAUCACAAUGCAAAAAUGUGGCCCAAUUCAAACUCAAACAUGUACUAAUCUCUAAGCACACCAAAAGGAGACCAUGAAGAGAAUAACUGAACCCAAUUGUGACCAAGGUAGCUUUGAAGGUCCAUAGAUGCACCCACGUGUAGGAAUGAAAUCUUAAUUGGAUCUAGGCUGACCUACAAGGUUGAAGUGGCUCUAUAAGAUAAAAUGGGUGGGUUAAAGGAUCCCUAGCAGAAGUGAUCGUACCCUCCGGCGGUAUGCAACCCUCUGCACACCUCCAAGAAGACGGGGUGCUUCCAUGCAAGGUGGUUAUCACCUCCACACAUGCACUUCCUCACUUUCCUAAGGGGUUUCUUAAUGGUGAAAGCUCUUCCCAUCUCUCAACACUCGGGGAUAAUCUAAAGUGCAUAGUGAAGGAUGUGGGUGCAUAAAAAAAUAUAUAUAUAUAUAAAAAACCUAAGAUCUAAAGUGAGAUAGUGAACAAAGACAAGCAAUCAUGCAAAAGAAAGGAUUGUCAUGCAAUAAGCAGUCAUGCAAUGCAGAUAAAUAUCAAACAUUCAAAGUCCUAUCUAUCAUAUAUGAGAGUGAAUCAUGUUGAAGUGAGCAAGCAAUCAAGCGAUCAUUCAAGAUAAACAAGUAUAAAGACAUGUUACGAUAUCAAACCAAUCAAGCAAGCAAACUAAAUCACCUUGCCUAAAAAAAGUGAUACCCCUAAUCGACCAAUUAAAUGCCACAUUUUUCUCAACUAGUGUUCAAGCUUGAUCCUCAAGAUCCCCAGUGGAGUCGCCAAUUUGUGGACCCGCAUUUUUCACGUGCGCCCUGAUUCGUGCCCAAUUGGUGUCUCAGCUGAUUCGUGUCCAGCUGGUGCUCCUUGGAUGAGGGAGUAAUCAACAAAAUUUUUAACCUAUUACACCAUAUACUAGGGUAGCAAAGAAAAAACUACUAUAGUAUAGCGGCUCUAGGAUCGUUCACUGGGAAGGAUUAGCAAAUUAUCAAUGAUACCAAUUCAAAGUGAAUUGGUCUUGUUUCAUUUCAAGGUUAGCUUAAGAAAUAAAACACAAAAUUUAAUUGGUAAAGAUUUAGAUUUAAACUAACUACAAAACAAGUAAUGGGAAUAACUUAGGAAGAAAAACAUUCCUUGGAGGGUCAGGUUCACUGGGGUGGUUCCUCAUGCAAAAGACAUAGCUCCAGUCAGAUGGUUCAUUUCCUCGUGUUAGAGAUUCAACAUAUAGUCAAUUCUCUAACCGGUGUUGUACAGAUACAUCCUUUAAUUAGAUUUCAACUUUAAUUCUCUCACUGAUACAACUUGCAAUGGUUCAAGCCUCUCACUAAACCUUAACCAUUCAAGGUGAUCUUUAACCUUAGACUUCCCUUUUCAAGCUCGCAAGAGAUAACUAAUGGAUGUCUCCUUGGAGUCCAAAAGCUUACCAAGUGUUGGCAAUUCCAGAAAAUCCUGCCUUAAAGUCACCUCCCAGAGGCUUGCAAGGGGUAAACUAGUGCAUCUCCUUGGUUGGAGAUCACUUGCCUUACCAAGUGUUGGCCCAGGUGACUCUAAGGUGUUUUAAGUUAACUAAAAACAUAGAAAUCACUAAAGGAUUUCACUUCCUCUUCAUUAAUGGCUGAAACCACAAAGCUUUGCAUUCUUGCACUUGGAACCUUCCCCGGCAACCUUAGCUCCAAGGAACUAAAGAUUUAGUUACUCAUUCUCUGGGGAAAAUUCCUCAGAGAGUGCAUAACUUAGUAAGAAAUAAAAAAAUACAAAGUGAGAAGGUAAGGCAAAACAAAGGACCUGAACUUUUCUUGCUUUCCCAAAACUUUAAAAAAGGUCUCCUCUUCUGAGAACAGGCUCUCGAGGGGUAUAUACAUGAACAUAAUACAAAACUAAUUAUUACAUGGAUAUUUAUUCUUUUUACUAACUUAAAAGCUAAGGAAUCUUGUAAUUGGUGGCUUACAAGGAGAAUUUUGGGAUUUAGACAACAAAAAUCUGAUGGUAAAUAUCUCCCAAUGUCGGUAGCAAAUAUCGGGAAGCACUACGGACCAUUUCGCAAGAGAAAAUGAUGUCUGCGAGAUUUCGCAGACAUACAAAAAGGGCUGCGAAAUCAUUUCACAGCAAAAGGCUAUUCUCGUAGGACUGCGAAGUUGGCUUUCAUCUUGAGGUUCUCAGCUUCCAACGUGCGGAAUAUAUCGGGCAACUUCAGGAGGAAAUCCACAACACUGUACAAAAAGGCUGCGAAAUCAUUUCGCAACAAAAGGGUGAUUUCGCAACACUUUGCAAAAUGCUUCCUUCAGCUUAGAGUUAUUGACUUGCAGUGGCUGUAACUUCUUCGUUUCAACUCCGAAUUGUGCACCGUUUGAAGCAUUGAAUUGUGGACUUCCUGAGCUUUGAAAUGGUAUAUAUCAUGCAUCAAUUGGACUUCAGAAAGUGCUCCAAAAGUGGCUGACACGACUGUCAUCAAGAAUAUGCUUCAUGGCAAAUUCUCUUUCUUUCUUCUCCUUGCAUUCCGGAUUUACUCUUGGCAAAGGGCUUCAAAGCUUUAGUUCUUCAUAUUUCUGAGUUUCCAAUUGCUUUGCCCAAGAUUCCAUAUAACUCUCCUCAAUCUCGAAUUGCUUUGGUGAUCAAAAGGCUAUCAAAACACCAAAACUUAACACAAUUUGAUUAAAAUUGAUUGCAAGGAUCCUUAACAUGUUAAUUGGGUUAAAAGGCAAUAACUACUACUCAAAAGUGUUUAAAAGAGUUUAUUACAAGCUAUCAAAGAGCACUUUUUGAGUAGUAAUCACGCCCCCACUCAAUCGGCGAAACUCGCUUUUAUUGGGAAAAAAAAUUUGUUUUUGGAAAAGUCGGAGUCGUCACUUAUUUUAUUUUAUUUUUUGAAGGAAAAAUAAAACAAGAAAGAAAACCCUAAAAAAGUGACUCCAUAGUUUUUGGAAAAGUGUGUCUUUGCAAACCCGAGUCUAGGUCCAAGGAUCAGGUUACCUAUUAAGAAGGUACCUCUAAAAGGUUGCACCCCUCUAAGCCCUACAAAGGUCUCUAUUGACUAAGUUAAGGGAAAUGUGACAUUUAAUUGAUUAAUUGAGGAUACCUAGGUAGACUAAGGUGAUUUCAACAAAAAAAAAAAAAUAGCAUGCCAAACAAGAUCAAAUCACAAUAAAGGAGAGUUAGGAUGUGUACCCGAACCGCUUCUCAAGUGCUAUCAUAAAACAUCAGAGUUAGUAUAGAAAUAUAACACACGACAUGUAUUCAAUCAUAGCAAAUCAAGAACACAUCUAAGCAUUAAAUAAUUACAUCAAACAUAAAUAUAGUCUUCAAUAUUAUACAUGUUCAUAAUUUUCCAAAAAGUGAGUGAUAGAGAGCGUAUCUGGAUAGCAUGCAUGAUUUAUAAGAUUCCUCCAAAAAUGUUAGAAAUGGUUAUGACAAAUAUAAAUUAUAUAACAUCUUUAUUAUGUCUAAUAUACAGUACCAAAGCCAAAAGCGAGCUAAGGUAAGUCAAAUGACUCCAAAAGCAUAUAACAAAUUCAGGCAAGUACUAUUGAGUCAUCAGCAUGCAUAUAGUAAAGGGAGCAUCACAAAACAAUUGCUAAAAAAUGUCUUAGAGUGGAAUUUAGUUACAAAAAAAAAAAAUUCAGGAAUCAACUCCUAUGUAUCUAAAACAAGAUACCAAAAUCCAAACAUUCAUUUGAAGGACAGAUUGCAAGAAAGACACCUAAAGGUUCUACAAAGUCUAGAUUAGAUAAGAAAAACUGACAUGCAUAAAGAAAUUUUAAAAAAAUAAUAAAUGAUCACAUAAAAUAAUACAAAAAAAAAUCACACACAUAUUUCAAAGUGUCUAUAUCACAUAAAAAAUUAAUUUGGGGUCGGAUAUAGUCAAAAAUAUUUUUAACACACUAAAGAUAAGCAGAUGUCAAGAAUUCAGUAUGUGGAGUAGGUACAACUUUGAAAAAUCAUAUCCCCAUAAAAAAGGAAUAUCUUUUAAUAUUUCAUAUGUCUAAGAUCAAUUUCAAGAAGCUUAAAAUUGAGAAAAAAUACUGAAUAAAAUUUAAAAAGUCGUCUAUUAUUUUAUUUUUUCAAAAAUAUCUUGGGUGUCCAUAACUGGUUGAAAAUAGAGCCCCCGUAAAGACUCAUUUAUAUCUUCUAUUUCAGAAUGGAUUUCUAAAUCAAAUGAAACUUUAAAUUCAAGUUCAAGAAUGAGGAAAGUUAAAAAAAAUUUGGAAAAUUUUUAAAAAUUUUCCAAUAUUUCUAAAAUGAAUUUUAAAUCUGAAGGGUCUGUGGCUGAAUGAAAACUGGCAGCAAGGAAAAAAUGUUUUUUAAAAUUUUUGCACCACUAGAAUUGUCCUCCCAAAAUAGCUAUGCUGCUGCAUUAGGAAAAUGUUCCCCACAAGGUAUAAAAUUCAGAUUUACAAAAUCAACACUAAACUCACAAUGGGCAACUGGAAUUUUGAUGUUAUCAAAAAAUUGAAGAGAUAUUUUAAUGGGUCCCAUGAAGUGACCUGUGCUACUAAAUGCUCAAUUUGUUCAACUUUGAUAGAACUUUGAUGGUCUACCGGAAUCUACAUCAUCUUCAUAUGUGGACUUUGCAUCUUCUCAAAGUGGUGGCCUUCCUAUAGCAAUGUGUAAGUGCCUCCAAAAAAAUCUGAAUUCCCCCUCCAUUGAAGCUUCUCGAAUCCAUUCAACACGUAAUGCUCAUGCCACCAUAUUCCAGAUGCCAACAGAAAGAUAGAUGCUUCUUCCCCUUGGAAGCGUGCUGUGCAUGGAAUCUUUCAAUGUGGGUUGUGCAUGAGAUGCCGACUAUGUCUAUAUGCAAUGCUAUGGUGCGGCUGCAUCCUUUUUGGAAUCAAAUCUGCAGCCCCCACUUUCCCCAAUACGAUCACUCCCUUUAUGGUAAUCCUGACAUACAUUUUCUACAAACAAUAGUUUGUUUUUCUGAUAAACAUGUAGCACAUCCAAAACAGGUCCUAUAGAUUAAGCAAACUCCUUCGGCAGGGGUUGUAUCUCUUCUGCACCUUUAUGCUUUGAAUAAAAGCCCUCACGUUUCCAUGCAGUCACAUCCCCACAGUCACAACAGCCACCACCCAUAUAUAUAACAAAAUAAUCACGGUCCUUGUGGUUUCCAUUAUGGAAACAAGGAACACAAAUUGCAUAUGUUGGGUCAUGUUCACAUGUUUAGCAGCGGUAUACUAUAUCAUUAUGGCCCCAAACAAACCCAAAAACACCAUAUUGACUAGUACUUAUUUUGGUGAAUUUAUUUAAGACACCCAGUGGUUCACCAUAGAACAUCGACCACUAUAACAUACGCAUGCUUUCAUGGAAUUGUUCUAUCAUGGUAAGGCUCACCAAGUUCAUCAAUAAAAAUUCGUUUAAUGAUGUGUCAAUCUGAUGGAGAGAAUCCGUUGAUAAAAAAAAUGAUGAAAUGUCAAUCUGAAGAUUGUGACCGCAAUUCAUCUCCGACGAAUGAAACUAAUGGCAACCUUCAAAAGUCUGAAAUGGAGAGCUUUAAUAGCGGUGGUCAUUUGCAACAACGUCAACCCACUCUCUUCUCCUCUAGAAUGCUGGAUCACCUCCACGUGCUCAGAGUCUUCUUCAGAAAAAUGUUCUCCUCUCCUCUUCCACUCAGCGUGCUAAAAAUCUCUUUCCUCCUUUCAAUGAUUUUCUCCAGAAUGUUGGAGAUUUUUUCUUCUCUCUGUGUAUGGUCGUCUCUCCUCCUUUGACCCCAAACCAGCCUACUAUUUUUUUCCCCACAUGCACUCAAUCCCUCACGUAUUCUCCCCAAACCAACUUGCUAUUUGCUCCCCAUCUUACUUAGUCAAUCCGUAGUUCCUCUAAUCAGUCCCGUUGACUCCACCAACAUGGAAAAACCCCUCACUAGUCCAGAGAGAGCCCGCAAUCUUCUAUGUCGGUCCAGUAUGAUCAGAACAAACCUAGUCUUCAUUCCAUCCCUAUACACAUCGACUAUCUUCUUUUCACCUACCAAAACCAGCUUUGGUAAGUUUCAACUUCCUUUCCAAAUAACCAUGCAAUAAUAAUAAUAAUAAUAAUAACAAACAAAAUCAUCCAAUUAAAAAAAAAGAAUAAAAAUAAAUAAAUAAAUAAAUAAAUAGAUUAAUCAUAUGCAUGCACAAGAUAACCGAAAAAUAUAAAAGAACAAAUAAAUAAAUAAACUAGAACCCACUUAAAACAAAAAUCAAACAAAUAGAAUUCCAAAAGACAAUUCUUAGUGCACUAGGCUUAAAGAACUAUCCAAGGGAUCCUAAGUGGGCCUAAGGUGGUGCUUAAUGGGCGAAGUGCAUCUAAACAUGCUUAAGGCGCCUAAGUAAGCCUAGGAUGCCUAAAUGGGCCUAGGGUGCCUGGCCUAGGGUGCCUAAGUGGGCCUAGUGUCACGGACUUAGUCGUUCACUAAGCUCGUGCGGCACUUAAGCAAGUCAAGACGCUUGAUCUUGCUAAGUCAGCCUUACUCCCCAAUGCUUAGCUUGCUCGGCUAAGACACUCGCGACUCAAAAGCUUAAGAAGCUUAGUAGGCAAUUCUUAGAGAAUGGAAGCUCUUAUUACUUAAGGAAGCCUUUACAAGUGCUUGGAAGCUCACUUGCUUGAUUAGGAAGUGAUUUGGGUGGUGCCUUGGCCAAAUGAGAGCCUCACCUAUUUAUAAGCACCAAUGGAACUCUUUAGAACCUUGGAGGGUUCCUUACAAAUCAAGAAUAUUCUAGAACUCCCUACACUAAUCUAUGUACAACCCUAUGUACAAGAAUAUACAAGAGAUCUCUAGAAUUCUCUAGAAAGCCUUGGACUCCUCUCAUGCCUUCCACCAUAGUGUAGAGAUGUGUGGACAUCUCUAGGCAUCUCUAGAACCUUCCACACUCUUCCCACCAAUGUCUUAGUGUAGAUGGCUCCAGGAGUCUCCAGAAGCUUCCCUCCUUCUAUAUAAGCCCAUAUGGAGGGUCAUUUAAAGCAUCUUGUGACACUCUCGCCCACCUAUGUCGUCGACGUCCUCGUCGUUGCCUCUUUCUGAAACCUCUCAAUGUGUUUCCAGAACUUUCUCAAGGCAUCCACAUGUUCCCAGCUUACCUGCCUCUUAGGUAGUCCUUUCCAUUGGACUAGAUACUCUAUCACAGGAGGGACCCCUUGUCUCCUAGUGACCUGUUCAACUAGGAUAUUCUUCACCUCCUUCCCCCGUGAGGCUCCAGAUGGAUGUAGACCUGUGCGCUUUCGAUGUUUAGAGUGCUGCUUCCUCUUACCCAUUGAGUUCACCUUUCCCUUGGUGACCUCUUCCAUGUGUGUGCGGGCUACCUCAGCUCGCUCCCAUUUUUCCUCCUUUACUUGCACCCCUGCUAGUAAGGAGGUCUUAGGCGUACUAGGCUUAGGGUUGAAUUGCAGGGCACCUAGUAGCUGCAUUGAGCCCAUAUGUGCUUCGUCCUCCUGCUCCCUCUCCUCGAUCAUGGCACUAAGCGCCUUCCUCUUUGGACAAUCAUGUGCACAAUGUGGACCUUCACAUAUGAAGCAUUUGAUUUUAGGCGUGAACUCCUUCUUUUCCGCCUUACCCCUUCCUUUUCGGAAGUUAGGCGUCUUGCCUGAUCCCUUUUUAGGAGCAUUGUGGUCCCUUGGAACCUCGUCUCCCCCACCCGUGGUGUGGCUAUCCUCUAAAAACUCAACCUUGGAUGAAUCUUCCCUCUUGUAAUCCGUUAAAGACUCUGCUACUGCCAUAGCAGUGGCUAAGUCUUGAACGCCUCGGCGCCUUAAUUCCUGCUCGGCCCACCCUUGCAGGUUAUCCAUGAAGUUGAAUAACAACUCCUCCUCAGUCAUGUUAGGAAUCUCAAGCAUGAGCGAAGAGAAUUCCUUGACAUAGUCGCGUAUCGAGCCUGUGUGCUUGAGACGCCUCAUGUUUUUUCUAGCCAGGUAAGCCACGUCCUCGGGGUAGAAUUUCCUCUUAAUCUCCCUCUUGAAGUCAUCCCACUUCUCUAUGGUGCAAAUGUCUUUCUCCAUAUCGACAAACCUCCGAUGCCACCAUGGAGUAGUUGUGUCAGUAAGGUAGAGGGUUGCAGUUCUUACCUUAGUCGCCUUAUCGAUCAAUGCGAUAGCCUCGAAGUAUCGCUCCAUAUGCCAUAAGAAGUUAUCCAACUCCUUGGCAUCCCGCUUGCCACUAAAUCUAUGUGGCUUCGGCACCUCCACCCUAGAUGCCUCCUGUGUGGCCAUGACCCAUGCCGACACAGCAGCCUUGUAGAUGGCCAACUCCUGCCUAACCUUCUAGUCUCGGGCCUCCAUGCGCGCAGCCAAGGCCUCCAUCCUUGACUCCAUACUAGCAAGCAUGCUCAAGACCUUUCCUUGGAAGGACACAAACUCCUCGUGCGACACUGGCUGAACCUGUGAGACUAGCACCCUCUCACGAAGGUCUUGGAUCUACUCCCUUAAAUCCUCUAAGCCCUUCUCCAUGCCUUGCUCGAUCAAGUCCAACCCCUCCCGAGUGUCCGCCAUGGCUAGCUCCACCUUGGCUAACCUUACCUCCAUGUUGGCAACGGCAUCACGAGAUUUAUCCUUCUUGCCCCUACCCCGUGCAGUAGCCUCGGUCUCCCUUCCAUGGGUUUGCUCGCUAAUCUCCUCCACGUUAGAGCCUGACAUGCUUCCUUUGCUAUGCCCACUUCGUAACUGCGCUCUGAUACCAUUUGUCACGGACUUAGUCGUUCACUAAGCUCGUGCAACACUUAGGCAAGUCAAGACACUUGAUCUUGCUGAGUCAGCCUUGCUCCCCAAUGCUUAGCUUGCUCGGCUAAGACACUCGUAACUCAAAAGCUUAAGAAGCUUAGUAGUCCACUCUUAGAGAAUGGAAGCUCUUAUUACUCAAGGAAGCCUUUACAAGUGCUUGGAAGCUCACUUGCUUGAUUAGGAAGUGAUUUGGGUGGUGAAUUUGCCAAAUGAGGGCCUCACCUAUUUAUAGGCACCAAUGGAACUCUCUGGAACCUUGGAGGGUUCCUUAAAAAUCAAGAAUAUUCUAGAACUCCCUACAUUAAUCUAUGUACAACCCUAUGUACAAGAAUAUACAAGAGAUCUCUAGAAUUCUCUAGAAAGCCUUGGACUCCUCUCAUGCCUUCCACCAUAGUGUAGAGAUAUGUGGACAUCUCUAGGCAUCUCUAGAACCUUCCACACUCUUCCUACCAAUGUCUUAGUGUAGAUGGCUCCAGGAGUCUCCAGAAGCUUCCCUCCUCCUAUAUAAGCCCAUAGGGAGGGUCAUUUGAAGCAUCUUGUGACACUAGGGUGCCUAAGUGGGCCUAGUGUCAUGGACUUAGUCUCUUCCUAAGCUCGUGUAGCACUUAAACAAGUCAAGACACUUGAUCUUGCUAAGUCAACUUGACUCCCAAUGCUUAGCUCACUAGGCUAAGAUGCUCACGACUCGGAAGUUGUAGAAGGUGUAGUAGGCAACUCUUAAAGAAUGAAAGCUUUAUUGUUUUCAAAGAAAGCUAUAUAAUGCUUGAAAGCUCAUUUGCUUAGUUAAGAAGCGAUUUGGGUGGUGUCUUGGCCAAAUGAGGGUCUCACCUAUUUAUAAGCACCAAUGGAACUCUCUGGAACCUUAGAGGGUUCCUUACAAAUCAAGAAGAUUCUAAAAUACCCUACACAAUUCUAUGUACAAACCUAUGGACAAGAACAUACAAGAGAUUCCUAGAAUUCUCUAGAAAGCCUAGGACUCCUCUCAUGCCUUCCACCAUAGUGUAGAGAUGUGUGGACAUCUCUAGGCAUCUCUAGAACUUUCUACACUCUUCCCACCAAUGGCUUAGUGUAGAUGGCUCCAAGAGUCUCUAGAAGCUUCCCACCUCUUAUAUAAGCCUAUGGGAAGGGUCAUUUGAAGCAUCUUAUGACACUCUCCCCCACCUAUGCCAUCGAUGUCCUCGUCAUUGCCUUUUUUUGAAACCUCUCGACGUGUUUCCAGAACCUUCUCAAGGCAUCCACAUGUUCCCAGCUUACCUGACUCUUAGGUGGUCAUUUCCAUCACAUUAGAUACUCUAUAACAGGAGGAACUCCUUGUCUCCCAGUGACCCAUUUAGCCAGGAUAUUUUUCACCUCCUUCUCCCGUGAGGCCUUAUAUGGAUGUAGACCCGUGCACUUUCGAUGCUUAGAUUGUUGAUCCUUCUUGCCCAUCGAGUUCACAUUUCCCUUGGUGAUCUCAUCCAUGUGUGUGUGGGCUACCUCAGUUUGCUCCCCUUUGCCUCCUUUAUUUGCACCCUUAAUAGUAAGGAGGUCUUAGGCAUACUAAGAUUUGGGUUGACUUGAAGGGCACCUAGCAGCUGCAUCGAGCUCAUAUGUGUUUUGUCUUCCUGUUCCCUCUCUUUGAUCAUGGCACUAAGCGUCUUCCUCUUUGGACAAUCACGUGCCCAAUGUGGACUGUCACAUAGGAAGCAUUUGAUUUUAGGCGUAAACUCCUUCCUUUCUGUCUUACCCCUUCCUUCUUAGAUGUUAAGCGUGUUGCCUGAUCCCAUUCUAGGAGCAUUGUGGUCCCUUGAGACCUCGUCUCUUUCGCCCGUGGUUUGGCUAUCCUCUAAAGACUCAACCUUGGAGGAAUCUCCCCUCUUGUAAUUCGUUAAAGACUCUACUACUGCCAUAGUAGUGGCUAAGUCUUAAACGCCUUAACGCCUUAAUUUCUACUUAGCCCACCUUUGCAGGUUAUCCAUGAAGUUGAAUGUCAACUUCUCCUCAGUCAUGUUAGGAAUCUCAAGCAUGAGCAAAGAGAAUUCCUUGACAUAGACGCGUAUGGAGGUUGUGUGCUUGAGAUGCCUCAUGUUUUUCCUAGCCAGGUAAGCCACGUCCUCAAGGUAGAACUGCCUCUUGAUCUCCCUCUUGAAGUCCUCUCACGUCUUUAUGGUGCAAAUGUCUUUCUCUAUAUCGGCAAACCUCCAACGCCACCAUAGAGUAGUUGUGUCAGUAAGGUAGAAGGUUGCAGUCCUUACCUUAGCCGCCUCAUCCGUCAAUGCGAUAGCCUCGAAGUACCACUCCAUAUUCCAUAAGAAGUUGUCCAACUUCUUGGCAUCCUGCUUGCCACUAAACCCUUGUGGCUUCGGCACUUCCACCCUAGAUGUCUCCUGUGUGGCCAUGGCCUAUGCCGACACAACAGCCUUGUAGAUGGCUAACUCUUGCCUAACCUCCUGGUCUUGGGACUCCAUUCGAGUGGCCAAGGCUUCUAUCUUUGACUCCAUGCUAGCAAGCAUGCUCAAGACCUUUUCUUGGAAGGACACAAACUCCUCAUGUGACACUAGUUGACCUUGUGAACCUAGCACCCCCUCACGAAGGUCUUGGAUCUGCUCCCUUAGAUCCUCUAAGCCCUUCUCCAUGCCCUGCUCAAUCAAGUCCACCCCUUCCCAGGUGUCUUCCAUGGCUAGCUCCAUCUUAGCUAACCUUGCCUCCAUGUUGGCAACGACAUCACGAGAUUUAUCCUUCUUACACCUACCCCGUGCAGUAGGCUUGAUCUCCCUCCCACGGGUUUGCUCGCUAGUGUCCUCCACGUUAGAGCUCGACAUGCUUAUUUUACUAUGCCCACUUCGUAGCCGCGCUCUAAUACCAUUUGUCACGUACUUAGUCUCUUCCUAAGCUCGUGCGGCACUUAGACAAGUCAAGACACUUGAUCUUGCUAAGUCAGCCUGACUCCCAAUGCUUAGCUCGCUAGGCUAAGAUGCUCACAACUCAGAAGUUGUAGAAGGCGUAGUAGGCAACUCUUAAAGAAUGAAAGCUUUAUUGCUUUCAAAGGAAGCCAUACAAUACUUGAAAGCUCACUUGCUUGGUUAGUAAGUGAUUUUGGUGGUUUUUGGGUGGUGCCUUGGCCAAAUGAGGGCCUCACCUAUUUAUAGGCACCAAUGGAACUCUUUGGAACCUUGGAGAGUUCCUUAUAAAUCAAGAAGAUUCUAGAAUACCCUACACAAUUCUAUGUACAAACCUAUGUACAAGAAUAUACAAGAGAUUCCUAGAAUUCUCUAGAAACCCUUGGACUCCUCUCAUGCCUUCCACCAUAGUGUAAAGAUGUGUGGACAUCUCUAGGCAUCUCUAGAACCUUCCACACUCUUCCCACCAAUGGUUUAGUGUAGAUGACUCCAAGAGUCUCCAAAAACUUCCCACCUCCUAUAUAAGCCCAUGGGGAGGGUCCUUUGAAGCAUCUUGUGACUCUAGGGUGCCUAAGUGGGCUUAAGUCUAAAGUAGGGCUGCCAAGAGUCACAAUGGAGUUAGAUAAAUCCCUCAACCAUAGUCCCCAAGGUGGCUUAGAAAAGAUAGGCUACAUGAGUAGUAAUGGGCCACCAGGGAAUUGCUGUAAAGUAUUGAACAAAUACUUAAUAAGACAUGUGCUAGGAGGACAAAAUGAAGGGUCUACAAUUUUUCCUAUCCUCUAUGUUUCCAACCCAAUUAGCAUUAGAAUAUAAAAUAAUAAAAAGAGAAGAAUCAAAAGGAUACCACAACCCAUAAUCUAAAGUCCCACUAACUUAUCGAAUGAUUCUUUUAAUUGAAGUUAAGUGUAACUCUUUAGGACUUGUUUGGUACCUAGCACAUGCUCCCACACUAAAAGAAAUGUCUGGGCAAAUUGCAAUAAGGUAUAAGAGGCUCCCUAUCAUGCCCCUAUAAAGCUUUUGAUGAACAUCAUUUCCAAAUGUGUCCUUACGAAGCUUAGUAGUGGUACUCUCCUAGCAUACUUAGACUAAUACAAAAAGAUACCAUUUUUGAAUUGCCUAAUAUGCAAUCCUAAGAAAAACCUAAGUUCACUUGCCAUACUCAUUUCAAAUUCCUUGUUCACUUCCUUAGCAAAACUAAGGGCAAGAUCACUUGAGUUGGCUCCAAAAAUGAUAUCAUCAACAUAAAUCUCAACCACUAAAAGUUUAGUCUUAGUCUUAUGAAUGAAUAAAGUUCUAUCAACCUCCACUCUUAAAUUCUUUUUCAAAAGAUAAGUUGUAAGCCUCUCAUACCAAGCUCUAGGAGUUUGUUUGAGACCAUAGAGGGCUUUCUUUAACUUAUAAACAUGAUUCAAGAGUUUUAGACCCUUAAAGCCCUUAGGUUGCUCUACAUUGACUUCUUCACUAAGAAUCUCAUUCAAGAAAGCACUCUUAACAUUCAUUUAAAAUAAUUUUAUUCUCAAUGAGCAUGCUAUAUCUAGGAGGAUUCUAAUAGAUUCUAACCUAGCUAUAGAGACAAAGGUUUUCUCAAAGUUAAUUCCCUUAAUUUAGGAUAGCUUUAUUCCUCACAAUGAUUCCAUUUUCAUCAUAUUUAUUCUUGAAAAUCUGUUUAGUACCUAUCACAUGUUUAUCCUUAGGUUUAGAGACUAAAUACCACACACUAAGGGCUCUAACUUUUAGGGUCAUAAACACAACAUUACACUUAGGCCUAGUCUUCUUCAACUACACUUGUUUCACUUUAGGUGGUGAACUAGAGGAGUUUUUUUUUAGUCUUAGGCUUGGGAUUGGUUUUCUUUCCUUUUUUAGUGUGUAGAAUAUUAUUCUUUAGGAAAUCAAACUCAUUUAUUAGCUUAUUCAACUAAGACUUAUACCUCUUAGGGGAUCUACUAUCACAUCCACUUUGAGCAUGUUCAUACUUCUAACAGUAAGUACAUAAUGGGGAAGGGCUAGGAGAGCCUACUUGGUUUGGAGUUUCCUUCUUACCCUUGACAAAAAUUGCAUCUCUAUUAGUGGGAGUCUCAAUUUCGUUAAUGUAGUUUAGAUUUCUCUUAUCUUCAUGGGACUUACAUUUAUUAAGAAUAUCAUUCAACACUUCAGUCCCAAGAUUAAAUACCCCAUUAGAAGAAAAAAAAUAUUUUUGACAUUCAAUCUCUCGAGUUAAAAAUAUCGUUUCUCUCAAGUAUAUAUUGAUACUCAACCUCGAGAAUUGAAUUUUCUCAAUAUGAUUACUCUUUUCUUCACAAAGCACAUUAAUCUAAGAUUUUUGUGAGUCAACAACAUUAUUAACUUUCAAGAAUUUCUCGAUCAAGCAUCAAUAUUCAACAACAAUAUUCUCAAGAAAAUCAACUUUUUCUUCAUAAUUAAACUCACACUCGCUAUCAAUCUCAUGCACAAAAUCAAUAGAUGCAACAAAAGCUAAAAAAAAAAAUCAUUCUGCUCAUACCUUUGAUCCUUAGAAGCCAUGAGUCACUCUCAUUAGAGUCCAUGUCACUCCAAGUAGCCUGCAUAGACUUUUUAAUGUCUUUAGGACUAGCACAAUUAGAAGAAACAUGUCCCACCCCUCCAUAAUUAAAACACUCAACCUUUUUCCCUUUAGAAGACUUAUCAGAUAUUUUUCCAUUUUUUAGUCUUGUUUUCUAUUGGUCAUUUUAUGAAAAGCUAAUGCUCUUUAAUACGUUUUUCCUAUAUGAGCCAGUUCUUCCUUACCUACACUUUCAAAAAUUUCAGACUCUUUUUCCUUAUUCUUAGAAGCCUUAAAAAUGAACUCUUUAGGCUUGUAAGAAUCUGGAAGAGUUAUUUUGCAGGUCUAACGAGAACCAACAAGUUCAUCAACUCUCAUAGAGUCAACGUCCUUGUUUUCUACUAUAGUAGUGACCUUAAACCUCUCAAGAAGGGAUCUUAAGAUUUUUCUAACAAUUUUAGACUUAGGAAUCUUUUUUCUUGGGUUAAAGAUAAAAUUCACAAUAUCACUUAAUUCAUAGUAGAAUACAAAGAAAUUAUGAUUCUCUUGCAUUGUAAGGCUUUCAAACCUAGAGAUGGGUAUUUAAAUUUUAGACAACUUUAUUGUUGAAGUGCCCUUGUGAGUUACUUCAAGAAUGUCUCAUGCCUUCUUAGCAUGCUUGCAUGUGGCCAUCUUGCAAAACUCGUUAAGGCUCACCUUAUUAUAUAUGUUAAAGAGAGCCUAAGCAUUUACCUCACUCUCCUUAUUAUCAAUCUUAUCUCAUUAUUGUUUUGAGUUUUAAUUCACCAAUAGAUCUCCCAGUCACAUCUAAUUUUAAUGGGGGUCUCUAACUAUAUUCUACUACAUUCUAAACCCUUUCUCCUUGCAUUUUUAGAAACGACUCCAUUCAAGCCUUCCAAUGGGGAUAGUUAUUCCCAUAAAAAAUAUGGUGGAUUGUUUAGGGUUGCCCCACCUUUGUUGUUCCAUGUUGGACUUGUAGCAUCAAUAAAAAUAUGAUUUUAAUUUAGAAAACUAGCUCUAAUACUAAUUGAAAAACCUUUUUCUCAAUAUGAUAACACCCAAAGGGGGGUGAAUAGGUGUUUUUUUUUUUAUAUAAAUAUUUUAAUAUAAAAGUUGAAAAACUUACUUAUGUAUUUCAUAUGGAAUUUUUUUCCACUACAAUUUCCAUUAGUUGGGAUUUUUUGUUCCUUGUUCAAUUUGAGUAAGUUCGAAAAAGACAAACGGAAAAAAAUAAUGAGGAACUGAGGAGUGGAGAAGAGAAUAGGUUAAGGAUGAAGAUGACAAUGGAGAUGGUGGGAGAGGAAAUAAGGUUUAUUUGUUAAUUAUAAAUGAAGGGAAAUAAAGGAUACACAGUUGACAUGAGAAAUAAAGUUGAGAAUUAAGACAAAUGUUGCAACGACAAGAAUCCGGCAUGCCAUUAAUCAUAACAAAGGAGAUUGUACAAAGGAGGCGUGGAAUGGAGUGAAAUUACAUAUUGCAUUAAUUAAUACCGUAUUAUUAAAAAAAAAAGGUAAAAUAAGUUACAACAAAAUGUGAUCCCGGCUUUUAUAACUAUAAAGAUAAGUACUUUCACGUGCUUUCCCAUACUACGAUGAAUUAGAGGACUAGGAUCGGAGGCAAAGGCAAGGGAAAAUGACAUUGCCAAGAGUGCGAUGCAUGCGAAGGUGUUAAUGCCCAUCUUCUUCAUGUUCAUGCAAUGUAUUCUCAAGAAAUCCUUCUUUGAGGAAAGAGAAACCAGUAAUUUACUAUUGUAAUGAACUGCUUUGGUAGCCAGAGUUUGUUUUUUCUGUGGAUUCGUUAUGAGGGUUGGUUGUCUAUUUAAAGCUGAAGAGUCUAUGAAAUAUUAUUCAACCUUUGAAAUAGUCUUGUAUUAACUAUUCAAAUCUAAAUAAAAGACAAAUGAUUGAAAUUACCAAGUCCUCAAAGUUUGUCUUAGCCCAUUAACUUCUAUAACCAUUUAAAUGUUGUAUAUAGCAACCAACAACUUCAGUCUUGCUAUGACAUUUCCAAUUUGUAAAACUUGUGUUCCAUACCAGUGCCCAUAAACGGCACAGACUUAUAUAUGAGUGAAUGAAUUAAUGUUGGUGUGAGUGCAAUGGUAAUUUUAAUAACCAAGCAUGGGUUUGGUGGUAUCCCAAGAAUGCUAUAUAUUACGAAAGAGCAUCAAAAUACGUUCACACAAGCUAAAGCUUCAUUUGUGAAUGUUAUGUAUGUGAACAAGUUCAAAAAAUGCAGCAUCAAUCUUAUAUUUGCAGGAGAUCAACAUAAUUAAAUACCAAUGUUGUCGGAUCUUCUGGGGAAUUUAGGUGACAAUGGGUCGGUAGUACUAGAAGACACUGAUGGAAACCGUAGGAGAAGACGUGAUGAUUCCCUACCCAAUGCAGUGGAGGAGCCACAAUAUAAAAGAUUGAGAGCACCCAACACUGAUCUCUCGCUUUGAACUCCCAUGACUAGGUGCAUUAUCAACCCUUUUCUAAUAUUCUAACUUCUCUCUUUUUAAAUUAUUGACUUAAAUUGUAAUAGUUAUCUCAACUUCUUUUCUCUUUUUGGUUCAUUAAGGCUAUAUUUGGUUCUUGGGAAACUCUGAAAGAAUACAAAGAAAGAAAAUAAAAAGAAGUAUGAGAGAAGAAAAAGUAAAGGAAAAUAAAAAAUAGAUUUAAAGUCAAUAAACUAUUUGUAUACUUUUCUUCAUUUCACUUGUUUUCCUCCGUUAUAUAAAAAUUAAAUAAUUUUAAAAUAUAUAAAUCUCUAAUCAAUUUUAAUUAUAUUUUAUUUUCUUUCAUAUUUUUUUUAUAAGAAAAUCAAACAUGAGAAAAUAAUUUUUCUUAAUAUUUUUUUUUCUUUUCUAAGUACUUUCCAAGAUUCAAGCAUAGUUUAAAGGUUAUAGUGAUUGAUAUCGUGAGUAUGCAUGUACUAUAUAUCAUAGAAUUUUUUCAUUUAAAAAAAAUAUGAAAAAUAACUUCGGUUAACUUUAAAAGUCAUCUUCAGUUUAAAAACCACAUAUAACAUAAAUAAGGUAGACUGAACUACUUUUUCUUUUCAUUAUUCAUUUAUUUAGUUUGUUAAAUAAAAACCUCUACAAAGUGAUUACGAAGCUCCUUGAAUUCUUCAUUACCUUAUUAGACAUAACAUUAAUUAAUUAAUUAAUUUUUUCUACUUGCUUUUAAGAUAAAAUUUGAAUAAGUUGAUUACUACUCAAAAAGUGCUAUUUGAUAGCUUGUAAUUAACUCUUUUAAACACUUUUGAGUAGUAGUUAUUGCCUUUUAACCCAAUUAACAUGUUAAGGACCCUUGCAAUCAAUUCUAAUCAAAUUGUGUUAAGUUUUGGUGUUUUGAUAGCCUUUUGAUCACCAAAGCAAUCCGAGAUUGAGGAGAGUUAUGUGGAAUCCUUGGAAAAGCAAUGAAAAACUCAGAAAUAUGAAGACCCAAAGCUUUGAAGUCCUAUGCCAUAAGUAAAACCGGAAUGCAAGGAGAGGAAGCAAAGAGAAAUCUGCCAUGAAGCAUAUUCUUGAUGAUAGUAAUAUCAGACACUUUUGGAGCACUUUAUGAAGUCCAAUUUAUGCAUGCUAUGUGUCAUUUCGAAGCUCAGGAAGUCAACAAUCUAAUGCUUCAAACGGUGCGCAAUUCGGAGUUGAAAUGAAGGAGUUACAGCCAUUACAAGUCAAUCACUCUAAGCUGAAGGAAGAAAUUUACAAAGUGUUGCGAAAUCACCCUUUUGUUGCGAAAUGAUUUUGCAGCCUUUUUGCACAGUGCUGUGGAAUUCCUCCUGAAGUUUCCCGAUAUAUGCGACACGUUGGAAGCUGAGCACCGCAUGCUGAAGGCCGACUUCGCAGCGCUGCGAGAUUAGCCUUUUGCUGCGAAGUGAUUUCGCAGCCCUUUUUGUGUAUCUGCGAAAUCUCGUAGACAUCAUUUUCACUUGCGAAAUGAUCCUUAGUGCGCCCCGAUAUUUGUAACCGACACUGGGAGAUAUUUUUCAUCAGAUUUUUGUUGUCUAAAUCCCAAAAUUCUCCUUGUAAGCCACCAAUUAUAAGAUUCCUUAGCUUUUAAGUUAGGAAAAAGAGUAAAUAUCCAUGUAAUAAUUAGUAUUGUAUUUUGUUGAUAUAAAUAGCUCUCGGGAACCUGUUCUCAGGGAGGAACCCUUUUGUAACAAAGUUGGAAAGCAAGUAAAAUUCAGGACCUUUGUUUUGCCUUACCUUCUCACUUUGUAUUUUUCAUUUUUUACUAAGUUAUGCACUCUCUGAGGAAGUUUCCCCAGAGAAUGAGUAACUAAACCUUUAGUUCCUUGGAGCUAAGGCUGCCGGGAAAGGUUCCAAGUGCAAGAAUGCAAAGCUUUGUGGUUUCAGCCAUGAAUGAAGAGGAAGUGAAACCCUUUAGUGAUUUCUAUGUUUUUAGUUAACUUAAAACACCUUAGAGUCACCUAGGCCAACACUUGGUAAGGCAAGUGAUCUCCGACCAUGGAGGUGCAGCCUCUGUGAGGUGACUUGAAGGUAGGAUUUUCUGGAAUUGCCAACACUUGGUAAGCUUUUGGACUCCAAGGAGACAUCCAUUAGUUAUCUCUUGCGAGCUUGAGAAGGGAAGUCCAAGGUUAAAGAUCACCUUGAAUGGUUAAGGCUUAGUGAGAGGCUCGAACCAUUGCAAGUUGCAUCAGUGAGAGAAUCAAAGCUGAAAUCUAAUUAAAGGAUGUAUCUGUACAACACCGGUUAGAGAAUUGACUAUAUGUUAAUUCUCUAACGCGAGGAAAUGAACCAACUGACCGAAGUUAUGUCUUUUGCAUGAGGAACCUCCCCAGUGAACCUGACCCUCCAAGGAAUGUUUUUCUUCCUAAGUAAUUUCCAUUACUUGCUUUGCAGUUAGUUUAAAUCUAAAUCUUUACCAACCAAAGUUUGUGUUUUAUUUCUUAAGCUAACCUUGAAAUGAAACAAUACCAAUUCACUUUGAAUUGGUAUCAUUGAUAAUUUGCUAACCCUUCCCAGUGAACGAUCCUAGAGCCGCUAUGCUAUAGUAGCUUUUUCUUUGCUACCCUAGUAUAUGGUGUAAUAGGUUAUAAAUUUUGUUGAUUACUCCCUCAAUCAAGGAGCACCAGCUGGACACGAAUCAGCUGAGACACCAAUUGGGCACGAAUCAAAUGGCGCCGUUGUCGGGGACAGGUGUCAAGUCUAUAGUGAUACCAUUUCAGAGCACUUGUGAUUUUCAUCACAAGUUUGGUAACAUUUCUUUCGCUUUACUAAUUCUCAUUCUUUCUUUAUUUAUUCAUAAUCCAAAUUUAUCUUUUAAAUUCAGCUUAGUUUAAUUUUGUUGUUGUAGCCCUGUUUCCUUUUGUUGUCAUUUAUUUUCAUUUAAGUUACAGAUAGAUACUAGUUGUGUAUGCCAAAUUGGAUACGAGACAGUGGAGGAAGGCUUGUUAAAUGUGAUACACCUCAUAGCAAGGAAUUCGAAUUGAGCUUGAAUAUCAUGGAAGCUACACCUGAAGAUCAGCAUAGUCACCAAGGUCGUCAAGACAAUCUCAAUGAAUUUAAAUCAAUGAGGGACCGCAUGCAUCCACCUCGUAUGAGUGCACCAUCAUGUAUAGUGCCCCCUACAGAGCAGCUAGUGAUCAGACCGUAUCUUGUUCCACUUCUACCAACUUUCCAUGGGAUGGAAAGUGAGAAUCCCUAUGCACACAUCAAGGAAUUUGAAGAUGUUUGUAAUACAUUCCAAGAGGGAGGAGCUUCAAUUGAUUUGAUGAGGCUUAAGUUAUUUCCUUUUACUUUAAAGGAUAAAGCCAAAAUUUGGCUUAAUUCUUUAAGACCAAGGAGUAUCUGCACUUGGACUGACUUACAAGCUGAAUUUCUCAAGAAAUUUUUUCCCACUCAUAGAACAAAUGGCUUGAAAAGGCAAAUUUCAAACUUCUCAGCUAAAGAGAAUGAGAAAUUCUAUGAGUGUUGGGAAAGAUACAUGGAAGCUAUAAAUACUUGCCCUCACCAUGGCUUUGAUACUUGGCUAUUGGUGAGCUAUUUUUAUGAUGGGAUGUCUUCUUCAAUGAAGCAACUCCUCGAGACAAUGUGUGGAGGAGAUUUCAUGAGCAAAAAUCCGGAGGAAGCUAUGGAUUUCUUGAGCUAUGUAGUUGAAGUUUCAAGGGGAUGGGAUGAACCAACCAAAGGAGAAGUAGGGAAGAUGAAGUCUCAACUGAGUGCUUUCAAUGCUAAGGCUGGGAUGUAUACCCUAAAAGAAGAUGAUGAUAUGAAAGCAAAGUUUGCAGCUAUGACAAGAAGAUUGGAGGAGCUGGAGCUGAAAAGGAUGCAUGAAGUGCAAGCUGUUGCUGAAGCACCAGUGCAAGUGAAGUUGUGUCCCAAUUGUAAAUCAUAUGAACAUUUGGUGGAGGAAUGCCCUGCAAUUUCAGCUGAAAGGGAAAUGUUUGGAGAUCAAGAAAUGUUGUUGGACAAUUCAAGCCCAAUAACAAUGCGCCUUAUGGAAAUACUUACAACUCAAGUUGGAGGAAUCAUCCAAAUUUCUCAUGGAAGGCCAGAGCAACUCAGUACCAACAGCCGGAUCAACCAUCUCAACAAUCUUCAAGUCUUGAACGAGCAAUAGCGAAUCUCAGCAAGGUAGUGGGAGAUUUUGUUGGAAAACAAGAAGCCAUCAAUGCUCAACUCAGUCAAAGAAUUGACAGAGUGGAGAGUACUUUGAAUAAAAAGAUGGAUGGAAUGCAAAAUGAUAUAUUCCAAAGGAUUGAUAAUCUCCAAUACUCAAUUUCAAGGCUCACAAAUUUGAACACAGUGCAAGAAAAGGGAAGAUUUCCUUCUCAACCCCACCAAAACCCCAAGGGUGUCCAUGAAGUGGAAAGCCAAGAGGGAGAAUCAUCACAGAUGAAAGACGUCAAAGCCUUGAUCACUCUAAGGAGUGGUAAAAAAAUUGAGAAGGCAACACCCAAGCUACAUGUUGAGAAAGAAGAAGAGACAAAGAAAGAGGAGGAAAUGAAAGACAAAAAGAAUGAGAUCAGUGAAAAGAAGAAGGACUAUGAUUCAACAAUGAAUGCAAUUCCAGAGAAGGAACUUCUGAAGGAAGAAAUGCUGAAGAAAUCAACUUCUCCACCUUUUCCUCAAGCAUUACAUGGGAAAAAGGGGAUUAGAAAUGCAUCUGAAAUCCUUGAAGUAUUGAGACAAGUGAAAGUCAAUAUCCCACUGCUGGAUAUGAUUAAACAAGUUCCAACAUAUGCAAAAUUCCUAAAGGACUUAUGUACUAUCAAAAGAGGGUUGACUGUAAACAAGAAAGCCUUCUUGACUGAGCAAGUAAGUGCAAUCUUACAAUGUAAGUCUCCUUUGAAGUACAAAGAUCCGGGAAGUCCUACCAUUUCAGUCAUGAUUGGAGGAAAGGUAGUGGAGAAAGCUUUGUUAGAUUUGGGAGCAAGUGUGAAUUUGCUUUCAUACUCUAUCUACAAGCAAUUGGGACUUGGAGAGUUGAAGCCAACAACAAUUACUCUAUCUCUAGCAGAUAGAUUAGUGAAAAUUCCAAGGGGAGUAAUUGAGGAUGUCUUGGUUCAAGUUGAUAAUUUCUACUAUCCGGUAGAUUUUAUUGUUCUUGAUACAGAUCCUACUGUAAAGGAAGCUAAUUUAGUUCCUAUCAUCCUUGGAAGGCCAUUUCUUGCUACCUCAAAUGCAAUCAUCAAUUGUAGGAAUGGGCUGAUGUAACUCACUUUUGGCAACAUGACACUUGAUCUCAACAUUUUUUAUAUGUCUAAAAAGCAAACCACUCCGGAAGAAGAAGAGGGUCCAGAAGAGUUGUGUAUUAUUGACACUCUAGUGGAGGAGCACUGUAAUCAGAAUAUGCAAGACAAGUUGAAUGAAAGUCUUGCGCAUUUUGAGGAAGGUUUGUCUGAACCCCCUAAUGUGCUUGCUACUCUACAAAGUUGGAGAAAGAUAGAAGAGAUUCUACCUUUGUUCAAUAAAGAAGAAGAGGCAGCUGCUGAAAAAGAAACUCCAAAACUCAAUCUGAAGCCUCUACCUGUGGAGCUGAAAUAUACAUACCUUGAGGAAAAUAAUCAAUGUCCUGUUGUAAUAUCUUCAUCUCUGACCAGUCAUCAAGAGAAGUGUUUAAUGGAAGUUCUCAAGAGGUGUAAGAAGGCAAUAGGAUGGCAAAUAUCCGACUUGAAGGGCAUUAGUCCUUUAGUUUGCACGCAUCAUAUAUAUAUGGAGGAGGAAGCAAAGCCAAUUCGUCAACUUCAAAGAAGAUUGAAUCCUCAUUUACAAGAGGUGGUGCGAGCUGAGGUGCUGAAGCUACUUCAAGCAGGUAUUAUUUACCCUAUAUCUGAUAGCCCUUGGGUGAGUUCUACUCAAGUGGUACCAAAGAAGUCAGGGAUUAUAGUGGUUCAGAAUGAAAAAGGAGAAGAAAUUACUACACGCCUCACUUCAGGUUGGAGAGUGUGUAUUGAUUAUAGAAAGUUGAAUGCUGUAACCAGGAAAGAUCAUUUUCCAUUGCCAUUUAUUGACCAAGUGCUGGAGAGAGUCUCUGGUCAUCCGUUCUAUUGUUUCUUGGACGGGUAUUCAGGGUAUUUUCAAAUUGAAAUGGAUGUGGAAGAUCAGGAAAAGACCACUUUUACAUGUCCAUUUGGAACGUAUGCUUACAGAAGAAUGCCUUUUGGUUUAUGCAAUGCACCUGUAACAUUUCAAAGAUGUAUGUUGAGUAUUUUCAGUGAUAUGGUGGAGCGAAUUAUGGAGGUUUUCAUGGAUGACAUCACCGUAUAUGGAGGUACAUUUGAGGAAUGCUUAAUCAAUUUGGAAGUUGUUCUUCACAGAUGCAUUGAAAAAGACCUGGUGCUCAACUGGGAGAAAUGUCAUUUUAUGGUACGUCAAGGAAUUGUCCUUGGCCAUAUCAUCUCCGAAAAAGGCAUUGAAGUUGAUAAAGCAAAGGUGGAGCUUAUUGUCAAAUUACCAUCCCCAACAACUGUAAAAGGAGUAAGGCAGUUCCUUGGCCAUGUAGGGUUCUAUAGGAGGUUUAUAAAAGGUUUUUCAAGUCUUUCAAAACCUCUUUGUGAGCUGUUAGCUAAGGAUGCUAAGUUUAUAUGGGAUGAAAUAUGUCAAAAUAGCUUUGAUCAACUGAAGAAAUUUUUAACAACAACUCCAAUAGUGAGGGCCCCUAACUGGCAACUACCCUUUGAACUGAUGUGUGAUGCCAAUGACUUUGCUAUAGGACCUGUGCUUGGCCAAAGAGAAGAUGGGAAGCCCUAUGUGAUCUACUAUGCAAGCAAAACAUUAAAUGAAGCUCAAAGGAACUACACAACUACAGAGAAAGAAUUAUUAGCUGUGGUAUUUGCCUUGGACAAAUUUCGUGCUUAUUUAGUGGGGUCUUUCAUCAUUUUUUUCACUGACCAUUCAGCCUUGAAGUAUUUAUUGACAAAGGAAGAUGCAAAAGCAAGGUUGAUUAGAUGGAUUCUUUUGUUACAAGAAUUCGAUCUCCAAAUCAGAGAUAAGAAAGGAGUGGAGAAUGUGGUAGCUGACCACCUUUCAAGGUUAGUUAUAGCACAUAAUUCCCAUGCCUUGCCUAUUAAUGAUGAUUUUCCUGAAGAAUCACUCAUGUUCCUAGUAAAAACUCCUUGGUAUGCUCAUAUUGCUAAUUAUCUAGUAACUGGUGAAAUUCCAAGUGAGUGGAAUGCACAGGACAGGAAGCACUUCUUUGCAAAAAUUCAUGCUUAUUAUUGGGAAGAGUCCUUCCUUUUUAAAUAUUGUGCAGAUCAGAUUAUAAGAAAGUGUGUCCCUGAAGAUGAGCAGCAAGGGAUUCUAAACCAUUGUCAUGAGAAUGCAUGUGGAGGCCACUUUGCCUCUCAGAAAACAGCCAUGAAGGUGUUACAAUCAGGGUUUACUUGGCCAUCUCUUUUCAAAGAUGCCCACAUCAUGUGUAGGAGUUGUGAUAGAUGGCAAAGGCUUGGAAAGCUAACAAAAAGAAAUCAAAUGCCUAUGAACCCCAUUCUAAUAGUUGAGUUAUUUGAUGUAUGGGGCAUUGACUUCAUGGGACCUUUCCCAAUGUCUUUUGGUAAUUCAUACAUCCUGGUGGGGGUGGAUUAUGUUUCUAAAUGGGUUGAGGCAAUCCCCUGUAAACAAAAUGAUCACAGAAUGGUUCUCAAGUUUCUUAAAGAGAACAUUUUCUCGAGAUUUGGGGUGCCCAAAGCCAUAAUCAGUGAUGGAGGUGCUCAUUUUUGCAACAAACCUUUUGAAGCUCUAUUAUCCAAGUAUGGAGUGAAGCAUAAGGUAGCUACACCUUAUCAUCCUCAGACUUUCGGGCAAGUUGAGCCAACUAACAGGGAAAUAAAGAACAUAUUGAUGAAAGUGGUGAAUUCAAGCAGAAAAGAUUGGUCUAUUAGGCUUCAUGAUUCAUUAUGGGCAUAUAGAACAACUUAUAAGUCUAUUCUUGGCAUGUCUCCCUAUCGUCUUGUCUAUGGCAAAGCAUGCCAUCUCCCUGUGGAAGUUGAAUACAAAGCUUGGUGGGCAAUAAAGAAGCUGAAUAUGGACUUGAUCAAAGUCGGAGCAAAGAGGUGUCUAGACCUUAAUGAGAUGAAGGAAUUAAAAAAUGAUGCUUAUAUCAAUUCCAAAGUUGCAAAAUAGAGGAUGAAGAAGUGGCAUGAUCAACUAAUCUCCAACAAAGAAUUUCAGAAAGGAUAAAGAGUUUUACUUUAUGACACAAGACUCCAUAUCUUUCCUGGAAAGCUCAAGUCAAGGUGGAUAGGCCCGUUCAUUAUUCACCAAGUAUAUGUCAAUGGAGUGGUGGAAUUAUUGAAUUCCAAUGGCAAAGACACCUUUAGAGUCAAUGGAUAUCGUCUCAAGCCAUUCAUGGAGCCAUUCAACCCAGAAAAUGAGGAAAUCAACCUCCUUGAGCCAUAAAAAGCCUAAGCAAAUAAGGGUUUGAUGGACUUGGUUUUACCACAGUCCAAAAUUUUUGUAAAUUUUGUAAAUUUCUGUAAAUUUUGUAAAUUUCAAAGUUUUUUCCAUACUUUUGAUCUUAAUUUUUUAUCUUAAAUUAUGUAUUUAUAUGUGUUUUAAUCUUUUUGAAUGAUCUCAGGUGGGAGAAAAUGCAAAGAAAUUGAAAGGAAGAAAUUGGAGAGAAAUCGGAGCAAGAACAAAGCACAAACAGAGUAUAAACAGAGCAAAAACAGGGCUCUGCGAGACUUCGCAGCCUAAGGAAAUCCUCUGCAAAAUUAGCACUUUGCUACUAAACCAUUCCGCAACUCAUUUGACUCCUCUGCGAAAAUUUUCGCAGCUGCGAAGCCGAUUUUGGCACACGAGUGCCAUUUCGUAGCACAAUGACACCUCUUUCGCAGCUGCGAAACGGUCUGCGAAGUGGGCUGCGAGAAUAGUUUUUUGCUGCGAAAUUGGCCUUCUUCUGCAAAACUCAAAAUGACUCUUAAUAUUCCGUUAUUUUUUAUAUAUACCGGUCAUUUGAGCUGCGAAAGGGUUUCAAAAAGAGGGCGCGCCAUAGUUGCUAACUGUUCAUCUCCUUGCCCGAGCUCGACGUCGUGCGAACCUCCGAUCAUCUUCUUCGAUCAUCACUUCCGCCCAAAUUUCGACAAUCCGAAAUGGCACGAACCAGAGGAGCCAAAUCUUCCUCUCCUUCCAGCCGUAAAAGAGUCCCGCGAGGGGAGCCUAUUCCAGAUCCCACCUCUGAACCUCCGCGGCCAAAAGCUGUUUCCACUCCGGCGAAGCCCGCGCUGCAAAAUCCUCCGGUGAGGCGUUAUCUCACUAGGUCAGGGGGUCGGCCCCUGCAAAAGAGAGCAAGAGUUGAAAGCUCAGAGCCCAUAGACUUAACAGAACAGUCCCCGGUUCCCUCCCCAGUUCCAUCUCCAGCGCCAUCUCCGGCGCCGCCAGCAGAGCCUCAGGAGCUCCAACCGCCACUUUCCGAACCCCAAAUUCCAUCUGAGAUAGCCCCUGAAGCGCUAAUCAGGCAUCCGAUGCUGACUCAACCACCAAUUGAAGGGAAUUUGGACUGCAGAGCUCGGCCAUUUCACUCUGAGUUGUGCUUUGACACAGCCGUCUUCCAAUUGCUACCGGAGCUUGCACAUUCAUUCCGCCUACUUCGAAGAUACCACAUGGAGCAUCUGCUGACCCCAAGAGACUUCUUCUACCCCAGAGUAGCCAUGGAUUUUUAUCAGUCCAUGACUACUAAACAGGUCAGGGAUCCUACUCUAAUCUAUUUUACUAUUGAUGGGCAGCAUGGCAUUUUGGGAGCUCGUCAUAUAGCAGAGGCCCUGCAUAUACCAUACGAGCCAAGCCAUUUUGAGGAUUACCGAGUGUGGAAUAGUCCCACUGAGCUGGAAAUGGUUCAUAUCCUAUCCAGAGGAGCUUCCACACGUCCACAUUUAUUGAGAGGGGAACUUCCUCCAAGCAUGUUUCUCAUUGAUGCAUUUCUGCGUCAUAACAUUUACCCACUGCAGCACUGGACUUAGAGGAGAGGAGUUCUUUUAAAGGCCCUGUUCAAGAUUUCUGAGGGAUAUUUCUUUGGCCCUCACCACCUAAUUAUGGCUGCUCUUCUCUAUUUUGAAGAGAAGGUGCAUAAGAAGAAGUUGCAGCGAGCUGAUGUCAUUCCACUUCUUUUUCCACGGCUGCUGUGUCAGAUUCUGGAGCAUCUGGGGUAUCCAUCAGAUCCUUAGUUGGAGCGCAAGCGCAUAUGCCGAGAGGUAUUUACUCUCGACAAAUGGAACAAUAUGACAGCGUAUAGAGUUGAGCAGCCAGAGCGCCCACAGCCAGCUGCUAGGAGAGCAUCUCCAUGACAUAUACCUGAGGGCAUACCCAUUGCUUCUCCUACCAUAUCUAGAGCUCCUCCAGUUACUCCAGCCUCAUCUGAGCCAUCUACUUCAGCUGAGCCGAGGAUGGCCAUUCCCAUUUCAGAAUAUAGAGAGUUAUGCCGCUCACUGCAGACCCUCACCGCAUCUCAGAGCAGCCUUGCUCAGGAGAUGGCAGCUAUUCGAGCAUGCCAGGAGUGGAUGUUGACCACCCAGGCUCAGCACACUGCCAUCUUGAGGCAGCUCCAGCAUCAUUUCGAUCUUCCAUCAGCUGCUGAGCACUCCACCCCCACCACUGCAGUGCCACACUCGCAGGCCACAGAGCCUCAGGCCCCUCCUAAAGCAGCUACUGAAGAGGCAGAGCCAUCUGCCUAAGCCAUCAGCUCCAGCACCAUCCACCCAUCUGAUCAUUUAUAUAUCUACUAUAUAUGUCUUUUAUGUAUUUCGUUUUUCUUAGUCUUUUAUGAAAUCCCAUUAUUUUGGUAUCAUAUAUGGGAUUGCUUGUAUUGUCUGCUUUCUAAUUGUACUCAAAUGAAUUCAAAGUAAUACAAGUCUAGCAUUUUUUUGUUAACCUUUAGCAUUAAUUUAUUCUUAUUUCCUUUUCUCACAUCUUUUAUUCUUUUUGAAACAUGUGGUUUCUCCAAUCAGUAUUCGAAAUUGAUGUCACUCAGGAGGUACCACUUCCUCCCUUUAAUUUCAAUCACCCAUAUCACAUUGAGGACAAUGCUCAGCUCGGUUGGGGAGGGGGGGAGAAAUGAGGAAGGAAGUAUGCUAAGUUAUUUUGGUAAUGCAAUUAUGUUGGUAAAUCAGUUGUAGGUUUUUUUUUACUCUUUACUCUAAUCUCCAUGGAUUUUGAGGAAAAAUUUUCAAAUUAAAACAGGAGAAACUGAACUGUUGCUUUUCACUUGACUUAGAGUUUGGAUUAUGCUCACUAAAGUGGUUCAAUUGUUGAAGCUUCUAUUGAAAUCGAGUUUAGUUCUUCCACUUUAAGCUAUCCACACACUGUGCACAAUAGGUUCCGAGUAUAAGAUGAAAAACUAUUUCCCUCUUGACUUAGGAAAAUUUUAGACUUGGUACCUUUGACCUCAUUUGAUAAAGUUGAGACACCUUGUAAAAGGCCAAUGAGUCUUUGAAAAAAAAAAAUUUUUGCUUGCCUUGAAACCCGAGCAAGGUCUGAGGGGUAUAUGGUGAAAAUCUUUAAAACCUGAUGCCCUAAGCCUUCAUUGGCUGGGAGUCACCGACCUCAAUGCUCGUUACAAGGGUGGAUAGGUGGAGUUAGCAUAUGGUAGGUGCUUGGGUAUUAAAAAUUCAUUCUCAAAAGUCCGAGGUAAAAUCCGAGGAGUUAGUGGUUGAAAGAUCCUUAAAGCUUGAUGCCCUAAACCUUAAUUGGUUGGGAGUCAUCGAUGGACUCCCGUUACAUGGACAAUUCAGAAAGAAUACCCCCUUUAAGCCUCUUUAAAAAAAAAAAAAAAAGUGUGUUCUUAUCUUAUUGAUUUUGGUCUGUUUGCUAAGUGUUGAAAAGAGAUAGGUUGGGGGGAGAGAUUAGUUUAGCAUACUAUAUUCGGAAGCUAAGGAAUCUUACACUUAGAUUUUUGUGGAAGAAUAAAGUUUGGUUCUUUGAAAGUGAAAAUGAUUUUAAAACUUCAGUUUGCAUAAUGCAUUCCCUUGAUUAAUAGUGUUUAGCAUAAUAUGUGAUAACUCUUGUUGAAAUUUGGAUUUAUAUUUCUUUAAGGUCUCAUGUGAGAGUUAGAUCAUCAUGCCACUUGAAAAUUGUUUUUUGAUCAGCAUGAUGUUGUAAAUUAUAGUUUAGUUUGCUUUUAUUUUUUUCUCUCUCCUUUAUUGCUAAAGGACUAGCAAUAUGUCGGUUGGGGGAGUGAUUACUACUCAAAAAGUGCUAUUUGAUAGCUUGUAAUUAACUCUUUUAAACACUUUUGAGUAGUAGUUAUUGUCUUUUAACCCAAUUAACAUGUUAAGGACCCUUGCAAUCAAUUCUAAUCAAAUUGUGUUAAGUUUUGGUGUUUUGAUAGCCUUUUGAUCACCAAAGCAAUCCGAGAUUGAGGAGAGUUAUGUGGAAUCCUUGGCAAAGCAAUGAAAAACUCAGAAAUAUGAAGACCCAAAGCUUUGAAGUCCUUUGCCAUAAGUAAAUCCGGAAUGCAAGGAAAGGAAGCAAAGAGAAAUCUGCCAUGAAGCAUAUUCUUGAUGACAGUCAUAUCAGCCACUUUUGGAGCACUUUCUGAAGUCCAAUUUAUGCAGGCUAUGUGUCAUUUCGAAGCUCAGGAAGUCAACAAUCCAAUGCUUCAAACGGUGAGCAAUUCGAAGUUGAAAUGAAGGAGUUACAGCCAUUGCAAGUCAAUCACUCUAAGCUGAAGGAAGAAAUUUACAAAGUGUUGCGAAAUCACCCUUUUGUUGCGAAAUGAUUUCGCAGCCUUUUUGCACAGUGCUGUGGAAUUCCUCCUGAAGUUUCCUGAUAUAUGCGACACGUUGGAAGCUGAGCACCGCAUGCUGAAGGCCGACUUCGCAGCGCUGCGAGAUUAGCUUUUUGCUGCGAAGUGAUUUCGCAGCCCUUUUUGUGUAUCUGCGAAAUCUCAUAGACAUCAUUUUCACUUGCGAAAUGAUCCUUAGUGCGCCCCGAUAUUUGCAACCGACACUGGGAGAUAUUUUUCAUCAGAUUUUUGUUGUCUAAAUCCCAAAAUUCUCCUUGUAAGCCACCAAUUAUAAGAUUCCUUAGCUUUUAAGUUAGAAAAAAAAGUAAAUAUCCAUGUAAUAAUUAGUAUUGUAUUUUGUUGAUAUAAAUAGCUCUCGGGAGCCUGUUCUCAGGGAGGAACCCUUUUGUAACAAAGUUGGAAAGCAAGUAAAAUUCAGGACCUUUGUUUUGCCUUACCUUCUCACUUUGAAUUUUUCAUUUUUUACUAAGUUAUGCACUCUCUGAGGAAGUUUCCCCAGAGAAUGAGUAACUAAACCUUUAGUUCCUUGGAGCUAAGGUUGCCGGGAAAGGUUCCAAGUGCAAGAAUGCAAAGCUUUGUGGUUUUAGCCAUGAAUGAAGAGGAAGUGAAAUCCUUUAGUGAUUUCUAUGUUUUUAGUUAACUUAAAACACCUUAGAGUCACCUGGGCCAACACUUGGUAAGGCAAGUGAUCUCCGACCAUGGAGGUGCAGCCUCUGGGAGGUGACUUGAAGGUAGGAUUUUCUGGAAUUGCCAACACUUGGUAAGCUUUUGGACUCCAAGGAGACAUCCAUUAGUUAUCUCUUGCGAGCUUGAGAAGGGAAGUCCAAGGUUAAAGAUCACCUUGAAUGGUUAAGGCUUAGUGAGAGGCUCGAACCAUUGCAAGUUGCAUCAGUGAGAGAAUCAAAGCUGAAAUCUAAUUAAAGGAUGUAUCUGUACAACACCGGUUAGAGAAUUGACUAUAUGUUAAUUCUCUAACGCGAGGAAAUGAACCAACUGACCGAAGCUAUGUCUUUUGCAUGAGGAACCUCCCUAGUGAACCUGACCCUCCAAGGAAUGUUUUUCUUCCUAAGUAAUUUCCAUUACUUGCUUUGCAGUUAGUUUAAAUCUAAAUCUUUACCAACCAAAGUUUGUGUUUUAUUUCUUAAGCUAACCUUGAAAUGAAACAAUACCAAUUCACUUUGAAUUGGUAUCAUUGAUAAUUUGCUAACCCUUCCCAGUGAACGAUCCUAGAGCCGCUAUGCUAUAGUAGCUUUUUCUUUGCUACCCUAGUAUAUGGUGUAAUAGGUUAUAAAUUUUGUUGAUUACUCCCUCAAUCAAGGAGCACCAGCUGGACACGAAUCAGCUGAGACACCAAUUGGGCACGAAUCAUAAGUUACCAAAAUUAGUUAAAGAUCAUGUACGCAAAGUAGAAGUUAAAUUUGAAUGUAUUAUGAGAUAGAUACACGUAGAAACUUACUCGAUGGAAGUAAAUAAUAAAACCCCAUCUAUUGAUUUUAAUAGUUUUAGAGUCAUUGUUUAUAGUUUUUGUAUCUAAGAAUUAAAUUUCUUUAAGUAUGCUAAAACAUGUUUAAACAUGCAUACUUAUGGUCUAUCUCCUGAGAUGGAAGUCUUUGAUUAAUCUUAUAUUUACUUAUGAUUCCGAUAUGUAGAUGAAGUUUACCUAACCAUUAAUCAUACUAAUCUUAAGUGAAAUUUGUGAUAGUAUUGAGCGGAAUGAAAUCCCAUGUGGUAGUUGCAUGAGCAAUAAGGUUUAAAGUCCUUUGUUCCAAGAAUGAGGAGUUAUGGUUUUUCCUAUCAACUUAUUGGUAAGUUAUUUUUUUUUCAUUUAUCCUUUUAGUAUGUAUAGGAAAAUGAUUGAAGUUCCUCAACUUCUUUACUAUUUUCUCUUUCCUUUGAUCCCUUUUCUCUUCAGUUAUGUUUGCUUCUCGGAAAACUUGAGGGAAAACGUAAGAAAAAGAAAAUAGAGAGGAAAACUAAAAGGAAAUAAAAAGUGAAGAAGAAUAAAAACUAGAUUUAAAGUUAAUCAAUUAUUUUCAUAAAGAUUAAAUGAUUUUAAAAUCUAUACAAUUCUAACUAAUUUCAAUUAUAUUUUUCUUUUUUUCAUAUUUUCACAUUGAAACCAAACAUGAUAAAACCAUUUUCUUUGACAUUUUUUAUUUUUUCCUUGGUACUUUCGGGGAACCAAACAUAAGUUUAAUGUUUUAGGAGGUAAAAAAAAAAAAAAAAUUGUAGUGCAAUCCACAAUUAACUAGGAUAUAUACUUGUUCCCAUGUGCUUGGUACAAGGCACUAAGUAUCAUUAUAUCAAAUCCUCCAUCUACUGCAUAAGAUUUAAUUUUAUAAAUUUCUUGCUACUAAUAUAGGUAAACAACAAUUUACAUAUGCUUGAAUUAAUUCCUUAAGUCAAUGGUUAACACCCAUGACAUAUUUUUAGUUCCUUGAUGAUUAUGUUAUAAUUUAAACAUUUUAGAAGUAGGAUUCUAGCUUCAUUAGCAUGAACUAUACCUAAUGAUAUGUGAUUCCCUAUCACUAUAUUUGGUUCCAAGGAAGAAAAAUCCUCAUGAAAAAGGAUUUUCUCAUGAAAAAAUCCAAGAAAUUAUGAAGGAGCAUGAAAAUGAUUCUUGGAAAUCAAACACAACCUCGUGAAAUAUACUUGCAUUAAUAAUUAUAUUAUUUGUUUGUUGUACUAUAUUUAUGAAAUUGAAAUCUUGCUUUUUAUAAUUUAUCUUUAGGUGGAAACCCUAAGGACAAUGAGGAGAAGGUCUACUCUUGUAUAUGAUUAGUCUCGCUUACGUUCAUGACCAUAAGGAAAGAUGCUACAAUUUGUGCAUUGAAAGUGUGAAUUAGGAAUGUUGAAAAAUGAAAACUUGAAUUGAUAUAUGUUUUUGCCUAUAAGAUGUGUGGUAAUAGUAAAUUUUCGUGGGUAUCUAAUUAACCUUAAUAUUGCAUAUGAAGCAUAUAUAUCUUUUUAACUGGUUGGAGCUCUUAUAGAAGGUGAAAGACAAGUGUCACAGAUUUAAGUAUUUCCGAAACUCUCAUGCGGUACUUAGACAAUUCAAGUCGCUUGAAAUUACUAAGUCCUUUAGGUUAUGAAAAAGGUCUCUAUCACAUUUCACACAUAUUAUGACCAUAACAUUUUAACUCCAAGUGUUUAUUUUAAAAUACUUUUGCAUUAAACUCCUUUCCAAAAGUAUUAAAUUAAUACCAUUCUCUAAUCUUCCUUUGCUUGGUUUGUCAACUUCGGGUUAUUACCCUCCAGAGCCAACUUUCAACUUAAUCAAUCCAACACAAUUGUUAUUGAUUCAUGGUCAAUUAACAAAUUCUCUAAUGUUAUGAUUGGUUUUUGAAAAAUUUGAGGAAAAAAAAAUAAAGAGAAAAAGUAGAAGAAAAUGAAAUAUGAAGGAAUAUAAAAAAUUAUAUUUAAAGCUAAGAAAUUAUUCUUAUUUUUUAUUUUAAACCCAUUUCACAUACAUAUAAUUUUAAUAAUAUUUAAAUUUUAUUUUAUUUUCCAUGGAGAUGCCAAACAUUAAAAAAUUAUUUUCCUUAAUAUUGUUUGGGAAUUAAAUAUGACCUAAUUACUUAUCAUUGUGUAAAUGGCUUAAGAUACCAAUAAUAUUAUUGAUGUUGUGUGAAUAGGUUAAGAUACUAAUAAUACUUCUUAAUAGAUACCCGUAUACGUGUGUGGAAUAUUCAUGGUUCAAUAUUGUCACUACCUUACAAUUGUGGACUCCAAUUAAAUAUUAUGAAUUAAUGAUGCAAUCUUUCUUCAAACAUAUAUUGUCAAUUAAGUUAAAAUGGUUGAAUUAUUUCAAUUGGUCAAACCUCAAUAUUCUAGAUAUUUCUACUUAGAUUAAUUAAGGUCUUCAUGAGUUCACUUUAAUUCUUUGCUUCUAAAUUUCAUCUAUUAAGGUAUCUUAGAUGCUUCCCUGUUUUACUUAGUCUUGUAAUUGAUUAUGAAAUUAUUGUAGACCAAAUGAUAUUCAAAUUAUUUAUUUUAUAGUUGUUUUUUCACUUGCUUUAGAGCUAAGAUUUUAUAAACUAGUUUUUAUCUUUUCUUAACUUUUUAUUUUCUUAUUCUAGAACACCCCAAUUAUAUCUUAUCUUGAACUUUCAAGGAAUAAAGUCAUUUGCUUUUGAUUGUGUUAUUUUCUUUAAAAGAGAAACUAAAAAGGGAAAGAUCCUAGUAUGUAGUUGAAAUAAAGAAGGAUUUUGGGCUAAAAUUAACAUAAAAAAUAUAUUUUGACAAUGUGAUUUUAAAUAUCUUUUAGACGCUAUUUGGUAAACUAACUUAAUAGCUUAAUUUGUUAUUAAGUGGAUUAACCAUGUUUGAUAAAAUAACUGAAUGUUAUAACAUAAAGUUAGUAUUAAGCCAAAAUAAUCAACUUGAGGAUGUUUGAUAAAUCGAUUUAAUGACUUAAUAACUUAAUUUAAGUCAUUGAAAAGAUUAAGCAUGGUUGGUAAAAUAACUUAAUAUUACAAUUUAAAGUAAUAAGCCAAAAGGGUUAAUUUCAUUAAGACCCCCUAAGGUUUGCUGCAAAUACACUCGACCAUCGUUGGUUUCAAAUUUCAUCACUUAGCACACCUAUAAAUUUAUUUCAUUUAUAAAAUUUAUUUUUUGAGAAAUCUCAGGUAAAACUGUUUUACAUAUGAGUUUUUAACAAUUCACUAAAACCUAAAUUUCAUUCUUUAAAAAAUAAAAUUUAUAUAUAAAAUACAUUUAUAAAGGUGCUAACUGAUGAAAUUUGAAACUUGCGGUAAACCUGAAGUAGCCUCAAUAAAAUUAACCUAAGUUAAAAUAGUUAACUUAUUUUUAAUCUCAAAUCAUUUUUGCCUUAUUUGCCUACAUUUAUGAUUCAUUUUUUAUAAUAAAUAUUUUAUGAUUGUAUUAUGUACAAUACUUUAAAUAUGAAUAUUUAAUAAAUAAAAUUAUUAUUUAAGAUUAGUGAAAAUAUAAUUAUUAGUUAAAAUUAAUAGGGGUAAAUAAGUCAAUUUGACAACUUAGAAUAAAUCUUAAAUUAACUUUACCAAAUAAUCUUAAUACUUAAGGAAAAAACAUAUGUAAUAAGUUUUAAGUUAAUAACUUAAAAACCAUUUAACUUAAAAUCGACUUAAGUCAUUAAGUAAUAAGUGUUAAAUUUUACUAAAUACUUACUUAAAUAUAUAAUAAUAAAGCUUUUAAAGGAAUUAUUAAAUCAAAAGAUAAAUAUUAAAAUAUAAAAAAUGAGAAAGAAAAACAAAUAAAAAGGAACAUGCACAAUUGUAGACCCUCGAUUUUGUCCUCCUAGCACAUGUCCUAUUGGAUACUUGUUCGAUACUUCAUAGUAGUUCCUUGGUGGCCCAUAGCUACUCACACUACUUACCUUUCUUGAGUCACCUUGGAGACUCUGGUUGAAGGAUUGUCUAACCCCUUUAUUGUGACCCUUGGCAGUUUUGAUUUAAACUUAAGCUUUCCAUUCCUUUUUAGGAUAGUUCUUAGACAUGUUUAGGUCACUUAGACAAUAUCCCCAUCACUUUAGGACACUUAGUUCAUUAGGCACCCUAGGCCCAUUUAGAUACACUUGGCCCAUUAGACACCACCUUAGGCCCAUUUAGAUGCACUUAGCACCUUCUAGCUUGCACACAUUCACCCUAGGUUACUUAGACAGUCUUUCAGAAUAGGUCAUAGAGACACUUCUUUUGACAUAGUUCACUUAGGCAUGAUCUUGAUUUUGGUUACUUAUUUUUUCGGGAUAAGAUGAGUGUUGACUUGACUUUUUAUUGCAUGAAUGAAUUUUCUGAUUUUUAAUGGUUUGAGUUUGUCAUUUAAAUUAUUAUAAUCCGUUGCAUUAAUUUAAUUUCUUGAUUUUUCCUAAUUGCAUACAUCUAAUAUUUAUUUUUAUACUUUUAUCAAUUUAUUUGUUUAUUUACCUACUUAUUUAUUCAUUCUUUAAUCCCAUAAAUUGAUAUCUUGGAUUUUGUCGCUAUGUGAUUUGACAUUUUAUUUUAUUUCAUUUUAUUUCAUUAUAUUUCAUUUUGAUCAUAACUCACAUUUCUUAUUUCAAUUUUAUUUUUAAUUUUUGCAUGAGACUUGGAGCCAUCAAGGAGAGAAGAUCACGACCAAAUAAAGAGACUUGGAAAGAAUCCUGUAAAAAAAAAAAAGGAAGAUAUCACCAUGCAAGGAUGGUAAAUGGCCAGCACGCAUGUGAAAGAUCUGGACAGUCCACAUAUUGAAGGAUCCCUACGGUUGCAAGGUGGGAGCAGGUAUGGAAGGAAGGAUUUUUUGCAGAUUCUUGAGGAACUAAGGAGGGGUUCUGAUGGUGCUGGACUUUUUUUUGGAAGAGAAAGAUGAUCAGAUUUUUGAAAGGAUACACGAGAUUGUUGAGGGGAAAUAUGACCAGAUUUUGGAAGGGGGUAUGAUGGGAUUUUUGAAAGAGGGAUGCACCAGAUUUUUGAAGAGGGAUGCACCAGAUUUUUGAAUGGAGAUGCACCAGAUUUUGGAGAGGAGCGGACACCGAUUCUGAUCAGGAUGAAGGUACAAUUGCACCAUUGGGAAGACGACCACCAACCAGCCGCACCAUUUUUGAUACAUUUUCAGCGCGCAUUGAAGAGAGGAAAGGAAAAUUGACAGCAACAUUGGCAUCCCGAUUCCUGAACCUCUAUGAUUGGUCCACCUCCAAUUUGCACAUCAAUUCUUCAUCCACAUGCUGCCAUAAGCAAAGCAGCUGCAUCCUUGAAAGAGUUGGGCACAACACGCACUCCGCAUGAGAAAACACAGUACAUGCAUGAGGAGAAGUGGACAUGCAGUCCACCAUUAGUGCACAAUAUGCAUAUAGUGGGCUAUGAGGAGAUUCUUUUUGUUUUUUUUAGAAAGAAAAGUCAACAUGGUAAGGAUUUGAUUACUUACCAAGGAGGACACAUGGCUGCAUCCUAUAGAAUCUCCAAGUGAGUCACCACAUAUGCACUUUCCAUAUAUCCGCGGAGAUUAAAAAAAAGAAACAAAGUAUUCCAUGGAAUGGGAGGCUGCCGUUUGGGAGGAGAUGAAGAGGAGUUUUGAAGGGAUUAGAGGCGGCUGUUUGGAAAGGAUCAACCUGCGUUUUGAAGCGUGAGAGGCUGUUGUUUGAAGUGGUCGGAUGAGGGAUUUUUUUAGGGCGCUUGAGAGAAUAUAUUUUUUCUUUAGCAGAGAGGACAGGCAUGGGAGACUUUUCUUUUGGAGGGCAGAGAUGACACGAGAGAAAUUAUUUUGAGAGGAUGCGCGAAGAACUUUGAGGAGCCGACACAUAACCAUAAAAAAGAGAAGAGCAACCCACAAAAUCUCCACAAAUAACGGUUUAUAGGUAAGUGUACGCUUUCAAAUUUAUUUUUGAUUUCGUUUUGAUCCAUCCUUUUAGUCUUGAGUGUUUUAAUGAUUUUAGUUCUUUGAUUUAAUUAAUCCUAUAUAAUAAAUUUCUUGUUUUAAUUUCGAUUUAGUUUUAAUUUAUUUUUCUUUUUUAGUUUGGAUGUGUUUGUAGUUUUAAUUCUUUAGUUUAAUUUAUCACAUUAGAUAAAGUUCCCUUUUUUUUAUUCCAAUUCGAUUUAAUUUAAAUUUAUCUUUUAUGUUUAGAUGUGUUUGUAGUUUUCUUUAAUUUAAUUGUUUCUAUUAUAAAAGUCCUUAUUUUUAAUUUUGAUUUAGUUCAAUUUUAAUAUAUUUUUUAUGUUUAGAUGUGUUUGUGAUAUUAAUUCGUUAGUUUAAUUAUUUCUAUUAGAAAAGUUUUUGUUUUUAAUUUUGAUUUAGUUCACUGUUAAUCUACCUUUUAUGUUUAGUGUUUGUUGUUUUAAUUCGUUAGUUUAAUUGUUCCUAUUAGAAAAGUUCUUAUUUUUAAUUUCAAUUUAGUUUAAUUUUAUUCAAUCUCAUAUGUUUGUGAUUUUAAUUCGUUAGUUUAAUUAUUCCUAUUAGAAAAGUUCUUAUUUUUAAUUUCAAUUUAGUUCAAUUUUAAUCUAUCCUAUAUGUUUUUGUGAUUUUAAUUCGUUAGUUUAAUUAUUCAUAUUAGAAAAACUCUUAUUUUUAAUUUCAAUUUAGUUCAAUUUUAAUCUAUCCUAUAUGUUUAGAUGUGUUUGAGAUGUUAAUUCAUUAGUUUAAGUAUUCCUGAUAAAUAAAGUUCAUAUUUUUAAAAUCCCAAAUUAGUUUAAUUUUAAUUUAGUUAUUAGUUUAAAUAUGUUUGUGAUUUUAAUUCCUUAGUUUAAGUAAUCUGCGAGAUAAAGUUUAUUUGUUUAAUUCUGGAUUAAUUUAGUUUUAGUUUAUAAUUUAAUUUGAAUGCGUCAAUGAUUUUAAUUCCUUAGUUUAAAUAAUUUGUGAGAUAAAGUUUACUUUUUUAAUUUCGGAUUAACUUAGUUUUAGUUUAUAAUUUAAUUUGAAUGUGUUAGUGAUCCUAAUUAGUUUGAUUUUAAUUCGUUUUUAGUUUAAAUAAUCACGCUAAAUAAAGUUUGUGUUUUUAAUUUCAAUUACUUUAAUUUUAAUUCAUUUUUAACUUAAAGGCAUUCGUGGAUCUUCAUUCUUUAGUUUAAAUGAUUGUAUCAAAUAAAGUUUGAGUUUUUAAUAUUCUAAUAAUUUUUUUAAGUAAAAUUUAAUUUCAAUUUAGUUUGAUUUUAAUUUAUUUUAUAAUCUAAAUGCGUUCAUGAUUUUAAUUCAAUUGUUUGAUUAACCCUCUUAGACAAAUUCCAUAUUUUUAAUUUUGAUCUUAGUUUAAUUUUAUUUUGUUAAUUUAUUUAUUUGCUUUAGUUUAAAUAUAUUUGUGAUUUCAAUUUGAUAGUUUAGCCAAUCUUAUUAGAUGAUGAUGAUGUCCUUAAUUUAAUCUAGUAUUAAUUAUUUUUAGUAUUGAAUGUGUUUGUGUGUUUUUGAUUUCAUUAACUUUGAAUUUAAUCCGUUUAUAUCCAAUUUUGCAGUUGAUUAUAAUUUUGUUUAAUUAAUUAAGUCAAUCACGUGUAAUUACUCUCAUGUUUUAAGUAUGGUAAUUUUGGCUUUGAUCUAUUGACAUUUAGUAUGAGCUUUAGGAAUUUUAGAUAAUCAAUCCAGUUAAUUGCAUGUCAUUGUUUUCAUACCUUCAAGAUUGUUGAACUUUGGUCUUUGAUUUAUCAUAUUUUGUUAAAAUGCUAAUUUACCUUAAUUGAUUCCAUAUUAUUAUCUCUAUAUGCUAAGUUUGUUGGCUUUAAUAUUUGAUUGGUUAUUUUUACUUUAAUUCAUGUGUCUCUUGAAAUCCAAAUGUUAGUCUUGGGUAAUAUUUUGUUAGUUUGUUUGAUUAGGAAGUCAUAAAUUUGAUGCCUUAGUGAUUGUUAGUUAAAUUCUUAUUUUUUGAAGGCCAUUGGAAACUCAUGAAGGUUGAUCUUACCCUUACCACUUUAAUUGACAUGAUUUUCUAAAUCUUUAUUUUGUGAUUUACGCUUUCUUUUAUUUUGAUUGGUAUUUUGUUUUCUAUGUUUUAUUAUUUUAAAAAUUAAUUCCUUUUAUUUUAAAACCAAAACCUUUUCUCCAAAGACCCCUUUAAGAAAUUCUAUUUUUUUUAAAUUCAUUUAGAGUUCUUAGAAUCAAAAACCCCAUUUUCUUAAAAUAAUAUGCAACCAUUUUUUGAUCGGUUUGCAUCUUUCUCGGUUUUUAACAAAAAUUUUGGUUUUAAAUCAGACAUGAAUCAAAGCUCGUGGUCCCAUAUAAAUGGGAUAAUUCUAAACUAAAUUCGUGUAUAUCAAUUGGGGAAUUGGUGAAACCUCUACAUAAAAUAUAUAUAUAUAUAUAUAUAUAUAUAUAUAUAUAUAUAUAUUAAAAAUUCUUUUUUUACUACCACCUUUGCUACUUAUUAAAAUUGUGUUUAUCUUUUUUUUAAGAAUUCUAUACAAGACAUGUGUGAUGAUUGGUAAUUUAGUGUACUUCGAUCAUUUUUUUUGUUAUAUUAAUUAGAUGUGCAUGUUAGGAUUUUUUUGCUCUAUUAUUUAUUAUCUAACCUCUCCCUGUCCUGCGAAAGCAUGUUAUGAGUUAUAUAUGUUAUCCAGGUACGUUCCUUAAUACCCACUUUCUAAACCCUAUGAAUAUGAUUGUCCUUGCUUACUAUGCCCAUGCUAGCUAUCCUGUUUGAUUGUCUUGAUAUAUAUUUGAUGCUUGUUUGAUUAUCUCUGAUAGAACACAUGUUGUGAUAUAUUUCUAUACUAACUUUUAUGUUUUAUGAUAACGCUUGAGAAGUCGUUCAGGUACGCACUUUGACUAUCUCCUAUGAUCAGACUUUCUUGCUUGACAUACUAUUUUUUUUAAAAUCCUUAGCUUACUUAGGUAUCCGUGAUCAACCAUUUAAUUGUCACGUUUCCCUCAACUUAGUCAGUAGAGACCUUUAUAGGGCUUGAAAGGGUGCUACCUUUUAAAGGUACCUUCCCAAUAGGUAACCUGAUCCCUAGAUCUAAACUUGGGUUUUUCAAAGACAUGCUUUUUCCAAAAAUUAUGGAGUCACAUUUUAGGGUUUUUCUUUCUUGUUUUAUUUUCCCUUUAAAAUAAAAAUAAAAUAAGUGGUGACUCAUACCUUUUAGAGGUACCUUCCCAAUAGGUAAUCUGAUCCCCGGACCUAGACUUGGUUUUUUCAAAUACAUGCUUUUUCCAAAAAUUAUGGAGUCACAUUUUAGGGUUUUUCUUUCUUGUUUUAUUUCCCCUUUAAAAUAAAAAUAAAAUAAAUGGCGACUCCAACUUUUUUCAAAAUUAAUUUUUCACAAAUAAAAAGUGAGUCUCGCCGAUCAAGUGGGGACGCAGGUAAAAAAUGCGGGUCCACAACAGUGCAAAACAUCUCUUUUUAUUUAUUUAUUUAUUUUUAAAUCUCUCUCUCUCUUUUCUCACCAACAACAAAUAUUUAAAAAAAAAAUAUUUGAUGGUACAACAAACUUAAGAUAAUUUAUAACAUCAAUAAUAUAAUACAAAAUUAAUAUAUAGAGCUCUUUUCUUUGUCCUUUUACCUUUUCUACCCCCACACAACCUUUUGGUGCCAUAAAUAUAACUAAAAAACUAUUUUAAUAUUAAGAUAACAUAAACUAAUAUUUAAACAAUCAUAGAUUUUCAUCUUUCCCAAGAAAAAAUUGAAAACACGAAAUUUAUGUUUUCAAAUUUUCUAUUUUUAAAACUUUAGUUACUAAAAAAUUGAUUUAUGUUUUCCUUUUUGUAGUUUUCAUUUUUGAAAAAUGAUUUUCACUUCUUUUGAUUUAAGACAUUUUCAAGAUAAGAUAAAAAUAAAAAAUAAAAGUGUAGACCCCCCAUUUGGGGCCAUUCUGGCAGCUGCUCAUUUUGUCACGUGGAAGAGCCUUGCUCCACCACGUGUCUUCUCUUGAGAGGCUGGCACGGAAUCAAAUAGUGCUUUUGAAGGCCAAUUUGGGGUCGACACGUGUCAUCAUGGAAUCAGACAAAAAUCAUUUUUGGUUGUUAUUUGAGGGGGAAAAGCCAGCUGCAUGGAGGGGGUUGUCUGGCCGUUGGAGAGGUGCUUUUGGGAGGCUGCAGAGUAGUGGGACUGGAAGGGGGCUGUCUCUACAGAUAUGGUUAGAAGGGCAAAUCCGGAAGAAAAGAAGAAAAGGAGAUUCACAUUUGGGGGGGAGUCAAGUUUUGCUGCUGGAGAGAUUUUCUGAGUGUGGGGCUGCCGAGGAGAGAAAAAAAACAGAGAGAGAUUUUUAGUUUCAGAGGAAGAAAAACAGAGGAUGAUUCUGUCAGAGAGGAGGAGCGUAUGAGAGCGAGACUGAGAGAGAAAGAACGAGAGAGUUAGAGUUUUCCAGAAAGAACAGAGAGCUAAAGGGAGAAAAGAGAGAAAAAAAAAAAAAAGAAAUCAGGGGAGAGAGAGAGGAGUUCAGAGGUAGUUUCCAUUAGAGGAGGAGGAGGUUUUCUUAGCAGUCGAGAGAGAAAGUUAGCAGGGCAGGGGAGGAACCGCUCAGGUUUGAUCCUUCCUCACUUUAAAUUCUCCAUUAUUACUGCAUUACUAUGUUUCCGGCUGAUAUUGGAUACUUGCUUUGGUCAUCUAAGCUGCUAAACUUGCUUUUCAUUGUUGCUUGUUGAGCAUCUUUAUUUCUCUGUACCUAUUUACGAUGGUUACGCUACUUAUUUGCGUGUUACGAUUCUCCCACCAGUUUCUUUUGCAAGCUUCUUAAUAUUCAUUAAAAUGGAGUUUGGAUUUCAAGGCCUCGUUCUUCCUCAUGCAUGCUCUGUUUUUAUUUAUUUAUUUAUUUUUCUUCAUUCUCUUUGCCCUGCUUUUGUUAUCUCUCUUGGAAUGUUGAGCAUCUUGUUUGAGUUUGACUGUCCGGACUGGGUGUUUUUGAGAAGACUCUGAAAGUUUGAAGAAGAAGCUUACUAAAGAAAAGAAGAGAGUAUGAACAGGAUUGAGGAAAAUCACGUGUACGCCAUGUGGGUGUAAGGAUGAAGAAGGUGACUUGAGGCAAAGAACCCUCAGUGGAAGGGGUUAGUUUGUGUUAGACUGUUUGGAGCAAGAUGCGAGCAGAGAAUUCUUUUUUUCUAUUAUGCAUUUCAAAAUAGCAAUCGAUCAAUGGGGCCGUUCCGAUGUUUGUGAAACUUCCUGGUCCUCCAAGUGAUGAUGUUUGCGAGCAGGCCGUGUGGACCCUAAGAUAUAUUGCUAGUGAUUCCCCUCCAGAUGUAGUGAUUUUGUCUUUGGCCUUGGAGCUUUGCUUUCUUUGCUAGUGCAGUGGGAAGAGCUCGUCAAGCUACCUAUGCAUGAAUGCGUGGUGUCCAAAGUUCUCCAUCAGCUACAAAAGUGAACAGAAAGUGGUGAUUAUGUUCUCAUCUUUGAGGAUACUAAAAUAAGCAAGGGUACCUUUCAUGAUGUUGUUCCUGUAAGUGAGUCUGCCAGAAUUCCCAAGGCGUAGUGGAUAUUAAAAUAUCCUUACUGGACCCCACCACUAAAGGGGAAGCAUGGUGAUAAUUCAUCCUUACAGCCAUGAAUAUUUCCUCUCUAAUUCAAUGUUAUGCAAUGGAAGGGUUCUUGGAUUGGAUGGGGGAGAAUCCCCAUAUUUCUGUUGAUUAGAACAUAUAUUCAGCUACAGCAAGUGGGUAUCUGAAAGUUGGGUUGACUGACAAGGCCUUAGAAAUGUUAAAGAAUAUAAAGAGAAACACGUCGCCCUAAGUUCCCUCAAAAGUCUCCAUUGAAAUCCAAAAUUCUUACCUGCUCAUGGGUCCCAUGUGUACGUGAUCAUUAUGCAUGCAUCCAAGGCUAUCCUUCACACUCCCAUUACCAUAUCAUGCCUACAGUUCAUCAUCAUGUUCCCACCCGUGUUAUCCUUACCCGCGCAUAUACCCAUUUCUCAUACCCAUUGCCAUGCUAUCCCAUUCUCCAAUACCACCCUCCUCAUGCAUUCCCAUUAUUCCUAUUACUCUUCACACCCGUCCCCAUUACCUAUUUCACUAACUCCAUUGCCAUACCCAUUUCAUACUAUCCACUCCACCACGCCACCUUUUCUCUUUCAUCACCACCCUCACAGGCCCGUUCUCUCUCAUUAACCUUCAUACCCAUUUCCUCUAGCCUCCAUGCCCAUUCAAACCCAUUCCCAAGCAAAUGAAGACCAGCAAAGCAUAGUGGAAACAUUCAGGCCUUGGACUGUUCUUCUUGUAACCGCUCCAUGCUCACGGCCAUGCUCGUGCCGAGUCUAAAAGGUUGCUUCGAGAUCAGCAAGCAAAACGACAUGAAAUAAAUGAUUUGAUGAAGCAAGUUGAAGAUAAACUGCUUAGGAAAAGCAGUAAGGAGCAGGACCGAGUCAAUUCUGCAGUUCAGUCUAUGAGGGAUGAACUGGAGAACGAGAGAAAGUUGAGGAAACACUCAGAAAGCCUGCACCGCAAGUUAGCUCGCGAACUUUCUGAGGUUCUAUUUGAUGCACCAUCCAGACUCACUGAGUCACGUGACCAGUCAGAAAAGCACCUGGAAUUCCCAAUGGCUCCACUCGGAACUUGGACUUGUUGGUACGGGACCUACAGGCAGUGUCUAUCAGCAGCCCCAGCAUGCAUAAGUCAACUGGGCCCUAUUCCUACCAGGCCAUGCAUUGGCCAUCUUUAGCAUGGGCCACCUUUGGGCCAUAUGACAUUCUUAGAUUUCCUUUUAUUCGAUUUUGAAAAUAUUUUCUCAAAUCCCAUUUUGUAAAUAUCUUUCUCUAAAUCUGAUUUUCAAAUAAUCCCAAUUUUCUCAUCUUUCAUCCUUAGAAUUUUUAGGAUCAUCUAAGAGUCUCAUUUUCAAUAAAAUUUGGCCGCCAUUUUCUUUUCGACGAGCCACUUUCGAAUUUUUCAUGAUUUUAAAAUGUUUUAAAAUAAACAUGAAUUUAAAUUCCGUAAUUCCCAUUAAUGGAAUUUACGUUGAAAUGAAACGAGAGUGGGGUGUUAUGUAAAUUGGACUUAGAGAAGGCAUACGAUCACAUAAACUGGAAGUUUUUGCUGUUUGUAUUGCAAAGCAUGGGAUUUGGGGAGAAGUAGACCGGGUAGAUCUCCUGGUGCAUCUCUAUAGCAACGUUUUCAGUCUUGGUCAAUGGCACUCCGGAAGGCUACUUCAACAGUUCAAGGGGGCUGCGUCAGGGGGACCCCCUAUCCCCUUAUCUUUUUGUGAUAGGAAUGGAGGCUCUUAGUAGGCUCAUCCAUAGAGCAGUAGGGGAAGGGUUCCUUUCAGGCUGUAGAGUCAAUGGAAGGGGUAGGGAUGGGGCCUUGGUCUCUCAUUUGUUGUUUGCCGACGACACUUUAGUGUUUUGUGAAGCUUCCGAAGAUCAGAUGGUUUACUUAAACUGGUUGUUGAUGUGGUUUGAAGCCAUAUCAGGUUUGAGAAUCAAUUUGGACAAAAGUGAAAUUUUGUCGGUUGGUAGAGUGGAGAAUUUGGAGACUUUGGCUCUCGAGGCUGGCUGUAAAGUGGGCAGGCUGCCUUCUUCUUAUUUGGGGAUUCCUUUGGGGGUGAACCACAAGUCUGUGGCCAUUUGGGAUGGGGUGGAAGAGAGAUUUCGAAAAAGGUUGGCCUUGUGGAAAAGACAAUUUAUUUCCAAAGGAGGAAGAAUCACUCUAAUUCGUAGUACAUUGUCAAGUAUGCCCAUAUACUUGAUGUCUUUACUUCGAAUGCCAAGAGUGGUUAGUCUAAGGUUGGAAAAAAUUCAAAGGGAUUUCUUGUGGGGAGGGGGUGCUUUGGAGAGGAAGCCUCACCUAGUUAAUUGGGAUACCGUUUGUUUGGACAAAAGGAAGGGGGGCUUGGGAGUUAGACGUCUAUCUACUCUCAAUAGGGCCCUUCUUUGCAAGUGGAAUUGGCGUUUUGCGAAUGAAAGGGAGAAUUUUUGGAGGCAUGUCAUUAAUAGGAAGUUCGGGGAGGAAGAAGGGGGUUGGGUUACUAGAGAAGUUAGGGAGAGUUAUGGAGUAGGAUUUUGGAAGGAAAUAAGGAAGGAAGGUGCCCUUAUGCAAAAUAAAGUCGUUUUUUCAAUGGGGAAUGGUAGAAGGGUAAAAUUUUGGAAAAAUAAAUGGUGUUGGAACCUCGCCUUCUGCAAUUCUUUUCCCUCCUUGUAUGCUUUUGCCUCCUAUAAGGAGGCUUGGGUAGAAGAGUUUUGGGAUUCUUCGGGAGAGGAAGGGGUUUGGAGUCCUAGAUUCUCUAGGCCCUUCAAUGAUUAGGAGGUAGAGGAGGUGGAGAGGCUUCUUUUGACAAUCUGGGGAGUAAGGCUUAUUUCUCUUGUGGAAGAUAGAAUGUUGUGGAAAGUGACUUCGAAUGGGAUUUUUUCAGCUAAAUCCCUUUAUAAUGAUCUAUCUUCAAGAAGAGCUGGUCUUUUCCCUCAUGGUUUGAUCUGGAGCCCUAGUGUGCCUUCCAAAGUGAGCUUUUUCGCUUGGGAGGCUUCUUGGGGUAAGGUGCUUACUCUGGAUCAGCUUAAAAAGUGGGGGUGGGCUCUUGCUAAUAGAUGUUUCCUUUGCUGUGAGGAAGAGGAGUCUAUUGAUCAUAUUCUUAUGCAUUGCUCCAGGGCAAGAGUUUUAUGGGAGUUAUUGUUCGCCCUUUUUGGAGUGUUUUGGGUCCUCCCGUUUUUGGUUAGAGAUACCCUUAUUGAAUGGAGGGGCUUUAUGUUGGGCAAGAAGCGUAGAAAGGUGUGGAAGGCAGCCCCAUUGUGCCUUUUGUGGGCGGUUUGGAUGGAAAGAAAUAGGAUUGUCUUUGAUAAUGAGGAUUUUUCGGUUCAUAGGUUGAAAAAUUCUUUUGUUUGUAAUCUUUGGUUGUGGACUAAGUCGGUUGUAAAUGAAGGUCCUCUUCCUUUACUUAGUUUUUUUUAUUGGCUAGGCGCUAGAUGAGGGAUGGUUUUGUAUCUUCUCUUCUUUUGUUUGUGCCUUAAGGUGCCUUUUGUAUACUCCCUGUAUGCUUUUAGGUUUUCCUCAAGGUGCCAUUUUCUAAUAUAUUUAUGCUUUUGCCUAUCAAAAAAAAAAAAAAAAAAUCAGUUGCUUCUAUCUAUUGGAUUUGCUUAAGCGUUGAUCUAUUCACAAUGUGAUAAGUGAAUGCUUAUUGAGGACACAUGUCAUGAUUACUAUUUUACUAACCUUUACACCAAUUUCAAAAGCAAAAGCAUCUCCUCAUGGCAUGCCUCUUAUGAGUUUGGAUGGUAUUAUAAGAGAAGAUUUCUCCUUCACAAGUAAGGUAGAUUAUGGACCUGUCUUCGGUCAUCAAUGAGAUGGUGGAUGAGAAAGUUCACUUGGCCAAGGAGGGGAUGGUAUUUAAGAUAAAUUUUGAAAAGACAUGAUCAAAUUAAUUGAGAUUUACUAAACCCUACUUUGCUCGAAAAAGGUCUAGUUCUAAAUUGACACUUUAGAUUUUAGGUUGCCUAUCUUCGAUUAGUUUUACUAUGAUAGUGAAUAGUGGUAUGAAAGGUUGGGUAAAGGCUUGUACAGGGUUCACACAAUGGGAUCUGCCUUUUCCUUUCCUCUUUAUAAUAGUAGUAGCUCAGAUGUUAUGUACCAAGAUUAAAUCACACUUUCAAUAUUUGAAAGAAUAAUUAAAAGAAAAAAAAUAUUUUAAUGUUCACACAGAUAUCAAGACUUAAGAUAAAUCUAAUUUAGAGUAUCUUGUUAAGCAUUAGUUUAAAUUAAGACAACUCUUUAGUCUAGCUUUCUUAUUAGGUUGUUGGACCACGAGGUAGUCCCUCUCUUGUUUAGGGCUUAUUUUAUUUAGGAAUCUCAAGGCUCCUCUGUUUUAGAACCCUGUUUUAGAAAAGGUCUCUUGUAAACUAGAUGGUUGUCAAAGAGCCUCUCUGUCCUUAGGAUGAAGAUCUACAUUUAUCUAGUCUCAUUUGCCUUAUAUCUAUACUGGUUUCCUCUUAGACUAGUGUUCCAGUCAAGAUUGGCUUCUAAGAUUGAGAAAAUUUGGAAUUUUUAUUGGUCGGGGAAGGGAAGAAAGAAAUUUUUGUUUGUUUGCCUAUCAGAAAAAGAAAGAGCAUCUAAUUGGAAGGUAUCAAUUUUAUAGGCUUAGAAAUGAAGGAGGUUUUGGUUUGGAAUGAUUUCUUCAAGGAAUAAAGCCUUUUCUAUGGAACUAUGCUUAGGCUAGUGACACCACAUUCCAUAAGGUAGUCAGAAUUAAUAAUGGUUUGCACUCUGAUGGUUAGGAUACGAACAUUUUGUCUAAUGAUCACAUUAGGGCACAUAGAGAGCAAUUGCAUAAGGUUUCUUUAAUUUUCUUAGUAUAUCUAGUUCUUAGUUUGGAAUGACUAUGAGUUUCUCUCUUGGGAAGAUUUGUGGUGAUUUUAGUCCCUCUAUCCUAACAUCUAUUGGUUCCAAUGUCUAUAGAUUCUUUUAGUUCAUUUGCUCUUAAUAUUGUAUCCUUCUUAUGCCAAUACCUCAGCUCCUUGGUUUAUUUCUCAUACUAGGAGAGUGGUGAUCUUAUUAGCUUCAUUUCUUUGUUGCUUAUUGUUUAUCUAUCAUCCUCAUUUUCCAUUGAGGAAGUUAGGUCUUCACCUGACCCUUUAAGGUUUUUCUCUUUGUAGCCCUCCUUGUCUUAAAAGUAUGAGAUUAUGAGUAGUGAUCAACUUGCUAUUGUUUACCAACCUUAAAGAAUCAGACAAGUGGGUUUGAGAAUAGAUAUGAUCAAAUUAGUUCAUGUUGACUAUCAUUGACGUGUUCAUGUUUUUCCCCUUUCUCACACAAGUAUUUUUUUUUUUGUAUAUAUAUAUUUUGCAGUGAUGGAUUAUUUUUUGCUGUGAAGGAGGUUUCAUUGCUUGAUAAAGGGAAGUGGGGCAAACAAGGCAUUUAUCAACUUGAACAAGUGAGAAGAAUGUCUUCUUCUAAAGAAAUGCUCAUCAAAUAUGGUUUAAUCUUUCUUAUUUUUUUUAAUAAAAUUUUUUGAACUAUUUUUUUUUUUUUUUGUACAUUACAGUUAACCUCAAGUCAAUUGCAUAUAUAGGUAUUUCAGUAAAGAGCAAUUGCUCAUCGAUCCAGGUUGUAUUAUCAUGAGAUUAUUUUUCUAAUUCCUUCCUUAUUGGUCCAGGAGAUUUCUCUUUUAAGUCAGUUGGAACAUGAGAACAUAGUUCGGUAUUAUGGCACAGACAAGGUAUGUUUCUUACACCUUGAGUCAGCUUCUUUUGUUUUCUUGUAACAUAUCAUUCUUGGAAUGAAAGAGUAUUCCACAUUGCAUUUUGUCACCUAUAGCAAACUUGAAUGAAUUUUUUGUCAUUUUUGGGCCUAAUCCUUGAGACAAUCUAUAAAGGAUAGUUACAAACAUAAUGGUGCAACUUGAAAUGAGAAUACUUUUAUAUUGUUAUAAUAUCAUCACCUGCAGUUAUUUAUCCCAGUUCUUCAGAGUCUUGAUAGACUUCCUUCCUGUUUCCAUAGUAUCUGAAAAUGGUACUGCCAAUGGGAAGAGGAAAUAUUUGUCAUUCAAUCCAAUACAUGCGAUUCAAAGUGAAGUAACCAUGCAAAGAGCCAAUGAGAAUAAUAGAAAAAUCUAGUACCAAAUUUUAAUUAAAACCAUGUAUUUAUGGGGCAUUAUCCUACAUAUGAGAUUUAAUCAAACUAAAAAUCUCCCUGCUAAGAGAUUUACUCUUAGCAAAUGGGUCCAUUCAUUUAGAAGAUGGGUUCAUUCAUUUAAAAUUUAAGUUGACCUCGACCUUCCUUAACACAGAUUUGGACCUUUUCAAGUGUUGCCACAACCUCAAAAAUCCACCAACAUGUGUUGUUUCUAUGUCAAAAAUUGUCUCUCAUGAUUCACCUUUAGUAAUGUCAAAUAUAUUGUUAGGAUUUUGAAGAAUUGGAAUUUGAAAUAUUUUACAAUUCCAAGACUAUGAAAUUUGGGUGAUUUUUAUGGUCAAAUUCAAAGAAGCUCAAGAUGUUAAUUUUUGUAUAAACAUCUAAAAGUUUGAAGAUUGAUUUCAAUUUGAGCAAAACUGUUGGAUUCCUCAUGACUAAGGGUAUGCUUAACUUGAAAUUUUUACCGUUUAGAUCUAAAACAAUAGGCUUAAGUUUUCCAGGCUCUUUCCUAAACUUAAACUGAAUCCAAAUACAAAUAUUAUUCUUGCUUUUUUUAGGAAAAAAAAUCUAUUUUUUUUUUCAAAUCAUUUUAGGGCCUCAAACUUUAAAAAAAAAUGGGCUUAGUGAUUGUGAAACGGGCUGGUGAAUCCAAGUUGGAAACUCAACCUCAAUCAAUUGGCAUCCACCUGAUGGAUUGAGGUUUACCUAAAUUGAUAUUAAAAAAUAAAAUAAAAAAUAGAGGCACUUGUGUCAGCUUUUUAAAGAGUUCAGCUUUUGUUGAAACUUACAUAUUGGAGCCCCACACAAACCUUACUUCUUAUGUCUCUACAUGUACAUAUUUUUAGGGUGCAUUUAGCUUGGGCUCUGGUGGUAUAACUAUGGAAUGAUAUUGUUUUUUCUCACUAUUAAGGAAUGAAAACUUAAUAGUAAAAAAAUUAAAAUAGAUAAAAAAAGUGGAUGAUAGCUAAAUGCGAAUUCUCAAGCAAUUUCUAAGACAACUAUACGCUUGAAUGAGAACAAACUUGAAGGAAAUUGCAUAUUCCCAACUUCAACUAGAUAUUAGAAUGAAAAUCUUAUAUCCUUUGUAUUUGUAGAGAUAUGUUUUCAUUCCUAAGCAUAGAUGCCAAUGAAUUGACCAAGCCCUUCGGAUUUAAAAAGAGGAUCUUUACAGAUUUCUAUAGAGCCAAGAAAGAAAUAUUUGCAAGAAGAAUCGGAAAUGGGAGCUUUCCAAAGACAAGUUAAAACUAGAAAAUAUGGGGGGAAGAAUGGGGAUGAUUAUCUUGUAACAUUAAGGAUGGUUACGAUGUUGGGUUAUGGAAAGCUGUUUGGAAGGCUUGGGAUUUCCCUAGUAGUAUAAUUUCCUUCUUUGUAAGGAAUGGGGGGAGGGGGGGAGGGUAAAAUUUUGGAAGGAUAGAUGGUGUGGGGAUGGAUCCUUAUGCUUUUCCUUUUCUAGCUUUGUAUAAUUUAGAAAAGAGGAUUGGGAGGUAAAGUUAUGGGAUCGAACAAGUGAGAGGAGCCAUUGGAACCUUUGUUUUUCUCAGAAUCUAAAUGAUUGAAAGAUGAAUGGUGUAGAACAAUUCUAAUCUAAAUAAUUGAAAGAUGGAUGGUGUAGAACAAUUCUUCUCUAGAUUUCAAGGCAUAACGAUGAAUAGAAUGGUAUUGCUUCCUAUGUAAAGUUGAUGAGGAAUCCAUUGAUCACAUUUGGCUUCACUGUGCUAUGAUAAGGGCUCUUUAGUAGUUGCUUUUCUCUUUAUUUAGCAAUUCUUAGGUUCUACUUGCCAUAGUAAGAGAGGUUCUUUUAGUUGGCAUGACUCCUUUGUGGGAAGAGGAUAAAAAAAGAAUUGGAAACCUGCCUCAUUAUGCAUUUUUUUUAGAUGGUUUGGAAAAAGAGGAAUUGAAGGUUGUUUGAAAACAAGGGGCAAUUAGUCCAUGCUUUGAAGAGUCUUUUCCUUAGUAAUAUUUUGUUGUGGCUAAAGAGGUGCAUAGAUGAAAACUCAAUGUCUUUAAUAGAUUUUGUUGAUUGGUUGGGUUCUUGCUAAGGGAAAGGGGGUAGUUUUUGUUCAUCCUUUAGAGCUUAUUGUAUGUGGGAGAAAGUGGUAAAGAAUUAUUAUUCAAUCAACUGUUAUAAUCAUAAUUUAUAUCCUAUAUUUACAAAGAAAUUUAAGGAAAAAAAAACUAAUAAUCCUAAUAAAUCAGGACAAUGCUUAUAAAUAAGAAAUUAUUAUUCCUAAUCAAAUUUACAGUUAUACACACUUUCCUAAUUUAAUUUAUAGCUAUAUACAAUUACAUAAAUAUAUACAAGAGACCCUAAUUAGGAAAAUUUAGAUUUUUAACACUCUCUUUUAAGAUGGUGAAUAGAUAUUAUUGAUGCCCAACUUGCCUAUAAUUGCUUGAAAUGUUGUGCUUGCCAAACCUUUGAUCAAAACAUCUGCAAGUUGUCUAUUUGAUGACACAAACAGGGUGCAAAUUAACCCACUUUCUAACUUUUCUUUUAUGAAGUGUCUAUCAACCUCAACAAGCUUUGUCCGGUCAUGUUGUACCAGAUUAUGAGCCAUGUUUAUGGUUGAUUUGUUAUCCUAAUACAACCUCAUGGAUCCUUCCCAUUUAAUCCAUAAGCUCUCAAGAACAAUUUUAAGCCAUAAUAACUCACAAAUUCCUUGUGUCAUAGCUUUAAACUCUGCCUCUGCACUAAACCUUACCACAACAUGUUGUUUUCUACUCAACCAAGUCACCAAGUUUCCUCUAAGAAAGAAACCGAACUUCUCUAUUGUACCAAAAUACUUAGCCUUUUUACGUAGUAACUCUGGCCAAGAAAAAACUAGAGAAAGAGUCACUACGAAUUUUGUAGUAUUUCAGGUAUCGUUCUCAGGGACUGGCUUAUGGAAAUUGUCAAUACUAGAAUAAAUGAAUUGCUUUUGUUUAAAUCCUAAAGUGAAAAACAAUAGGUGAAUAAUUUGAAACUAAGUAAAAGAAAUUAAAUUAAUAAAAAAAAUGAAUAUUGAUUUCAAAUUCAAUUGAUUCAAGUUUGAGGUUUUCCACAAUCCAACCUAGGGUAUAGAAAUUAGAGAAAACAAGGGUCUUUUAAGUGAUAUGAUCUUAGGGUUUUGGGAUCUUUAGCCCCUCGCGAUCAAGUUGAGUUCUAUAACUCAAAAUUGCAUUCGAAACCUAUUUUUUUCCUUUUUAAAACAGAUUCCUAAAACCAUCAAAUGAAUGAGAUUGAUUACUAGUUUAAGAUUUGGCUUUUUAACCCUUCUUACUUCUUAUAGCUUUGUUUUGGGACAAAUAACGAUAGGGAAGACGAGGAUAACUAAUGAUCAAGAAUUACCAAGAAUCACUAGUAUCAGGUAAUAACCUACCGUAUCAUUCCCUAAACGAACUCACAAGGAUAUGAUAAAAAAAUGAUAAAUUGUCACCCAACCAAUAUUUAAUCUCAUUGUUAUAAUAAUUUACCCAUUGUCCCUAUAGGUUUCCUGGCCCUUAGGUUUUCAUGCUUCAAGCCCCAAGUUGGCUCUUAGCCUCUCAUGGGGGUGAUGUCACAUUCACAAUCCAUAAUAGGGUAAAAAUCCAUAAUUUGAAUAAAAAGAAACUAAAAACAAUAUAUUUAAUAAAGAAGAAAAAGAAAACAAACCAAAGUUCUCGUCUUCUUCCACCUUCAAUGUCAAACUCUCCGGAAAAAAAAUCCAAGAUCCCUAAAACCUAGAAUUGAGAGAGUUUAUAUAAUAUCAUCAAUUACCUAACAUGUAGCACACUCUCAUUGGUCACUUAUUAUAAAAAUAAUUUCCUAAAAAUGAUUAAAAAAUAAUAAAAUGGUGAUUUCUAGUCGUGUGGGGUCCACUUAGGGCAGAUGAAGUGACCUAGAUGCAAUUCCCGAGGUAGAGGAGACGAAACAUCAAAGUGGCAGUGGGUGAAUUUGAAAUUGGUGUCAUUUCAAAGUGGAUUUUGAAUUCAUAAGUUGAAUAGAUGCAAUUCCCGAGGUAGAGGAGGCGGAACAUCAAAGUGGUAGUGGGUGAAUUCGAAAUUGGUGUCAUUUUGAAGUGAAUUUCGAAUUCAUAAGUUGAAUAGAUGCAAUUCCUGAGGUAAAGGAGGCGAAACAUCAAAGUGGCAGUGGGUGAAUUCGAAAUUGGUGUCAUUUCGAAGUGGAUUUCGAAUUCAUAAGUUGAAUAGAUGCAAUUCCUGAGAUAGAGGAGGCGAAACAUCAAAGUGGCAGUGGGUGAAUUCGAAAUUGGUGUCAUUUCGAAGUGGAUUUCGAAUUCAUAAGUUGAAUUUCGAAAUCAUUUCGAAAUGACCCUCUAGCUUGGUGCAAUUGUUUUCAAAUGGCCAUAACUUCUUCAUUUCAGCUCCGAUUUGCAAACUAUUUGAAGCAUUGGACUCUUGACUUCCCAAGCUUCGAAAUGAUAAAUGGUAUGUAUACAAUGGACUCUAGAAAGUGCUCUAAAUUUUUCCUCAAAAUCAGAGUAUAUAAUGCCAUCAGAUUUUUGAGUUCUAAAUUUCCAUGCAGCUGAAUCUUGCUUCAUGCCUCAUUUCCCAUGUUUUCUUCUUACUCUAUAAUAGUCAUUUCUCAUCUUCCAAACUCAUGAUAUCCUCGUCUUGCCUUUCCUUACUGUCCAUGAUUCUUGACUCACUUAUUUCCUCAUUUAGCCUUUUCUUGAUCUUUCAAAAUCUAAAGUGAUUCAACUUGCACUAUUUUCUUCCCUUGAACUUGAGAUAAGUCUCCAAAGUACAAAUUAAACUCAUGGAUAGGGCCUUAGCAUUGAUUUAGGUCAAGUUGGGUGAUUUGAAUGUCUUUUGGUGCAUAACUCAUAUAGAAUAUGUGCCAUUAGAGCUCAUAUUUUGGCUCCAAUUAGAAAGGCGUAGUAACCUGAUGUUGAUCUCUUAUCUACCAUUGAUUUAACGUUGUUGGCAUUCAUAUAGGCUUCAAGGAACAAACCCAUACAUUUUUUGAAGAGAAUUCCCAUUCUUAAGCUGCCUUUAAGAUACUGUAAAAUCCUAUAAACAGCUUGUAAGUAGACCUUCUUCAGAUUGUGCAUAAACUGGCUUACUACACUCACGAUAUAGGCAAUAUCCGGUCUUGUGUGUGAUAAGUAAAUCAAUCGCCCCACUAAUCUUUGAUCCAUGCCUUAAUCCACUCCUUUGUCUUCCAAUGCUUCCCCAAGCUUACGAUUUGCUUCAAUUGGAGUCUUUAUCGAUUUACAUCCAAGCUUUCUUGUCUCCUUAAGGAAGUUAAGGAUGUAUUUGUGUUGUGAUACAAAAAUACCCUCUUUUGACCAUGCCACUUCAAUUCCUAAAAAGUACUUUAGUUUACCCAAAUCCUUUAUCUUAAACUCCUUUGUAGGACAUUUCUGAAGGGCCUCUUUUUCUUUUGGAUCAAUCCCGACCACGAUUAUGUCAUCAACAUAUAGUAGUAAUGUUAUAACUCCCCCUGAAGCAAAAUAUUUAAUGAACAAAGUGGGAUCUCCUUGGCUUUGUUUAAACCCUAGAGAUAACAUAACCUUUGUAAAUCUUCCAAAUCAUGCUCUAGGAUAUUGUUUCAAUCCAUACAAUGCCUCCUUCAACCUACAUACCUUAUUCUUGUCUAAACUUCCCCCAAAACUGGGAGGAACUUCCACAUAGAUUUUUUCAUCAAUUUCACCAUGGAAAAAGACAUUCUUUACAUCAAAUUGUUGUAAAUUCCAAUCAAAAUAAGUUUCCAAAGAUGAUAAAAUUCUCACUAUAUUCAUCUUUGCAAUUGAUGCAAAAGUUUCUUGAUAGUUCGCUCCAUGUGUUUGUGUAUAUCCCUUUGCGACUAACCUUGCUUUAUAUCAUUCAAGGGAUCCAUCGACUUUUAUAUUUAACUGUAAAUAUCCAGUUGCAACUCACUACUUUAUUCCCUUUUGGUAACUCCAUAAUUUCCCCAGUCCUAUUUUUCUCCAAUAUUUCCAUCUUAACUUUCAUAGCUUGUUUCCAUUUCCCAUUAAAUGCCUCGAUUAAGGUUUGUGGAAUUGGUAUGGAAUUUAUUUGGGUAAGAAAGGCUCUAUGAGAUGGUGAGAAAUUUUCAAAUGACACAAAAUUGGACAAUGGGUGUCGCAUGCAUUUACGUGUGCCUUUCUUAAUGGCAAUAUGAAGAUCAACAUCAUCAUGUGAGUUAAGAGGCACAAUAUAAUUAUGUACCUCAUUUCUGAGAGUUGGUUUGAAUGUUUAGACUUGCAUGGGUCUAGGUUCAAUCACCCUUUUCUUGAAUAAACUUGUAGUGGCUUUGUGGUAAUAGGUUCUGACUCAUUUUCUUUUGUUCCAACAGCUAAAAUAGGACAUCUUUUAGCUAUUUUUGGGACUGUUGUAGCUAUUUGAGGUGUGUUGGAAAUUUCUAGACUUUUUUAAUGACUUUUGGACUCUUUUUGGUUUCCAUUUGAAGGUUCAGAUGGGGAAGAUUUAGGAAACUCAAGCAAGAACAUGUCCUUGUCUUCCAUAGAUGAUGUUUCCCCUUGAAGAUAAGGAACUAAAAAAUAUCCCUCUAUUUCUACAAAAGUGACAUCCCUGGAGAUGAAAAAAAAUUUAGUUGGAGGAUGGAAACAUUUAUACCAUUUUUGUGUUGAAUAUCUAAUAAAAACACACUUUAAUGCUCUUGGAUCCAACUUUCCUUAAUGAUAAGCAUGAAUAUGAACAAACACGGGGCACCCAAACACUUUAGGAGGAAGCUUACUUGAUGUAUUGAAUUGAAGAAAGAAUGUUGUGAACAUUUGCAUAAGACUCUUUAAACCCAAAACUCGAUAAGAAACCCUAUUUGUUAAAUGAGCAACUGUACGAACGAACUCCUCCCAAUAUGUUUUUGGAACAUUUUUUUGAAACAAGACAACCUUAGUAACAUUUAGUAAGUGACCAUUUUUCCUCUCGGCUACUCCAUUUUGUUAGGGUGAACACGUGAAAACACAUGAAUAAUUCCCUCUUUUUGAAAAUAAUAUGAAAAAGUUUGAUUGAAAUAAUCCUUUGCAUUGUCCAAUCUAACAUGUUUUAUUGACACCCCAAAUUGAUUUUUGACCAUAUUAUGGUAAUUUGGAAAAACAAUGCUCACAUCCGACUUUUGUUAAAAGGAAAAUCCAAGUAACACGGGGUAUAAUCAUCAAUAAAUGAAACAAUCCAACAAGUUCCCAAAAUAUUAGGAACUCGUGAUGGCCCCAAAUAUCACUGUGAAUUAAGGAAAAAUGAAAUUAUGAUAUUUUGUUGCUAAAAGGAAAUGGGACACAAUGAUGUUUUGCAAAUUCACUAACAUCACAAUGAAAAGUGUUAACAUCAAUAUUCUUAAAAAGUAAAGGGAACUGACCUAAAGUACAUUCAAUGAAGGGUAGCCAAGUCGAAAGUGAUAAAGCCAAAUUUGUUCUUUAUUUGAAGAAAAUGACUUAGAUAAAAAAGAAAGAGGUAGUUGAUUCCCAUUUCCAACAUUGCCACUACUUGUAUUAGGGUAGUAGAGUUCGUUCUUUUCCUUAAUAUGCCCAAUCAUCUUUCCCAAAACUCGGUCCUAAAAAACAGAAUGAGUAGGGGAAAAGAUAACUCUACAAUUCAUAUCUUUUGUGAGUUAAUAAAUGGACACAAGGUCGGUUGAAAGCUUGAGAACAUGUAAGACAUUUUUAAGACUCAAAGAAGUGUUUACAUUGACUAUUCCCAAACCUGUAAUAGUAGCUAAAGACCCAUCAACAAUAGUUAUUUUCCUAUUGCUAGGACAUGGAAUAUAUGUGCUAAAUUUUUCUGAUGAAUGUCAUUUGCUCAGUAGCUCUUGAAUCAGUGAUCCAAGAUCUUGAAAGGGACAUAGCAGAGACACUUAAAGCAUGAGAGAAAGAAUACUUGAAUGUGCGAGAGAGCAAACACCCAUAGGUUUCUCCAAUGAAUCCAAAUUUUUUUUAGCUUUUCAAUGUCCUCCUAAUUCAAUUCUCCAAGUUUCGUGUUAUUGUACUUUGAUUGUUCCUUUCUAGAGUUAUUAGCAUCAACUACAUACACUUGGCUUCACUAUUAUCCCCCUUUAAAACCACUAGCACGGUUGAUACCCAUGGUUUACCAUGAAGUUUCCAGCAUGUCUCUUUUGUGUGUUGUGGUUUUUUACAAUAUGUGCACCAAACAUUGUCCUUAUUCUUAGAAAAAUCACAUCUGCCACCUUUUCUUGGGUUUAGGCCUUUGAAAUUACUAUCUCUUGGUUUUGAUGUAGUAAGGGCUGAACCUUCUGCUAGUUGAGAAUCAAUCAUAACACCUCAUCAUCCUUCCUCCGCUUGAAUAAUGGAGAAAACCUCAUUAAUGGAUGACAAAUCAUCCGUUCCUAAGACUUGAACUCGAACUUGAUCAAAUUCGGCAUUAAGGCUAGAAAGAAACCCGAAAAUCUUCUCCCUUUCAACAAACUUUCUUAACAUUGAAUCAUCUUCACUACAUUUCAUUUGAAGAUUUUGGUAAUAAUCCAAUUCUUGCCAAAGACUUUUUCAGGAGAUUAUAAUAUUCAAUGAUUGAUCUUGUUCCCUGUUUAGUAGUUGAAUUUUUUUGCUUAAGUUUGUCUUAUUGUCUCCCAAAUCUCUUUAGUUGUGGUGAGAAACAUACAAGUGCCAUUAAUUUCAGGCAACAUAGAAUUCCAUAACCAUGACAUGAUCAUGGAAUCCUCUUCAACCCAUUGGUUGAACUUUGGAUCUUCAGGCUAUGGACCUAUGCCAAUUAGAUGACUUAGUUUUCCUUUCUCUUUCAAAAAGGUUCGCACUAGUUGAUACCAUUGGAGAUAGUUUUGGUCAUUCAACCAAUAUGCUGAAUUGAUAUUCUAUAACACUCCAAUGGUUUGAUUAGGCAAAGUUUCACCAAAGACAACUAUGGGUGUGGCAGAAGUCUCAGACAUGUUAGACAUGGUGAAAUCCCAAAAAUUACAGGUAGAGAUUAAAGCAAGAGAACAGAUGAAAGAUGAAAAAUGAAAUAAACAAAACACACACCAAUGAAGGCUAAAAUAAUUAGGCUUGAAAUCAACAAUGAAGACUGAAGAACUGGAACUAAAAUCAGCAAUGAAAGUUGAUAAAGAAUGUCCAAAGAGGCUUUGAUAUAAUGUGGGAGAAAGUGGUAAAAAAAUCUUAUUCAAUCAGCUGUUUCAAUCCUAAUUUAUAUCCUAUAUUUACAAAGAAAUUUAAGGAAAAAAAUAAACUAAUAAUCUCUAUAAAUCAUGACAAUCCUUAUAAAUUAAGGAUUAUUCUUCCUAAUCUAAUUUACAACUAUAUAAAUUUUCUUAAUCUAAUUUACAGUUAUAUACAAUUACAUAAAUGUAUACAAGAGACCCCAAUUAAGAAAAUUCAAAUUUCUAACAUUGCAUAUGUUGUGUGUACUUUUUUUUAUUUUUUCCCUAUGGGUAAAAUAUGAGAAUAUAUUAAAGGGUGCAACAAUGAACAAACGUAAUAUACAGAAAUCGCUUAAAGGUAGAAUGAAAGCAAAGAGAACAACAUGGGAAAACCAACCAGACAUACCACCUAACACCCUAGAAAAUCAUAUUGUUCCUAGCCAACUCUCAAGCUCCCAAAAAGUGUCCUGUGUACCUUAGGUGAGCUUUUUCUUUGGACACUUUGUUAUAUAAUAUUAUCAUUGCCUAUCAAACAAGCACCAUCUUAUGGCUUUCUUCAACCCAUGGGUUAUAUAAUUCACAGUGUAAAUGAUCAAUAGCUAAAUUUUUCUUUUUCUUUGGGGGGAAUUUUUGUCUUUCAUAUUGUCAUUUAAGUAUUUCUUCCUUUAUGAUCUGGCUCUAAUUUUCCUUCUUUAUGCACUUGAUCUUUCCAGGAUGACUCUAAACUUUAUAUCUUCCUUGAGCUUAUGACGAAAGGUUCACUUUCAAGUUUAUAUCAAAAGUAUCAUUUGCAAGAAAGACAAGUUUCGGCCUACACAAAGCAAAUUUUAAAUGGUUUGAAAUAUCUACAUGAGAAAAAUGUAGUUCACAGGUGAUACAAAUGAUCUUACUGCUUAAUUAUUUGGUCAUAUUUAUCUUUUCAUUUAUCUAUAUAUUUAUUUCUGUUUUCUUGUUUUCUCAACAUUUCUUUUUGAUGUAUUGCUUUGAACAUGUUUUGAUUAUUUCCAUUCUCUUGCCUUAGCCACCAAGAUGUUGAAUUAAUAUGCAUGAACUACAUAAUACCUGGAUGCACAACUUGCUUACUUAGAGAAAAUUGGUUCACUCUAUUGUGGAAGUUUUCUUGUUAUUCAAUUUAUUAUUUUUUUACCCAUCCUUGCUGCAGUGUUUCCAAAUUGAAAUUCUAAAUCUUAUUGGAGAGUGAAGUUGUUGCCAUUUUCUAUUUAGAGUUAUUGAUGAUUUUAUAUUUUGUUUUAUAGUGUUAUGACACCAGAAAUAGGCCAGAUUUAGUUGAGAAUGGAAAAGGGAACACACGCACAUAGUGGACAUAUGUUCACCUCUGAUAACAUAUUUAUACUUUUUAUGACAUAAUAAUUGCACCUGCCCUCUUUUAGAAAAAAGAAAAAGGGGGAAAAAGGAGUUGAGGGCCUGGAUGUUAAUCAUCAUCAUUUUGACAAAAUUGUAAUGAGAUUAAUUUCAUUCAAAGACUUGUGAGAAUAUCUUUAAGUUGCUGUGGACUUAACAUUUUGAGUGAUAAUUAAGUAUAGAGCACAAUAUAUCCUAAUAAGCUAUUCAUCUCCUAAAAUAUACCAUUUGUUAUAUUUCAAGUUGUGAUUUGGUUCAUCCUGUAACAACUUCAUUUGUGAAUUAACUACAAGGAGCCCCAUUUCCAUCUCUAUUUGAGUUGCAUCAUGCAGUUAGUUGUAUUAAACAUCAAUUUGUAUUUUGUCAAUGUUGGGUCUUGCUUGCAUCCACGUCCACCUUUUUACUUUUCUUGGUGAUUGCAUUUUAUUUCCCUUCAAGGAGUGAAUUAUAAGAGGAAGAAACACUUUCUCUCUCACUCAAUCUAUCUUUCUCUCUCUCUACAAAGAAUCUCAUCUCCGUUUGACUCAUUCUCAAUCUCCCUUCAUGGGAACUUUCGAACCUUGAAAUGGAAUUGAAAAUUGUUUGAUAUAUCUCUCUAUCUCAUUCUCCCUACCCUUAUUUCUCACUCUCCCUUGGCCCCUUUCUUUCCCUAUUUACUCAUUUUCAACCUCCCUUCAUAAGAGAUUCUAAAAUUUGAAAUGGAAUUCUUUUCCCACUCUCACUAUGCCCUUUACUUCCCCAAUUCCCUUAUAGAUUCACUAUUAAUCUCCCUUCAUAAGAACUCUAGGAACGUCAAAUGGAAUUGAAAAUUUUUGGAUCUCUCUCUCUAUCCUACAUGCUUUCUCAACCCNNNNNNNNNNNNNNNNNNNNNNNNNNNNNNNNNNNNNNNNNNNNNNNNNNNNNNNNNNNNNNNNNNNNNNNNNNNNNNNNNNNNNNNNNNNNNNNNNNNNNNNNNNNNNNNNNNNNNNNNNNNNNNNNNNNNNNNNNNNNNNNNNNNNNNNNNNNNNNNNNNNNNNNNNNNNNNNNNNNNNNNNNNNNNNNNNNNNNNNNNNNNNNNNNNNNNNNNNNNNNNNNNNNNNNNNNNNNNNNNNNNNNNNNNNNNNNNNNNNNNNNNNNNNNNNNNNNNNNNNNNNNNNNNNNNNNNNNNNNNNNNNNNNNNNNNNNNNNNNNNNNNNNNNNNNNNNNNNNNNNNNNNNNNNNNNNNNNNNNNNNNNNNNNNNNNNNNNNNNNNNNNNNNNNNNNNNNNNNNNNNNNNNNNNNNNNNNNNNNNNNNNNNNNNNNNNNNNNNNNNNNNNNNNNNNNNNNNNNNNNNNNNNNNNNNNNNNNNNNNNNNNNNNNNNNNNNNNNNNNNNNNNNNNNNNNNNNNNNNNNNNNNNNNNNNNNNNNNNNNNNNNNNNNNNNNNNNNNNNNNNNNNNNNNNNNNNNNNNNNNNNNNNNNNNNNNNNNNNNNNNNNNNNNNNNNNNNNNNNNNNNNNNNNNNNNNNNNNNNNNNNNNNNNNNNNNNNNNNNNNNNNNNNNNNNNNNNNNNNNNNNNNNNNNNNNNNNNNNNNNNNNNNNNNNNNNNNNNNNNNNNNNNNNNNNNNNNNNNNNNNNNNNNNNNNNNNNNNNNNNNNNNNNNNNNNNNNNNNNNNNNNNNNNNNNNNNNNNNNNNNNNNNNNNNNNNNNNNNNNNNNNNNNNNNNNNNNNNNNNNNNNNNNNNNNNNNNNNNNNNNNNNNNNNNNNNNNNNNNNNNNNNNNNNNNNNNNNNNNNNNNNNNNNNNNNNNNNNNNNNNNNNNNNNNNNNNNNNNNNNNNNNNNNNNNNNNNNNNNNNNNNNNNNNNNNNNNNNNNNNNNNNNNNNNNNNNNNNNNNNNNNNNNNNNNNNNNNNNNNNNNNNNNNNNNNNNNNNNNNNNNNNNNNNNNNNNNNNNNNNNNNNNNNNNNNNNNNNNNNNNNNNNNNNNNNNNNNNNNNNNNNNNNNNNNNNNNNNNNNNNNNNNNNNNNNNNNNNNNNNNNNNNNNNNNNNNNNNNNNNNNNNNNNNNNNNNNNNNNNNNNNNNNNNNNNNNNNNNNNNNNNNNNNNNNNNNNNNNNNNNNNNNNNNNNNNNNNNNNNNNNNNNNNNNNNNNNNNNNNNNNNNNNNNNNNNNNNNNNNNNNNNNNNNNNNNNNNNNNNNNNNNNNNNNNNNNNNNNNNNNNNNNNNNNNNNNNNNNNNNNNNNNNNNNNNNNNNNNNNNNNNNNNNNNNNNNNNNNNNNNNNNNNNNNNNNNNNNNNNNNNNNNNNNNNNNNNNNNNNNNNNNNNNNNNNNNNNNNNNNNNNNNNNNNNNNNNNNNNNNNNNNNNNNNNNNNNNNNNNNNNNNNNNNNNNNNNNNNNNNNNNNNNNNNNNNNNNNNNNNNNNNNNNNNNNNNNNNNNNNNNNNNNNNNNNNNNNNNNNNNNNNNNNNNNNNNNNNNNNNNNNNNNNNNNNNNNNNNNNNNNNNNNNNNNNNNNNNNNNNNNNNNNNNNNNNNNNNNNNNNNNNNNNNNNNNNNNNNNNNNNNNNNNNNNNNNNNNNNNNNNNNNNNNNNNNNNNNNNNNNNNNNNNNNNNNNNNNNNNNNNNNNNNNNNNNNNNNNNNNNNNNNNNNNNNNNNNNNNNNNNNNNNNNNNNNNNNNNNNNNNNNNNNNNNNNNNNNNNNNNNNNNNNNNNNNNNNNNNNNNNNNNNNNNNNNNNNNNNNNNNNNNNNNNNNNNNNNNNNNNNNNNNNNNNNNNNNNNNNNNNNNNNNNNNNNNNNNNNNNNNNNNNNNNNNNNNNNNNNNNNNNNNNNNNNNNNNNNNNNNNNNNNNNNNNNNNNNNNNNNNNNNNNNNNNNNNNNNNNNNNNNNNNNNNNNNNNNNNNNNNNNNNNNNNNNNNNNNNNNNNNNNNNNNNNNNNNNNNNNNNNNNNNNNNNNNNNNNNNNNNNNNNNNNNNNNNNNNNNNNNNNNNNNNNNNNNNNNNNNNNNNNNNNNNNNNNNNNNNNNNNNNNNNNNNNNNNNNNNNNNNNNNNNNNNNNNNNNNNNNNNNNNNNNNNNNNNNNNNNNNNNNNNNNNNNNNNNNNNNNNNNNNNNNNNNNNNNNNNNNNNNNNNNNNNNNNNNNNNNNNNNNNNNNNNNNNNNNNNNNNNNNNNNNNNNNNNNNNNNNNNNNNNNNNNNNNNNNNNNNNNNNNNNNNNNNNNNNNNNNNNNNNNNNNNNNNNNNNNNNNNNNNNNNNNNNNNNNNNNNNNNNNNNNNNNNNNNNNNNNNNNNNNNNNNNNNNNNNNNNNNNNNNNNNNNNNNNNNNNNNNNNNNNNNNNNNNNNNNNNNNNNNNNNNNNNNNNNNNNNNNNNNNNNNNNNNNNNNNNNNNNNNNNNNNNNNNNNNNNNNNNNNNNNNNNNNNNNNNNNNNNNNNNNNNNNNNNNNNNNNNNNNNNNNNNNNNNNNNNNNNNNNNNNNNNNNNNNNNNNNNNNNNNNNNNNNNNNNNNNNNNNNNNNNNNNNNNNNNNNNNNNNNNNNNNNNNNNNNNNNNNNNNNNNNNNNNNNNNNNNNNNNNNNNNNNNNNNNNNNNNNNNNNNNNNNNNNNNNNNNNNNNNNNNNNNNNNNNNNNNNNNNNNNNNNNNNNNNNNNNNNNNNNNNNNNNNNNNNNNNNNNNNNNNNNNNNNNNNNNNNNNNNNNNNNNNNNNNNNNNNNNNNNNNNNNNNNNNNNNNNNNNNNNNNNNNNNNNNNNNNNNNNNNNNNNNNNNNNNNNNNNNNNNNNNNNNNNNNNNNNNNNNNNNNNNNNNNNNNNNNNNNNNNNNNNNNNNNNNNNNNNNNNNNNNNNNNNNNNNNNNNNNNNNNNNNNNNNNNNNNNNNNNNNNNNNNNNNNNNNNNNNNNNNNNNNNNNNNNNNNNNNNNNNNNNNNNNNNNNNNNNNNNNNNNNNNNNNNNNNNNNNNNNNNNNNNNNNNNNNNNNNNNNNNNNNNNNNNNNNNNNNNNNNNNNNNNNNNNNNNNNNNNNNNNNNNNNNNNNNNNNNNNNNNNNNNNNNNNNNNNNNNNNNNNNNNNNNNNNNNNNNNNNNNNNNNNNNNNNNNNNNNNNNNNNNNNNNNNNNNNNNNNNNNNNNNNNNNNNNNNNNNNNNNNNNNNNNNNNNNNNNNNNNNNNNNNNNNNNNNNNNNNNNNNNNNNNNNNNNNNNNNNNNNNNNNNNNNNNNNNNNNNNNNNNNNNNNNNNNNNNNNNNNNNNNNNNNNNNNNNNNNNNNNNNNNNNNNNNNNNNNNNNNNNNNNNNNNNNNNNNNNNNNNNNNNNNNNNNNNNNNNNNNNNNNNNNNNNNNNNNNNNNNNNNNNNNNNNNNNNNNNNNNNNNNNNNNNNNNNNNNNNNNNNNNNNNNNNNNNNNNNNNNNNNNNNNNNNNNNNNNNNNNNNNNNNNNNNNNNNNNNNNNNNNNNNNNNNNNNNNNNNNNNNNNNNNNNNNNNNNNNNNNNNNNNNNNNNNNNNNNNNNNNNNNNNNNNNNNNNNNNNNNNNNNNNNNNNNNNNNNNNNNNNNNNNNNNNNNNNNNNNNNNNNNNNNNNNNNNNNNNNNNNNNNNNNNNNNNNNNNNNNNNNNNNNNNNNNNNNNNNNNNNNNNNNNNNNNNNNNNNNNNNNNNNNNNNNNNNNNNNNNNNNNNNNNNNNNNNNNNNNNNNNNNNNNNNNNNNNNNNNNNNNNNNNNNNNNNNNNNNNNNNNNNNNNNNNNNNNNNNNNNNNNNNNNNNNNNNNNNNNNNNNNNNNNNNNNNNNNNNNNNNNNNNNNNNNNNNNNNNNNNNNNNNNNNNNNNNNNNNNNNNNNNNNNNNNNNNNNNNNNNNNNNNNNNNNNNNNNNNNNNNNNNNNNNNNNNNNNNNNNNNNNNNNNNNNNNNNNNNNNNNNNNNNNNNNNNNNNNNNNNNNNNNNNNNNNNNNNNNNNNNNNNNNNNNNNNNNNNNNNNNNNNNNNNNNNNNNNNNNNNNNNNNNNNNNNNNNNNNNNNNNNNNNNNNNNNNNNNNNNNNNNNNNNNNNNNNNNNNNNNNNNNNNNNNNNNNNNNNNNNNNNNNNNNNNNNNNNNNNNNNNNNNNNNNNNNNNNNNNNNNNNNNNNNNNNNNNNNNNNNNNNNNNNNNNNNNNNNNNNNNNNNNNNNNNNNNNNNNNNNNNNNNNNNNNNNNNNNNNNNNNNNNNNNNNNNNNNNNNNNNNNNNNNNNNNNNNNNNNNNNNNNNNNNNNNNNNNNNNNNNNNNNNNNNNNNNNNNNNNNNNNNNNNNNNNNNNNNNNNNNNNNNNNNNNNNNNNNNNNNNNNNNNNNNNNNNNNNNNNNNNNNNNNNNNNNNNNNNNNNNNNNNNNNNNNNNNNNNNNNNNNNNNNNNNNNNNNNNNNNNNNNNNNNNNNNNNNNNNNNNNNNNNNNNNNNNNNNNNNNNNNNNNNNNNNNNNNNNNNNNNNNNNNNNNNNNNNNNNNNNNNNNNNNNNNNNNNNNNNNNNNNNNNNNNNNNNNNNNNNNNNNNNNNNNNNNNNNNNNNNNNNNNNNNNNNNNNNNNNNNNNNNNNNNNNNNNNNNNNNNNNNNNNNNNNNNNNNNNNNNNNNNNNNNNNNNNNNNNNNNNNNNNNNNNNNNNNNNNNNNNNNNNNNNNNNNNNNNNNNNNNNNNNNNNNNNNNNNNNNNNNNNGAUGUUCCUGAUCCCUUCUCAUCAGAUGCCCGAGAUUUUAUCCUCAAAUGCUUGCAAGUCAACCCUAGUGAUCGGCCUACUGCUGGUGAGUUGCUGGACCAUCCAUUUGUGAAGAGGCCAUCUGGCCCUCAAUCUCCUCGUACGAGUGGAAUACAACCUUAAGUGCUUUUGAUCUAGCUACGGAGCAUCAAAUACAUCGAGGUAAAAUAAAACACCUUUUUGGAGUAAUUUCUUUUCUUUAGCAGCAUUGAUCCAUCAGACACUGGAGUUUGUCCAAUCCAGCUGGAGGAAGUACAUCCCUAUAGUAUGACUUUUUAAUUUAUUUAUUUUUUCUACUUUAGAACUCACUCAUCUUCCUAAAUACAAAAAUUCUUUAUAUUUACACUACAAUUUAACUUCAACAUCUUUUCAUAUAAGAAUUCCUUUUCAUAUAAUAUUCCUUACUACCAAAAACUAAUUCUAAUUAAAUGACUUUAAUUUUAUAUAUAUAUAUAUAUAUAUUGAGAUAUAUACUCCUAUAAAUAUAGUUCUUAAAGAUGUUAAACUCCUUUAAAAAGCAUCAAAUGGUAAUAAAUAAGAACUAGAGAAAAACCAUUCAAAUACGCAGUGAAAUCCAAAAUAGAAAUGUGAAGAAAAAAAUUAUCUUUGACUUUUGACUCUUGCCAAACCAAUCCCACUACCAUCCAAUGCUAAAUUGUCUAACAAAUGGGAAUUGAAAGCAUAGAAGAGAAUCAUUGACUCUUGACUCUUGCCAAACCAAUUUCACUACCAUCCAAUGCUAAAUUGUCUAACAAAUGGGAAUUGAAAUCAUAGAAGAGAAUCAUUGACUCUACUUAACCCAUUAUCUUAAAAAUGUUGUCUCUUCCCUCCUUUCAUUAAGUUUCUUAAAAAUUUCAAGCUUUUUUAUCAUAUAAAGUAUAAAAGAGAAUCAUUCUUAGCCCAUUAUCUUAAAAAUCCCGCCCCUUUUUCAUAAAGUUUCCUAGAAAUUUCAAGCUUCUUUAUUAUAUAAAGUAUAGAAGAAAAUCAUUGAAUCAUUAUAGCCCAUUAUCAAGUGUUGCUUCUCCUUUCUAAAGGUUAAUGUCCUUGUAGCCAUUCACAUGUGUUUCAAGAAAAAUGAAGUUAUUUUGCCCCCAAGAACUAUAGAAAUAAAAUUUUGUUAAGAAUUUUAAAAUAUAAAAAUAAAAAUUUUUAACUAAGAGUAUUUUAUAUAAUUUUUAUAUAUUUUCUAAAAUUAAAUAUCCAAUUUUUAAUUAUCUCAAAAGUUGGAGAAGCUCCAAAAAAGAAAAAUAAUGUCUUGCAAUUAUAUAACUAAUUCAAAAUAAUCUGAAUACUUCUUAAUCCACUUGUGGUUAACAUUCCAUUAAAAUUAUGUCAAAUUUAUUUAAAUCUACUUGCAUUUAUUUAUUUAAAAUUAUUCAAAGCAUCUCAAUACAUUAUUCAUUUUUGUUUUGAAAAAAAAAAAUUUGUAUCACAUUUCUAGAAAAGAAUUAUUAAUAUAUAUUGAUUUUCUUAUAAAUAUUUUUCAUUAAAUUUUAAAAUUUGUUUUUACUUAAACUUUAAAUGGGUUUGUAUGCUUGUGUUUUUCUUUAUCUUUUUUAAUCAAAUGAGUUCAUUUAUAAUAUGGGAAUAUCUACUUGAACUCGGUAUUUUAUUUAUUUCCUUUUUUAACUUUAUUUUAGUAAAUGCAUCCUUAAUCAAUAAUUUGAUGAUUGUUUUAAAAUCAAAUAGUGAAGAUAAAAUUUUGAUAAUUAAAAAACAAUUGACUUGCUACAUCACUUACAUGAAAUAUUGAUUUAUUGUUUGAAGUUUGGUGUUAUAUUCAAUUCAUCAUAAUAAGAUUGUUUUUUACUCAAUAAUUUAUGUAGAAUAAUAAAUAAAUUAAGGAGCACUUUUAUUAAAAAUCAAUUUUAAUAGAAAAAUAUAAGUUGGAUAUUCAUUUUGAUUAAAAAUAAAAUUAUAAUUUGAUUUAAUUAGAAAAUUAAUUUUUUUUCUAGUUAAUUUAAUUUUAAUUUGUAAUCCAGGUUAAUAGGGAGAAGAAGAUAGUUUUCAUAUCUUUUUAAUUGAAAAAAAAAUAAUGAUUUUUGUUGUAAUUUGUGAAUUUAUUUUAAUUUGUAAAAAGAAAAUAUUAUUCUAUUAAUUAAAUCAAUUUUGAUAAGAAUACUUAAUUUUAUUAAUAUAAUAAUAAUUGUUAAAGUAAUCUUGUAUGUGCAUAUUUUAAAAAUCUUGUAAAAAAUAAACAAAAAGAUAAGAAAAUAUGCAAAAAAAAAUUUAAUGUAUUAGAAAUUUUGUAGGGUACAAUUAUUUGGAAUAAUACUCAUUGCAAAAGAAUAUUUUCCUUUUAUUCAAUCACUUUCAUCAUAAUCUAGUGGAUAACAUGUUUUCACUUGCAUUUGUUUUUAUAUUAAGCUUUUAUAUAAGACUUUAUGUCAUGUGCUCAUGUGGACAACUCUUUUAAUGUGUAGAGUGCUUGCCUUGGAGGAUAUAUAGAAGCUGUCAAUGCAUACCUUAUAUGCUCAUCUCCACUACUAAAUAUUAUAUAAUCUAUUCUUGUUGUCAAGGGUUAAAGAACGUGAGUUGAUGCAGUCAAUCAUUGACUCAUCUUUCUAUUGCUUGGUAUUUGUGAACUACGUUGGUUGGGAAAAGUAAUUGUCUUCAUGCUUCAUUUGAUCCCAACUGUCAAUAGGCUUAGGCUCAAGAUCCAUGUACCAAUUAAAAGCACACAUUUGGAGGGAACACUCAAAUUGUUUAAGAGGUCACCCUCAUGCUAGCAUUGUUGCAAGUUUGGAUGAAUAAGACAUUGCAUUACUUUGGAAUUCCUUUUCCAUCAAAUUAUUAAAACUUUGGAGGUUAAUAACUCAGGUAUUUGUAGGUUAUCAAUUUUUGUAGUGCAAGGUUUAAAGCACACAAGUGUAUUUCAUGACGAUCCAUCGUACUAUGCUCUGAUGGUGUUACAUAUCAUGUUUUAAAUCACUUAUUUAAAUUGAAAAUCUAUUAAUUUUUCAAUGAAAAUAAUUUAAAUUUGGCUUUAAGUUAUUUCUCGGUUAUAUGUGGAUAUAUGAGCAUACACAAGGUUUUUUUUUAAUAUUUAUUAUUUGAAUUUUAUUUUAUUCAUAAUCUCUUUAGAAUAUUAUUUGUUGGAAUUAAUUGCUAUGUUGUUAUUCUUCCAAAAAUAUUUUUUUUUUUGCUUAAAAAAUAAAUUUCUUCAAACACUAAAUUCACUACUUUAAGUUAAUAAAAUCAUUUCCUUUUUUUUGGUUUCCUUUUAUUUAUUUAUUUUAAAUUAUAAUAUUUAUCAAUAAUAAGAUUUGUCUAUAAAAUGUUAAAAAAAAAAAAUCAUCUUCUCAUUGUUUAACUUAUUUUUUAUUUUUACUUUUUUGUAUUUAUAUUUUAAUUUUAGUUUUAUGUUUAUUUUUAAUAUUUAUUUUUCACUUCUCGGUCAGAAUUUUUCUUUUUUUAUUUAUUUUAAUUUUUUAUUAUUAUUUCUUGUUGACAUCCUUAUAUAUAUAUAUAUAUAUAUAUAAACGUAAUAAUAAAAUAAGACACCAUGAAUAAACUGAAGGAAAAAACUAACAUGUGAAAAAAAAUUAAAAAACUUGGUGGAGAAGUGAAGUGCAAGAGCCUAAUGCCUAAUGAUGAUGACGAUGGAAUAACCCCACCAAACCCAAAGAAAAGCAAAAGGUGAUAAGAAAAAGAGAAAAGUGAGAAAAGAAUAAAUAAGAAGAGAGAGUUGCUUUUAACUUUCUUCAUUACUUUCCCAAAGGUCACUGGAAGUCUCUUGCCAUCCCAACUUAUAGAGAGUUGCUCCUAAUUUUCCUCAUCACCUUUCAGAAGGUCAUAAGAAGUCACCUACCUUCCCAACUCUUUAUGUACAGAUAAAUGAUAAUAUUUAUCAAUAAUAAGAUUUAUCUAUAAAAUGUUAGAAAAUGAAUAUAUCAAUCCAGUGAAUUUAAUUUUUACUUUUUUUUCUAUAUAUUUAUUAUUUAAUUUUUGCUUUUAUUUUUUUUUCUUUUUAGUCUUAUAUUUAUUUUUCACUUCUCGAUCCAAAUUUUUAUUUUCUAUUUACUUUAAUUUUUUUAUUUCUUUUUUAAGUACUUAUAUAUAAUAAUAAUUAAUAAAUAAAAUAGGAGACCAUGAAUAAAGUGAAAAAAAAUAAAAUAAAAUAAAAAACUUGGUGAAGAAGUAAAGUGCAGGAGUUUGAAGGAUGAAUGUAAACAAGAGAAAAGCAAAAGGUAAUAACAAAAAGAGAAAAGUGAGAAAAGAAUCAAUAUAGAGAGAGAGAGAUAGAGAGAGAGAGAGAGUGGCCCCUAACAUUCCUUAUCACUUCACAAAGUUCACAGGAAGCCAUCUGCCUUCCCGAACUUUCUAUAUUGUAAACUGGGGUUGCUCACUAUCUUCAAGAGAAAUCAAGCCUCAAACUGUCUCUAGUAGUUUUGAGAAAUCAUGCCAAUUUAGUGAAUGAAAUUCUUCCUCAAUUUCUUUGCCAAAGAUAUCGUUCAUUCUGAUAUGUUUUUUUUAUAAAUGUUUUAUUUCUUUUCAGUUUUUGAUCUUGAGGUAUUUUUUCUAAAUAAUUUCUUUUUUUAGAUAGAUCAUUUUAUAUAUCCUUCUUAUUUUAAAUAAAACAAGUUUCCAAUGACAAAUUUUUUAAGAGUUUUUAAUGUGAAAUUUUCUAAAAUUUUAUCUUUUUGUCAUAAUGUUUCCUUUUGUUGAUAUUUUUUUUGCAAAGUCAAAGAGAUAAUGUGAAAUAAUAACUAAUUUAAUAUAAGGUUAGCAAUUUAAACCACACAACUAUAAAAAUGCAAGUGAAAAUAGAAGUGAAGGUAGAAAUUCUUUGGUUGGUCAGAUGAGAGGACUUGGUAGAGAUUAUGUUUAGGUGUAAGUAAGUAGAAAUGUUUAUAGGAUGGCGAAAGAAUUAGUAAAGAAAUUUGUUGAAUGUAACACAAAAAUUUCUUAGAUGAAUUGGUAAAGAAAUUUGUUGGAUGUAAUGGAGAAAUUUAUUAAAUAAUCACAUGAUUAGUAGGUAGAGAAUUUUCUUGGAUGACCAUAAUAAUUAAAUGUGAAUAGGUGGACAAAUUUCUUAGAUGGUCACACAAAUUAGUAGAUAGAGAAUUUUCUUCUAUUGUCACAGUAAUUGAAUAUGAAUAGGUGGACAAUUUCUUAGAUGGUUACAUGAAUUGCUAGGUGAGAAUUUUCUUGGAUGACCACAAUCAUUGAAUGUGAAUAGGUGGCAAAGUUUCUUGGAAGGUGACGAAGAUUGGCGGAAAAAUUUUCAAUCAAGUUGAGAAAUUUCUUCCAUGAUAACAAGAAUUGAUGGGGAAAUUUCUUAAAGGUGGAUAAUUAGGUUGAGAUUUUUUUUGGAUGGCAACAAGAAUUGGUGAAGAAAUAUUUUGGAAGGAUAGAGGAAACUAUAAAAAGUUCCAUUUGUUUCAAACAAUAUUAAAAGUGUGUUUAGUAAUGUUUUCAUUUGAAGUACUUUUAGUGAAUGUGUUUUUCUAGAAAUAUUUUUGGAAGAAUCAUUUAUAAAGUGUUUUAGGAAACAUUACAAGCGAUUUUUUAACAUUUUAAAUGUGUUUUCUAAAUUUUAUUAAAUACUUGGUUUUUCUUCAAAAAAAAUGUUUUUUGUUUUUAUGCUAGAAGUGAUUUUUUAAAUUUUAUCAAAUAUGUGAUUUUUCUUCAAAAACGUUUUUUAUGCUAUAAGUGCUUUAUAAAAGCACUACCAUGAGGACCUUGACCUUUUGCCUCUAAUAAGGCUAAAGUGAUGACUAGUUGGUGAUUGCAUAUCUCUGCUAGUUUUAGCAAGUGAAUGUGCUCGCUUACUUGCUUUGCUAAAAAUGCAAUGAAUGUCUUUGCUUUGCUGUAGUCAUAGGACUUAGAGGUGUUGUGCCUUAACUUUGCAUACUAGAAAUUUGUACGCGUAAAAUUUGAAAGUCCUAUAAAAAAUAAGUAAAAAGAUGAGAAAAAUAUAUAAACAAAAUUAUUUGUAUUAGAAAAUUUUUAAGGUACAAUUUUCUAGAGUAAUAUUCUUUACAAAAUAAUAAUUUUUUUCUUAUUUGAUCACAAUCCAGAAAAAUAUAUAAAUAAAAUUAUUUGUAUUAAAAAAAUUUUAAGGUAAAGUUUUUGGCUUAUUAUCAAAUUACUUUUGUUGAACUUUGAAUACAUAUUUAGUAUUUUGUAUGCUUCCCCAAAUUUUCAAGAAUAUCUUAUGAAACCUCUUUUUCAUUCUCUUUUAAAUUUGAGAUCUCAAAUACUUUAUUACUCAAAGCCCUAGAGCUUAAGCAAUACCACAGAGAACCACUCAGGUAUAUGCAUUUUGAUGCUAAGUAUGGAAAACAAAAAAACAUAUUCUUUUUCUAAAAAAUUUAUAAUAUUAAAUAAAAUGAUAUUUUAAAAAAUUAUAAAAUUAGUUAAAAUUAAAUAAUUUAAUUUUACUUUAGUUUCAAUAUACUUACAUUUAAAUACCAUACAUAUUUCAUUUAAUAAUAUUUAAAAUAUUAUUAUAUUUAUACUUAUGCAUGAUUUAAUUUAAUAAUAUUAAAGAUAAAAAAUAAAUAUUAUUGUGUGGACCCCAUAUUCCGGUCCAUGCGUUUUCCACUCGACGGCGAGCUCGAUUUUAUUUGAAAAAUAAUUUUAUUUAUUAGAAAAUGACUUGGAGUCGCCACUUAUUUCUGUUUUAUUUUAAAAAGGUAAACAAAAUAAAAAAGAAAACCCUAAGUGCGACUCCUUGUUUUGGAAAAGGUGUUCUAUGAAAAAUCGGAUCGAGCUCGAGGGUAAGGUUACUUAUCGAAAAGGUACAGUAAAGACCGUAACACCCUUUUAAAUCCCAAAAGUCGAGUCUCUACUAAUAAAAGGAAGCUGAUGUGACAAUCAAUAAGAAAAUCAAUUGAUACUCAAAUCUAUCAUGCACAUAUGGAAAUCAAAACAUGCAUAGAUAAUAACCAGAAUGGGAGUGGAUGUGUACCUGAACCAAGAGCCACAAUGCGCUAUCAAGGAAUGUGGUUAAUGUACAAUUGAUGAGUGCAAAAUAUAGCUCGUGUGUUACUAAACAUAAUGAGAAGUCAUCUGAUAUCACAAUUAAGUCAAAUUUAUUUUUCGAGGAAACAAUCACUAAUGUCGGACCCCCACCAAAGCCCAAUUUAUUUUUGAGUGAAUUAAUUUCGUUAAUUCUAUCACUUGGAAUUACGAAAACAAAUUCAUAUUUAUUUUAAAACACAUUAAAAAUCAGGUAAAAUGUAAAAAUGGCAUGCCGAAGAGAAAAUGACAACCAAUUUUAUUAAAAAGCAGAUUUUUGGAACCUAAGAGAAAUACUAAGGAUAGAAAAUUUUGGGGAUUUGAAAUUAAUUAAAGAUCGGAAACGAAGGAAUUAUUUACGAAAUGAAGUUUAGGAAAAUCAUUUUCAAAAUAAAAAAUGAUGUAAUGGGAGAUGGCACGUGGCAUAAGAGUGGCCAUGCAAAAAUACUUGAGUAGGAGAGUUGGUGUGCUGCUGCUACGCGUCUGAAGUAGGCCACAUUCGUAAUGGGUCCCACUGGAAACCUCUUAUAGAUGAGACCACCGUGAACACAAUAUAUAGGCCAUUCCAAACACAAUAAAUCCAAAGUCAAUCCCCGCUACCCGUGUAAUCUAAAACCUCAAAGAUCUUUGGCUUCCAAAUUGCCUCAUGCUAUAGCCGUGCACGAAGCUCAGCCGGGCAGCGAAUAUUGUACCAUCAUAUUCGCAAUGGUGAUCCAAACCGUUCAUUCCAACAACUCGGCAACUGUAUCUGUGCAUAGCUUGAAGGUGGGUCUUCUUCAAAGCCAAAAAGAUAUUGAUGCAUCACCCAAUGGGACUCAUUUAGGAAUGGCAAUGGGGCGGGUCAUUUCGGGUACCCGCCCCUAAUGGGGUGGGAUAUUAUUUUUCUAAACGGGUAUGGGACGGGUUUGAGAUUUUUUUUAAAAUCCGGGGCGGGUUCGGGGCGGGUUCGGGUAUUGCUCCGCCUCGCCCCGCCUCGCCCCGAUUAUAUAUAAAAUUAAAAUUAUAUAUAUAAUAAAAUAGUGUUGGCAUAAGCUUCUGGGGACGAUCUCACUCUUCAUGAAUCGUUGGCAUAAGCUUCCUCUCACCAGCAGAAGUCCCAGAACUGCAGAUUCAAACCCCCAACAAUAAAAAAACAUUCACUUACACAGUCACACAACAGACACAUUUAUAUUAAGACCAUGGAUGGAAAGCGGAUUUCCUCCCUCUAUUCAAGAAAGCGAAGGAUCGUCGCUACCAAAUCUCCCGCCCAUACCAGAAUUGAGGGAGAGUGAUCGGCUCCCCUCUGAAUGCCUCUACUUCGGUUUCAGAAUCGGAUUCAUGGCAGAGAAUCCGCAGCAGGAGCAGGCACUUUUUGAGCCUUGUUUACGUUCGUUCCUGUCAAAAUCAUUCUGAGUGAAGGUAAUUGGUUGGGGAGAAAAUAGACCUCCCACCAUAGCUUGCAAACCCUCAGGUGGAAUGGAAUUAGGGACGCUUGCUUGUGCUAGCCUUUGCCAGCCCUAGAAUCAGACCUGGUAAGGAACUCAGAGAUGGAGUGAGAAGACAAGAUUGGAGAGCGAUCUCCAUUAGCAAUACGCUGAAUAUCUGGGGCCCACAAAUAAUAAAAUUUGAGAACCUAUCUUGCAAGGAAGGUAAGCUUAACUUGUCAAAAGAGUUUUUGUUUUGACAUUAAAAAUAAACGGGGCGGGUAUGGGAAUGUAGCAUACCCGCCCACCCCGCCCCGCCCCGCCCCACCCCGCUUAAUUUUUUAAAUGGGACGGGGAUGGGAAUUGCUUUAAAUAAACGGGACGGGGUUGGGAGGGGGGCGCCCCGCCCCGAACCCGCCCCGUUGCCAUCCCUANNNNNNNNNNNNNNNNNNNNNNNNNNNNNNNNNNNNNNNNNNNNNNNNNNNNNNNNNNNNNNNNNNNNNNNNNNNNNNNNNNNNNNNNNNNNNNNNNNNNGUAAUUGGUUUUAACCAUUUUGUGGCAAGUUUACAUGUUUAUAUCAGCUUAUGAAUCAAUUCAAGCAUGCCAAAUGAUGGAGGAGCUAUUUGGACAAGUUAAAGCAAGCUUUUAGCUACACCAAAGCAAGCCAACAAAAGGAGAAAAGCAAAGAAAAGCAAAGAAAAGCAAAGAGAAGCAAGGAGGAAAACAGAGGACAGCAGCUGCAGUCUUCGUUGGCACUUUUGGAGCACUUCCCGAAGUCCAUUCUCUACAUGCUAUAUACCAUUUCAAAGCUCAGGAAGUCAAGAAUCCAACGCUUCAAACCGUGCAUGAUUUGGAGCUGAAACGAGGAAGAUAUGGCCUUCGGAAGACAACUGCUCCAGGUGUGCGAGAAUUUCGCACACCCCCCUUUAGCUGUGCGAAUGGUGUGCGAAGUUCGCACACCUUCUUCAGGUGUGCGAAAAUUUCGCACACCCCAUGCGUGGUGCGAAUUUUCCCCUGUUUCUGCCGACUCCACUUUAGAUAUUUUCUUUUAGAUAUUUUUGUAUAAAUUUCCAUUCUUCUCCUUAUAAUCCACCAAUCAUAAGAUUUAUUAGCUAGGAAGGUUGGAAAAACUUCUCUAUAUAUAUCCCCUUGCAUCCGUUGUAACAUAUAUUGAUAUAUAGAUAUAUAAUAUAUAUUACGUUUUACACUCUCUCGUUUUCUCUUUUCUCUUCACUAUUUUAUUUUCUUGGUAGCCAAACAACCUCUAAGGGCUUUUCCUCAGAGGAUGAUUGGCUAAAACUUUUAGUUUCUCAAAGUAUGGAUGUUAUGUGAUGGCUUGGAUGCAAUCCCAUGGAAAUUUCUCACACCCAGAAGGUAAGGUAGUCGUUUUUCAUUAAAGGUUCAUUAAUGCAAAGUUUGGUUUUUAUUUCCUUUGGACAACUUCCAACGGCCAAUACUUGAUAAGCUUUUGGAUUUCUAUCCAUUAGUUAUCUCCUACGAGCUAUUGGAAGGUGAGGUUUUCAAUUCCAAGUUUUGUAUUAAUCCGUUAGAACCAAUUUCAAUGGCCAUUGAAAGGUGAGUUUAUCACCUGGAAUGACUUUGAGUUGCCAAUAUUUGGUAAGCUUUUGGCUUUAGACCAUUAGUUAUCUCUUACGAGCCAUUCAAAGGAAGUCUAAGGUGAAUAACCAUUGAUGAAAUUCACUACCAUCUGUUUUGCCAUUUUAAAGGAUUAAAACGUGAUUUGCUAAAUCCAUACCGGUUCGAGAAGCAAGCAUCACCAUAGUUGCAACCCCAACGCGAGGAGCCUAUCCUAAGAUUUCCAAUUUGCAUAAGAGCCAGAGCAUAGCUAUCCUAUCUUUGAGAAACUUGUUUUUACACCCUUUCAUUUUAGUCUUUAAUGUUAGCUUAGAUUAGUUUAAAUCUUUCUAAAACAUUUACAUCUUCUUUUAAAGCUAACAUCCAUAAGAAAAUCACCUAUUUUCCUAACUUGAAUAUCACUUGUGUUUGCGAAAACCCUUCCCAGUGAACGAUCCUAGAACCACUAUGCUAUAGUAGCUUGGCUACUUUAGUAAUAGUAUUCAAGGUAUAAAUUUUGUUGAUACGCCUUUAAAGCUAAGCUACCAUGAGUCGCAUCACCUGACACCUUCUUCCUAUUGGACUUUACAAGGAUCUCAGCCCAUUGUACAUGAUGCUUCUCCAUUGCCUCCUCAUCUAUAGCCAGAAACCACCACUUGCAUCCCUAAACUGCUUCAAGGUAUAUGAUAGACUGCCUCAAGGUGUUCAUUUGGAGAGUGUAUGAAUUAGCUCACAACACUCACUAAAUAAGGUAUAUAUGGCCAAUUAUGAGAGAGAUAUAUUAGUUUUCCCACAAACUUCUAAUAGUGUUCUUUGCCAUCACACUUACUCUCUUUUAGUAACCAUAAUUUGCAAGUAGGAUCAAUUAGAGUCUUGGUUGGUUUACACCCUAGAAGUCUAGUUUUUUUGGAGUCAAUCUAGUGUAUACUUCCUUUGUGACACAAAAAUACCUUCCUUUGAUAUAUCGAACUCCAUUCCCACAAAGUACCUCAAGGUUCUUAGAUCCUUGGUCUCAAACUCUUUAGCUAGGAAAUUCUUCAAUCUCUCCAAUUUAGCUAGAUUAUCUCUAGUAAGGAUGAUAUCAUUCACAUACACUGUUAGUAUAGCAAACUUGCCAUCACUAGAAUUAUUGUAGAAGAGAGUAUGAUUUGCCUGACUUUCUGAGUACCCAAGCAAUUCAUCUAAGUUCAAAUAAUCUUAUACCAUAUUGCUAAUGCUAUUGGGUAUUGUAAGAAAACAUGAGUUAUAGACUCUUCACUCACCCUGAACAUAACACAACAUUUUGGGCUAAGUAUGUCGGUGUUAUUCUCAAGAUAAUGAUGAAAAAUAUGUAAAAAUUUUGCAUUCUGUGAAUAGGGUAUGGAAAUUUUGAUAAAAUAUUAUUAAAAUACAAAUAAUGCGAUUUGAGUAUGAAGGGUGUGAUCAAAAUAGAAAAAUAUGAUUAGAAUAAGAAAUAUGAUUAAGGUGUGAAAAAUAUAAUUAGUGUAGAAAUAAUGUAAUCAAGGCAUAAAAAAUAUAAUCAAGAUUGAAAUGUUAUUAUGGUAAAAAAAAAAUGUGACUAUGAGUUUAAAUAAUAUGAUUAGGGUUAUAAAAAAAAGUGAUUGGGGCAUGAACAAAUAUGAUAAGAAUAUAUAAUUGGAGUACAAAAAUAUGACCAAAAUGCAAAAUUUUGAUGAGGGAAGAACAAUGCAACCAAUAUUGGGAUCAUAUAACCAUGGUGUCAAAAAUAUUAAGAUCCAAAAACUAGUAGUUCAACCAUUUUUCAUUUUUGAUCCUCUAAAUUUUAAAAUAAUUCUCACUUGUUUUAUUUUGUUUUAGUCCCUUUUUAUUUUAUUGAUUAAUUAAUUCCAUUCCUCUUUUUGUUUAAUUCCUAUACCCAAUACUAUCACCUAAAUAAAUUACCACACCAAAAGAAAUAAACAAUGUCUCUCAUAAAAAAAAAUAAAAAAAAAGAAAAGAAAAAACUACCUAAAUAAAUUGUUGUGCCAAAUGGAAUAAACAAUGUCUGUCUUAAAAAAAAAAAAAAAAGGAUUAAAAACUAUAUGUCAAAGACAACCAAAUUAGUAGGUACAUGUAACUCCACCAAAUCAUUUGCCAAUGUGUUUCUUUGAAAGCUUUUGUCAAUUAUGCCAGAUUAUUAGUUACAAAUCUAAUCCUUUACUCUAAUUUUGAGUGUUGUAUAAUUUCAUUUUCCUCAAUAUUGUUUCUUUGUACCUAGAAAAAUACUCACUUGUUUUUGCAUUCAACACCUGGACCUAUUACUAGGUGAAUGGUCACCUAAGAGACUACAUAAGAUUAAACCUUUGUUGUUACACCACUCAAUAUACCAUUUUUUCCAGUAAGAAAUUGGUUGCUUCUAUCUGUUGGAUUUGCUUAAGUGUUGAUCUGUUCACAAUGUGAUAAGUGAAUGCUUAUUGAGGACACAUGUCAUGAUUACUAUUUUACUAACCUUUACACCAGUUUCAAAAGCAAAAGCAAAAGCAUCCCCUCAUGGGAUGCAUCUUAUGAGUUUGUAUGGUAUUAUAGGAGAAGAUUUCUCCUUCACAAGCAAACCUUGUUUAGUGUAGGUAGAUUAUGGACCUGUCUUUGAUCAUCAAUGAGAUGGUGGAUAAGAAAGUUCACUUGGCCAAGGAGUGGAUGGUAUUUAAGAUAAAUUUUGAAAAGACAUAUGAUCAAGUUGAUUGAGAUUUACUAAACCCUGCUUUGCUUGGAAAAGGUCUAGUUCUAAAUUGACACUUCAGAUUUUAGGUUGCCUAUCUUCAAUUAGUUUUACUAUGAUAGUGAAUAGUUGUAUGAAAGGUUGGGUAAACGGCUUGUACAGGGUUCACACAAUGGGAUCUGCUUUCUCAUUUCCUCUUUAUAAUAUUAGUAGAUAAGAGGAUAUGUACCAAGAUUAAAUCACACUUUCAAUAUUUGAAAGAAUAAUUAAAAGAAAAAAAAAAUUCUUUCAAUGUUCACACAGAUAUCAAGACUUAAGAUAAAUCUAACUUAGAGUAUUCUGUUAGGCAUUAUUUUGAUUUAAGACAACUCUUUAGUCUAACUUCCUAGUUAGAUUGCUGGACUGCGAGGUAACCCCUUUCUUGUUUAGGGCUUAUUCUACUUGGGAAUCUCAAGGCUCCUCAGUUUUAGGACUCUGUUUUAGAAAAGGUUUGUUGUAAACUAAAUGGUUGUUAAAGAGCCUUUUUGUCCUUAGGAUGAAGAGCUACAUUUAUCCAGUCUCAUUUUCCUUAUAUUUGUACUAGUUUCCUCUCAAACUAGUGUUCCAAUCAAGAUUGGCUUCUAAGAUUGAGAGAAAUUGGAAUUUUUAUUUGGCAGGGAAGGGAAGAAAGAACUUACUAUUUGUUUGCCUAUCAGAAAAUGAAUGAAGGGGUUUUAGGUUUGGAAUGAUUUCUUCAAGGAAUAGAGCCUUUUCUAUGGAGCUAUACUUGGGCUAGUGACACUGCAUUCCAUAAGGUAGUCAGAAUUAAUUAUGGUUUGCACUCUAAUGGUUGCGAUACGAACAUUUUGUCCAAUGAUCACAUUAGGGAACAUGGAGAGCAAUUGCACAAGGUUUCUUUAAUUUUCUUAGUGUAUCCAGUUCUUAGUUUGUGGUGAUUUCAGACCCUCUAUCCUAACAUUGGUUGGUUUCAAGGUUUAGAGAUUCUUUUAGUUCAUCUGCUCUUAAUAUUUUAUCCUCCUUGUGUCGGUACCUUAACUCCUCGUUUAUUUCUCAAACGAGGAGAGUGGUGAUCUUAUCAGCUUCAUUUCUUUGUUGCUUCUUGUUUGUCUAUCAUCCUCUUUUUCCCACAAUCACAACUUAAUUACAGAGAGGUAAGGUUUACCCACAAUCACGUGGGUCCUCUAUACCAGUCUUUUGCUAACAUAGUCAAAGAUGAAGGUCCAAGGAGGUGGACUUGUCCCUAUUGGGAGGUGGGCACAAGCUGUGGUGUGUGAAUGUAGUGAAGAUAAUGUUAAAUGGGCUGAGGUUGGCCGAGCUGUGGAGAGAUGCUUAAGGAAGAAAGGAGUGGCUACGAUUGUGCCCUUCUCAGGCGGAAAAGGUGUUUUCUUUGUAGAAACAAUAGAUGAAGCUCUCUUUCUCUAGGAUUUAAGAUUUAUUAAGAUUGAAGGAGGGAUUUCAGUUCAGUUGAGAAGGUGGUCACCAAAGGAAAAUUCGGUUGUUGAGGGGAAGUUUAGAAGAGGUUGGAUUGAGCUACGGGGUUUGCCAUUUCAUCUCUGGUCUAAGGUACACUUGAAGAAAAUAGUGGAGCAGUGGGGGACAGUGACUGAAAUUAAUUGGCGACCGUUGAAAUUAUUUGAUCUAAGCAAUGCGAAGAUAAGAAUUGCAAUGAAGGAACGGUCAGCUCUUCCAGCUCUGAUUGAGGUGAUAGAUGGGGAUUUGGUGUUCACUAUUUCUAUCACAAUGGUUGGAGAAGAAGAGGCCAAGAGAGGUAGAGUGAUGGGUGAGUUGACUCAGAAGGGUUCUGUAUCUCAUUCGGGGACAGGUGGUGGAAGGCAUGAGGAGAGAGACAGAUCAACGACUAGAAGUAGUUUCCGUAUUAGGGAAGUUGGAAGAAAUGAGAAGGAAGGUGAAAUGAGUUCGAUUGAAGCUCUUCUAGCGGGGACACGUGGUAAGAAUGGUCAAAGUAUGGGGAACAGCUGGUUCAGUUCGAAUUAAAAAAAAAAACUGAACUUUGGGCCUAAGGGACAGCGACGGCGGGCAAAGCUUCAGUCGGCGGGAAUGAGGCCCUCACAAUCAAGAAUGGUUGGGCCUUUGUGAGAGAAGCCCAGACUCUUUCCAUUUUCAGCCCACUAAAUGCUGCAAAAUUGGGCUACAACUUAAAAAGCCCGAUGGAGAGCAGGGAUCGUUACGAAGAGGAGUCUCUGCAGGGGGAAAGGGGAAAAGAGUUCCAACUGAUCUUGAUGUUCAGACGAGAGGAUCCAUGAAGAAGGAAGUGAAGUUCGGUUCAAAAAAGCUAUGGAAUACCCUAUUUCCGCCAAGUUCCGUUCGUCGUCAUGGUUCUCGAAGCUAUAGCGAGCCUCUUUUGCUCGGGAAGCCAUCGUUAGAUAGAGAAGAGCUUCCAAAGGAGGAGGCUUUCGGGGCGGGAGCUUAGUGGGAACGAGGAGCCAGCGCGAGUCCUAUCUUCUUUUGCCGAUCGACAAGGAAUCGAAAGUGGGGUUAGGAGGAAGGGGCUUUGUCGGCUAGUGGCGAAGAGGCUGCGCCCAAAUCACUUUUUGAAGAAGAUAGAGAAGGAUUUUUGGGCCGAGUGGGGUUCGAUCUUUGUGGUCAUUCAAUCACGUUUUUGCCUUCUAGUCCAGAAACCAGAGAUAAAUGGCUCAAAUUUUUAGGGAAUUGUGGAUUGUUGGUAGCAAAAAACGUGGAGGUAAUUUCAUCUGCUUCUCCUCAAUCACCUCUCUCUUCUUUCCCACUUCUUCUGGGUCGGUACCUCCUCUUCCAUUACUGAGCCCUUUUGCUCACAUUUCCUCUAGUUUAGUCUUUCAGUCUCCAUUUCCUUUGGAAAAUCGAGUAAUUCCCUUUUUUUUUUUUUUUCCAAAAAUGACGAUGUUGGUUCUUUAUGUCAAAAUUGUGUUGGCAAUCCAAUCCUUGUUGGGGUGGAGUCCCAACCUGCUUGUUCAAACUUGUUGCCCGAGAGGUUCAAUCCCAUUAAGUCUAAACCCAAUUUGCCCAAUGAGGUGUCCAACCUGGUCACAGUCAGCUAGGGUGAUGAUGCGAUAUCCCCAUCGGGCGAGUUCCAAAUGAAGGCCUAUCUCCCAGGAAAAUGGCUAAAGUGCGUGAGGUUUUAAGCUCUCUGGAUAUCAAGGUAUAUUCCAGGAGGAAGAGUAGACACUCUAUAGGUUUGUGAGACCUGUUGAAACUAGUUUGGGGAUUAGGGUUUGCACUAUUUUUCUAUGAAAAUAAUUAGUUGGAAUACCAGAGGUUUGGGAUCAAGGAAAAAGUGAAGAGUGGUUAAGGAUUUCCUAAUGUUAGAAAACCCGGAUGUAGCGAUGACCCAGGAAAAAAAAAAGGAGGAGUGUGAUAGAAGAUUUGUGGGUAGUAUUUGGACGGUUAGGAAUAAGGAAUGGGCUGCUCUUCCGGCGAGUGGGGCUUCAGGUGGGAUUUUGAUUAUUUGGGACUCUAAUAAAUUGCGCAGUGAGGAGGUGGUAAUAGGAUCCUUUUCAAAUUCAGUCAAGUUUGCUUUAGAUGGUUGCGUGCCUUUAUGGCUGACUGCAGUUUAUGGCCCAAACAGUCCCUCACUUAGGAAGGAUUUUUGGGUGGAGUUGUUGGACAUUUUUGGUAUCUCUUUUCUGUUAUGGUGCAUAGGCAGUGAUUUUAAUGUCAUAAGGAGAAGUUUAGAAAAAUUGGGAGGAUCUAGUCUAACUUCAAGCAUGAAGGACUUCGAUGAUUUUAUAAGAGAGUGUGAAUUGCUUGAUCCACCUUUACGGAAUGCACCAUUCACUUGGUCAAACAUGCAAGAGUCUCCCGUGUGAAAAAGAUUGGAUCGUUUCCUUUACUCAAAUGAGUGGGAGCUUUCCUUUCCUCAAAGCCUUCAAGAAGUUCUUCCUAGAAGAACUUUGGAUCAUUGGCCGAUUGUUUUGGAAACCAACCCGUUCAAGUGGGGCCUAACACCUUUUAGGUUUGAGAAUAUGUGGUUGCAACAUCCUAGCUUCAAAUGGUGAUUUAAAGGUUGGUGGAGAGGUUUUCAAGGAACUGGGUGGGAAGGCCACAAGUUCAUGAGGAAAUUACAAUUUGUUAAGGCCAAUUUGAAAGAGUGGAAUAAGGUUUCUUUUGGAAAGCUAAACGAAACGAAAAAAAGCAUCCUGAAUGAUAUAGCUAACCUUGAUGUCAUUGAGCAAGGUGGGGGUCUCAGUUCUGAACUUUUAAUUCAAAGAACUUUAAGAAAAUGGGAGUUAAAGGAAUUAAUCUUGAGGGAAGAAAUUCAUUGGAGACAAAGAGCCAGGGUGAAAUGGGUUAAGGAAGGGGAUUGUAACUCAAAGUUUUUUCAUAAAGUGGCUAAUGGAAUGAGAAAUAGGAAAUUUAUCAAGGUGUUGGAGAAUGAAAGAGGAGUAGUGUUGAAUAAUUCAGAGAGCAUCACAGAGGAGAUUUUACAUUACUUUGAAAAGCUCUACUCGAGUCAUAUUGGUGAGCCAUGGAGAGUUGAAGGUUUAGAUUGGUCCCUUAUAUCUGAAGAUAGUGUGUCUAGAUUGGACUCCCCUUUUACUGAAAAAGAGAUUCAUAAGGCCAUUUUUCAGUUGGAUAGGGAUAAAACGCCAGGUCCUGAUGGCUUUACCAUUGCAGUGUUUCAAGAUUGUUGGGAUGUGAUCAAGGAUGAUUUAGUGAGAGUGUUUGCAGAGUUUCAUAGUAGCGGGAUCAUCAAUCAAAGCACUAAUGCCUCCUUCAUAGUUCUGUUGCCCAAAAAAAGCAUGACAAAGAAAAUCUCAGACUUUAGACCUAUUAGUUUGAUCACUAGUCUUUACAAGAUAAUAGCCAAAGUGUUAUUAGGACGUCUAAGAGGGGUAUUACACGAAACUAUUUAUUCUACUCAAGGCGCUUUUGUUCAAGGGAGACAAAUAUUGGAUGCAGUUCUCAUAGCCAAUGAGAUAGUGGAUGAGAAAAGACGUUCAGUGGAGGAAGGAUUCGUUCUCAAAAUCUACUUUGAAAAGGCUUACAAUCAUGUGAGUUGGGAUUUUUUGGAUCAUGUGUUGGAAAAGAAGGGGUUUAGUCUUAGAUGGAGGAAAUGGAUGAGAGGCUAUUUGUCCACGGUAUCUUUUGCAGUCUUAGUAAAUGGAAACGCUAAAGGGUGGGUUAAGGCAUCUAGAGGCUUAAGACAAGGCGAUCCUUUAUCCUCAUUUUUGUUUACUUUAGUAGCAGAUGUAUUGAGUAGGAUGUUGUUGAGAGCAGAGGAAAGAAAUUCGUUAGAGGGUUUCAAGGUGGGUCGGAAUAGUACAAGGGUGUCCCAUUUGCAAUUCAAGGAUGAUACCAUAUUCUUUUCUAACACUAGUGAGGAAGAUUUGCAGACUCUCAAGAGUUUAUUGCUAGUUUUUGGGCAAAUUUUUGGGCUUAAGGUUAACCUUGACAAGAAUAACAUUUAUGGCAUCAAUCUUGAACAGAAUCAUCUUUCUAAGUUGGCUGAAUUGCUAGAUUGCAAGGCUUUUAGAUGGCCUAUUCCCUACUUAGGUCUUCCUCUGGGAGGGAAUCCCAAGGCUUGCGGCUUUUGGGAUCCUGUGAUUGAGAGGAUCUCGAAAAGAUUAGAUGGGUGGCAAAAGGUUUUUCUAUCUUUUAGAGGUAGGAUAACUCUUAUCCAAUCUUGCCUCACCCACAUGCCUUACUACUUCAUUUCCUUGUUUAAGAUACCUGCUUCAGUGGCUACAAAGAUUGAGAGAUUGCAAAGGGAAUUUUUAUGGUUAGGGGUUGGGGAAGGAAAAAGAGAUCAUCUUGUUAGCUGGGAUAUAGUUUGUAAGCCGAAGGCAAUAGGGGGUUUGGGAUUUGGGAAAAUAGCUCUAAGGAAUGUCACACUCUUAGGGAAAUGGUUGUGGAGGUACCCUAGGGAGGGUUCAGCUCUAUGGCAUAAGGUUAUUUUAAGCAUUUACAGAUCACACUCUAAUGAAUGGGAUGCCAACACAAUAGUCAGAUGGUCACAUCGUUGUCCUUGGAAGGCUAUUGCACAAGUCUUUCAGGAGUUUUCCAAGUUUACUCGGUUUGUGGUAGGAAAUGGGAAUAGAAUUCGGUUUUGGGAAGACUUGUGGUGGGGGGAUCAAUCUUUGGGUUCCCAAUAUCCAAAACUAUUUAGAGUAGUCACGGAUAAAAAUAUUCCUAUUUCUUCAAUUCUCAAAUCUACUCAUCCCUUCUCUUGGAACUUUAACUUUCGCCGUAACCUAUCUGAUCCUGAGAUAGAAGAUUUAAAAGGUCUCAUGCAAUCACUUGAUUGUUUGCAUUUGACAUUUUCAGUUCCAGAUGCGAGAACCUGGUCUUUAUCUUCUUCAGGGCUUUUUACUGUCAAGUAUUUCUUUCUUGCCUUAUCUCAUUGCUCUGAUUCUCCUCCAAUUUUCCUUACUAAGUUCGUUUGGAAUUCUCAAGUCCCUUUCAAGGUUAAGUCCUUUGUCUGGUUGGUGGCACACAAAAAGGUAAAUACUAAUGACUUACUACAAUUGAGAAGACCUCACAAAGCUCUUAGUCCUGAUAUUUGUAAGUUGUGCAUGAGGCAUGGAGAAUCAGCAGAUCAUCUUUUCCUACAUUGUUCUUUGACAUUGGAGUUAUGGCACAGAUUAUUUCAGUUAGCCAAGAUGGAUUGGGUUCCCCCGAGGAGCAUUUCUGACAUGCUAUCCAUCACUUAUAGUGGCUUUGGUUUAUCGAGGAAAGGGUAGUUUUAUGGCAAGUUGGGUGCAUAGCUUUAAUUUGGGUUAUGUGGUGGGAGAGAAAUACAAGGAUUUUUUAGGAUAAAGCAAGGAAUUCAGAGAAUCUUUGGGAUUCUAUUUUUUUCCUUGCUUCUCUUUGGGCUUUUUGUUCCAAGGUUUUUAAGGGAACCCCCCUUAUUAUGUUACAACUUGAUUGGUUAGCGGUGUGUAAUUCCGAUGGGUUGGUUUAUUCUAAAGAAGUUGUUCAUUAUUACAGUGUAUUUUCUUGUUUUCGGUUUCUUGUAGACUAGUUUUCUUUGGUGGGAGGAUUCCUCAUCCUUCUCUUGUACUUUUUUUUUUCUAUUAAUAUAUUCCUUUGAAGUUUCCUAUCAAAAAUAAAAAAUAAAAAAUCAUCCUCCUUUUCCAUUGAGAAAGUUAGGUCUUGAUCCCUUUAAGGUUUUUCUCUUUGUAGUCCUUAUAUUAAAAGUAUGAGAUUAUGAGCAGUGAUCACCUUGUUGUUGUUUACCAACCUUAAAGAAUCAGACAAGUGGGUUUGAGAAUAGAUAUGAUUAGAUUAGUUCAUGUUGACUAUCAUUGACGUGUUUAUGUUUUUCCCGUUUCUCAGACAUGUAUUUUUUAUUAUUUUUUAUUUUUUAUGCAGUGAUGGAUUCUUUUUUUCUGUGAAGGAGGUUUCAUUGCUUGAUCAAGGGGGCAAGGGCAAACAAAGCAUUUAUGAACUUGAACAGGUGAGAAGAAUUUCUUCUUCUGGAAUAAACGCUCAUCAAAUAUGGUUUAAUCUUUCUUAUUAUUUUAAUAAAAUUUUAUAAACUAUUUUUUUUUUUGUACAUCACAGUUAACCUCAAGUCAAUUGCAUAUAUAGGUAUUGUAGUAAAGAGCAACUACUCAUUGAUCCGGGCUGAAUUAUCAUGAGAUUCUUUUUCUAAUUCUUUCCUUGUUGGUCCAGGAGAUUUCUCUUUUAAGUUAGUUGGAACAUGAGAACAUAGUUCGGUAUUAUGGCACAAAUAAGGUAUGUUUCUAUGUCUUGAGUCAACUUCUUUUGUUUUCUUGUAACAUAUCAUUCUUGGAAUGAGCCGCAUUGCAUUUUGUCACCUAUAGCAAAACUAGAAUGAAUUUUUCGUCAUUUUUGUGCCUGAUUCUUGAAACAAUCUGUAAAGGAGAGUUACAAACAUAAUGGUGCAACUUGAAAUGAGAAUACUUUUAUAUUGUUAUAAUAUCAUCACCUGCAAUUAUUUAUUCCAAUUCUUCAGAGUCUUGAUAGACUCCCUUCCUGCUUCCGUAGUAUCUGAAAAUGAUCCUGCUAAUUUUUUUUUUAUAAGUAAACGCAUAGAAAAGAUAUAGAAAAUGAUACUACCAAUGGGGAUAGAACAUAUUUGUCACUCAAUCCAAUACAUGAGAUUCAAAGUGAUGUAACCAUGCAAAGAGCUAAUGAGAAUAAUAGAAAAAUCCAGUACCAAAUUUUAAUUAAAACCAUGUAUUUAUGGGGCAUCAUCCUACAUAUGAGAUUUAACCAGACUAAAAAUCUCACUGGUAAGAGAUUUAUUGAAUGUUUUUAGAACCGGACCGGUCAUUGAACUGAAAAAGUUACAUGUUCACAGUUUAAUGGUCCGACCGUUAGUCAAAUCGCGGUCGAAUCAGUAACAUCAUAAAUAUACAAUUUAUCUAUUAAUAAAAUUAAAAAAAAAAAUUAAAAUACACACACACACACACACACACACACACAUAUAUAUAUAUAUAUAUAUAUAUAUAUAUAUAUAAUUAAAAAUCAAUAAUAUUAAUUUUUUAUCUUUGAUAAAAGAUUAAAAAAAUUAAUAUUUUGAAUUUUAUUAAAUGAAAUAUGUAUAAUAUUUAAAUGUGAAUAUAUUCAAAAUGAAAGAAAAUUUGAUUAUCAAAUUUUAACUAAUUUUAUAAUUUAAUAAAAUAUUAUAUUAUUUUUAUUUAAUAUUAUAAAUCUUUUUAGAAACACAAAUUUUUUCAAUUGCCAUUUCAAUUAACAAAGCACAUGCAGCCAAGUGGUGGCCAUGUCUUUGGCAUGAGGUCUAGAGUUCAAAUCCUCUAGGUGAGUUUUCCUUAAUCCAUUUUUCUUAUACCCAAAAUCAUGUAUCCCACAUCGGAUGUGGAGAAGAAAAAAAAAGGCCCUUAUAUACACAACUUACACAAGCCAUAUACGUAAUACAAGGAACCAUGGAUUGGUGCCUAUUACCAUUUAAUGGAAGGCUUAGGCUUUUAUUUGGGCUGUUUGGGUUCUAAAUUGGGCCAAAAGAAGAGUUGGGAUUGAACUGUUCGGUUCAUGUGAAACCUCCCGGUCCAGGCGGUUCAUCGGUUCAACUGCUGGUUUGGGUAGCUUGUGACUAGUUCAUUUGCCCAGUGGUUUAAUAAGAAGGACCGGACAGGAAAAUCCACCGGUCGACAGUCCGACCAGUUGGACUGGUCGGUCUGGUCCGAUUUUCAAAACAAUGGAUUUACUCCUUAGUAGUAAAAAGUAAAAUAAAUGGAUAAAAUUGAAAUAUUUAGAAGAUGGGUCCAUUCAUUUAAGAUUUAAGUUGACCUGGACCUUCCUUAACACAGUUCUGGACCUUUUCAAGUGGUGCCACAACCUCAAAAAUGCACCAACAUGUGUUGUUUCUAUGUUAAAAUAUGUCUCUCAUGAUUCACCUUUAGUAAUGGCAAAUAUGUUGUUAGGAUUUUGAAGAGUUGGAAUUUGUAAUAUUUUGCAAUUCCAGGACUAUGAAAUUAGGGUGAUUUUUAUGGUCAAAUUCAAAGAAGCUUUAGAUAUCAAUUUUUGUAUAAACAUGUAAGAUUUUGAAGAUUGACUUCAAUUUGAGCAAAAAUGUUGGAUUCCUCAUGACUAAGGGUGUGAAAAACAAUGGAUUUACUCCUUAGUAGUAAAAAAUAAAAUAAGUGGAUAAAAAUGAAAUAUUUAGAAGACGGGUCCAUUCAUUUAAGAUUUAAGUUGACCUGGACCUUCCUUAACACAAUUCUAGACCUUUUCAAGUGGUGUCACAACCUCAAAAAUGCACCAACAUGUGUUGUUUCUAUGUCAAAAAAUGUCUCUCAUGAUUCACCUUUAGUAAUGUCAAAUAUGUUGUUAGGAUUUUGAAGAGUUGGAAUUUGUAAUAUUUUGCAAUUCCAGGACUAUGAAAUUAGGGUGAUUUUUAUGGUCAAAUUCAAAGAAGCUUUAGAUAUCAAUUUUUGUAUAAACAUGUAAGAUUUUGAAGAGUGACUUCAAUUUGAGCAAAAUUGUUGGAUUCCUCACGACUAAGGGUAUGCUUAACUUGAAAUUUUACCGUUUAGAUUUGAAAUGAUAUGCUUCAGUUUUCAAGGCUCUUUCCUAAAAUUAAACCGAAUCCAAAUACAAGUAUUAUUCUUGCUUUUUUUAGGAAAAAAAAAAGCUAUUUUUUUCAAAUCUUUUUUGGGCCUUAAACUUUAAAAAAUGGUUUAAGUGAUUGUGAAAUGGGCUAGUGAAUCCAAGUUGGAAACUCAGCCUCAAUCAAUUGUCAUCCACUUGAUGGAUUGAGGUUUACCUUAAUUGAUAGAGGCACAUGAGUCAGCUUUUUAAAGAGUUCAUCUUUUGUUGAAACUUACCUACUGGAGCCCCAUACAAACAUCACUUCUUAUGUCUAUACAUGUACAUAUUUUAAAGGUACAUUUGGUUUGGGCUUUGGGGGUGUAUCUAUGGAAUGAUAUUGUUUUUUCUCAUAAUUAAGGAUGACAACUAAAUGCUAAUUCUCAAGCAAUUUCUAAGACAACCAAAUGUUAGAAUGAGAACAAACUUGAUGGGAAUUGCAGAUUCCCAACUUCAACCAGAUAUUAGAAUGAAAAUCUUAUAUCCACUAUAUUUCUAGAGAUAUAUUUUCAUUCAUAAGUAUAGAUGCCAAUGAAUUGAACAUGCCCUUUGGAUUUAAAAAAAAAAAAAAAAUCUUUACAGAUUUCUAUAGAGCCAAGAGAGAAAUAUUAGCAAGAAGAAUCAGAAAGGGGGGCUUUCUAGAAACAAGUUAAAAGUGGAAAAUAUGGGGGGAAGAAGAGGGAUGAUUAUCUUGUAACAUUAGGGAUGGUUACGAUGUUGGGUUAUGGAAAGCUGUCUGGAAGGCUUCUGAUUUCCUUAGUAGUAGAAUUUCCUUAUUUGUAAGGAAUGGGAGGAGGGUAAAGUUUUAGAAUGAUAGGUGGUGUGGGGAUGGACCCUUAUGCCUUUUCUUUUCUAGCUUUGUAUAAUUUAGAAAAGAGGGUUGGGAGGUAGAGUUAUGGGAUUAGACAAGUGAGAUGAGCCAUUGUAACCCUUGUUUUUCUAAGAAUCUAAUUGAUUGAAAGAUGGAAGGUGUAGAACAAUUCCUCUCUAGAUUGCAAGGCAUAAUGAUGAAUGGAAUGGUAUUGCUUCCUAUGUAAAGAUGAUGAGGAAUCCAUUGAUCACAUUGGCUACACUAUGCUAUGACAAGGGCUCUUUAGAAAUUGCUCUUCUCUUUGUUUAGCGAUUCUUUUGCUUGCCAUAGUAAGAGAGGUUCUUUUAGGUUGGCAUGACUCAUUUUUGGGAGGAAGAUAAAAAAAAAGAUUUGAAAACCUGCAUCAUUAUGCAUUAUUUUGGAUGGUUUGGAAAAAGAGGAAUUGAAGUUUGUUUGAAAACAAAAGGCAAUUAGUCCAUGCUUUGAAGAGUCUUUUCCUUAGUAAUAUUUUGUUGUGGCUAAAGAGGUGCAUAGAUGAAGACUCAAUGUCUUUAAUAGAUUUUGUUGAUUGGUUGGGUUCUUGCUAAGGGGGAUAGUUUUUGUUCAUACUUUAGCACUUAUUGUAUGUGGGAGAAAAUGGUAAAAAAUUCUUAUUCAAUCAACUGUUAUAAUCAUAAUUUAUAUCCUAUAUUAACAAAGAAAUUGAAGGAAAAAAUAAACUAAUAAUCCCUAUAAAUUAGGACAAUCCUUAUAAAUCAAGGAUUAUUCUUCCUAAUCUAAUUUACAUUUAUACACUCUUUCCUAAUCUAAUUUAUAGCUAUAUACAAUUACAUAAAUAUAUAUAAGAGACCCCAAUUAGGAAAAUUCAUAUUUCUAACACUCCCCCUUAAGUUGGUGAAUAGAUAUUAUCCAUGCCCAGCUUACCUAAAAUUGCUUGAAAUAUUGUGCUUGCCAAACCCUUGGUCAAAACAUCUGCAAGUUGUCUAUUUGACAACACAAACAGAGUGCAAAUUAACCCACUUUCUAACUUUUCCUUUAUGAGGUGUCUAUCAACCUCAACAUGCUUUGUCUGAUCAUGUUGUAUCGGAUUAUGAGCUAUGUUUAUGGCUGAUUUGUUAUCACAAUACAACCUCAUGGAUCCUACUCAUUUAAUUCAUAGGCCUUGAAGAAUAAUUUUAAGCCAUAAUAACUCACAAAUUCCUUGUGUUAUAGCUCUAAACUCUGCCUCUGCACUAGACCUUACCACAACUAGUUUUUUUUUUUUUUUUUUUACUCAUCUAAGUCACUAAGUUUCCUCCAAGAAAUGUGAAGUAACCUAAUUUUGAUCACCUAUCUACCAUUGAUCCAACAUAGUCGACAUUCGUAUAGGCUUCAAGGAACAAACCCGUACCUUUUCUGAAGAGAAUUCCCAUUCCUGAGCUACCUUUAAGAUACUGUAAAAUCCUAUAGACAACUUGUAAGUGGACCUUCUUUGGAUUGUGCAUAAACUGGCUCACUAUACUCACGAUAUAGGCAAUAUCUGGUCUUGUGUGUGACAAGUAAAUCAAUCGUCCCACUAAUCUUUGAUACAUGCCUUGAUCCACUCCUUUGUCUUCCAAUGCUUCCCCAAGCUUAUGAUUUGCUUCAAUUGGAGUCUUUACUUGUUCACAUCCAAGCUUUCCCGUAUCAUUAAGCAAGUCAAGGAUAUAUUUGUGUUGUGAUACAAAAAUACCCUUUUUGACCGUGCCACUUCAAUUCCUAAAAAGUACUUUAGUUUGCUCAAAUCCUUUAUCUUAAACUCCUUUGCAAGACAUUGCUGAAGUGUCUCUUUUUCUUUUAGAUCAUUUCCGGUUACGAUUAUGUCAUCAACAUAUACUAGUAACGUUGCAACUCCCUCUAAAUCGAAAUAUUUAAAGAACAAAGUGGGAUCUUCUUGGCUUUGUUUAAACCUUAGAGAUAACAUAACCUUUGUAAAUCUUCCAAAUCAUGCUUUAGGAGAUUGUUUCAAUCCAUACAAUGCCUUCUUCAACCUACAUAUCUUAUUCUUGUCUAAACGAACUUCCAUAUAGAUUUCUUCAUCAAUUUCACCAUGGAGAAAGACAUUUUUUACAUCAAAUUGUUGUAAAUUCCAAUCAAAUUGAGCUUCCAAAUAUGAUAAAAUUCUCAUUGUAUUCAUCUUUGCUACCGAUGCAAAAGUUUCUUGAGAGUCUGUUUCAUGUGUUUGUGUAUAUCCCUUUGCGACUAACCUUGCUUUAUAUCGUUUAAGGGAUCCAUCAGCCUUGUAUUUAACUAUAAAUACCCACUUGCAACCCACUACUUUCUUCCCUUUUGGUAACUCCAUAAUUUCCCCAGUCCCAUUCUUCUCCAAUGCUUCCAUCUCGACUUUCAUAGCUUGUUUUCAUUUCCCAUUAAGUGCCUCGGUUAAGGUUUGUGGAAUCGGUAUGGAAUUUAUUUGGGUAACAAAGGCUUUAUGAGAUGGUGGGAUUUUUUCAAAUGACACAAAAUUGGACAAUUGGUGUUGCAUGCAUUUAUGUGUAUCUUACCUAAUGGCAAUGGGAAGAUCAACAUUAAUGUCAACAUCAUCAUGUGAGUCAAGAGGAGCAACAUAAUUAUGUACCUCAUUUUCGAGAAUUGGUUUGAAUGUUUGGACUUGCAUGGGUCUAGGUUCAGUCACCCUCUUCCUUGAAUAAACUUGUAGUGGCUUUAUUGUAAUAGGUUCUGACUCUUUUUCUUUUGUUCCAACAUCUAAAAUAGGGCAGGUUUUAGCUAUUUAAGGGACUGUUGUAGCUAUUUGAGGUAUGUUGGAAAUUUCUGGAACUUUUUCAUGACUUUUAGACUCUUUUUGGGUUCCAUUUGAAGGUUCGGAUGGGAAAGAUUUAGGAAAAUCAAGCAAGAACAUGUCCUUAUCUUCCAUAGACGAUGUCUCCCCUGAAAAUAAGGAAUUGAAAAAUAUCCCUCUAUUUCUACAAAAGUGACAUCCAUGGAGACAAAAAAAAAUUUAGUUGGAGGAUGGAGACAUUUAUACCCUUUCUGUGUUGAUGAAUAUCUAACAAAAACACACUUUAAUGCUCUUGGAUCCAACUUUCCUCGAUGAUAAGCAUGAAUAUGAACAAACACGGGGCACACAAACACUUUAGGAGGAAGCUUACUCGAUGUAUUGAAUUGAAGAAAGAAUGUUGUGAACAGUUCCUUAAGACUCUUUAAACCCUAAACUUGAGAAGAAACCCUAUUUGUUAAAUGAGCAGUUGUAAGAACGGCCUCCUCCCAAUAGGUUUUUUGAACAUUUUUUUGAAAUAAGAGAGCCUUUGUAACAUUUAGUAAGUGACCAUUUUUCCUCUCGGCUACUGCAUUUUGUUAGGGUGAAUCGACACAUGAAGACACAUGAAUAAUUCUCUCUUUUUGAAAAUAAGAUGAAAGUGUUUGAUUGAAAUAAUCAUUUGCAUUGUCCAUUCUAACAUGUUUUAUUGACACCCCAAAUUGAUUUUUUACCAUAUUAGGGUAAUUUGGAAAAACAAUGCUCACAUCCGACUUUUGUUUUAAAAGAAAGAUCCAAGUAACAUGGGGUAUAAUCAUCAAUAAACGAAACAAACCAACAAGCUCCUGAAAUAUUAGGAACUUGUGAUGGCCCCAAAUAUCAUUGUGAAUUAAAUCAAAAGGAAAUUAUGAUCUUUUGUUGCUCAAAGGAAAUGAGACAUAAUGAUGUUUUGCAAAAUCACUAACAUCACAAUGAAAAGUGUCUACAUCAAUAUUCUUAAAAAGUAAAGGAACAUGACCUUAAGCACAUUAAAUGAAGGGUGGCUAAGUUGAAAGUGAUAAAACCAAAUUUGGUCUUCAUUUGAAGAAGAUGAUUCGGAUAAAAAAAGAAAGAGGUAGUUGAUUCCCAUUGCCAACAUUGCCACUACUUGUAUCAAGGUAGUAGGGUUCGUUCUUUUCCUUAACAUGCGAAAUCAUCUUUCCCAAAACUUGGUCAUGAAAAACAUAGUGAGUAGGGUAAAAAAUGCCACUACAAUUGAUAUCUUUUGUGAGUUAAUAAUUGGACACAAGAUUGGUUGAAAGCUUGAGAACAUGUAAGACCUUUUUAAGACUCAAAGAAGGGUUUACAUUGACUAUUCCUGAACCUACAACAAUAGCUAAUGACCAUCAACAAUAGUGAUUUUCUUAUUGCUAGGACAUGGAAUAUAUGUGCUAAAUUUUUCUGAUGAAUGUGUCAUAUGCUCAGUAGCUCUUGAAUUAAUGAUCCAAGAGCUUGAAAGGGACAUAGCUAAGACACGAAAAGCAUGAGAGAAAGGAAACUUACUUGAAUGUGCGAGAGAGCAAACACCCAUAGGUUUCUCCAAUGAGCCCAAUCUUUUUUUCAACUUUUUAGUGUCCUCUUAAUUCAAUUCUCCAAGUUUCGUAUUGCUGUACUUUGAUUGUUCAUCUCUAGAAUUAUUAGUAUCAGCUACACAUACUUGGCUUUGAUGUUGUCCCCCUUUAAAACCACUAGCACGGUUGAUACCCAUGGUUUACCAUGAAGUUUCCAGCAUGUCUCUUUUGUGUGUUGCGGUUUUCUACAAUAUGUGCACCAAACAUUGUCCUUAUUCUUAGAAAAAUCACAUCUGCCACUGUCAUUAUUGCCACCUUGUCCUGGGUUUAGGCCUUUGAAAUUACUCUCUCUUGGUUUUAAUGUAGCAAGGGCUAAACUUUCAGCUAGUUGAGAAUCAAUCAUAACACCUCAUCGUCCUUCCUUCGCUUGAAUAAUGGAGAACACCUCAUUAAUGGAUGACAAAUCUUCCUUUCCUAAGACUUGAACUCGAACUUGAUCAAAUUCAACAUUAAGGCUAGCAAGAAACUCGAAAAUCCGCUCCCUUUCAACGAACUUUCUUAACAUUGCAACAUCUUCACUAUAUUUCAUUUGAAGAUUGUGGUAAUAAUUCGUUUCUUGCCAAAGACAUUUCAUGAGAUUAUAAUAUUCAAUGACCGAUCUUGUUUCUUGUUUAGUGGUUGAAAUUUUUUACUUAAUUCCAUAGAUUUGAGCCACAUCAUGCACCUUAGAAUAAGUUUGUCUUAUUGUUUCCCAUAUUUCUUUAGCUGUGGUGAGAAACAUACAAGUGCCAUUGAUUUCAGGCAACAUGGAAUUCCAUGACCAUGAGAUGAUCAUUGAAUCCUCUUCAUCCCACUGGUUGAACUUCGGCUCUUAAGGUUAUGGACCUAUGCCAAUUAGAUGACUUAGUUUGCCUUUAUCUUUCAAAAAGGUUUGCACUAGUUGAGACCAUUGGAGAUAGUUUUAGCCUUUCAACUGAUAUGCUAAAUUGAUAUUCUGUAACUCUCCAAUGGUUUGAUGAGGCAAAGUUUCACCAAAGAUGGUUAUGGGUGUGGCAGAAGUCUCAAACAUGUCAGACAUUGUGAAAUCCCAAAAAUCGCAGAUAGAGAUUGAAGUAAGAGAAGUGAUGAAAUAUGAAAAAUGAAAUAAACAAAACACACAACAAUGAAGGCUGAAAAACUUGAACUAAAAUCAUCAAUGAAGGUUGAUGAAGAAUGUCCAAAGUGGCUUUGAUAUAAUGUGGGAGAAAGUGGUAAAAAAUUCUUAUUCAAUCAGCUGUUACAAUCCUAAUUUAUAUCCUAUAUUUACAAAGAAAUUUAAGGUAAAAAAUAAACUAAUAAUCCCUAUAAAUCAUGACAAUCCUUAUAAAUCAGGGAUUAUUCUUCCUAAUCUAAUUUACAAUUAUAUACAAUUACAUAAAUAUAUGCAAGAGACCCCAAUUAAGAAAAUUCAGAUUUCUAACAUUGCAUAUGUCCUCUGUACCUCUUUUUAUUUUUUUCCCUAUAGGUAAAGUAUGAGAAUAUGUUAAAGGGUGCAUGUAGACCCUCAAUUUUGUCCCUUUAGCACAUGUCUUUAAAUUCGUUUUCGGUGCCCCAUAGUAACUCCUUGGUGGCCCAUUACUACUCGUACGACUUACCUUUUUCUGAGUCACCCUGGAGACUUUAGCUGAGGGAUUAUCUGACCUCUUAUUGCGACCUUUGGCAGCCCUAUUUUAGACUUAGGCUUUUCAUUCAUUUUUAAGAUAGCUUUUAGGGUAGUCUACUUAGGUCCACUUAGGCACCCUAGGCCCACUUAGGCACUUAGGCCCAUUUAGGCACCUUAGGUCCACUUAGACACCCUAGGCCCACUUAGACUUUUAUUUUAUUUUAUUUUAUUUAUUUAUUUAUUUAUUUUGUUUACUUGUUUAGUUAUUCACUCAAUUAUUUACUUUCAAAAAUUUCAUGCUUUUGCAAGGAAAUUUACCAUUGGAGUUUAAGGAAAGUGGGACUCUCCUUGGAAGGUUUUGGAGGGGGAUUUGAAAUUAGGAAGAUUGCCUUUGAAUUGGAAGAUUUAAAAAAAAGGAAAGGAAGAAAAGAAGAGAGUUAGAGAUUUUUUAUUUUCAGGGGGAUGGAGAGAACAAUAGGAAUUUUUUUAGAAGGGGUUUUUUUUUUGAGAAAUUGAAGCAUAAAGCAGAAUUUUUUUUUUAAAAGAGAGCACACGUAAUUUUGGAAAAAAGCAAGGGACUUCGAACGGAGAUCGGGCUGUCAUUUAAUCAUCAAGAGAGGAUUUUCUCUUUCACUUCAAAGGUUAGUUUUCUAUAUAGUACUUUUAUUUAGCCUAGAUUUUUUUUUGGAAAUUUUAGUUUUUGAUUAAUUCUUUGUGUUAAAGUUUAUAUUAUUUUCUUUUUAAAUCCCCAAUUAGUUUAAUUCUAAUCUAUCUUUUAGUUUAAGUUUGUUAAUGAUUUUAAUUCUUAAGUUUAAAUAAUCAUAUUGAAUAAAGUUUGUAUUUUUAAUCCCAAUUAGUUUGAUUUCAAUUCGUUUUUAAUUUAAAUGCAUUAGUUAAUCUUAAUUCUUUGUUUUAAAUAAUCACGUUAAAUAAAGUUUGUAUUUUUAAUCCCAAUUAAUUUGAUUUCAAUUCGUUUUUUAGUUUAAAUGUAUUUUGUUGAUCUUAAUUCUUGACUUUAAAUAAUCACGUUAAAUAAAGUUUGUGUUUUUAAUCUCAAUUAGUUUGAUUUCAAUUCGUUUUUAGUUUAAAUACAUUUUGCUGAUCUUAAUUCUUUAGUUUAAAUAAUCAUAUCGAAUAAAGUUUGUAUUUUUAAUCCCAAUUAAUUUGAUUUUAAUUUGUUUUUUAGUUUAAAUGUAUUUUGUUGAUCUUAAUUCUUUACUUUAAAUAAUCACGUUAAAUAAAGUUUAUGUUUUUAAUCUCAAUUAGUUUGAUUUCAAUUCGUUUUUAGUUUAAAUACAUUUUAUUGAUCUUAAUUCUUAAGUUUAAAUAAUCAUAUCGAAUAAAGUUUGUAUUUUUAAUCCCAAUUAGUUUGAUUUUAACUUGUUUUUUAGUUUAAAUGUAUUUUGUUGAUUUUAAUUCUUAAGUUUAAAUAAUCGUAUUGAAUAAAGUUUGUAUUUUUAAUCCCAAUUAGUUUGAUUUCAAUUCAUUUUUAAUUUAAAUGCAUUAGUUGAUCUUAAUUCUUUGUUUUAAAUAAUCACGUUAAAUAAAGCUUGUAUUUUUAAUCCCAAUUAAUUUGAUUUCAAUUCGUUUUUUAGUUUAAAUAUAUUUUGUUGAUCUUAAUUCUUGACUUUUAAUAAUCACGUUAAAUAAAGUUUGUGUUUUUAAUCUCAAUUAGUUUGAUUUCAAUUCGUUUUUAGUUUAAAUACAUUUUGUUGAUCUUAAUUCUUAAGUUUAAAUAAUCAUACCGAAUAAAUUUUGUAUUUUUAAUCCCAAUUAAUUUGAUUUUAAUUUGUUUUUAGUUUAAAUGUAUUUUGUUGAUUUUAAUUCUUUACUUUAAAUAAUCACGUUAAAUAAAGUUUGUGUUUUUAAUCUCAAUUAGUUUGAUUUCAAUUCGUUUUUAGUUUAAAUGCAUUAGUUGAUCUUAAUUCUUAAGUUUAAAUAAUCACGUUAAUAAAGUUUGUGUUUUUAAUCCCAAUUAGUUUGAUUUUAAUUUGUUUCUAGUUUAAAUGCAUUUUGUUGAUCUUAAUUCUUUAGUUUAAAUAAUCAUAUUGAAUAAAGUUUGUGUUUUUAAUUCCAAUUAGUUUGAUAUUAAUUUGUUUUUAGCCUGAAUACAUUCAUUGAUCUUAGUUCUUUAGUUUAAAUAAUCAUAUUGAAUAAAGUUUGCAUUUUUAAUUCCAAUAAUCUUAUUAAAUCCCUGUUAUUAUCUUUAUAUGCUAAGUUUGUUGACUUUUAAUCUUUGAUUGGUUAUUUUUAUUUUAAUUCAUGUGUUUCUUGAAAUCUAGAUGUUAGUCUUGGAUAAUAUUUGUGUUAGUUAGUUUGACUAGGAAACCAUUAGUUUGUUGCUUUAGUAAUUGUUGGUAAAAUCUUUUUUCUUUUUUUUUUUUGAAGGCCAUUGGAAAAUCAUGAAGAUUGGCCUCUACCAUCACCUUUAUCAUUUUUGUUAAUUACUAAAAAAAAUUUACUUUGAGGUUUCAUUUUUUUUGUUUUGUUUGGUAUUUUAUUUCUUAUAUUUUAUUUUUUCCAAAUUAAUUCCUUUUAUUUUAAAAUAAAAUACUUUUCUCAAAAAAUCAUUUUAAAAAUCUAUUUCAAAAACUCAUUUAGAGUCCUCAGGAUCAAAAUCUUUUUUUUUUAUUUAAAAAAAAAUAAUAUGCAACCAUAUCUUGUUCGAUUUGCAUCCUUCUCGGUUUUUAACAAAAAGUUUGGUUUUGAACAAAAACACGAAUCAAAGCUUGUGGUCCCAAAUAAUGGGAUAAUUCUGGGCUAAAUUUGUAUAUAUUAAUUUGGGGAAUUGGUGAAACCCCUACAUAAGAAAAUCUUUUCAAAAAUUAUUUUUGUUGCCACCUUUGUCACUUGUUGAAAUUAUGUCUAUCUUUUUUAGGAAUUGUAUACAAGAUGUGUGUGAUAAUUAAUGUUUUCAUAUACUUUGAUAAUUUUUGUUAUGCUAAUUAGAUAACGAGCAUGCUAGGAUUUCUAUAUUUUAUUAUUUAUUAUCUAACCCCUUACAACUUGAGGAAGCACGUUACAAAUUAUCUAUGCUAUCCAGGUAUGUCCUCUAUCACCUACUUUCUGAAUUCUGUGAAUAUGCUGGUCAUUGUGAAAUAAUGCUUAUGUCUAAUAAUGCUUGAGCGUUCUGUUAUACAUGUUUCAUUGUUUGAUUAUUUCUAAUAAAAUACAUGUUGGAUGAAUAUAUUGUUUAAAUUAACCAUUGAUGUUUUGUGAUAGUGCUUGAGAGGCAGUCCAGGUACGCAUCCUAACCUUCCUUUAUUGUGAUUUGAUCUUGUUUAGCAUGCUAUUUUAUUUGGAAUCAUCUAGCCUGCUUAGGUACUUAUAAUUAAUCAAUUAAUUGCCACAUUUCCCUCAACUUAAUUAGUAGAGACCUUUUUAGGGCUUAGAGGGGUGCUACCUCCUAGAGGUACCUUCCCAAUAGGUAACCUGAUCCCCGGACUUAGACUCGGGUUUUUCAAAGACACGCUUUUCCAAAAAUUAUGGAGUCACAUUUUAGGGUUUUCUUUCUUGUUUUAUUUUCCCUUUAAAAUAAAAAUAAAAUAAGUGGCGACUCCAACUUUUUUUCAAAAAUCAAUUUUUCACAAAUAAAAAGCGAGUCUCGCCGAUCGAGUGGGGGCGCACGUGAAAAAUGCGGGUCCACAGUGCAACAAUGCACAAACAUAAUAUAUAGAAAGCGCUCAAAGGUAGAAUGAAAGCAAAGUGAACAACACGGGAAAACCAACCAGACACACCACCUAACACCCCAGAAAAUCAUAUUGUUCCUAACCAACUCUCAAGCUCCCAAAAAGUGUCCUGUGUACCUUAGGUUAGCUCUUUCUUUGGGCACUUCGUUAUAUAAUAUUGUCAUUGUCUAUAAAAAAAAACACCAUUUUAUGGCUUUCUUCAACCCAUGGGUUAUAAAAUUCACUGCAUAAAUGAUCAAAAGUUAAAUUUUUCUUUUUCUUUUGGGGGAAUUUUUGUCUUUCAUGUUGUCAUUUAAGUAUUUCUUCUUCUAUGAUCUGGCUCUAAUUUUCCUUCUUUAUGCACUUGAUCUUUCCAGGAUGACUCUAAAGUUUAUAUCUUCCUUGAGCUUGUGACAAAAGGUUCACUUUUAAGUCUUUAUCAAAAGUAUCAUUUGCGAGAAAGCCAAGCCUCGGCCUACAUAAGGCAGAUUUUAAAUGGUUUGAAAUAUCUACAUGAGCAAAAUGUAGUUCACAGGUGAUACAAAUGAUCUUACUGCUUAAUUAUUUGGUCAUAUUUAUCUUUGCAUUUAUCUAUAUAUUUAUUUUUAUUUUCUUGUUUUCUCAGCAUUUCUUUUUUAUGUAUUUCUUUGAUUAUUUCCAUUUUCUUGCCUUAGCCACCAAGAUGUUGAAUUAGUAUGCAUGAACUACACAAUACCUGGGUGCACUUCUUGCUUACUUAGAGAAAAUUGGUUCACCCUAUUGUGGAAGUUUUCUUGUUAUUCGAUUUAUUUAUUUUUUUCCCAUCCUUACUACAGUGUUUCCAAAUUGAAAUUCUCAAUCUUAUUGGAGAGUGUAGUUGUUGCCAUUUGCUAAUUAGAGUUAUUGAUGAUUUUAUAUUUUGUUUUACAGUGUUAUGAUGCCAGAAAUAUGCCAGAUUUAGCUGAGAAUGGAAAAGGGAAACACACACACACACAAAGGACAUCUGUUCACCUCUGAUAACAAAUUUAUACUUUCUCUGACAUGAUAAUUGCACCUACCCUCUUUCAGAAAAAAGCAAAAUGGGGAAAAAUGAGUUAAGAGCAUGGAUGUUAAUCAUCCUAAUUUCGACAUAAUUGUAAUAAGAUUAAUUUCUAUUCAAAGACUUGUGAGAAUAUCUUGAAGUUGUUCUGUGGACUUAACAUUUUGAGUGAUAAUUAAGUAUAGAGCACAGUAUAUGCUAAUAAGUUAUUCCUCUCCUAAACUAUAUCGUUUGUUAUAUUUCAAGUUGUGAUUUGGUUUAUCCUAUAACAGCUUCAUUUGUGAAUUAACUACAAGGAAUCCCAUCUCCAUCUCCAUUUGACUUGCAUCAUGCAGUUAGCUGCAUUAAACAUCAAUUUGUAUUCUGUCAAUGCUAGGUCUUGCUUACAUCUACGUCCACCUUUUUACUUUCCUAGGUCACUGCAUUUUAUUUUCCUUCAAGGAGUGAAUUAUAAGAGGAAGAAGCACUUUCUCUCUCACUCACUCUAUCUUUCCCUCUCUCUACAAAGAAUCCCAUCUCCAUUUGACUCAUUCUCAAUCCCCCUUCAUAGGAACUUUUGAACCUUAAAAUGGAAUUGAAAAUUUUUGGAUCUUUCCCUCCCCUUCUCGCUCUCCCUCUCUUCUUCUUCCCUCAUUGACCCGUUCUCAAUCUCUUUUGAAGGAAGCUUUUGAACCUUGAAAUGGAAUUAACAAAUUUCUUGGCUCUCUUCCUCUCCCAUUUCCCUCUCUCCGUUUCCUUCUCCAACUUGCAUAAUUUUAAUCUCCCUUCAUGCUUUGAACCAUGAAAAGCAACUCCUCUAUCUCUUUUUCCCCUUCCCUCCACCCCCUCAUUUCCUUAUUGAUUCAUUCCCAAUCUUAUCCAUUAGGAAAUUUUGAACCUUGAAAUGGAAUUUAAAAAUUUUGGAUAUCUCCUCCCUUUUGUCCUAACCCUCUUUUCCUCUUCCCCUAUUGACUCAUUCUCAGUCUUCCUUAACGGGAACUCUGGAAACUUGAAAUUAACAAACUUUUCUCUGUCUUCCCCGAUGCUCUCUCUUCCCUUGAUUAGCUCAAUUUUAUCCAUGUUCAUGUUUUGAAUCAUGAAAAUAAGCUCCUUCUUCUUCUCCCUCAGCUUUCCUUCUUUUCCUUUUCCUUUUCCUUCCCUCCCUGACUACUUUGAUCAUAAUUUCCCUUCAUGAGAAAUUUGGAACCAUGCCAAGCAACUUCUCUCUUUGCCUUCUCUCUUUCCACCGCAAUUCUCUGUCCAUUCCUCCUAGUGCAACUGACUCCACCCAAUCUUCUUGUAUGGAAACUUUUGAACGAUUAAAUGUUUCUCUCUCCCUCUCUCCUGUCGUAUCCAUGCAUAAUGUAAACAUAGUAUUACCUUGCUUCCUUUCUUCCAUCCUACAGCAACUAACUCAAUCUCAAUUUUCCUUCAUGAGAACUUUUGAACACUUACAUGUCUCUCACUCUCUCUCUCUUUCUCUCUUUCUCUCCUAUGUUGUCCUUGAAUAUGUAAACAUAGUACUUAUGGAGGAAAAUACAAGUUCUAAAUCAAUGUUGUUGUUUCCACUAUAGUUGACUACAAAUCUCCAAUCAAGUUCACUAAAUGACUGUCAUAUAACCAAAUAAGCAAGUGUUGUGUUAAUAGUGUGGCUUAGAAUAGGAAAUAUCUAUUGGGUGAGGUGUAACUGCAAUGCUUUUGUGCAAGAAUCACAAGGAUAGAACUAUGGAUUUGUGUGUGUGUGUGUGUGUUGUGGGGGUGGGGGUGAUUCGACUCAUGGUAGCUUAGCUUUAAAGGCGUAUCAACAAAAUUUAUACCUUAAAUACUAUUACUAAAGUAGCCAAGCUACUAUAGCAUAGUGGUUCUAGGAUCGUUUACUGGGAAGGGUUUUCACAAACACAAGUGAUAUUCAAAUUAGGAAAAUAGGUGAUUUUCUUAUGGAUGUUAGCUUUAAAAGAAGAUGUAAAUAUUUUAGAAAGAUUUAAACUAAUCUAAGCUAACAUUAAAGACUAAAAUGAAAGGGUGUAAAAACAAGUUUCUCAAAGAUAGGAUAGCUAUGCUCUGGCUCUUAUGCAAAUUGGAAAUCUCAGGAUAGGCUCCUCGCGUUGGGGUUGCAACUAUGGUGAUGCUUGCUUCCCAAACCGGUAUGGAUUUAGCAAAUCAAGUUUUAAUCCUUUAAAAUGGCAAAACAGAUGGUAGUGAAUUUCAUCAAUGAUUAUUCACCUUAGACUUCCUUUGAAUGGCUCGUAAGAGAUAACUAAUGGUCUAAAGCCAAAAGCUUACCAAAUAUUGGCAACUCAAAGUCAUUCCAGGUGAUAAACUCACCUUUCAAUGGCCAUUGAAAUUGGUUCUAACGGAUUAAUGCAAAACUUGGAAUUGAAAACCUCACCUUCCAAUAGCUCGUAGGAGAUAACUAAUGGAUAGAAAUCCAAAAGCUUAUCAAGUAUUGGCCGUUGGAAGUUGUCCAAAGGAAAUAAAAACCAAACUUUGCAUUAAUGAACCAUUAAUGAAAAACGACUACCUUACCUUCCAGGUGCGAGAAAUUUCCAUGGGAUUGCAUCCAAGCCAUCACAUAACAUCCAUAAUUUGAGAAACUAAAAGUUUUAGCCAAUCAUCCUUUGAGGAAAAGCCCUCAGAGGCCGUUUGGCUACUAAGAAAAUAGAAAUGGGAAAGAACAGGAGAAAAGAUAAAAACAGAGCUUUAUAUAUUCCUAAGUUAAUGUAUAGAGGAUCGAUCCCCCAAUAUCCCCCUCCGUUUUGGAGGUGUUGUGCACCUCUAUAUAUAGCAAAAUUACAAGAUAAAGCUUUAUGUCGGCUGAAUACAAGGUUACAAAAGGAAUUUACACGAGAAAAUAUCAAGCUAAAAAUAUUUGGGAAGUCGGUGGUGCGUGCGUGAAGAAACAGAGGAUUCAAAGGAAUUUCGCAAUGUGCCUAAAUGUGCCUAAAUCCACCUUGCGAAAUUUUCGCAAGGGGGUUCUUCAUGGUGCGAAGUGGCCAAAUUUCGCACCAUGAAGAAAAUCUCCUUGCGAAAUUUUCGCAAGGAGAAAUUCACCUUGCGAAAUUGGUCAUUUGACAUGAUGCAGUUGUCUUCCGAAGGUCAUAUCUUCCUCAUUUCAGCUCCAAAUCAUACACGGUUUGAAGCGUUGGAUUCUUGACUUCCUAAGCUUUCAAAUGGUAUAUAGCAUGCAAAAAAUGGACUUCAGAAAGUGCUUCAAAAGUGCGAAAGAAGACUGCAGCUGUUUUCUUCACUCUGUUUUCCUCUUCUCCAUUGCUUGUGCUCGUGUUUCCACUUGAAAUUCAAGCCUGUAAUCAUCCAAAAUCCUUGCUUAACUCGCCCAAAUAGCUCCUCCAUCAAUUGGCAUGCUUGAAUUGGUUCAUAAGCUGAUAAAAACAUGUAAACUUGCCACAAAAUGGUUAAAACCAAUUACUAAGGACCUUAGUGAAUUAAUUGGGUUAAAUGAAUAUGAUUACUACUCAAAGGUGCUUAAAACCAUUAUUAUUAGGUCUACAAAAUAGCACUUUUUGGUAGUAAUCAGGGGGGUAGGAGAAUAUGAAAGGAAGAUUUGAAAGGACAAUUUUUUGAGUAUUUUUCUUAAUUGUAGAUUUUUAUUUAUUUAUUUGUUCGAAAACUAAUCUUUUCUCUUUCAUUUUCAAGGGAUAUCAAAUGUGCUAAUAUAUUGGUGGAUGUAAAUGGAUCUAUGAAAAUUGCAGAUUUUGGAUUGGCAAAGGUUGUUUUCUUUAGUAGAGCUACAAUCUCCAUUGUUUCUAAUUGGUGAAUGACAUGACAUAAUAUUUCUGGUUGUUUAUCUUCUCAGGCACCCAAAUUUAAUGUUGUAAAAUCUUGUAAAGGGACACCAUUCUGGAUGGAGCCAGAGGUUUGCCCUUCCUUUUGAUAUCAUCAUUUAUAUGAACAAUUCAUGUUCUGAAUUGGAUUGAGAACUAUAUUUACUCAACUAUUGAUGUUAGUAGGCUUUCAGCAUGCUUGUGAUGCAGUCUCUGGAACCAUCUUUAGUAAGCGAUUGAUUCAAAAAAAGAAGCGAUAUAACUAAACUGAAUUAUGGAGUAGUUCAGUUUUUUCUUGGAAAACUCUUUCUAUCAAUUAAUUGAUUAGUUUUUUUUUUUUUUUUUCAAACUGUUGCUCAGAGCUAAGGAAGACUUAGUUGAAGUCAUCUCUUAUUUGCAUUUUUUUGUCAAUAUAUUUAGAUUUACCAUCAUGUAUGAGGUGUUAAUAAUUCCACACAACCAGCUAUCAAUGCACUCACAUUAGUAGAUGUAUGGAACUGCAGAAUUCUCAUAUUAGUCUGAAUUGGUGAUUUCUUUUCUGAGAAGUGGAAACCUUGCUUCAUUAUUUGUGAUGAGAAAAUUAGGUCCUAGUUAAUUUACUCCAUUGCCUUCCUUAUAACCAAUCUUUUUUUUAAAUGUUUUUUUUUAAAAAAAAUUUAGAUUUUAAUUUAAUAAUUUUUUGUUUCUUUUUUUUAAAAAAAAUAAUAAUUCUUAAUUUUUAUUUUUUGUGAUAGAUAAUAUCUUUUUUUCUCUUUUUUUCUUUUCCUUUUUUUUUUUUUGUGGGUUAAUAUUCGUACUCUAAACCUUGAAGCUCUCAUAUCCUCCCCACCCAACCCCUUGAGGCCUUGCCACAUGAUUGGGCCUUAAGAUCAACAAAUGAGGUAAUUGGUCCCACCAAGCCUAUAAUCAAUAUUUUUAUUGCUUCCUAUAUUUUGCAAUCUUUUGUCAAAUUUGUUUUGAAGUUGGAGAGCUAUCAGUUUUAGUUCUGGAAAACAUAUAUUCAUAUUAAAGUGUAAAAUUUUUAGUAACAAGUGAGGCAAGCAUUUGGAAAAUUAUUCAUCCUUAAAAGGAGAGGUUAACUCUCAUCAAGAGCACUUUUUCUAGCAUUCCUGUUUAUUUUAUAUCUUUGUUCCAUAUUCUGAGGAUAGUCAAAUUGAGGUUAGAGAAAAUUGAGAGGGAUUUCCUAUGUGGAGGUAGAGGGUUGGAGAAAAAGAUACAUCUUGUGAAGUGGUCCACUAUAUGUUCGGAGAAAAUUGAGAGGGAUUUCCUAUCUGGAGGUGGAGAGUUAGAGAAAAAGAUACAUCUUGUGAAGUGGUCCACUAUAUGUUUGGAGAAAAUCAAAGGCAAGUUAAGGGCUCAACAUCUCUCUGUUAAAUAACGCGUUUUUGUGCAAAUGGAGUUAGCGGUAUGCCAUUGAAAGAGAUGCCUUUUGGACAUGAUUGAUUAGUGGCAAAUAUGGAGAGGAAGAGAGUGGGUACUGUUUUGGCGAAGUUAGAGUUAGGAAUGGAGUCAGGCUUUGGAAAUCCAUUAGGAAGGAAUGAAACACUUUCCUGGGCUUUUUUUCCUUUUAUAGAGGGUAAUAGGAGGAGGAUGAAGUUUUGGAUGGAUAAGUGGUGUGGGGAUGAACUGUUGUGUGUUUCCUUCCCCUCUUUAUAUACCUUAGGUGUUGCAAAAGAGGCUUGGAUGGCAAACCUUUGGGUUCAACAUGGGGAGAGAGGUCAUUGAAUGAUUGGGAAGUGGAUGAAGUUGGGGAUUUCUUUUUCAAGUUGAAAAGGUAGUUGAUAGAGAGGGGGAAGACAAGUUGGUGUGAAUGAACUUGUACAAUAAUAAGUUCUUUGUGAGUCAUUUAUAUGUAAAACCAUGAAAGGUUUCUUUGGAUAAACUUUUAUUUUACUGUUUUAUCUUUCAGAACAUAGGCUACAUAUAAAUAACUAGCAGAUAGAUAAUUCCUAGGCUAAAAAUAAGGAAACUGAAAAACAAAUCUGAUUCUAAUCCUAAUCUGAACAAAACGUUGACUAUGUACAAAAAAAACUAUAAUUCAAAUAAUUCCUCAAUUCUAAAAUUCCUCAAAUCAAGAAACCUAUCCAUUCUAAAAUUUGAGUCCAAUUUGAACUAGUCUAACCAAACUAAUUUUCCAACACUCCCCCUCAAGUUGGGGUAUAGAUGUCUAUCAUACCCAAUUUGUCCACAUAAUUUUCAAAAUCUUCUCUUGGGAUCCCUUUAGUUAAAACAUCAGCAAUCUAGCUUUUGGAUGACACAUAUGUCAUGUAUAUUUCGCCUUGCUCAAUUUUUUCCUUGAUAAAAUGUCAGUCCACCUCAACAUGUUUUGUUCGACUGUGGUGGACUGGAUUGUGGGAGAUGCUUAUAACUGCCCUGUUGUCACAAUACAUCAUAGUUGGGGGAUGAAUUGUAAUCUAUAGUUCUUCUAAUACUCUCUUGAUCCACAAGACUUAACAAAUUCCAUGAUCUAUCGAUCUAAACUCAGCUUCAGCACUACUUCUCACCACCACAUUUUGUUUUUUACUUCUCCAUGUGAUGAGAUUUCCAAACACAAAUGUACAAUAGCUAGAUGUUGACCUCCUAUCUUAAAUAGACCUCGCCCAAUCUAUAUCAAAGCCUCUAUUUUGAAUUGGUCUUGCUUUCCAAAGUGAAGUCCUUUUCCUGGGGUUCCUUUGAGAUAUUGCAGUAUGUUAUAGACAACAUUCAUGUGUGCUUCAUAUGGAGAAUACAUGUACUAACUGACUAUACUUACUACAAAAGCAAUAUCCAGCCUAGUGUGAAAGAGGUAGAUUAGUCAACUAGAUCCCUUUUUUCAACCGGGUCUAUCUUGUGUCUUGAAUAAAUUGGAAUGUCCCUGGGCUUGCAACCAAGCAUCCAUGUUUCCUUAAGUAAGUCUAAAGUGUACUUUCUUUAAGAAACAAAGAUUCCAUUUUUUAUUUCUAGCAAUCUCCUGUUAAUGUUACCAUAUACAAAUUAGGAAUCAAAUUAGCUGUACAUAUAGGAAAAGAUUGACAAAUUAGCUUUCCAUGUAUUUGUUAAUGUUACCAUAUACAAAUUAGGAAUUUAGACUCCGUGUAUAGGAUAUAUAUCUGUAUAUAGAUGGAUGCAAAGGAGAAUAAACUGAUUAGAGUUCUCAGAGUUCUCGGUUUCUAUGGAGUUUUUUUUUAGUAUUUUGACAUGGCAUCAGAUCAAGGUUUCGGCACCUUCUGAGUGGAGUUCGUGAUCUUCUACCAAUCAAACACUUGGCAUCGAAAACAGUGUUGAUCAGGUUCAUCGCGAUCUGGUUCUUAGUUGUUUCUGUUCCAAUUUUCUGGUGGGCUAUUUUCUUUGUCUCUCGGUUGCAUCAUGUCAUCAGAUAAGUUGGACUCGUUUCCUAUUAGAUUUACUGGCAAAAAUUAUUGUGCUUGGGAGUUUCAAUUUAAGUUAUUUGUCAAAGGAAAAGAAUUAUGGGGUCAUAUUGAUGGGAAUAAUCCUGCACCUCGUGAUGCCGAGGCUUUGUCUAAGUGGGAAAUUAAGGAUGCUCAUGUUAUGACCUAGAUCCUUAGCUCGGUUGAACCUCACCUUGUUCUUAAUCUGAGCCCUUAUAAAAUUGCUACUUCUAUGUGGAAUUAUCUCCACACGGUUUACAAUCAAGACAACUCUACUAGGCGUUUUCAAUUGGAGUAUGAGAUGGCUAAUUUCACACAAAAAAGUCUCUCAAUUGAGGAAUAUUUUUCUGGUUUUCAAACUCUUUGGACUGAUUGUUCCGACAUUGUUUAUGCUAAUAUUCCAACUGCAGCUCUCUCUGCUGUCCAUGCAGUGCAUGCAAUCAGCAAGCGAGAUCAAUUCUUGAUGAAGCUACGACCCGACUUUGAAAUUGCACGGUCUAAUAUGAUGAAUUGUAAUCCUGUACCAUCUCUGGAUGCCUGCUUGAGAGAACUUUUACUUGAGGAGCAGCGUAUCGUAAGUCAAACUACCAUGGAACAUCAGGCUAAUGUUAGUGCACUUGUUUCUGUAGCUUAUGCAGCAUAGGGGCGGAAUAAGGGUUGAGAUAUGCAUGUUGUCCAGUGCUUUCGUUGUAAAGAUUUUGGUCACAUUGCUCGCGAUUGUCCCAAGAAGUUCUGUAACUAAUGCAUGAAACAAGGUCAUAUCAUCUCUACUUGUCCCAUUCGGCCUGAAAGGAAGCAGGGUACUGCUUAUCAUGCCUCUAUUGGUGUCUCUAGUUCUACUGCAUUGCUUGCUGCCUCUUCGAUUGUUCCUAUUCCUACUCCUACAGCCUUAUCAAACCCGAACACACUCACUCUUGAAAUGGUACAACAAAUGAUCAUUUCUGCUUUUUCUGCUUUUGGGCUCUCUGGUAAUCAUAUGAUUUCUUCUAAGCCAUAGUAUUUUGACUCUGGAGCUUCUAACCAUAUGACGAAUACUAUUCUUUCUCUUUCCAAUGUCAGAAAUUAUGAUGGAAAUUUGAAAUUUAACACUGCUGAUGGCAGUUCUCUGCCUAUUAGUGUUGUUGGUGAUCUUUCAUAUUCCUUAACUGAUGUUUUUGUGUCUCCUGACCUCUCCACAAAUCUUCUUUCUGUUGGUCAAUUGGUUGAUAAUAAUUGUAAUGUCAAUUUCUCCUGUUCUGGUUGUGUUGUGCAGGAUCAAGUGUCCGAGAAGAUAAUCGCGAAGGGACCUAAGUUGGGACAACUUUUUCCUCUUCGUGUUUCUCCUUCCACUAUUAUUCCUAAUUUUCCUUUACUUUCCUUUGCAUGUAAUGUUGUUGGUUCUGAACAUAAGAUGUGGCAUAGACGUCUUGGCCACCCAAACUCUGAUGUAGUUCGUACUUUGUUUAAUUCUAGAUUAUUGGGAAAUAAAGCAUGUUCUUCUCUUGAUCUUUCUUUCGAUUGUACAUCAUGCAAACUUAGCAAAAGUAAAGUUCUACCUUUUCCUCAUUCCGCAUCUUGUGCCUCACAAUGUUUUGAUAUUAUACAUAGUGAUGUUUGGGGGAUUGCACCUAUUGUUUCUCAUGCACAUUACAAGUACUUUGUUACUUUCAUUGAUGACUUUAGUCGCUUUACUUAGGUUUACUUCCUCCGAGCUAAGGCUGAAGUUUUUUCAGUCUGUAAGUGUUUUCUUGCACUUAUAGAGACUCAAUUCUCUGCCAGCAUCAAGGUCUUACACUCUGAUUCUGACGGAGAAUACAUGUCAGAUGAGUUUUAGGACUUUCUUCAAAGCAAAAGGAUCAUCUCUCAUCGUUCUUGUCCUUCAACACUACAACAAAAACGGUGUUGCUGAGAGGAAAAAUCGCCACCUUCUUGAUAUGGUAAGAACUCUUUUACUUGACACAUCGGUUCCUCUUCGUUUUUGGUGUGAAGCACUUUCUACUGCAGUUCAUUUGAUCAAUUUCUUACCCCCUCCUAUGCUAAAUCAUGUUUCUCCUUUCUCUAAGUUGUUUGGUCAUUCUCCUUUAUAUUAUGAUCUUCGUACAAUUGGUUGUGUUUGUUUUGUGCAUUUAUCUACUCAUGAAUGACAUAAACUUACUGCUCAGUCUGUUAAGUGUGUUUUUCUUGGUUAUGCUAUCCCUCACAAGGGUUAUGUUUGUUAUGAUCCCCAUGGUCGUCGUAUACGAGUUUCCCGAAAUGUAAUUUUCUUUUAAAAUCAAUAUUUCUUUCCAUCUCAUGUUGAGUUGCCAUCUGUAUCUGCAUCUUUUCUGCUUAGUUUUUCUGAAUCCCCAACAAUUGUGGAAAGGUUCAAACCUGGUUUUGUGUAUGAAAGACGUAGUCAACAUGAGUCCAGUUCCACUUUCUCUGUGCCCUCUUCCGAUCUUAACCCGGCGACUGAUCCUGCUUUUGCUUCCACCACUCUUCGUCGGUCUACUCGUCUUUCUCGACCCCUUGAUUGGUAUGGAUUCUUCUCUCCUGUCUCUCUUGUUGUUACUUUAUCCACUAUUUCUAUUCCCUCUUGCUACAAACAGGCCAUGGAACAUGAGUGUUGGCAAAAUGCAAUGCAAGCAGAACUUCAAGCACUUAAUGAGAAUCAUACUUGGGAUAUUGUUCUUUGUCCUCCUACAGUCAAACCUAUUAGGAGUAAAUAGGUUUUCUCUGUAAAACUUCGUUUUGAUGGCUCUUUGGACCGGUACAAAGCUCGCCUCAUAGCUUUGGGUAACAAGCAGGAAUAUGGGGUUGAUUAUGAGGAAACAUUUGCUCUUGUUGUCAAAAUGACCACGGUUGAACCAUCUUAGCUAUUGUCACUUCAUAGUCAUGGCAACUACAUCAGAUGGAUGUGAAGAAUGUUUUUCUUCAUAGUGAUCUCCAGGAAGAGAUUUACACGAAGUUUCCCUCUGGUAUGACUAAUUCUUCUCCUCAUGAUGUUUGUAAGCUAAAACGUUCUUUGUAUGGACUCAAGCAGGCGUCCCGGGCUUGGUUUGAGAAGUUUCGCCGUACAAUUCUUUCCUUUAGUUUUACCCAAAGUCAGUAUGAUUCUUCUUUCUUCUUCUACACGUCUGCAUCGGGUAUAGUCCUGCUCUUGGUUUAUGUGGAUGAUAUUAUCAUUACUGGCACUGAUUGUGGUUUGAUUACUAAGCUUCAGUAGCUGUUACAUACAACUUUCCAUAUGAAAGAUCUUGGACAGCUCACAUACUUCUUAGGAUUGGAAGUUCAUCAUCGGGCUAGUGGUAUUUUUGUGAACCAUCAUAAGUAUAUUCAAGAUCUUAUCACUUUGGCUGGUUUGGAGGACACUUCUUCUAUUGAUACUCUUAUGGAGGUAAAUGUCAAAUACAGGAAAGAUGAAGGGGACCUUCUAGAUGAUCCUACUCUCUAUCGGCGCUUGGUUGGGAGUCUUAUCUACUUGACCACUACUCGACUUGAUAUCUCCUAUGUUGUUCAUCAGGUCAGUCAGUUUAUGACUUCUCCUCGACAUCUCCAUCUUGCUGCAGUUCGACGCAUCAUCCACUAUCUUCGAGGUUCACCUACUCAUGGGUUGUUCUUUUCUACCGGCUCCUCUCUUCAACUUGCUGCCUAUAGUGAUGCUGAUUAGGCUGGGUGUCCAAAUACACAUUGAUCUACUACGGGUUGGUGUAUGUUUUUAGGUGAUGCCUUAAUUUCUUGGAGAUGUAAGAAACAAGAUCGUGUUUCUAAAUCCUCUACUGAGGCCGAGUAUCGUGCCAUGUCUACUGCUUGUUCUGAAAUUGUAUGACUACGUGGUCUUCUUGAGGAGCUUGGGUUUCCUCAUACUACUUCUACACCUCUUCAUGCUAAUAAGACUAGUGCUAUUCAGAUUGCCACCAAUCCCAUGUUUCAUGAACGUACCAAGCACAUUGAGGUUGAUUUUCAUUCUAUUCGAGACACCUUGGAAAGUCGAGUGAUAUCUCUUCCUCACAUCUCUUUUGAUCUCCAAGUGGCUGAUAUCUUCACCAAAGCUUUGACUCGACAGUGACAUCAAUUUCUUGUUGGAAAAUUGUUGCUCGUUGACUUACCAGCAUCAAUUUGAGGGGAGAUGUUAAUGUUACCAUAUACAAAUUAGGAAUCAAAUUAGUUGUACAUAUAGUAAAAGAUUGACAAAUUGGUUUACCAUGUAUUUGUUAAUGUUACCAUAGACAAAUUAGGAAUUUAGACUCCGUGUAUAGGAUAUAUAUCUGUAUAUAGAUGGAUGCGGAGGAGAAUAAAAUGAUUAGAGGUCUCAGAGUUCUCGGUUUCUAUGGAGUUUUUUUUAGUAUUUUGACAUCUCCAUCCCUAGAAAAUACCUUAGUGCACUAAGGUCCUUCACCUCAAACUCCUUAGCUAGGAUCUUCUUCAAAACUUCAAUUUCUACAUGAUCAUUGCCUAUUAAAAUCAUAUCAUCAACAUAAACUAUGAGAACAUUUAUUUUACCCUCAUCAGUAGAUUUGUAAAACAUGGUAUGAUCUGAAUGUCCUUGAAGAUAGCCAUAUCAUUUUACUACUCUUGAGAGUCUUUCGAACCAUGCCCAGGGUGAUUGUUUGAGACCAUAGAAAGCUUUCUUCAAUUGGAAAACUUUAUUGGAGCUUCAUUGUUCAAGUCCUGGUGGUACAUCCAUGUAAACCUCCUCUUCUAAUUCCCCAUUGAGAAAAACAUUUUUUAUGUUCAUUUGCUGAAGAGGCUAAUCAUAGUUUGCAGCAAAAGAAAGAAGAAUUCGGAUUGUGUUUAGUUUUGCCAUCGGUUUAAAAGUCUCCUAGUAAUCUAUCCCAUAAGUCUAAGUAAAUCCUUUAGCAACCAAUCUUGCCUUGUACCGUUCCACCAAGCCAUCAGAUUUGUAUUUUACUAAAAAAUCCCAUUUACAUCCCAUAGUUCUUUUACAUUUCGGUAGGGUAACAAGUUCCCACGUUCCAUUUUUUUCCAAAGCUUUGACUUCCUUCAUAACCGUUGUUUUCCAUCUUGGAUCACUAAAUGCUUCAUGUACAUUUUUUGGAAUUUCUAUGGAAGAAAGGUGAGAGGUAAAAAAAAAAAAAAAAAAAAGAUGAGGAUAAUCUAUAAUAAGAGACAAAAUUAGAUAUGGGAUGUAUGGUACAAGAUCUAACACCUUUCCUAAGUGUUAUCGAGAGAUCUAAGUCACUAGGCGUCUACAGGAAGUGAGGAAUGUGAGGGGGAUGAAGAAUUAUCCAAACCUGAUUCAAGCAUUAUCUCUGGUGUGGCUUCAUGGCAAGGCAUGAGUGUAUCAGGUACUAUACACCUCCUUGAGUAGACUUUGAACUAUGGUGUAGAUUGGGCUGUUGGUGGCAAUGUUUUAUCUCUCCCUACAUUUGACAAUCUGUCAUGUAUUGGAACUAUUGUUGGGUUCGACUGAAUGAAAUGAAUGGAUGGAGAGAUUUGAGUAGACAUCAGACUGGUUGUUGGGAGUAGACUGGUUAUCGGACUGGUUGUUGGGAGUGAACUGGUUGAUGGGAGUGGACUAGUUGUCGGACUGGUUGUUGGAAAUAUAGGAAGCGGAAAAAGAGAUUGUGGAAUUUCCCAUGACAAAGCUUCACUAGAAUUCUCCCCCUGAAGCGAAGUGUAAUAAGGUUGCUGUUCAAAGAAGGUUACAUCUUUAGAGACCUAUGGUUUCCGAUUAAUAGGAUCAAAACAUCUAUAUCCUCUUUUAGUUGUUGCAUAUUGUAAAAAUAAGAAUUUUAUAGCCCUAGGAUCAAGUUUACCACGAUUAUGUGAAUGAACAUGUACAAAAGCAGUGCACUCGAAAAUUUUAAUUGGUAAAUCUUAGCAAAUUCGGGAAUUUGGGAAUGAAGCAAGAAAAACAGCAAUGGGAGUUUUAAAAUUAAGAACUUUUGAGGGCAUCCUAUCAAUCAAAUAUGUUGUUGUAAGAAUGGCGUCCCCUCAAUGUAGUUUUCUAACAUUCAUUGAAAAUAAUGACCGAGCAACUUCUAAGAGGUGUCUAUUCUUUCUUUUGACAACUCUGUUUUGUUAUGGAGUAUCUACACAUGAUUUUUUAUGAAUAAUCCCAUUAGAUGAUAAAAAUUCUCCAAGAACAACAUUUAUGCAUUCACUACCAUUGUCGGUUAUGAGAAUUUUAAUAUACAUUUGAAACUGGUUUUUGAUCAUUAAAUAGAACUUUUUGAAGGUCUGAAAGACUUCAAAUUGUUCUUUAAGGAGGUAAGCCCAACAAAUUCUUGAAUGAUCAUCGAUAAAGUUAAUGAACUAUUUUGUACCAAUUAGAUUUGUUACCCAAGAUGGUUGCCAAAUAUCACUAUGUAUGAGAGUAAAAGGUUUAGAGGACCUAUAAGGUUUAGCAGUAAAUACCGAUCUAGUAUGCUUUGCCAUUUGACACACUUCACAUUGAAAUUUGACAACCUUUUAUUUUUGAAAAGUUUUGGAAACAAGAACCUAAGAUACGGAAAGCAAGGGUGGCCCAAUCUAUAGUACCAUAACAUUAUUUCAUGAUCAAAAGGAAAAGAUAAAACAUUGCUACCAACAACAACGACUUAUCCUUGCACAACUUCACGGUCAUCAAAGCGGUAUAAACCUUCACACUCACAUGCACUGCUAAUCGUCCUCCUCGAAGCUAAGUCCUGAAAAACAACACCAGUAGAAGAAAAUUCAGCUACAUAAUUGAGAUCUCUAGUGAGUUUAAUAAUGGACAAUAAAUUACACGACAAAUUUGGGACAUGUAAGACUUCAUUCAAGAGAAAAAGUCUUUGUCAAGGAGAUGGUUCCUUUUCCAACGAUUGGGGUAUAUGACCCAUCCGUAAUUCGAACUUUCAUGUUGCUAGCAUAAGGUACAUAUGUUGUAAAUGAAGUGGAUGACCCAAUCAUGUGAUUUGUACCUCCAUAAUCAAUGAUCCACAAUUUAUAAGAAUUAGCUAAGGCAAUAAAUGGGUAUUGAGUUCUACCUGAUCAUGCUAGAGAGCAAGAUGGUGAGGGAUCAGCAUUUAGUGAACCUAAGACAAAAGUGGAUGCAAUUUGUGGAUGAAGGGGAUGUUGCAAGACCUCUAACUGCUCCUUGGUGAAUGGUGAAGUGGUUGUUUGGUUGUUAAGGUUCUUGGAUUCACUGUGGUAGCCUUUGGAAUUGUGGACGGGUCUCAGGUUUCUCCCAAUAGGUGGCUUCUCGUGGAUUUUCCAGCAUGUAUCUCUUGUGUGGCCUCGUUUCCAACAAUGGUCACACCAAGGACGAUCACCCUUUUUUCCUAAUCGUUGGUCAUUUGGUUGAAAAGUCUUCCCACCAUGAAUAACUAGGGCAAAAGUCUCAAAUUAGCUGGAUUGUUGUUCUCCCAAUAUCACUUUCCUCCUACUCUCUUCCCGUUGCACCUCAAAGGAGAUCUCCUUUAUAGAUGGUCGUGGCUCUUUUCCCAAGAUUCGACCUCAAACCUCAUCAAGCUCCUUAUUGAGUCUUGCUAAAAAAUCAAAUGCCCUUUCUUUUUUGAGAAUCUUCUAAUAAUAGGCAUUGUCUUCAGCACACUUCCACUCCAUAUUAGAGAAUAAAUCAAGUUCUUGCCAUGCAUUUUGAAGGAUAUUAUAGUAUUGUGUAACACUAUAACUACCUUGUUUAAUAUAUUUCAACUUAGUCUUAAUUUCAAACAUUUGAGCAGCAUUACCUAGAUUCGAAUAAGUCUCUUGGACUGCAUCCCAUAGUCCUUGGCGGUACGAAGAAAGAGGUAGGUCUGCCCAAUAGCUGCCUCCAUGGAGUUGAUUAACCAAGCCAUUACCAUGGAGUUCUCAGAAUCCCAGGUUUGGUACUCAGAAUUUUCUGGCUUGGGUGCUUUGUUGGUGCCUAUGAGAUAGCCCAACUUUCCUUUUCUUCUUAUGAACAACUUCAUCGAUUGUGACUGAAGAAAAUUAUGUCCAUUUAAUUUAUGGAUCAUAAUUUGCAGGGUGGGGUUCUCUGUAUUAUCUGGAUUGUUGCUUGAACUUGUAGCUGUGAAGUCCCAGGUGAGGCAUCAGAGUCCUCCCUGUGAAUUGCGCCAGUCAUAACAGUCUACACUAUCCUUUUACUCUCCUUUUUUUUUCUCUAGCUUUGAUACCAUAAAACCAUGAAAGGUUUUUUUGGAUAAACUUUUAUUUUAUUGCUUUGUCUUUAAGAACAUAGGCUACAUCCGUUUAAAUAACUAGUAGAUAGAUAAUUCCUAGGCUAAAAAUAAGGAAACUAAAAAACAAAUCUGAUUCUAAUCCUAAUUUGAAUAAAACUUUGACUACGUACAAAAAAACUAGAAUUCAAAUAAUUCCUUAAAUCAAGGAACCUAUUCAUUCUAAAAUUCCUCAAAUCAAGGAACCUAUCCAUUCUAAAAUUUGAGUCCAAUUUGAACUAGUCUAACCAAACUAACUUUCCAACAAUAUGUCGAUUUGGAAUUGGGGGUUGUUGUGUUAUUUCCAAGGUGGGUAGUUUGGAAUUCAUGGGUCCCUUCGAAAGUUAACUUUUUUGUAUAGGAGACAAUUUUGGGAAAAGUUUUGGCUUUAAAUCAGAUUCAAAAAAGAAGGUAGUUUUUUGUCAAUAGGUGUUUUCUUUGCAAAUAAGAAGAAUCCAUAAAUCACAUCCUCAUUUGUUGUUCUAUGGUUAGGAUUCUUUUAGGGUGACACUAUUCUUUUGUGGACAGAAUGAGGAAAAAGGUUUGGAGAGCAACUCCUUUAUAUCUAUUUUGGAUGGUUUGAAAGGAAAGAAAUCCUAGGUCGUUUAAGAGUAAGGUGCAUUCAGUUCAGUUUUUUAAGAUGGUUUUUUUAAGAAAUUUGUUUGCUUGGGUAAAGUUGUAUAUUGAGAUUCAUUUUAUGUCUUUACUUGAUUUUAUUGAGUAGUUGGGUUUGAGUUAAGGGAGAGGGUUGUUGGGGUUCUUUUCUUGUUUUUGUGCUAUGACACUUUUUGUAUACGUCUACUUUGGAGUGUCUUUGUGGCAUUUUUAUUUUUUAAUGCAUUUGGUUUUAUUUAUGAAAAAAAAAAAAAAUUAUGGUGGCAAUUCAACCCUUGCGCUGUUCAAGUGGUAAAGUUUGAUAAUUCCAUGUAAGAGCGCACCACAAAUUUGAAAAGAAAAAAACAAAAACAAAAUGGUAGCAAUGCAAUAAGCAGCCUAGCAUCCUCUGAGCCACACCCUUUAGAACAACCUAACAAUUUUGCAUUACAGAACCACCAUAUCAUCUAUUUCACUUGAUUAUUGAUUUGGAUGGGCCUGUUAUUGAUACUUGUAUCACCUAUAACAAAGGUAUAGCCAGACUACGGCAUGUUGGAGUUGACUGAUAAGCAUGAACAUGGUAAUAUUUCUGGGAACAAAGUUCAAGUUUAACUACUUGCAACACUCUUUCAACUUUGUUGUUUCUUUCAUUCAUGGAUUAAUGGAUAUUUGCUAGUUUCUUCAGGAAGCAUAUUUAACUGUUUUAAGUGGUUAUUGGAAUCUUGGACUAUAUUUGGUGUUAAGUCCCAAAAUGUGGACUCUUGAACUUUUUUGAACCCUAUAAAGAUGUUAAAACCAUGGAUCUAUGAAUUUUCAAUAACAGUACGGCAUUCUAUUCAAAAAUCAUAUAGCAAUUGAGAUUCAACACUCAAACCCCAAGUCUAAAUCUAGGCAUCCAAAUGAUUUUGGAAAAUUUACUUUAUGUUAUAAGGCACAACAUGCUCAAGCGUUUCUUGUAGAUAGUUUGAGUUUAUGAUUUCAUUGUGUAACUAUAGGUUGUUAAUUUGAAAAAUGAGGGCUAUGGGCUUGCAACUGAUAUAUGGAGCCUUGGAUGCACUGUGUUAGAGAUAUUGACUCGUCAAUACCCAUAUUACCCCUUGGAAUAUGUACGUAUGACAUUUUGUAGAUAUAUAACAUUAUUUUCUUUAAUGUUUUUUCUUGUUUUGUUCUUCUGUUUGUGCUCUUCAAUUACUUGUUAUUCAAAUUGAUGAUAUGGAAAUUGGUUGAGUUUGGCUUUGACUUUGAAAAUGCUGAUGGUUUUAUAGUAAGGGUGAAGAUCUUGACCCAAAGUCUACCCCUUUUUGAAGGAUUCGACAUAAAAACAAUCUACACUUGUGACAUCUCAAGAAUAAAAACACUGAAAUAAAAAAUAUAUCUAAAAUUAAUUGGAAUGGGUUGAGUCUUAAGAGCUUCUCCGAUCCACACACCUUAUCAUUUGCGGAUUAUUGUUAGAAUGUGUCCCAAAUUCCUAAUUAGUAUUAAUUCCUUUUUAUAAAGAAUAUUGUAUAAAAUAUUUCUUAAGUUGAUAUAUCACUGUAAUAUUAGAUUUUCAUAUAGAAUAAGGAAAGAUGUUCUAAAUUGUAUAGUGGAAUAAUUAUCUUUUAUCUGUGGAUGUAGGCAUGGUUGGCCAAACCACGUUAAAACCUCGUAUGCCAUGUUUGUGAUUGUUUUAUCUUUUUGUUCUUGAUCUAUCAUUGUUGGUAUCAAAACUUGCACUAACACAACAAAUCGGUAUCAAAGGUUCUACUAACAUAACAAUUAUCAACACAUACGUUUAAGUGGAAAGUUGGAUUGUUGGAUUUGGGAUAUAUAAAAAGAGGUUCAAUCUAAAUCCAUUUAUUUUUGGAUAAUUGGCAAUUAUGAAUUAUAUUUUUCAUUUUUAUGGAUUGUUAUUUCAUGCAAAACUGUUAAGUUUUAUUCUUUUUCUCUAUAGUUCCAUUUGUAAUUUCUUCAAUAAACUUUGUUUGGAGAAUGCAAUCCAAUAUCUGUCUUGUCCUGGCUGUCAUGUAUGAAUACCAUGGAUUUAUCAAUAUUUUCUUUUAUGUUAUCAAACACUCUAAUUUACAAGUGCAGGACUAAAUAGGCUCGAAUCAUUGGCAACAACUUUUCUCAGUUGUCAGAUGACAUUUUGCAGUCACUACAGAUUUUUUUUUUAAAAUUUUAAUUUUAAAUUUCUUCUUUCGUAACUUCAGUUUGUCAUAUAAUCUGGGUGAAGGAGCCUCACAUUCCUGAUUGUGUGACCUUCCCUGAUGAAAGACAGUGCAGAUGACACUGGAACUCAUGGUACCUCUUUCUUCCAACUCUAAAAGUACAAAAAGAAAUACAAAAGAUAUCAUAAAAUGCAUACCUUUGCACUUGUACCAUUAUUAGAGAUGAUUAUUUGUUUGUCCAAAGAAACAUAACUUUAUUGAUAAAUUCUAUUAGGAUUAUAGAGAGAUUAGAAGAAGAGAAGUGAAGAAAGAAGAAGAUGGUGGUUUGAGAAUUUCAUCAAAGGGUGUUUUUAUCCUAAAACUAUGUAUUAUUUAGGUGGAUUUAAAGAUCAAUUUGGUGGAUGCAAAUAUAGGUUAUGGAGUUUUUUUACAAAAAAAAUAUCCAUUAAUAAAAAGAUUAAAAUACCCUUGCAAAUCAAUAUGCAUCCACAUUCUUCCUUUCCUUUAUCAAUUUCUUUUCUUCCAAUCUCUCCACAACCUUAACAAAUUAAAAUAAAUUUUUUUACAAAUAAAUGGAUUAAAUUUUUCAAAAUUUGAAAUUUUAAAAAUUUAAAAAUACAUAAUUUUAUUCAAAUCCAAAACUUUUAAUAAAUUAAAAAUAAAAACAAAUUUAAGCUUUUAAAUUAACUUCUGAUUUGACUUUCAAGGUCAACACUCCCACAUCAUUCUUUUCUUUAGACUUUUUUUCCCACUUUUUCAUAUAUUUCUCAUGUCUAAUUAUGACUAAAUUAAUUCUAAAUAUUUUCUAAUUAUUUUACAAAAAAAAAAUUAUAUAAGUAAUAAAAUCUAAAAUUUUUCAUGUAGAACAAACUUCAUAUUAUUGUAUGGAUUUUAUAAAAAUAUAUUGAAACUAACUUUCAACUUAUAUCAAACAACUUUUUAUGAUAAAGAAGAAAAGGAUAAUUCAAAAAUAAUAAAUGGAUUAAUAGGAAUUAUAUUUUGAGGUGGAUAUGUACAUAGCUUUAUUAGAUGUUUGGUGCCCCUAUUUUUAAGUAUUUUGGCCUACAACCCUAAAACCCAAAGUAAUUCUCAUCAAAUUCCCAAAAAAAAAAAAAAAAUGACCCUUAAAGUUGCCUUGCACCUUUCAUUAUUUUCAAUUUUUUUUUUUUUAUAAUCUUUUCAACUCUACAAGCUCUCAUUUUUAACAUGCACUUUUUAAUUAAUUAAUUUUUUCUACUUUAGAACUCACUCAUCUUCCUAAAUACAAAAAUUCUUUAUAUUUACACAACAAUUUAACUUCAACAUCUUUUUUUUAAUAAUUCUUUUUCAUAUAAUAUUCCUUACUAACAAAAACUAAUUAUAAUUAAAUGACUUUAAUUUGAUAUAUAUAAAUAUUAAGAUACAAACUCCUAUAAACUUACACUUUAACCACUUGAGUCCAACAAGUGUUUGAUUUACAAAAUUUAUAGUUCUAAAAGAUGUUAAACUCCUUUAAAAAGUAUCAAAUGGUAAUAAAUAAGAACUAGAGAAAAACCAUUCAAAUAAAGAGAUUUGAUCUAUAAUACAAAGUAAAAUCAAAAAUAGAAAUGUGAAGAAAAAAAUUAUCAUUGACUCUUGACUCUUGCCAAACCAAUCCCACUACCAUCCAAUACUAAAUUGUCUAACAAAUGGGAAUUGAAAGCAUAGAAGAGAAUCAUUGACUAUUGACUCUCUACCAUCCAAUGUUGAAUUGUCUAACAAAUGGAAAUUGAAAGCAUAGAAGAGAAUCAUUGACUCUUGACUCUUGCCAAAUCAAUCCCACUACCAUCUAACAAAUGGGAAUUGAAAGCAUAGAAGAGAAUCAUUGACUCUACUUACCCCAUUAUCUUAAAAGUGUUGCCCCUCCCCUCCUUUCAUGAAGUUUCUUAGAAUUCAAACUUCUUUAUCAUAUAAAGUAUAAAAAAGAAUCAUUCUUAUAGCCAUUAACAUGUGUUUCAAGAAAAAUGAAGUUGUUUUGCCCCCAAGAACUACAGAAAUAAAAUUUUGUUAAGAAUUUUAAAAUAUAAAAAUAAUUUUUUUAAAAUAAGAGUAUUUUAUAUAAUUUUUUUUUCAUAUUUUCUAAAAUUAAAUAUCCAAAUUUUAAUUAUAUGAAAAGAUGGAGACGCUCCAAAAAAGAAAAAUAAUGUCUUGCAAUUAGAUAUCUACUUCAAAAUAAUCUGAAUGCUUCUUAAUCCACUUGUGUGGUUAACAUUCCAUUAAAAUUAUACCAAAUGUAUUUAAAUCUACUUGCAUUUAUUUAUUUAAAAUUAUUCAAAGCAUCUCAAUACAUUAUUCAUUUUAUUUUAUUUUUUGAAAAAAAAAAUUGUAUCACGUUUCUAGAAAAGAAUUAUUAAUAUAUAUUGAUUUUCUUGUAAAUAAUUUUUAUAAAAUUUAAAACUUGUUUUACUUAAACUUUAAAUGGAUUUGUAUGCUCGUGUUUUUCUUUUUCUUUUUUUCUAAUUAAAUGAGUUCAUUUUUAUAAUAUGGGAAUGCCUACUUGAACUCAAUAUUUUAUUUACUUCCUUUUUUUUAACUUUAUUUUAGUAAAUGCAUCCUUGAUCAACAAUUUGAUGAUUUUCUUAAAAUCAAAUAGUGAAGAUAAUAUUUUGAUAAUUAAAAAAGAAUUGACUUGCUACAUCACUCAUAUGAAAUAUUAAUUUAUUUUUUGAAGUAUUUUGGCAUUAUAUUCAAUUUAUCAUAAUAAGAUUGUUUUUUACUCAAUAAUUUAUGUAGAAUAAUAAAUAAAUCUAGGAGUUCUUUAUUAAAAAUCAGUUUUAAUAGAAAAAUAUAAGUUGGAUAUUCAUUUUAAUUAAAAUAAAAUUAUAAUUUGAUUUAAUUAGAAAAUUAAAUUUUUGCUAGUUAAUUUAAUUUUAAUUUGUAAUUCAUGUUAAUAGGGAAAAGAAGAUAGUUUUCAUGUCUUUUUAAUUAAAAAAAAUGAUGAUUUUGGUUGUAAUUUGUGAAUUUAUUUUAAUUUUUAAAAAGAAAAUAGUAUUAUAUUAGUUAAAUCAAUUUUGUUAUGAAAACUUAAUUUUUGGAAUAUAAUGAUAAUUGUUAAUCUAAUCUUAUAGGUGCAAAAUUUAAAAAUCUUGUAAAAAAUAAACAAAAAGAUAAGAAAAUAUGCAAACAAAAUUGUAUGCAUUAAAAAUUUCAUAGGGUACAAUUCUUUGAAGUAAUACUCGUUAAAAAAUAUUAUUUUCCUUUUAUUUGAUCACUUUCAUCAUAAUCCAAUGGAUAAUAUGUUUUCACUUGCAUUUGUUUUUAUACUAAACUUUUAUAUAGGGCUUUAUGUCAUGUGCUCAUAUGGACAACUCUUCAAAGGUGCAAAGUCGCUUGCCUUGGAGGAUAUAUAGAAGCUCUCAAUGCAUACCUUAUAUGCUCAUCUCCACUACCAUAUAUUGGAUAAUAUAUCCAUGCUUUCAAGGCUUAAAGAAUGUUAAGAGUUGAUAUAGUCAAUCAUAGACUCAUCUUUCUACUGUUUGGUAUUUGUGGACUCCAUUAUGCUUAUCGUUGGUUAGAAAAAAUAAUUGUCUUCUCGCUUCAUUUGAUCCCAACUGUCAACAGGCACAGGCUCAAGAUUCAUGUACCAAUCAAAAGCACACAUUUGGAGGGAAUACACAAAUUGUUUGACUAAGAGGUCACCCUCAUGCUAGCAUUGUUGCAUGUUUGGAUGAAUUAGGCAUUGCAUUGCUUUGGAAUUCCCUUUCCAUCAAAUUAUUGAAAAUUUAAAGGUUAAUAACCCAUAAGUAUUUGUAAGUUAUUAAUCCUCAUAGUUUAAGGUUUAAAGUACAUAAAUAUACUUCAUGAUAGUCUGUCAUACUAUGCUUUGAUGGUGUUAGGUAUCAUGUUUUAAAUUACUCAUUUUAAUUGGAAAUCUAUUAAUUUUUCAAUGAAAAUAAUUUUAAUUUGGUCUGAAGUUAUUUGUCAGUUAUAUAUAGAUAUACGUGCAUACACAAAUUUUUUUUUUAAUAUUUAUUAUUUGAAUUUUAUUUUAUUCAUGAUUUCUUUAAAAUAUUAUUUGUUGGAAUUAAUUGCUACGUUGUUAUUCUUCCAAAAAUAAUUUUUUUUGCUUAAAAAAUAAAUUUUAAAUUUCUUCUUACAUUAAAUUCGCUACUUUAAGUUAAUAAAAUCAUUUUCUCAUUUCCUGGUUUACUUUUAUUUAUUUAUUUUAAAUUAUAAUAUUUAUCUAUAAUAAGAUUUGUUUAUAAAAUAUUAAAAAAAAAAAAUCAUCCUCUCAUUGUUUAACUUAUUUUUUAUUUUUACUUUUUUGUAUUUGUAUUUUAAUUUUAGUUUUAUGUUUAUUUUUAAUAUUUAUUUUUCACUUCUCGGUCACAAAUUUUCUUUUUUAUUUACUUUAAUUUAUUAUUAUUAUUUCUUGCUCAUAUCCUCUUUUAUAUAUAUAUAAGAUAAUAAUAAAAUAAGACACCAUGAAUAAAGUGAAGGAAAAAAAUAAAAUGUAAAAUAAAAUCAAAAUCUUGGUGGAGAAGUAAGGUGCAGGAGCCUAAUGUCUAAUGAUGAUGAUGGAUGACCCACCAAACCAGAAGAAAAGCAGAAGGUGAUAAUAAAAAAAAAGAAAAGUAAGAAAAUAAUCAAUAAUGUUGUGCAAUUAAUGAGAUAAAAGUUUCAUCAAAGUAACAAGUCAUGAAACAUUGUCAUAAAGACUUUGUCUUUAUAGAAUUGAAUAAAUAUUAUCAUAGAGAAAAAGUUAAAAUCAAUGGAAAAAUAUUAGUAAUUGAUGAUGGCUUAACUUAAUAACUUGUGUAAAAGCAAUGAGAGUAUAUAUAACAAGAUAAAACAAAUAUGAAAAGAUAAUUUAAAGUUACAUAUUUCUUAAAUAAUCUCACACAUUUGAUUUUGUAAGUGUGGAGCAAUUUAUACAUGAAAUAACAAGGAAGUAUUUCAAUAACCAAACUAAUUGUAGUGAUAGAUAAAUAAUUUUAUUCAAAAUAUUAUUAUGAUUUAAAUGAAUGUGCAAAAAUUAAUUCAUAAAUCAAAAUUUCAAGAGAACAUAUCAUGAUUUAAAGCAUCUUGUUGUCUCAAAACUUCAAUUGAAAUACUACAAAUCCAUUUGAACAUAUAUGUAAAGAUAUAACAUAAUAUAUUGAGAAGAAUAGUUGAACCUAUUGUAGUUUCAAAAUUAUUUUGGAUAAUGAAAUUAUUGAAUUAAUAAAAAUACCAUCUGUGGCAACAUGCAAUAAUAUAUGUAAAUUUUUCUACUAAUGAAAGUAUAACUUCUAAUAAUAGAAAUUUAUAAAAACUAUCAAACACUUACUUAUUUGUAUAACUUGAUGUACAAAAAUAUUAAUCUUUUGAUAAUAUGUAAAUAUUAUCUAUAUGCUUGUUAUCAUAACUUCAGGCUAUAAUAUAAUUCAUUAUAACUUUUGGUUAUGUAGAUUUCAUAAAGUUGUACAAAAUUGUUAAUUAACAAUUUUGUUCUCUAUAGCUUCUAGCUAUAAGAAAGUACAUAUUAACAACUUUGGCAUAACCUUUGAUUAGCGCAAAGAAUAUUAAUUUUCUUAAUUUCAUAACUUCAGGUUAUGAAUAAUAAUAUUUAUAUAACUUCGGUUAUAUAACAAAAUUAAAAAAUUAUGUAUCUUCUAGGUACAUAGUUGUUCAUUUCAACUUCCUUUUCUGUUAUUGAUGUUUGGUAAAGGUCAGCCAAAUGUUUGGGCGUACGAUAGGUACGCGACCAAUGCCCCUUCAUACCACAUCUAUAACACUUAUUCUCAUGGUUCUUAAGAGGUUUGUCUUGUAAACACUUCCCAUUUUCUUGUUUUACCUCAAUAUUAUUCCACUUCUGGUGGUGCAAUGAGGCUUUCCUUUUCUGAGAAUUUGGUAAAUUAUUUAUAUAAGAACCAUGGUAUUGGGGAUUUAUUCCAUGACCAUGACCACGUCCUCGUCAUCAUCCACUAGUUUGGGAUAAUAUUGCAUUCACUUCAGGGAAUGAUUCAGAUCUAGUUGGAUGAGACUGGUGAUUUUUCAUCAAAAACUCAUUUUUUGUUAAACCUUCAUGGAAAUGAUGACGAAGGAAAAUUAGUAUUUUGCGCGAUCCUGUAGGGAUGCUUGAUUUCCUUCUUUGAUCAUAGCUCCAAGAUUCAUUGACAAUUUUGUUUUGAAUAACUUUAGUUAUACAAGAAAAUUAUAAAUUGUAUGCAUAACUUCUGGCUAUGAAACAUUUGUUAAUAAAAAUUGUUUUCCAUAAUUCAUGUUGUGAAAAAUAAGUGAGUACGAAAUAAAAAUAAAAAAAACCAAUAUUUUUCAUAACUUUGAGUUAUGAUUAUUUUGUCAAAACAAGAAAAUAUUCAAAUUUGUACAUAGAUUCAGGCUAUAAACUAUUUAUGUAUAACUUCUAGUUACACAAUAUAAUUAAAAGAAAUUAAAGAAAUUAAAAGUUAAUAUUUUUCAUAGCUUCAGACCAUGAUUAUUUUGUCAAAACAAGAAAAUAUUGAAAUUUGUACAUAGCUUCAGGCUAUGAACUAUUCAUUGGGUAGAUUUGUGCAUAACUUUGGCUAUGAACUUUCAUUAUGUAGAUUUGUACAUAACUUUAGGUUAUGAACAUUUAUUUAUUUCAUAGCUUCUAGCUAUAAUAUUGUUUGGUAUAACUUCCAGUUAUAUCGUAUAAUUAAAAAUAAAUAAUUAGGGAUCAUAUACAUAACUUCUGGUCAUGUAUUUGUAAUUUUAUAAUUUUUCCCCAUAACUUCUGGUUAUAGGGAUUAUACAUAUUUUUCAUAACUUCUGGUUAUGAAUUUAUCCCAUAACUUCUGGUUAUAGGAAUUACACAUAUUUUUCAUAACUUAUGAUUAUGAAUUUAUCCCAUAAUUUAUAAUUUACCCCAUAACUUCUGGUUAUAGGAAUUACACAUAUUUUUCAUAACUUAUGAUUAUGAAUUUAUCCCAUAAUUUAUAAUUUACCCCAUAACUUCUGGUUAUAGGGAUUAUACAUAUUUUUCAUAACUUUUGGUUAUGAAUUUAUCCCAUAACUUCUAGUUAUAGAGAUUAUACAUAUUUAUGUAUUCAAAUAAAAUAAAUAAAUAAAAAGAUAUCAAAGGGUAAUAAAAUAGAAAAUCAUUAUAUAAGUUUAUCAUAUACCUUUUUGUAAGAAAUAAGAGAGAAGAUUCUUUUUAUUUCUCUGAAAAUGAGAACGUCUUUUUAUUUAUCUUAAUAGAGAAAAAUAUUUUUAUUUCUUUUGUAGAGACUUGUCGUGCUAAUAAUGUGUUGUAAGAUUAUAAAGUGAAAGGAGAAAAAAACAAGAAGGAGAAGAAAACAAGAAAAAAAAAUUAGAACGUAGGAAGAUAAUAGAAUAUGAUAUUCAUUAGAGGUAUACAUUAAUAUGGAUGAUCAUCCACAAGUUCCCAUAAUCCGAUAAAUUCUCAUAUUUUAUAACAAUUUUGUUUUUUUUAAAAAAAUUAAAAUUGAAGACUCGUCAACAUUUUUCUUUUUUGGUUUUUUUAAAAUUAAUAUUGAUGACUCCGUCAACGUUUUUCCUUUUUGUUUUUUUUUUUAAUUAAUAUUAGAGACUCCGUCAGCAUAUUUUUAUUCUUUUUUAAAUUAAUAUUAAAGACUUCGUCAGUAUUUUUAUUUUUUCAUUUACUUAAAAUUAAUAUUGAACUGAGAGCGACUCGCAUUUUUGUUUUUUGUUAUCUUUAAAUUAAUAUUGAACGACCGGAACCGGAGAGAGACUCCGUGUCAACAUUUCUCUUUUUUUGUUUUUUCUUAAAUUAAUGUUAAAUGACUUGAGAGAGACUCCUUCAGCAUUUUUCUUUUUAUGUACUUUAAUUCAAUAUUGAAUGACUCGAGAGACACAGGGCUGCUCAACUUUUUAUAUUAUAAAUAAGCUAGGUUUCCUCACUAUCUUCAACAGAAAUCAAGCCUCUAAACUGUCUUGUAGUUUUGAGAUAGCAACCCACAAUGGCUUCCACAAGCUCCUUUACACCCUCUUCUUCUUCUACUCCUUCCAUCCCUCGACCAAUUACUUAUGAUGUUUUCUUGAGUUUUAAAGGCGAAGACACCCGCCUUAAAUUCACUGACCACCUCUACAGUGCUUUGAGUAGGAGAGGGAUUCGCACCUUCAGAGACGAUAAACUGAAGAGAGGAGAAGCGAUUGCUCCAGAACUCUUGCAAGCCAUUGAAGAAUCAAGGUCUUCCGUAAUUGUUUUCUCUGAAAACUAUGCUCAUUCGACAUGGUGUUUGGAUGAGUUGGUAAAGAUCAUGGAGUGCAAGAAAGAUCUGGGACAUACCGUUUUCCCAAUUUUCUAUCAUGUGGAUCCAUCCCAUGUAGGACAGCAAACAGGAAGUUUUGGAGAGGCCUUUGCCGGUUAUGAAGAAAACUGGAAGGACAAGAUACCAAGGUGGAGGACGGCCUUGACGGAAGCAGCCGAUCUUUCUGGAUGGCACCUACUAGAUGGGUAACUAUAAUUUCCUUUCAACUAUUUGUAAGUACAGGAAUGAGUAGUUUUGCAUUUAUAGAGUGAUGAUGUUGAUUGAAAUAUUUAUAAAAAUAUUUUUUGUAUUUGGAGGUCUACUAGUUAAUUUCUGAAAACCCAGUAUGUCUAUUCAAAGCAUGCUUUUAGUUGAAUUUUUUUCAAGUAUAAAUGUGCUGGAUAUUCUUUUAUAUUUUAUAGGAAAUGUUUUUGGUACGAUUGUUUUUUAGAAAAUCAGUUAUCUUCUCCAUAAAUUGAUUUUUCUAACUUUUUUUUUUACAUAAUUUUAAAAUUUGCUAACUUUAUUUUUAUUCAAAAACAUUUUUUAGAUUAAAGGUACAUACUCUUAAAGUACUUUUAACAAUAAUUUUAGUUAAAGUGCUUUUAAUAGGAGUUUUUUUUAAAAAAAUAUAUAUAUUUUUAACAAAAUCAUCUAUUAUGUAUUUGUCUAAGAAUUAUUGUCUAAUUCUAAGUUUUAUCAAACUUGUUUUUUUCAAAGACACUUUUUAUACUCCAAACAAAGUCUAAUUUUACUUGAGGUUGUUAACAUAUUAGAACAAUGUGCAUAUACUUGUGUGCUCAAAAUAAAUAAAUAAAAAUUAAAAUAAACUAUUGCUUCUUAGGGUUUUAUUUAUGAGUUGGGUUUUAUUGGAUUAUAUCAUUUGCACAGCCAACUAUGUGUCAAUGAAUAAAGAGAAAAUAGGAAAUUGGAGUACUGAUUUGACCAUAGAAGCUAUCAAUUUAUAUGGAUGACAUCUAUAUUAAUUUAAUGGGCAUGCAAUUUACGUUUCUUUCCCUUUUCAUUUAUUAGUGGGUUUUAUUUACAAAUUUAUUUAUUUAUUUAUUUAUUAUUAUUAUUAUUAUUAUUAUUAUUAUUAUUUAUUACUAAUGUUAUUGUUUUUGGUUCAUGUUAAUAGUAGUUGUAAUGACGUUAGUAUAAAAAGAAUAGUAGAAUAAUAAUUAUAUUGAAUCAGAAUUCAUAAUAAAUGGUAGAAUGAACUUAUUAAAACCCAAUUAAUAAGUUUUACUAUUUUAGAUCAAUUUAUGAGGAUCUAUAUCUAAAAUAAUUUAAUGAAAUUUUAUUACUAAUUUUUCAAUUUUCAAGAUUCAAUCCACAUUAAUGUUAUAAAAAUUAAUCAAUUUAUUUGAAAUUUUAUUUGAAUAAUUAUAUAGCAAGUAACAAUAAAGUUAAUGAUUAUUACUAUUUAUUAACACGCUUCAAAAUUUUCAAUUAACCAAUCUCUUGCAUAUCAAUAGAACAACUUAAUCAAAUUCUAAAAAUAAUUUGAUUAAUUAUGUAACAAGUAACAAUAACAAAAUUAUUUUACCAAUUUUAUUUGAAAACAAGUUGACCAAAUAGUUUGAUUAAUUAUGUGACAACUACUAAUAACAAAAUUAUGUAACGUGAAUUGUUUAGUAGGAAUUCAACUUCCCUAAGAGUUUGUGUGUGUACAUAUAUGGGCAAUAAAGAACAAUGGUUAGGCACUUAAUUUUCUUACAGAUGAUGAUGAAGAAAUCAACUCAAAGUAAAAAUUAAUGAAUAACUUGUUUGUAAGCCUUUAAUUUUUAAUUUUUAUUAUGCAAAUGAAUAACAAGGAGAUGAUGGUGUAGGAUAGAUAAGUUUUGAAGCUUGAGGAAUUGAAAAUGGAGUCUUUAAACUAAAAACUUCUUAUAUUAAGAGGUUGAGUAGUAUAUUUACAACGAGGCUUCAGGUAUAACAAGAUAUAAAACGAAUGUCAAAGAAUAAAAUAUUUGCUCUUGCAAGGUUUCUAAUUGUCAUGGGCUGUUAAAGAGUUUUUGAAAUGUGCAUGAAUGAUAAAGUAAUAUCUCAAUUCAUAAUCAUUGUCUUGGGCUAUGCCAGACAAGCAGCACAAGUAACCAAAUUCAAAAUUCAUGUUUUUUUUUUUCUCAUUCUCAUGCAUACUUGAUACAAAAAAAAAAUGUCUUAAAAAUGUAAAUGAACUAAUAUCUUUGAUAUAUUCUAUUCUACUUUAAUUUAUUUAUUGAGAUGUCAAACUUAAUGUGUUUUAUUUACCAUUGUGGCUCAUUGCUUAACAUGUUGUACUUUUAUAAUUGGCAGGUAUGAGUCUGAUCAAAUUAAGAAAAUAAUUGAUAGCAUAUUCCAUCAAUUGAAUUGUAAGAGGCUUGAUGUUGGUGCCAAUUUAGUUGGUAUAGAUUCCCGUGUAAAAGAGAUGAUUUUGAGGUUGCAAAUGGAAUCAAGUGAUGUUCGUAUUGUUGGGAUAUAUGGAGUUGGUGGGAUAGGUAAGACAACCAUUGCAAAAGUGAUAUAUGAUAAACUUUCUUGCAAAUUUGAAUGUAUGAGCUUUGUUGAAAAUAUUAGAGAGAAUUCCAAUAAGCAAGGUUUAACUCACUUACAAAAUCAACUUCUUGGUGAUAUCCUAGAGGAAGAGCGAAGUCAAAAUAUAAACAAUGUUGACGUGGGAGCAAGUAUGAUAAGGACCGCUCUCUCAUCUAAAAGAGUUUUUAUUAUUCUUGAUGAUGUUGACCAUCGAAAGCAAUUAGAAGCUCUACUUAGACAUCGUGGAUGGCUUGGAAAAGGAAGCAGAGUCAUCAUAACAACUAGAAAUAGACAUUUGUUAAUUGAACAAGAAGUGGAUGACUCAUAUGAGGUUGAGGGAUUGAAUUCUGAAGAAGCUUGUGAACUUUUCAGUUUGCAUGCCUUUAAACAAAAUCUUCCCAAAUCAGAUUUUAUAAACCUCUCACAUCAUAUGGUGGACUAUUGUCAAGGCCUUCCAUUAGCUUUGGAAGUUCUAGGUUCUCUCUUAUUCAACAUGACAAUACCUCAAUGGGAAAGUCAAUUGCAUAAAUUGGCCAAAGAACCUAUGGCGGAAAUUCAUGAUGUGCUUAAAAGUAGCUAUGGUGGAUUAGAUCGUACAGAAAAAGAUAUUCUCCUUGAUGUUGCAUGUUUUUUUAAAGGUGAAGAAAGGGAUUUUGUGUUAAGAAUGUUAGAUGCUUGUGCAGAAAUUGGAAUACAAAAUCUAAAAAACAAGUGUCUUAUAACUCUCCCAUACAACCAUAUGAUAGGUAUGCAUGAUUUGAUACAACAGAUGUGUUGGAAAAUUGUUCGUGAAAAUUUUCCUAAAGAGCCGAACAAAUGGAGCAGAUUGUGGGAUGCCCAUGAUAUUGAAUGUGCACUUACAACAUUUAAGGUAAGAGCCAAAUGCAUAAAUUCACUUAAGCUCUAGUUAAAGAUAUAAAUUUCAAUAAUAAUAUCAUUCUUGUAUAAGAACUUACAUAUCCAUAUAAGUUGAGUUAGUUUGUAUUUAUGUUUGCCUUAUCCUUUUUAUUUUUCAGGGAAUAAAAAAAGUUGAAACAAUAUCCUUGGACUUGUCUAAGUUAAAAAGAGUAAGCUUCGAUUCAAAUGUUUUCACAAAGAUGACUAGUCUUCGAUUACUCAAAGUUCAUUCAGGUGUUGAUUGUUAUGAAGAUAUGGAGGAGAAGCAUUAUGAUGUAGUAAAGAAAAAUGCUUCUAAAAUGCGACUUGGCCCGGAUUUUGAAUUUCCUUCUUAUCAUUUAAGGUAUUUUUGUUGGCAUGGGUAUCCUUUACGAUAUUUACCAUCAAAAUUUGAUGGAAGGAAGCUUGUUGAACUUCACUUGAACUGGAGCAACAUAAAACAGUUGUGGCAAGAGAAUAAGGUAUUAUUAUCAUUUAAUAAUGACUUCUUUUUCUUUGUAUUGAUUUUGAAAUUUAUGAUAGUUAUGUCUUUAUUGACACUAAUUUUCUUUUUGUACAGUAUCUUGAAGGGUUAAGGGUCAUUGAUCUAAGUUACUCAAGGGAGCUCAUUCAAAUGUUAGAAUUCUCAAGCAUGCCAAAUUUGGAGAGACUAAUUCUUCAAGGUUGUUUAAGCUUGAUCGAUAUUCACCCAUCUGUUGGAAAUAUGAAGAAGCUUACUACCUUAAGUUUGAGAGGGUGUGAUAACCUUAAGGAUCUGCCAGAUAGCAUUGGAGACUUGGAAUCUCUUGAGAUUCUUGAUCUCACAGAUUGCUCAAGGUUUGAGAAAUUUCCGGAGAAGGGAGGGAACAUGAAAAGCUUAAAGGAGCUUUUUUUAAGGAAUACUGCUAUUAAGGAUCUGCCUAAUAGCAUUGGAAACUUGGAAUCUCUUAAGAUUCUUUAUCUCACAGAUUGCUCAAAGUUUGAUAAAUUUCCGGAGAAAGGAGGGAAUAUGAAAAGUUUAAAGGAGCUUUCUUUAAUUAAUACUGCUAUUAAGGAUCUGCCUGAUAGCAUUGGAGACUUGGAAUCUCUUGAGACUCUUGAUCUCUCUGAUUGCUCAAAGUUUGAGAAAUUUCCGGAGAAGGGAGGGAACAUGAAAAGUUUAAAGGAGCUUUUUUUAAUUAAAACUGCUAUUAAGGAUCUGCCUAAUAGCAUUGGAGACUUGGGAUCUCUUGAGGUUCUUGAUCUCUCUUAUUACUCAAGGUUUGAGAAAUUUCCGGAGAAGGGAGGGAACAUGAAAAGUUUAGAGGUGCUUAUUUUAAAGAAUUCUGCUAUUAAGGAUCUGCCUGAUAGCAUUGGAGACUUGGAAUCUCUUGAGACUCUUGAUCUCUCUGAUUGCUCAAGGUUUGAGAAAUUUCCGGAGAAGGGAGGGAAUAUGAAAAGUUUAGAGAAUCUUUUUUUAAUUAAUACUGCUAUUAAGGAUCUGCCUGAUAGCAUUGGAGACUUGGAAUCUCUUGAGAUUCUUGAUCUCUCUGAUUGCUCAAAGUUUGAGAAAUUUCCGGAGAUGAAGAGAGGCAUGAAACAUCUGUACAAACUUAAUCUAAGACGUACUACAAUUGAAGAGUUGACCUCCUCAAUAGAUAAUCUCAGUGGGCUUCGGAACUUAAUUAUAGCAGAGUGCAAAAGCUUGAGGAGUCUUCCCGACAACAUUUCUAGGUUGAAAUUUCUUGAAACACUCAUCCUUAGUGGCUGCUCAGACCUGUGGGAAGGAUUAAUAAGCAAUCAACUUUGCAACCUGGGAAAACUUAAUAUCAGUCAAUGCAAAAUGGCUGGACAGAUUCUGGAGCUUCCUUCAAGUCUAGAAGAAAUAGACGCACACGAUUGCAGAAGCAAGGAAGAUUUAUCAAGUCUGCUCUGGAUUUGUCACCUCAACUGGUUGAAAUCCACGACAGAGGUAUGAUUUUUUUUGUUUUUUUUUUUGAAAUUAUGCCAAUUAAGCUUUUUUUUUUUUUUUUAAUUACAUGUAGAGUCAAUAUUUACAUAAUAAUUUGUGCAGGAGUUGAAAUGCUGGAAACUCAGAGCUAUUAUUCCAGAAAAUAGUGGAAAUCCAGAGUGGAUAAGGUAUCAGAACUUGGGAACUGAAGUAACAACGGAGCUUCCAACGAAUUGGUAUGAAGAUCCUGACUUCCUAGGAUUUGUUGUAUCAUGUGUUUGUCGGUCUAUUCCUACAUCUGACGGCCACAGUUAUUUUCUCGGUUGUGCAUUAAAGUUACAUGGUAAUGGAUUUGAAUUCAAAGAUAAAUGCUUGUUUGACUGCCAGUGCAAGUGCCAUGGUAUUAAUGAUUUGGUAGAUCAAGUAUGGGUUUGGUGGUAUCCUAAGAUUGCUAUUCCGAAAGAGCAUCACCAUAAAUACACACAUAUUAAUGCUUCAUUUAGGGGUAAGUGGACAGAGAUAAAAAAAUGCGGCAUCAAUCUUAUAUUUGCGGGAGAUCAACAAAAUCAUAUGCCCAUGUUGGAGCAUCCUCAGAAUUCUGGUGACGAUGGAUCAGCAUUACAAGAUACCGAUGGUAAUGUUCAUGGGGCUAAUCAAGAUGAUGAACACUACAAUAUUCCCAUGUUGUUAGAUCUUCCUGGGAAUUUUGGUGACAUUGGAUCAGUAAUACUUGAAGGCACUGAUGGAAACCGUAAGAGAAGACGUGAUGAUUCCUUACCCGAUGUAGUGGAGGAGCCACAUUAUAAAAGAUUGGGAGCACCCAACAC
rnacentral:lncRNA from 1 species